AAUUAGUAAAACGAUGGAUGAGCUGUUGACUUUUGUCAGGUGUAGAGGAGCAGCAAGCUGUGGUGUCGUGGAGCAAUACCAUUGAUGUGAUAGGUCGGGAGCUCUUCAUCCGUUGCCUCCACCUUGUGCCCAGGCGGGACUACGGCGCCUCCAUCGCCUCCCUCAACCGUGAAUUCAAUUCGGUGGUUCGCAACGGGGACAUCUACCGCCUUCGUCGGAAGAAUGGGGUCGCAGAGCACUGGCUCUACCUCUGCUGCGGUAAUAAUAAUAAUCCUCCAGAGUGGGACGCUUAUGAUCCGUCCACUGGGCGCUGGAUCCACGUGCCCAAGAUGCCACCGUCUGGAUCCUACUUCUGGGAUUCCCUCGCUGUAGGAACCGAGCUGCUGCUGUUUGGGGAGACAGGUGUUGCCUUGAGAUAUAGCAUCCUUACCAAUUCAUGGACAGGGCUGCCUGAUGCUGAUGCGAUCAACACCCCGCGCUACUUGUUUGGGGCAGCGAGUGGUGGUGAGAAGGCGUACGUCGCGGGAGGCCUUGAUUCUUCUCGUACUAAUGCAUUGAGCUCUGCAGAGAUGUAUGACUCGGAGACACAUACUUGGACACCCCUUCCCAGCAUGAAUAGGGCCAGGUACGGAUGCUCUGGCGCCUUCAUGGACGGCAAGUUCUAUGUGAUCGGUGGUGUUAGCAGUACCAGUAGCCGCGAGCCGUUGACUUGCGGUGAGGAGUAUGACUUGAACCUGCGGUCAUGGAGAGUCAUCGACAACAUGUCUCAGGGGCUCAACGAGACAGUCGAUGGAGCUCCUCCGCUCAUUGCGGUUGUGAACAACGAGCUUUAUGGUGCUGAUUACAGUGAGAAUAAUGAUUUGAAGCAGUAUGAUAAGCUGGACAACAAGUGGAUCACUCUUGGGAAAUUGCCUGUACAGUCGAAGAACAAAGAUGCCUUUGACAUGGGUUUCCGAGCGUGUGGUGACCGGCUGAUUGUUAUUGGGCGUCCAAACAAUUCUACUGAUGAAAAGGUGGUUGAGCUUCAUUCAUGGAUCCCGGAUGGGCAACCGCCUGUGUGGAAUUUCGUUGCCACAAGGCCAUACCGGGGCAACGGGAUUCUGUGCGCCGCGAUGGGUUGCUGAGUUGGUCAACUAAAUAAACCUUGGAUACACGCAAGAUAUGAGUAAGUUACUUACCAUGUACUGCUUGCUUUGUAUAAAAAAAUUAUUUAUCCUGUUUGCUCCAAGAUUAGAAUGACAUGGAGUUUCUCUUCAUAUUUCCAUGCAGUGCUGGCUGUGCCUCAUUCUGAAUUUCUGAAUUUCCUGGGAGCGCUCCGCUGAUGAUACAAAAAAGACAAGACAUGAAUGAGUUCCGGAGAAAGUGGCUUCAGAAACAUCAAGAGUUUUAGUCACUAGCUGUUAUUUCCAGUUGCAAUUUGUGUUCCAAUAAUGUUUUAACGCUUCCUACGGGCGUUUUGAUGAUCUUGAUCUCCAUCAUCCAACUUUAUCUUUACAGUACAACAGAACUCUCAGUUACUUUUCGAACAUCGAAUGCAGUCUCUAGCUUUCCCUCUAUUUUUGUUCAAGAUUUUUCGAACUCGGAAUAAAAAACAAUCUGGACUCUUCGUUAUUCAGUCAGCUGUUCUGAAAAUGUAUUUUAACUGCUACUGACAUACAUGUUUUUAACUGCUUAUUUUUACAGAUAAAUAAUGUUUACAGAUAAAUGGCAAACACUUAUUUCAUUGUGAAUAUAUCAUGAUUGUUUAUUACAAAAAGUACUUGCACAUUUUAACUGCUUAUUUAUACAAAAUUUAAAACUUUUUGAUAAAUUAAAAUUUUUAUACAUGAUGUUCCAAAAUAUAUGGUGAACAUAUUAAUACACUUGGGAUAUUUUACAAAUACACUAUGAUUAUUUAUGAAUUCAUGAUGAAUUUUACAAAUACACUAUGAUUAUUUAUGAAUUCAUGAUGAAUUUUAAAAUACAUGAAAUUUAUUUUUAAAAUACAAGAUGGACGUUUUUUAGUUACCAAUUGAUAUAUAUUUUUACAAAGCAUUUUUUAAAAAAAAAAUUAUUCAUGUUGAACAAUUAUUUUUACAAAAUGAAUAUUUAUUUAUUAUAAAUGAGGAGUUGUGAAUACACGAUGAUCAUUUUUUAUAAAUACACAAUGAAUUGUCUUUCAUGCAAGAUGAACAAUAUUUAAAUAAAACAUGAUUAUUGUUAACAUGAUACAGGUGCGCCUCGCCCGACUCUCUCACGCCACGCCUGCCAAGGACGAGAGCCACGUCGCCGCCGACCUCCGCGGCGGCCGCGCUCGCCAAGAUGCCCGCCGUGUACGGGCCCUCCACGCCAACGUCCUGCUGGCCGAUCUCAACGCUCCCGUCAGGCUGCGUCACAUGCAUUGUUGCUCCCGUCAGGCUGCUGAAACCUGCGAGAUGAAGGAGGCUUUGAUGGCCCCGUCCACAUAUUAUUCACACCUACUUGUUAUGUUUUUUAUUUAACCCUUGUCAGAGGCCUUGAUUACUACUCGUCCGUUUAAGUUUUUUUAAAAGUUUCACUAACGUGCUACAUACAGAUGACAUACUUUAGAACGUAGAUUCACUCAUUUUGCUCUGUAUGUAUUAGUAAAAUUUAUAAAAAAGACUUAUAUUUAGGAACAGAUGGAGUAUACUGGUCUGAGUGUGAUAUAGUAUGAAGCUGUGUUCUUCAAGGGUGCCUGCCACACAGGUUGGAGUUUCUUAUUAUUCACAUAUUUCCGCGUUAGCUUUUCUAUAGUAUUUACUACUCACAUUGAUGUAUCUCAUAGUUUUAAAUAGCCGGCUAUAGCCUUUUCAGCAGGCUUCCGCUAAAUGAUAUCAUGUACAAAUAAGCCGCCUAUAGCUCGCUAUAGCUGAUUUAGAGGCCCUCCGCUAUUUAUAACAUAGAUUUAUCCUGAAAUCUAACCUUUUCUUUAUCAUCUCAAACCGUACCCCAAAUCAUCUUUCUAAUCUCCAACACAGGUAAGAGACACUUUCAUUACAUUCAUCUUGUGCUAACUCAUUUUUUUUUGCUACAGGUCGGGUCCAUUGUGACCAAUGUUUUAAAACGCGGGCUAUGACAUUUAGCGGCGGCUCGGCCAGAAGCUAUGAAAGGCUAUAGCGGAGCUAUGCCUCAUUUAGCGUUUCUCUUAAAUCAUGAAAUAUUAAAACAAUAAGUAUAUAAUCAGGCAUCAUAUAUGAUAUAUUGCAUAUACUUUACAUAUACACAUGUUCGUACAUCAAAACGCGAGUACUAAUCAGACAUCCUGAUUCAGUAACCAAGUUUGACAUCCAUGCAUCAUACAUAUCCUAAACAAGAACAAAAAAUAAUUCAGAAGUAUGGUUUUGUAUAGUGGCUUAACGGGCUAAAUGACUCCAAAUUUAAUGCUAUACCGGGAAAUAGCGGGCUAUUAGCGUCAUUUUCAAUUUAGCCCUAAAAAUGCAUAGCUUUAGCGGGAGAGCUCCCAAAGGCUAUAUCUAAUAUGAUUGAUUGUGACUGGUGGCCAUUACAUCGACAACCUUGUGGGUAGCAUCGUUGCUGGCAAGAAAAGUCCCUGCUGUUGGCGUCAGCCUUGGAAUCGAAGGAGUCUUCACGGUCAUGCAGGAGAAAAAGAAGAAUCAGGUACUAACUAAAUUCCUUCAGAGAAGAUGUACAAAUACUGAGACAGAUAUAUACUUACAAUGCUGGUCUUUAAUAUUUAUUUCACGGUUAUUUUCUCCAAGUAGGAGGAAUUUUUAGUUUUUUUAAUUUGGUAGUUAAUUGACAAACACUAACUACAAAGCAACAUUUAAUCUUUUACUUUAUGACCAAUCAAAAUGUUACUCCAUGUCUUUGUGCAAUUUGUUCUCUCUCCUGUCUCUCAUGUUUCAAUGUGUUGGUGGAUAUAUUUUUUUCAUCUAUCUUUGUAUCCAGAUGUUUCAAUGGAAGGCACACGUGGAGAGGUGGAGGCCCCCUUCAGUGUUUCACUGGGCGCCAUUGGACCCAUUCUUAACAAGCUCGACAUGAUGCUAGGUCCUCAAGGAUGCAAGCUGCCCAAGGGGCUCCAUGACAGAUUUCACCUGCUAAAAGAUAAUGUUGAAGAAAUAAGUGCAUACCUUGAAGAUCUGUUAGAGGUGGAGGACCCUCCCAUGGCGGUGAAGUGUUGGAUGAAAGAGGCACAAGAGUUAUCCUAUGACAUCCUUGAUUAUAUUGACAGCCGUGUAUCCCUUGAGCUUCUGGAAUGCAGAUCUGUCCGCAAGAUGGGUCUUAUUAAGAUUGCCAAGAAGCUCAAGUGGCAGAAACAAAUUGAGUAUGCAACUCCUCAUGUGCCAGAACAUGUUAUCCCCAAAACCAUUUGUGUUGAUGUCAUUCGUGCUCCCAGGAGGCUCAAGUGGUACCAGCAGAUGAUUGAAAAGGUAUCAGAAUUCAGGAUCUAUGCCCUGGAGGCUAUUCAACGGUAUGAGAGGUACCAAGUCCUUUGUUGUAGUACCUCGACGGCAUGUAGAUUUUCUGCCAUUGGGCCUUUAAUGCCAAUGCCUCCACCGCCUUGUGAGAAAACUUGUUCUGGCCUAGUAAUUGAUGGUCGGAUGAGCAAGCUUAUCAACUCACAGCUGGCUAAUGAUGAGAAUGAGCAGCUCAAGGUGGUGUCUAUUCAUGGAUCUGGAUGUCUUGGUAAAACAAUGCUUGCCAAAGUGUUGUAUAAUAAAAUUGGGAGAAAAUUCGAUUGCCGAGCUUUCAUCCAGGUGUCCAAAAAGCCUGAUAUAAAGAAGCUUUUGAAUGACAUGCUAUCACAAAUCCAUAGGAAGCAGCCCCAAGCAAGCCAAAAGGCUUCUGAUGAACUUCGCAUAACUGCUGACAAUAUCAGGAAUUAUCUACAUGGGAAGAGGUACUUAUUUUCCUCAUGAAAAUAGUAUGUACUAGUUGUAUCCAUGAAUGUCCAGAAUCACAAGUAUUACGUAAAUUCCUUAUAGGUUCCUACUUUGUUUUUCACAAAAAAUAAGGCAUGAUGAUGUUAUUCAGACAAGCUUUACAGUGAGCUAGAAAAGAAUUUACUUAUUUUCCACAUGGUCUAGAAUCGCAUGUACUACAUUAAAUCGCUACAGGUUGAUCUGUUGUUUUUUUCAAAAAAAAAAAAAGGCAUGAUGAUAUAUAGUCAAUUUCUGAAAAGAUGUUUUUCAGACAAGCUUUACAGUGAGCUAGCAAAUGAUGCUGGCAGUAACAUUUAAUUUCAGGCUGGUACCAUAAAUCCAUGCAUUUUUUGGUACCAUAUAAAUCCGUGCAUGGACUAAAUACUCAUUCUUUUCUAGCUUAUCUCAGUGCUGUUGCCAUUUGCCUGGCACAUAGAUGUGACAUGUGUGGACUUUCUUGGCGUGCAGGUAUCUAAUUAUUGUUGAUGAUUUAUGGGAUACAUCGGCAUGGGACGUUAUUAAUCAGGUUUUCCCCAAGGGUAGUCAAGGUAGCAGAAUAAUAACAACUACACAGAUUGAAGAUGUUGCAUUAGCAUGUAGCUGCGAUCACCCAGAACAAGUUUUUGAGAUGAAACCUUUGGAUGAUGGUCACUCAAGGAAGCUAUUCUUUGGCAGGAUUUUUGGCUCUGAAAGUGACUGUCCUGAAGAAUUCAAACUAAUUUCGAGCCAACUUGUAGAAAUAUGUGCUGGAUUGCCACUAGCGACCAUCAGCAUAGCAAGUCUUUUAGCAAACCAGCCUUCUGUAUCAGUGGAUUUAUUGACACACAUACAUGAUUCAUUAGUGUCUUGUUUGUCAUCAAAUUCAACUUCAGAAAGAACGAGACAUGUACUGAACCUCAGCUACAACAACCUUCCUCAUUACCUCAAGACAUGCUUGCUCUAUUUUAGUAUGUAUCCAGUGGGAUCCAUAAUCUUCAAACUUGACCUGGCCAGGCAAUGGGUGGCCGAAGGGUUUAUUGCUGCAAGUGAAGGGCAAGACACAGAGGAAGUUGCAGGAAUGUAUUUCGAUGAACUUGUUGAUAGAAGAUUCAGCCAACCUGUGUCUAUCAACUUCAACAAUGAGGUGGUGUCCUGCACAGUUCAUGCCGUGGUGCAUGAUCUUAUUGUACACAAGUCUGCUGAAAAGAAUUUCCUUGUGGUAGUAGAUUGCAAUCGAAAAAAUUUGACGCUUUCUCAUAAGGUCCGUCGACUAUCUCUGCAACUUGGUGAUGCAAAAUGUGCCAAGAUACCAGCAAACAUCAGAAAGUCACAAGUACGGUCACUUGGAUUUUUUGGAUUGGCAGAGUGCAUGCCUUGUAUUGGAGAGUUCAAGCUUGUUCGUGUUCUCAACCUUCAGCUAUCCGGUCUUCGUCAUGGUAACAAAGACCUGUCCAUAGACCUCUCUAGAGUAUCAGAACUGUUCCAUCUGAGAUAUCUGAAGAUUGCUUGUGAUGUCUGCAUAAAACUUCCGAAGCGGAUGAGAGGGCUGCAGUGUUUGGAAACACUGGAUGUUAUGGAUACACCAAGAGGCACUUAUGUUCCAUGGGACAUUAUAUAUCUCCCACGCUUGUUGCACCUCAGUCUUCCUCCUNUCGAGGUGAAAUUAGUGGAUUCCGGUUCCCAUGGCGAUAAAAGGUAGUACUUUUGUUGCUGUUGAGUUAUUCAAUUAAACCUUAUUUGAGUAUUCAUGCUCUAAAUGGUUGUUGUAACCUGCAGGAUAUCACCAGAGUCCUCUUCGCGCCUGAAUCCUGCAGGUAUGCUUUUCAGUUGUAAUUGAGACGUUUCGUCAUGAGGUGAUAAAUUACUCGUAGAAAUUAGUAAGACAUGGAUGAAGUGUUGGCUUUUGGCAGGUGUAGAGGAGGGUGGAAAGGAGCAGGCUGUGGUCUCGUGGAGCAAUACCAUUGAUGUGAUAGGUCGGGAACUCUUCUUCCGUUGCCUGCACCUUGUGCCCAGGCGGGACUACGGCACCAUCGCCUCCCUCAACCGUGAAUUCAAUUCGGUGGUUCGCGACGGGGACAUCUACCGCCUGCGUCGCAAGAAUGGGGUGGCGGAGCACUGGCUCUACCUCUCUUGCGGUAACGAUUUUCUGGAUUGGGACGCUUAUGACCCGUCCACUGGGCGCUGGAUCCAAGUGCCCAAGAUGCCACCGGCUGGAAGCUCCUUCUGGGACGCGCUCGCUGUCGGAACCGAGCUGCUGGUGUUUGGGGCCUGCGGAGGGGCUACCUUGAGAUAUAGCAUCCUUACCAAUUCAUGGACAGGGCUGGCUGACGCUGAUGCGAUCAACACCCCGCGGUACCAAUUUGGGUCAGCGAGUGUCGGUGAAAAGGCGUAUGUCGCAGGAGGCUUUGAUUCUUCUUUUAUUAAUGUAUUGAGCUCGGCAGAGAUGUAUGACUCGGAGACAUACACCCCUUCCCAGCAUGCAUAGGGCCAGGUACAGAUGCUCUGGCGCCUUCAUGGACGGCAAGUUCUAUGUCAUCGGUGGUCUUAGCAGUACCAGUAGCGACGAGGUGUUGACUUGCGGUGAGGAGUAUGACUUGAACCUGCGGUCAUGGAGAGUCAUCGACAACAUGUCUCUGGGGCUCAGCCAGACAGUCCUGGGAGCUCCUCCGCACCUUGCAGUUGUCAACAACGAGCUUUAUGCCGCUGAUUACAGUGAGAAUAAUGAUUUGAAGCAGUAUGAUAAGCUGGACAACAAGUGGACCACUCUUGGGAAAUUGCCUGUACAGACUAAGAACAAUUUGUGUGGUUGGGGCAAGGACAUGGGUGUCCGAGCGUGUGGUGACCGGCUGAUUGUCAUUGGGCCUCCAAACAAUUCUAUUGAUGAAAAGGUGGUUGAGCUUCAUUCAUGGACCCCGGAUGGGCAACCGCCUGUGUGGAAUUUGGUUGCCACAAGGCCAUACGAGGGCGGCCAGAUUCUGUGCGCCGUGAUGGCUUGCUGAGUAAAGGUUGGAUGCAUGCAUGCAAGAUAUGAGUAGGUUACUUACCGUACUACUCGCUUUGUAUAAUCUUCCAGUUUGCUCCAUGAUUGUCUCUAUUUUUUCAGUCUGAAUUUCCUGGGAGCGCUCUGCUGAUGAUACAAAAAGAGAAGACAUGAAUGAGUUGCAGAGAAACUGCCUGCAGAAACAUACGAGUUUUAGUCACUAGCUGUUAUUUCCAGUUGCAAUUUGUGUACCAAUAAUGUUUUAAUUAACACUUUUUAUGGUGUUCUGAUGAUCUUCACCUCCAUCACCCAACUCUAUCUUUACAGUAAAACAAAACUGUCAAAGUCUCAGUUACUUUUGGAACAUCGAAUUCAGUCUCUAGCUUGCCCUCUUUUCUUGUUCAAGAUUUUUCAAAAUCUGAAUAAAAAACAAUUUGGACCCGACGAUUUAAUAGUAAUUGCUUUGAAGGGACCCAACAAUGCGCUCCUCUUGUAUCUAGUAGAGUAGGUUUAAUCAUGCACUUAAUUGUUACCAAUACUCUCUUGUAAUUAUGUAAUAAUAAUAAAUGAAACGGUUUUUCCUUUUGUAAUCGAAAUCACAGAUUAUUUAUACCUAGCCAACGCUCAAGCAGAGAUUAUAUUAUACUCGGUAAUAUUAAAUCAUAUACUUCCUCCGUUCCUAAAUAUAAGUCUUUUUAAAGGUUUCAUUAAUGGACUGCAUACGGAUGUAUAUAGACAUAAUUUAGAGUAUAAAUUCAUUCAUUUUGCUUUGUAUGUAGACACCUAGUGAAAUAUCUUAAAAGACUUAUAUUUAGGUACGGAGGAAGUAGAUCACUAAGUAGCUAGGGGAUGUAUGUACUAAUAAGCGUAAGCAGGUGGACUUAAUUAGACAAAGAGUAUACCCGUCUACAUAUUAUACUCUCUCUCUGCAAACUAAUAUAAAAGUGUUUAUAGAUAACUAAACUAGUGAUCUAAAUAUUUUUAUAUUAAUUUACGGAGGGAGUACAUUUCUUUUUAUUUUCUCUAUUCCGUUACUACUUUAAGUUAACAACUCCACCGACUAACAUCGACCAUUGUACGGCAGGUCCAACAGAAAUGUUAAGAAUAUUACACUUUUUAUACUACAUGCAACCAUAUUAUCCACUGGUAAAAGCAAGUCACAUCACAGUUUCUAAAUUAUGCCGGAAGAAGGAAGCAACCUUUCAAUUUAAUACAUGCUCUACAUAUAUAGCUGCCCUUAGGAUUUCUCUUCUUCUUCCAUUGUAAUGGGAAGGCCCUUACUAAAAUAAUUACGUAUUCUACUAACCCGGAUUAUUAUACUAAAACAACAACCCAACAACAACCCGGAUUGUAAUGGGGAUUGACCAACAGAAAGAUGGAAAGCUAGCUGCAACUGUUUCAACCUUCUUAAAAAAAAUUAUACACCAACAAACUAAUAUCAACAUCAGGGAGGACGCGUCCUCCCGAUCUACUUGAAAUUGGUAAGAUCUAAAUGAAUGCCAGAUAAGUUUUUCCAGUGUCCCCAAAUAAUAUCAGCAACACAACACGAAGAAGAAGAUGCAUUUAAACAACUAGCAUAAACGUCAACACCACAGGAUUGUCAUGAGGCUGUACCGCAUGGACGGCGCGCCGCCAACGGCGACUGUUUUUGUUAUUGUUUACUACUCGCUCCGUCUCAUAAUUACUGUCUUAGUUUUGUCUAGAAAUAAAUGUAUCUAAAUACUAAAACUUGACUAGAUACAUUCAUAUCUAAACAAAUUUAAGACAAGAAUUUUGGGACGGAGGGAGUUUGUUACAAAGCCCUUUCUUCUGCCCAGCAUACGAACUCAUCAAAUCAUCUGCGCCACAUCGCGACAACACAGUCCGUUCCGUUUUAUCUGGUCUUAUUUUUAGGGAGUGUACUAGUUUAUUUUUCAAAAUAGCAGUUAUCCUGCUUCGUUAAGAAGAAAAUAGAUGCUCAGUUAACUAGGAAAAACCAAACGAAAACCAGAUUAUUCAGUUAAUUAUGGAAAAUCGGACAAAAACCCGUUACAAUAGUUGAGCAGCACACAAAAAGAGCCCACACACGCCACUCCAAAAGGGUCUCGGCGAGACAGCACACAGGCGUCAUUGUCAUCACUCCUCCCCUAAAGGCGUCAUCGCCAUCCCUACACUCUGAGCAAACGACUCUGACUCCGCCGUAGGCGAUCGCCGAUUCAACCCGUAGGCGAUCGCCGAUUCAACCCAUACUGAAGAGGGCACGUGAAGCUGCAUGAAGAUCUAUGCCAAAAACUCAACCACACGCGCCCAAACGACGCAACUCCGACUCUAGCGAAGAGUUCUGCAGGACAAAACCAGGCACGACUGGCGUCACGGGAAAUCGCCGAACUAUCCACCUGCAGCCAGUCAUCGUAUACCGCAGGGCCCCGCCGCUGCAACUUGGCUCCAUAGCAACAAUAAACCGAGACAAGACCGUGGACACACCGAAGAAGAGCCGACUACCGCAACCAUUGCCGCAUCGCCCACAUCACUCCCACCAUCAUCGUUGCACAGAAGCCUGGACGCCACGCCCGCCACCAGCCGCCAUCCACCGGCCCCACUCGCCGACGCCAAGCUCCCAAGACGAAGCCCUCAACAGGGAAUACGACACCAAGGUGCCGCCAUCGUCCGAUCACAUAUCAAGGUUUUCCUCGAAGAGGCCAAACUGACCAGAUCCGCACAGGAGGGGUGGGAAAACAAAGCAACGAUACCUCCAAAAAGGUCAACGACGGCCACAGCCGCCACCAUCACUGGUCAAGGCAUAAGGCCAAGAUAUGGUUUUUACCCAGCUCCACACCACCUCAACCGCACAUCAUCCCGCAUUGACAUCGACAAGCCCACCAAAUAUCACCACCAUCGAAGUUGUCCAUCGACGACGACGCACCAAGAUCCGUCACAGUCACCCGCACCACGCGAAGACCACCGACAGCCGGAGACCAGAUCUACAUGAUGCGCCGCCUGAGCGCACAUCCUCAUAAUCAUGGGCCUCCGAUCCGCGCACCCCAAAGACGUCCACGCGAUGCCAGACCGCACACACACGCACCGGCCGCGCCCCUCGCGGCUAAAGCCGCUACUCGAGCACCAAGCAGGCCGCUCAAGCCCCUCCACCUGCAGUCCUCCACGACGCCGGGCUGCUACGCUGACGGAGCAGCAGCAACCCUCCCUCACGCCGCCACACGAGCUCACGGCUACACACCACCAUGCUAGCAGCCACGUCGGACCAUCAAGGCUGACCAGAGCCCCAGCACUGCCGCUGCCUUGGCGCCUUCGAACCCCGCGCACACGCUGCGCACCUCCACCACCUCCCGUGCAGCGGCGCCGCACAGCACCGCCGCGAGCCUGCCGCUGCCCAGCGCCUCCCUUCGGACCAUCAGAGCCUCGCCGGCCAACACCGAAGCCCUGCCCGCUAUUUUCGAACAUCGAAUGCAGUCUCUAGCUUGCCCUCUAUUUUUGUUCAAGAUUUUUCGAACUCUGAAUAAAAAGCAAUUUGGACCCGACGAUAUUUAGUCAUGCUGUUCCCAAAAUGUAUUUACUCCUACUUAAUUUGGUAUAGAUUAAUCUGCUCUAAGAGUGUAAAAUCAUGAUUUUUCUUUUCAGUUGUUUAUUUUUCUUUACAGUCGUUUGAACAACGUUCAACCGGGAAUAAGGAAAGGCUGAACGUGAUUUUCCUGCUUUUACUGCACUUGCAAUAUUUCUCAUGAUUGUAAACCAACUUUGUUCGAUUAUAAAAGGUGAAUUACAUAAGCACGUGUAGUCAUGAUAAGAGAUAGGAACGUCAUGAGGAGGCGUCCUGUUUAUGCUCUGAUUUCUUCAUCCCGUGCGUCCCAAGCAAGAGAUCAUCAAUGAUUCACUUGAGGGUGAAGAUGCUAUGGUGAUUUUGUUGCCUGAAUGCCAUAGCGUUUCUGGAGGAAUGGAGUACCAAAUGGCCGGAGAGAUGCAACCCGCGGCGCGCGCUCAUCAUGAGGAAGUGAGCCGUGGCGGGCGGCGGAGGAGGAGCACGUGUACAACUCAUCUUCCCAAGCUAUCAAUGGCAAGUGAUAGAGCAGUCCUUAUAAAGGAGUCUUACUCUUAUUAUUGUAGCAGUAUGAUACUAAACUUUCCAUCAUUUGCCGUACACUCACAUGGGCAUAGAGAUUAACUAGGGAUUAUCGUCUUAUAUGGGUCUAAGCCCAUCUAUAAUCCAACAGUAGGGAGGUCCAACAGUAGGGCGAGUGUCGGAAAUGGGCUAUCCCUGCGGCGCUGAACAUUGACACCACCAAGCUCCAGGCUGGGGCCAUUGUGAAAUUUUGUUUGGCGAUUUAAGUGGAAGAAGUACCAGAAUAAGGGAACUGAGGGCUCCAUCCGCAAGUAAGCCUCACAAAACACCUGGAACUGGCAUAGAUUGCUUAUCGAGUUGGGCCCUAGAUCUUGGAGGCAUGGCAUCUCUAAGGAAUUUCGAUCCAGGCGGCUUAAAGCCCCGCUCAAGGUGUUCAACAAAAACAACUAUUUCCCCUUGCUUGGGAUUGGGGAUUUCUUCUCCUAACCGGUGCGCCAACCAAUAACCUCCUGAGGGUCCAAAUUUCCCGUUUUCACAUAAUCAUCUAGUAUAGCAUCAUUAACCUUGGCGGGGAGCCAGUCGCUUUUGAAAACGGCGCCCAUGCUACAAAGGGAUAAAAUUACGGGUGAAUUGACACACCAAACAUCUACUAAAAAUGGUGAAACAAUUUCAUUUGACUCGCCAAAUAAUUUGUCCGGGUCAGGUUGCCAGGGGCGACUUAUGAAAUUCUUGCUACUUAAAGGAACGAUGUUUCGGAGCAUCAGUGGUACUUGUCAAAAAUGGUGAACUAUGAGGCUACAAACAGAUUUCAUUUGACAAGCAAUAGAUUAUGGAUCUACCAGGCAAACGAAAAAUGACUGGAUAUAGUAACCUGCGACUAAGGUGGGACAGUACUGUUAAUUUGGUGAAGCCCUACUCUAAGUAUGCAAGUAGAGGCCGAACAAAUAAAGGUAUGAAAGACAUCGAUUUUCUCGUUAUCAUCGCCGCCAACUAAUCGGGAACAAAUAAAGCUAUUUGGGAAGCGCCAAGAACGCGACAGUGAUGAACUUCAAAAAGGAACUUGGAUUUGCUCUUGAAUGACAGAAACCUAACCUGAUGGAUUUGGCUAGAGACGGUCGACGGCGACGAACUGCUCGGCCGCGACGAAGAGUGCGGACGGCGAUGAAGGUCUCCGACGGGUGCGAAAACCUCGGGCGGUGACGAAGUGUUCAGCGGUGACGAGGUGCUCGACGACGGCGAGACGGUCGACGGCGGCGAACUACUCGGCCACGGCGAAGUGCUUGGCAGCGACGAAAGUCCUCGGGCGGCACCGAAGCUUUCGGAUGGCGACGAGGUCCUCGGGUGGUGGCGGAGCUCUCGAAAGACGAUGAGGGUUUUUCGCUGUGAAUAGUGGGGAAGAGAAGGGCGACAAGACUGGUAGGUGGAAUACGCCCAGUCCCUUCCUCCCGCCUCUUUAUCAGGACAAGCGCUAGGAUCGAGGCGCCACGAGCGGGAACCACCAAAAGAUAAAGAUUCGCCAUGAUGGCGCCCCGAGAUUUUGGGGAUAACGAUACCGAAGGAUCCGUUGGGGAUUACGUCAUUAUCUUUUCCGGGAUUCAAAGGAUAAGGAGGUACCAACGAGAAAUGGUUUGGCGACUCAAGUUUUUCCGCAACAGAUGGCGGGUUAAGUUUAUGGCGUAUAAAAGAGGUGAAGAUGAAUCGCCUUUAAUUGAGUAAGGAUAUUGGCGUCAAGAAAAUUCAAGUCAAUCUGGGGCCUAAUGUUGGGGAUAUUAUCUGUUGAUAAUCCGCCCUAGUUGGGCUGGGUCACCAGAGCUGGCGAUUCAUCUAAAGUAUGGUUCGGGCCUUGGCCUGGUAAGACUGAAGGUUGUAUGGCGGUUUACGACUUCCGGAAGGAGUCCAUAAUAGAGAAGGCCUCUAAGAUUUGGAAAGGUGGCGACUUAGAGAUCGUAAGAGUCACGGUUUGUAGAAAGGAAAGGACCCUUGUAAACCCUAGGGACUCGACCUGUAGAUAAAGGGGAGUCCCAGGGAACAAGAGGGCAGGUUAGAAAUCAUCGAGUGCUAGGUCUUGCGAGUUACGCCCUCCUUAUAAUCGAAACUCCAUCAAUACAACACAAAGCAGGACGUAGGCUUUUACCUCCUCACGAGGGGCCGAACCUGGGUAAAUCGCCGUCUCACUCCCGUUCAACCCCUUUGAGUCGCCACCAAGGUGUGAUGGCUCCAAUACUAAGUCCUUUCACGAGGACAUUCGCCGUGACAAAACCACGACAGGUACUUCCUUGCCUUCAGGUACGACGACAACGCCACAUUCCCCGUGAAGGUGUUCGACACGACUAUGUGUCGGAGGCGCUACCAGGACGACGACGAUGCCAGUACGCUCUGUCUCUUCUUCCUAUCCAUUAGGCUAUGUCUCACACCCAUUUUUUUAAAAAACUUUUUGCAUUUGGCAAGGCAAUGGGAGCAGGAGCAGUGAGUACCGCGACAUGUGCUAUGUCUACGGCAGCAGCGACUCUGGCUAUAGCAAAAGUAGUAGCGACUCUGGCUACAGCAAAAGUAGCAUCGACGAUGGCCUCGCGAUGGUGAUCCCAUAGCUGGGCGACAAGGCCAUGCGAAUUCUGGUAGAGGAGUACAUCCCACAGCCUGGCCUGGGGCUUCGCCGCUCUAAGCGCAUCAGGAUGAUGAAGGAGAAUGUGAAGAAGCAGGAGUGAAGAUCUUAAGAACCUGAUGAAGCUUUAAUCUUUAUAGUGUAAACCUUUUAAGUACAAUAGUGUUGAACUGCUACUGCACUUUUAAGUAUGAUGGUGGUGUGCGUGAUGAAAUUUUGUGCAUGCUCAUGGAUGCUCAUUGAUGAAAGAUAAAAUUAUUUAUUUUUGUGCUUGCUCANNNNNNNNNNNNNNNNNNNNNNNNNNNNNNNNNNNNNNNNNNNNNNNNNNNNNNNNNNNNNNNNNNNNNNNNNNNNNNNNNNNNNNNNNNNNNNNNNNNNUUUACACAAGCUAAUAGCAUCGAUCAUCAUCAAUCCGAUACAAACGCAUAUCACCACAGCGCACACAUCCAAGACAGGAUACAAAGGCGCUGAGCGCAGCAACAUCACCCUAGCACUAUGAAGGUAACCAGGGAUUUCAACCGUAAACACGCCACCGUGAAGAGAUGAAGCCGCCUACGGUGAACUCUGGGCUCGAGGCGACACCUUCAGGAAGGUUACGAUGCCGUAACGCCGCCGCCGCCCGAUUUAAGAAUCAGAGUUUCCCCUGAAGCCACACGACGGGCACUGAUAGCUGCGACAAUGCAUUCAAGAAGGGAACGAUCUUCGCCGCCGCCGAUCCAUCGAAGAUAGAACAUGUUUUCNNNNNNNNNNNNNNNNNNNNNNNNNNNNNNNNNNNNNNNNNNNNNNNNNNNNNNNNNNNNNNNNNNNNNNNNNNNNNNNNNNNNNNNNNNNNNNNNNNNNNNNNNNNNNNNNNNNNNNNNNNNNNNNNNNNNNNNNNNNNNNNNNNNNNNNNNNNNNNNNNNNNNNNNNNNNNNNNNNNNNNNNNNNNNNNNNNNCCACGUCGCCCACAUGACCAUGGCCACCGGGCAGCACCAAGUCACAGCCUCCGCCAAAGAGCACCACGCUACCGCCACUAGAGCCGCCACCCCGACAUCCAAGACGUCUGGACACCACCUCACCAGAGACACGUCGCAACUCCCAACCAAAGAGACGGGCGAAAUGUCCCACCUUUCGCACCCCUGGGAGACCCCAGCGCCGAGACCCAUUAGGUCGGCCAGCGCUGGCCCCCAUCGACCCGUCCUGUAGCCCGGAGCACAAGACGAGCUCAAUCCUGCUGCAACAUCAGGGGGACGAGGUCAUUCCUNNNNNNNNNNNNNNNNNNNNNNNNNNNNNNNNNNNNNNNNNNNNNNNNNNNNNNNNNNNNNNNNNNNNNNNNNNNNNNNNNNNNNNNNNNNNNNNNNNNNUUUCGGACCGUCCAGACCGUCCACACGAGGACACCAAUAACCAGCAAUCUAAUGUGCCCUCACGAAGAAGGGGAGGCCUGGAUCUCGGUACAUAGGUCGGGGAAGUUGGUGUUAUACCAGAGGUCCCCAAUGGUCUCACGGAUGCAGGACCAGAGGAAUUGCGCGGAAACACGCGAGAAGAAGAUGUGGUUGGAGUCCUCUGCAAUCCCGCAAAGGGGGCACUGUCCGUCUCCCGGGCCGUGUCGCUUGAGCACCUCCAAUCCGGAUGGGACCCGUCCGCGGAUACACUGCCACCUGAAGAUUCUAAUCUUCAGGCGGAGCCCGAUCUUCCAAAUCAGCUCAAAGGGCUUCGGAGCGGGAUUGGCAACGAUGGCCCGGUAUAAAGACUUUGCAGAGAACUUGCCCGAAGGCUAUAGAUGCCACAAAGUGCGAUCGGCAGACUGGUCGAUGUCCGGUUCGUGCAAGGAGUUUGUGACAUGCGACGGUGUCGGGGGCCCAAAUGGAUUAUGGAAAGUCAAUCACCCUAAGUCAAUAAGGGCUGCCCUGACGGAAAUCGGUGGGUCUACUGCGAUGGCAAACAUGUCGAGGAAGCGGGCAACAAAGGGGGUCUUGCCCGCCCAUCGGUCGAACAAGAAUAUACUGGAGGUCCAGGAGCCCACCUCAAUGGAGGUCCUGAUGCGGAGAACCGGGAGUAGUUGGAUGACUGACUGUGAGGACUGUGAACCUUCGACAAAAUGCGAGCGACCGGCCGCAUAGGUAUUUAUUUUGAAGGAGCUGGAGCGAGAGGCCACCUCAAGCUCAAGUGCAACGUAUUAAUAUCAAGAUGAUACACCCGGCCCCGGGUGGAUCUACCUCCUCUGUGCCCUCGAAGUUGCUUGAAUGGUGUGCGGCGUGACUCCUUGAGGCAUCUCCAACGGCAACCCACCUUUUUUUCCGCAUCAGUCCACGGACAAGGGUACUAGUCCGUGGAAACGGAUGCAGGAGACAACCAUCCAACCGUAGCCGCAUACAUCCGGCCUUCUUCAUUUUCUUUUAAUUAUGUGUGAUUAAAUUGCCGCAUAAAAAGUGUACGUAAUGUUCAAAUAGUUGCAUGCAACACUAGUUCAAAUUAAAAAAAUCAAAUAUUACAUCCAAACAUUGUUUUCACCGGCCACUCAUGGUCAAUUAGAUCUUACUUCACCUGCUCAUGAGUUGGUCGCUGCCAAUUUUUUUGAUACAUUUGAAUAAACUCUUCAAAUGUGCCCAAAAUUCUGGUCCGGAGAUUGGAUAUAAUCACCCAUGUUCUUAAAUUCUAGAGUUGCGGCAGCAUUGUCACCCUCAUGCUCAACAAUCAUGUUGUACAUGAUCACACAACAUGCCAACACCUCCCACAAGGUUUCCGGAUCCUGUUGUUUAGAAAAUCCACAAACAACCACAAAACGGCCCUACAUAACUUCAAAUACCCUCUCGACAUCCUUUCUAGUUGCUGCUUGUCUUUGGACAACGUGAGAUAUUUUUUGGUCAAUUGGGUUUGAGAUGGUGCUGAUAAAGGUAGCCUAUGGAGGAUAGAUACUAACAACCAGAGAGUAACCCUUGUUGCACUCAUGUCCAUUGACAAUAUAGUGGCAAGGAGGAACUUUUCCUUCAGUCAGCCUCGCAAACAACGGUGAUCGUUGCAGCACAAUGAUGUCAUUGUGAAACCUGGGCAUGCCAAACAAAGCGUGUCAAAUCCAAAGAUCUUGAGAUGCAACUUCUUCAAGAAUGGUGGUGGUAUUCUUAAUAUGCCCCCCGUAUUUCCCUUGUAAAGCGUUUGAACAGUUCUUCCAUUUCCAAUUAAUGCAGUCAAGAGAUCCAAGCAAACCUAGCCACCCUCUUGCUUCUGAGACUGCCAAGAGCCUCUCGACGUCUCCCACAGUUAGUUCUCUCAAGUACUCAGGUCCGAACACCUCGACCACGGCAGUAGAGAACCUGAAUAUGGCAUUUCGGCAUGUGCUCUCAGACAUCUAAAGGUACUCCGUACUUGUCUCACGAAUCAGCGGCCGUGCACUUCUGGUAACCAGAGAACCCAAUCAUCCCCACAACGUCCUUAUUUGGGAUGAAGUAGUCAUUGGAGGACCGGACGUCAUGGUACAAACGAUCAUAGACGCCCUUACUUAUCUGAAAAACUCCGACAAUAAUGUCAGUGCACUGGGGGUAGAGUAGUCGGCCAUCAGUGUCAAAUGGGCGCGCGCACUAUUGCGGUUGAGCACUCAGUUGUUGGAAUUAUGCCNNNNNNNNNNNNNNNNNNNNNNNNNNNNNNNNNNNNNNNNNNNNNNNNNNNNNNNNNNNNNNNNNNNNNNNNNNNNNNNNNNNNNNNNNNNNNNNNNNNNNNNNNNNNNNNNNNNNNNNNNNNNNNNNNNNNNNNNNNNNNNNNNNNNNNNNNNNNNNNNNNNNNNNNNNNNNNNNNNNNNNNNNNNNNNNNNNNNNNNNNNNNNNNNNNNNNNNNNNNNNNNNNNNNNNNNNNNNNNNNNNNNNNNNNNNNNNNNNNNNNNNNNNNNNNNNNNNNNNNNNNNNNNNNNNNNNNNNNNNNNNNNNNNNNNNNNNNNNNNNNNNNNNNNNNNNNNNNNNNNNNNNNNNNNNNNNNNNNNNNNNNNNNNNNNNNNNNNNNNNNNNNNNNNNNNNNNNNNNNNNNNNNNNNNNNNNNNNNNNNNNNNNNNNNNNNNNNNNNNNNNNNNNNNNNNNNNNNNNNNNNNNNNNNNNNNNNNNNNNNNNNNNNNNNNNNNNNNNNNNNNNNNNNNNNNNNNNNNNNNNNNNNNNNNNNNNNNNNNNNNNNNNNNNNNNNNNNNNNNNNNNNNNNNNNNNNNNNNNNNNNNNNNNNNNNNNNNNNNNNNNNNNNNNNNNNNNNNNNNNNNNNNNNNNNNNNNNNNNNNNNNNNNNNNNNNNNNNNNNNNNNNNNNNNNNNNNNNNNNNNNNNNNNNNNNNNNNNNNNNNNNNNNNNNNNNNNNNNNNNNNNNNNNNNNNNNNNNNNNNNNNNNNNNNNNNNNNNNNNNNNNNNNNNNNNNNNNNNNNNNNNNNNNNNNNNNNNNNNNNNNNNNNNNNNNNNNNNNNNNNNNNNNNNNNNNNNNNNNNNNNNNNNNNNNNNNNNNNNNNNNNNNNNNNNNNNNNNNNNNNNNNNNNNNNNNNNNNNNNNNNNNNNNNNNNNNNNNNNNNNNNNNNNNNNNNNNNNNNNNNNNNNNNNNNNNNNNNNNNNNNNNNNNNNNNNNNNNNNNNNNNNNNNNNNNNNNNNNNNNNNNNNNNNNNNNNNNNNNNNNNNNNNNNNNNNNNNNNNNNNNNNNNNNNNNNNNNNNNNNNNNNNNNNNNNNNNNNNNNNNNNNNNNNNNNNNNNNNNNNNNNNNNNNNNNNNNNNNNNNNNNNNNNNNNNNNNNNNNNNNNNNNNNNNNNNNNNNNNNNNNNNNNNNNNNNNNNNNNNNNNNNNNNNNNNNNNNNNNNNNNNNNNNNNNNNNNNNNNNNNNNNNNNNNNNNNNNNNNNNNNNNNNNNNNNNNNNNNNNNNNNNNNNNNNNNNNNNNNNNNNNNNNNNNNNNNNNNNNNNNNNNNNNNNNNNNNNNNNNNNNNNNNNNNNNNNNNNNNNNNNNNNNNNNNNNNNNNNNNNNNNNNNNNNNNNNNNNNNNNNNNNNNNNNNNNNNNNNNNNNNNNNNNNNNNNNNNNNNNNNNNNNNNNNNNNNNNNNNNNNNNNNNNNNNNNNNNNNNNNNNNNNNNNNNNNNNNNNNNNNNNNNNNNNNNNNNNNNNNNNNNNNNNNNNNNNNNNNNNNNNNNNNNNNNNNNNNNNNNNNNNNNNNNNNNNNNNNNNNNNNNNNNNNNNNNNNNNNNNNNNNNNNNNNNNNNNNNNNNNNNNNNNNNNNNNNNNNNNNNNNNNNNNNNNNNNNNNNNNNNNNNNNNNNNNNNNNNNNNNNNNNNNNNNNNNNNNNNNNNNNNNNNNNNNNNNNNNNNNNNNNNNNNNNNNNNNNNNNNNNNNNNNNNNNNNNNNNNNNNNNNNNNNNNNNNNNNNNNNNNNNNNNNNNNNNNNNNNNNNNNNNNNNNNNNNNNNNNNNNNNNNNNNNNNNNNNNNNNNNNNNNNNNNNNNNNNNNNNNNNNNNNNNNNNNNNNNNNNNNNNNNNNNNNNNNNNNNNNNNNNNNNNNNNNNNNNNNNNNNNNNNNNNNNNNNNNNNNNNNNNNNNNNNNNNNNNNNNNNNNNNNNNNNNNNNNNNNNNNNNNNNNNNNNNNNNNNNNNNNNNNNNNNNNNNNNNNNNNNNNNNNNNNNNNNNNNNNNNNNNNNNNNNNNNNNNNNNNNNNNNNNNNNNNNNNNNNNNNNNNNNNNNNNNNNNNNNNNNNNNNNNNNNNNNNNNNNNNNNNNNNNNNNNNNNNNNNNNNNNNNNNNNNNNNNNNNNNNNNNNNNNNNNNNNNNNNNNNNNNNNNNNNNNNNNNNNNNNNNNNNNNNNNNNNNNNNNNNNNNNNNNNNNNNNNNNNNNNNNNNNNNNNNNNNNNNNNNNNNNNNNNNNNNNNNNNNNNNNNNNNNNNNNNNNNNNNNNNNNNNNNNNNNNNNNNNNNNNNNNNNNNNNNNNNNNNNNNNNNNNNNNNNNNNNNNNNNNNNNNNNNNNNNNNNNNNNNNNNNNNNNNNNNNNNNNNNNNNNNNNNNNNNNNNNNNNNNNNNNNNNNNNNNNNNNNNNNNNNNNNNNNNNNNNNNNNNNNNNNNNNNNNNNNNNNNNNNNNNNNNNNNNNNNNNNNNNNNNNNNNNNNNNNNNNNNNNNNNNNNNNNNNNNNNNNNNNNNNNNNNNNNNNNNNNNNNNNNNNNNNNNNNNNNNNNNNNNNNNNNNNNNNNNNNNNNNNNNNNNNNNNNNNNNNNNNNNNNNNNNNNNNNNNNNNNNNNNNNNNNNNNNNNNNNNNNNNNNNNNNNNNNNNNNNNNNNNNNNNNNNNNNNNNNNNNNNNNNNNNNNNNNNNNNNNNNNNNNNNNNNNNNNNNNNNNNNNNNNNNNNNNNNNNNNNNNNNNNNNNNNNNNNNNNNNNNNNNNNNNNNNNNNNNNNNNNNNNNNNNNNNNNNNNNNNNNNNNNNNNNNNNNNNNNNNNNNNNNNNNNNNNNNNNNNNNNNNNNNNNNNNNNNNNNNNNNNNNNNNNNNNNNNNNNNNNNNNNNNNNNNNNNNNNNNNNNNNNNNNNNNNNNNNNNNNNNNNNNNNNNNNNNNNNNNNNNNNNNNNNNNNNNNNNNNNNNNNNNNNNNNNNNNNNNNNNNNNNNNNNNNNNNNNNNNNNNNNNNNNNNNNNNNNNNNNNNNNNNNNNNNNNNNNNNNNNNNNNNNNNNNNNNNNNNNNNNNNNNNNNNNNNNNNNNNNNNNNNNNNNNNNNNNNNNNNNNNNNNNNNNNNNNNNNNNNNNNNNNNNNNNNNNNNNNNNNNNNNNNNNNNNNNNNNNNNNNNNNNNNNNNNNNNNNNNNNNNNNNNNNNNNNNNNNNNNNNNNNNNNNNNNNNNNNNNNNNNNNNNNNNNNNNNNNNNNNNNNNNNNNNNNNNNNNNNNNNNNNNNNNNNNNNNNNNNNNNNNNNNNNNNNNNNNNNNNNNNNNNNNNNNNNNNNNNNNNNNNNNNNNNNNNNNNNNNNNNNNNNNNNNNNNNNNNNNNNNNNNNNNNNNNNNNNNNNNNNNNNNNNNNNNNNNNNNNNNNNNNNNNNNNNNNNNNNNNNNNNNNNNNNNNNNNNNNNNNNNNNNNNNNNNNNNNNNNNNNNNNNNNNNNNNNNNNNNNNNNNNNNNNNNNNNNNNNNNNNNNNNNNNNNNNNNNNNNNNNNNNNNNNNNNNNNNNNNNNNNNNNNNNNNNNNNNNNNNNNNNNNNNNNNNNNNNNNNNNNNNNNNNNNNNNNNNNNNNNNNNNNNNNNNNNNNNNNNNNNNNNNNNNNNNNNNNNNNNNNNNNNNNNNNNNNNNNNNNNNNNNNNNNNNNNNNNNNNNNNNNNNNNNNNNNNNNNNNNNNNNNNNNNNNNNNNNNNNNNNNNNNNNNNNNNNNNNNNNNNNNNNNNNNNNNNNNNNNNNNNNNNNNNNNNNNNNNNNNNNNNNNNNNNNNNNNNNNNNNNNNNNNNNNNNNNNNNNNNNNNNNNNNNNNNNNNNNNNNNNNNNNNNNNNNNNNNNNNNNNNNNNNNNNNNNNNNNNNNNNNNNNNNNNNNNNNNNNNNNNNNNNNNNNNNNNNNNNNNNNNNNNNNNNNNNNNNNNNNNNNNNNNNNNNNNNNNNNNNNNNNNNNNNNNNNNNNNNNNNNNNNNNNNNNNNNNNNNNNNNNNNNNNNNNNNNNNNNNNNNNNNNNNNNNNNNNNNNNNNNNNNNNNNNNNNNNNNNNNNNNNNNNNNNNNNNNNNNNNNNNNNNNNNNNNNNNNNNNNNNNNNNNNNNNNNNNNNNNNNNNNNNNNNNNNNNNNNNNNNNNNNNNNNNNNNNNNNNNNNNNNNNNNNNNNNNNNNNNNNNNNNNNNNNNNNNNNNNNNNNNNNNNNNNNNNNNNNNNNNNNNNNNNNNNNNNNNNNNNNNNNNNNNNNNNNNNNNNNNNNNNNNNNNNNNNNNNNNNNNNNNNNNNNNNNNNNNNNNNNNNNNNNNNNNNNNNNNNNNNNNNNNNNNNNNNNNNNNNNNNNNNNNNNNNNNNNNNNNNNNNNNNNNNNNNNNNNNNNNNNNNNNNNNNNNNNNNNNNNNNNNNNNNNNNNNNNNNNNNNNNNNNNNNNNNNNNNNNNNNNNNNNNNNNNNNNNNNNNNNNNNNNNNNNNNNNNNNNNNNNNNNNNNNNNNNNNNNNNNNNNNNNNNNNNNNNNNNNNNNNNNNNNNNNNNNNNNNNNNNNNNNNNNNNNNNNNNNNNNNNNNNNNNNNNNNNNNNNNNNNNNNNNNNNNNNNNNNNNNNNNNNNNNNNNNNNNNNNNNNNNNNNNNNNNNNNNNNNNNNNNNNNNNNNNNNNNNNNNNNNNNNNNNNNNNNNNNNNNNNNNNNNNNNNNNNNNNNNNNNNNNNNNNNNNNNNNNNNNNNNNNNNNNNNNNNNNNNNNNNNNNNNNNNNNNNNNNNNNNNNNNNNNNNNNNNNNNNNNNNNNNNNNNNNNNNNNNNNNNNNNNNNNNNNNNNNNNNNNNNNNNNNNNNNNNNNNNNNNNNNNNNNNNNNNNNNNNNNNNNNNNNNNNNNNNNNNNNNNNNNNNNNNNNNNNNNNNNNNNNNNNNNNNNNNNNNNNNNNNNNNNNNNNNNNNNNNNNNNNNNNNNNNNNNNNNNNNNNNNNNNNNNNNNNNNNNNNNNNNNNNNNNNNNNNNNNNNNNNNNNNNNNNNNNNNNNNNNNNNNNNNNNNNNNNNNNNNNNNNNNNNNNNNNNNNNNNNNNNNNNNNNNNNNNNNNNNNNNNNNNNNNNNNNNNNNNNNNNNNNNNNNNNNNNNNNNNNNNNNNNNNNNNNNNNNNNNNNNNNNNNNNNNNNNNNNNNNNNNNNNNNNNNNNNNNNNNNNNNNNNNNNNNNNNNNNNNNNNNNNNNNNNNNNNNNNNNNNNNNNNNNNNNNNNNNNNNNNNNNNNNNNNNNNNNNNNNNNNNNNNNNNNNNNNNNNNNNNNNNNNNNNNNNNNNNNNNNNNNNNNNNNNNNNNNNNNNNNNNNNNNNNNNNNNNNNNNNNNNNNNNNNNNNNNNNNNNNNNNNNNNNNNNNNNNNNNNNNNNNNNNNNNNNNNNNNNNNNNNNNNNNNNNNNNNNNNNNNNNNNNNNNNNNNNNNNNNNNNNNNNNNNNNNNNNNNNNNNNNNNNNNNNNNNNNNNNNNNNNNNNNNNNNNNNNNNNNNNNNNNNNNNNNNNNNNNNNNNNNNNNNNNNNNNNNNNNNNNNNNNNNNNNNNNNNNNNNNNNNNNNNNNNNNNNNNNNNNNNNNNNNNNNNNNNNNNNNNNNNNNNNNNNNNNNNNNNNNNNNNNNNNNNNNNNNNNNNNNNNNNNNNNNNNNNNNNNNNNNNNNNNNNNNNNNNNNNNNNNNNNNNNNNNNNNNNNNNNNNNNNNNNNNNNNNNNNNNNNNNNNNNNNNNNNNNNNNNNNNNNNNNNNNNNNNNNNNNNNNNNNNNNNNNNNNNNNNNNNNNNNNNNNNNNNNNNNNNNNNNNNNNNNNNNNNNNNNNNNACGUUCCCCAACAGUGACGUACCUCCUCCUUCGGGGCCGGCAGCCUCAGCACCGAAAGUGGCCCAUGCGACCACCAUCGAAGAAGCUCCAGGUCGAUGACGGGAACCCGGUUCCUCACCAAGCUGCGCCCCCCGGAAGGUAGCACCUCCCAGUGCCAGCCCAGUGGAGGCCGGUCCCGGACAUGGCGCCUGUCAAGCAGGUUGUCGCCAGCGAGUCAACGACGAGGAUGCGGGUCGGGCAUCAUCGACGUUGAGAACAAAUUCCACAACUAUUUAAAUUCCUACUGUUUUGAAAUGAGUGAAAAAUUAAACAUGACACAAUGUAACAAUGUUGGAGGUAAAUGCGGAAAACUUUGAAGGCCUCUUUAAAAAAAGGUAGGAAUAUGAAUAACACAAAAUUAGAAUGUCAUUUCCAUUCAAAUCACACAUGAUUCGACUUUGUUUGUUUGCAUCAUAGGAAAAAGGUUCUUUCCCCCAUGAGGUUGGACUAGAUGCAAGAUUUCCUAUAUAUGAAAUGUUAUACAAAUAAUUCCUGAGGAAAUAAUCAUUUCCUUAUUGAUUCUUGAGGCUAUUUCUUCAACAUUGUUAACUAAGAAAUGUUUCCUCUCUAAAGGCAGUAACAUAAUUAACGAAGAAACAUUGGGGCUAUUUCAACAUUGUUUCCUCAACAUCGUUAUCUCUUCAACAUUGUUUCCUCUCUUGGGGCUAUUUCUUCAACAUUGUUAACUAAGAAAUGUAAACUAAGCAUGUGGUUAAAUCUCUACAAAGACAAAUAUUUAGGAAUGGAGGGAGUACAAAUCAAAUGACCGAGUAGCAGGCCGUGACAAAUAUUUAGGAAUGACAAAUUUUCACCGGCCACUCAUGGUCAAUUAGAUCUUACUUCACCUGCUCGUGAGUUGGUCGCUGCCAAUUUUUUUGAUGCAUUCGGAUAAACUCUUCAAAUGUGGCCAAAAUUCUGGUCCGGAGAUUGGAUAUAAUCACCCAUGUUUUUAAAUUCUAGAGUUGCGGCAGCAUUGUCACCCUCAUGCUCAACAAUCAUGUUAUGCAUGAUCACACAACAUGCCAACACCUCCCACAAGGUUUUCGGAUCCUGUUGUUUAGAAAAUCCACAAACAACCACAAAACGGCCCUACAUAACUCCAAAUACCCUCUCGACAUCCUUUCUAGUUGCUUCUUGUCUUUGGACAACGUGAGGCAUUUUUUGGUCAAUUGGGUUUGAGAUGGUGCUGAUAAAGGUAACCUAUGGAGGAUAGAUACUGACAACCAGAUAGUAACCCUUGUUGUACUCAUGUCCAUUGACAAUAUAGUGGCAAGGAGGAGCUUUUCCUUCAGUCAGCCUCGCAAACAACGGUGAUCGUUGCAGCACAAUGAUGUCAUUGUGAAACCUGGGCAUGCCAAACAAAGUGUGUCAAAUCCAAAGAUCUUGAGAUGCAACUUCUUCAAGAAUGGUGGUGGUAUUCUUAAUAUGCCCCCCCCCCCAUAUUGCCCUUGUAAAGCGUUCAAACAGUUCUUCCAUUUCCAAUUAAUGCAGUCAAGAGAUCCAAGCAAACCUAGCCACCCUCUUGCUUCUGAGACUGCCAAGANCCCUUACUUAUCUGAAAACGCCGACAAUAAUGUCAGUGCACUGGGGGUAGAGUAGUCGGCCAUCAGUGUCAAAUGGGUGCGCGCACUAUUGCGGUUGAGCACUCAGUGACCCUUGAUCAAGCCAUUGAAAUUGAGAACAUCCUCCCCCCGCACACUCCACAUCCUCAAGGAGCGCAUGCAUCAUCACCAUCUUAUUGGAGUACUCCUCGUCCGACGGCUCAAUAUUGCUCGUAUAUGUACUCCAAAUCAGAAUUCAUUGCUAAAAAGUAGGAGGGACAAGUGUUUUUAGCUCCGGUGAUUUAUCGAACAGUGGUCGAGCAUGGCGGGAAUAGCAGUAGCGGAUGGAACCUGGCGGGGCGACUGGAGAACAGGGGUUGAACCGAGACGGAGCAGAAGAGGGGAUGGAGCCUUGCUGGAGCGCUGGAGGUGACGGAGACAUAGAGUUUGGGUGGGGAUGUGGCAUGAUGGGGGGUGGAGCGCCUGCAAAGGCAAGAAAGAAAGAAGGAACAAGAGAAAAUUGGGAGGAUGAAGUCGCGGGUACGGAAAGGGUUUUGGGUGGGUCAGGGGUGUCAGAUUCCUAUGUUUCCCAAGUUCGACUCCCGCAAAGCUCCCCCACUUUUGUGUCCGGUUUGCGGAAGAAAUCGUGUCCGGAUCGUCUCGUGGACCGAUAUAGACCUGCGUUGAAUAACUCCCGCGGUCCGGAUGCGGAUGCGGGCGGUUUGGGGGUCUAUCUUGAUGACACCCUUAGCUGAUUAUUAAUAAUGAUGUUUUCCUAAAAAUAGCAUUUGUGGAAACAUUAAUUUGUUGUUUGCCGGAUCUUUGAAUUUUGAAUAGUUUACAUGACUCUUGUAAUAGCGAUGUGAAGAUCUAGACAAGGCAUCGAGCAUGAAUAAAUUCAAGUUAUUAAUAAAGGCAGAAUAAAAGAUAUGGCACCUAACAAGCGAUCAGCAGCAUGCCGCAAGAAUUAAUAAUGCCAACCGUCAAAAAGAGUCACGGGCAAAUUAACUCCGAGCAACCUUUUCGCCAUGGUGUUGGCAUGGAUCGUCCCACCAACGAUCGUAACGACUCUUUGUCAUGUGCAUGCGACAUGUUGUGAUGAAGGUGAGGGUACACGGAGGAGCGACCGUGCCAUAUUGUGCCAUAUUGUCUCAUUCCAUGCAUGCGUGGGCCGGCUGACCUAGAAUCUCUUUGAAAACAAUAAUCAAUUGGUGCAUGUGUAAUUUAAGUUUUAAUAUAAUUUUAUAUGAAAGAUAGUAUAAAGUUGUGACAGUUAUUUUUGAGACAAAGAGAGUAGUUAGCAAAGUACUUUUCUUUCAAAUCGGGAGCAGAGAAGAAUCCAAUAAGAGUGUCCAAUCAGAUUUCAGUAUUUAGAAGUAAUCAGCACUGGCAAGGUAACGCAGCACUGGCAAUCGACAAAGAGGCAUGGCGUCCGAGGAAUUUGUUACUAAAAUAAACACAGGGCAGCAGGCACGGCAGUAGAGGCGAUGCAUGUGACAAUGUAAGGAGAUGAAAAGUAGAGUAGGCACCACUAGCUUGUUCCCUUCUCAAUCAUCUGCUUCCGCUCUCCUCUCGCCACUACGCUCUACUUCGCCGAUGAGGCCGCCGGACGGCAGCUCUUCGUCGUCCGGGCCGCACGGCAAGCAUGAGCUGCAGCCGGAGGUGGUUCUCUACACGGCGUCUGCGUCGGCGUCGCGCCGCAGAGGGCAAACCUCGGCCGACCGCUGCUACGCCUUGCGCGCCCUGCUGCGUGGCUACGGCCUGACCAUGGACGAGCGCGACGUCUCCACCAGCAGAGCACACCACAGCGAGCUCAAGUCGUUGCUUGCGGCUCGGGGGUGCGCCUUCUCCCUGCCGCAGCUCCUCGUGGGUGGACGGCCCGUGGGCGGCCCUGACCAUGUGAGGAAGCUGCACCAGACCGGCGGGCUGCGGCACCUCCUCGACGCCGCCCCAAGGCCGUGCCGCGCCUUCGUGUGCCAAGCCUGUAAGAGGGUGGGAUCCGCGCCCUGCCCAAAGUGCAGCCAGGCCCGCAACAAGAUGCUGGAUCAUGGCGUUAUGGAGGAGGAGCAGGAGGAGGAGAGGGUCGUCCUUUUUUAUCCAACCCAAGGUAAACACUUUUCUUCGUUUCUCUCCUUCCUUUUAACCAGUAGGUAAAAAGUUCAGUUGCACUUUAUUACUCUUUCUCAUCUACAUAUAACAUAUAUAGUCGGAUGCUGCAUUAUUUUCUUGACAAUUUUAUCAAGGACAUAACUCGUGCUGAACCUGAAACUACUGGCAGUAAUACAUCUACACUACUGUCCAUUUUUGGCAAGCAAUAGUUCAUGUGCUACGUAAGAAAACUCGUUGGAUGGAAACUACCUUUCUUAUCUUAUACUUGCUCUCUUCAUUAAUAUAAGUUUUUUUUAGAGAUUUCACUAUAGUUUACAUACAGAUGUAUAUAGACAUAUCCGUAUAUAGUCCGUAAGGCCCUGCUCACAUCCAUGCAAUAGAGAUCCGCCUCCUCCUUCCCUAACCUAGCCGCUCGAGCGGGUCUCGCGAGGGUUGCUGGUCCUUCGCGGAGGAAGGAAGGAACGGGGAUCUAGCGCCGCCGCCGGGGCUGCUGCGGGCUCCGUUCGCGUCCGUUGCCAGCCGCCGGGAUAUGAGGCAAGUGAGAUAAUUAAGACUGGAAGGGACAUCGCCGGCUCCCGAUCUGCCCGGCCCACGCUCCUCUAGUCCGGCGGCUCGCGAGCACGUCGUCGGCGCGCAUACUCUUCGCGUAGAGACACGCACCGCGCAGCCAUCGGACCCCUCUCCACCCCUCUCCCGCUUCGCCGCUGCCGGAGGGGGCGCCGGCGAAGCCGCGCGCGCUCCGUGGAUGGCGGCGGCGGGGCCCCUCGCGUCGGCCUUCGGGCUCUAACGGUGGCGCCCCGCGUCAGCGGUCGCGGGAUCCGGUGUGAUCUCGCCAAUAGGCGGCGGUGGAGGGCGGAUCCGGGGCUCCAUGGCCGGAUCUAGCGGGGCGCUCGGCCCUGGUGGUAGGGAGAGGCAGCCAGGCGUGGCUGCACUGGUCGGCUGGGCAUGAGCAGUGUCCAGGGCGCGCGGUGCAGUGGCCUUGGCUGGGGGUCGUGAUGGUGCGUGGCGGCCAUGCUCAGCGGUCAGUGGCGGUGGAUAUCCAGCGCAGCUCCGGGAAAAAUCCUUGCUCUGGUCUUUAUCGGAGCCGCGACGGCGACGCCCGCGGGUGCCGCUAUCUUUCUUGGAAGCGUCGUUGUGGAGGUGUGCUGUUCCCCUUCGUCGGCCACUGCUCGGACCGUCACCUGCGCCCCCCAGGUCCUGAUCGGUGGGCCUCUCUCCUGCGGAUUCUUGGCGGUGCCGGCGUGGUUGCCGGGGCCCUUCCUGUGGGUGAAGUCAGUGGAGGAGAUUCGGAUUGGGGGAAACCCCUUGGUUGGCCCAGGCCGGCCGCGCCGACGACGACGCUCAAGGGCGCCGUUAUUCUUUUUGGAGACGUCGGUAUACAUCUGCUCCUCUGCUCCCCUUCCUUGCCUCUCGGGUGAAAACCCUAACUCCAUUGGGCGGCGGCGGCGUCCUUGACGUCGUGACCUUCCUUAAGGCGUCGCCUUGAGGGUUGAGUGGUGGUGGGCACUGUGUGGGUCCUGAACGGUUGUUGGUGGUGGGCACUGCUUCGCGGGAAACUCUAGGAUCUGGUCUUCCAGUUAGGACGAUGGCGGUACUGUGGUGCCGUUUCUCCCUUGGGAGCGUCGUUUGUGAGCAGUGCUGGCAGACUGAGGCAGGAGGUGGAGCGGCUUCGUCUUGCACGGUAUUUCGGUGGAGCUGUCAAGUCAUGCCUGGUCGACAGGUGCUACGCUGAGUCAUGCCUGGUUGGCAGGUGCUACGCACGACAGAUCUCCCGGAAUCUUCGCAUCUGGACGGAUGAGCGCAGGGCGGUGGCGCCGUUGGGCGCCGUGGUGGUGUCGACGGAUGAUUGGACUGGCAAGGAUGAUGCGGAUCUCUUUCCUGAAGAUGGGUCAGUGGUUCGAGGAUGAUGGCGGCUGGUAAAACGUGCGCGUGAGGUGUGCGUUUUAGGUGUGCUGCACCGGCUAUUGUUCCCGAUACGUUAUGUGGAUGAAUUGGAAACAACACCGGUCUUAGAUAUGUGGAAUGAGAACACUCCACAUUAUCGAAUUUGUAGGUGUGAGUGGUGACUUUGGGUGGAUUGAUGUAUACUUUUAAUAGACCUUUGUGAAAUAACUAAUUAGAUGGCCGCAUGCAUCGAUUGAUGCAGAGGCUGGAGGUUUAACCUCCUUCUCAAAAAAAAAAAUAUAGCCCGUAAUAAAAAAAUUAAAAAAUAUAUAUUUAAAAACGAAGGGAGUAUAUAAGAAUGAAGGCCUCUUCUGAGAAAUUGUGCGGUGGGGUCCGUAACUUCAUCUCUUGACGUGAGGUCGCUACAAAAAUCUAUGACGAAGGUGGACUCCAUAAGUGUGACCCACUAGCCCCUAUACUUUUAACAUUGUGGUGGAUGUGGAUACUCUGCUCGAACUCACAAAGGUUUUGGGCGAGAUUGUUGAAGUGAUGUCAUAUAUUGUGGAUGGUGGCCUUUCAAUACUAACAACGAUAUGGUAUCGUACAAGAUUUUUCCGUGCACGAUCUCCCUUGCAAGUUAAUUUCUCUAUCCCCUCUUGACGACACGAGGGUGAAACCUAGCGCUGCCACUACCCUCUCCCCUCCUAUUACCUCACCUUGCCACUGCUUGAGGUUGUCGUCAGGCUCGUUCGCAUGGCUGAGAGAGAGUCUCCAUCUUGGGAGCGGGUGGCUACCAUGGAUGCUAUUAACAGAUCCCCUCGGCUACGCGGGCGGCGACAUGCGUAGUUCUUGGCGCAUGGGCUACCCCGAUGGCCCUUCGUGUGGGAUUUGAAGAUGAUAUCCUCUAAUGCACUCCUCAUCCGGUCCGCUGACCAGGAUCUCAGCCGCCUAUGCUUUUGCCGAAUCCGGUGGCUGGUUGGGGUGGCUGGGGAUGGGGAUCUGUAUCGGGGAAAACUCUUUACCUGUGGUAGCGAUCAUGAUGACACUAAGAGCAUCUCGUUCUCCUUCCAGUAGGCGACAACGAGGUACAUCCCCUUCUCUCCUCCUCCGUGUCCUAUGUGAAAACUCAAAUUUCGUGGCUUGGGUGGCACCGAAACCCCGACAUUAUGUUCUUCUGGAAGAUGUCGCCUUGGGACAAGGUGGUGGUGGUCGGGACUUCAGCAUGGGUGGUGGGCAGACGGUGGUGGUUUCUUUAGAAUGUGUCUUUAGUGGUGAUCCCGUUCGGUAGCUUGCCAUGUGUGGUAGGCUAUAUGAAAAAGUUUGCUUUGUGAGGUGAGGUCGUCGUGCUUGUCCUAUUCUCCCUCGCAACAUUGUCCUUCUCAUGCGUGCUCAGGGGUGAGCCGCAGUAACACCCUAGACUGGCUACCGAGUAUAAGGUCAUUAUGCCUGACUACCGUGCAGGACAUAAACGGCCAACAUACCAACAUUAGUAUUUCAUGCGCACUUUAUACUUACCCGCGCACACUGAGAAUUAACUUUCUAGUUGGUCACCCAUCCUGAGAUUGCUCCAAGCCAUGUAUGACAAUUCAUCAAUACUCCUGAAAGGCUACACUGGACAAGGGGAUAUGAAACAUAGAACCGGUAUCCUCCUCGGCAAGACGCAUGUCACAAACGGCAAUCGGCCAUCUUUAGCAAAAUAACUUAUCUUUGGGAAUUUUAGCAAUCAAGGACUCAUCUGACAGAAGAUCAUGGUAUAAAAGAACUGAAAACCCAACACUAACUUCAUAAUAACACGUAACAGUAAGGAGCCAAUAGGACCACAACAUAUGGACGCAAUAAUAGUCGUAAGAAUUCCAAAAAACCAAUGAAGAGUGUAUUUUAUUCACUCAAAAUGAAGCGGUAAGGGAAUACAUAUACAAUCAGCGCACACCCGACGUUUGCAUAAAUAGGAUACUCUCGAAAGCACACACAUAGAUAAAAUGUUGGCAAAUAGCAAAGUCAUAAAAGACCAAAGCAAUGAGAAUCGGUUGGCAAAAAAGGAUCCUCCCAAUAAGGAUAAAUUGGAUCGGCGAUCUCUUGCCUCCGACCACCAAGUCUUCCCUCGGAGUCACUGGCAUGUUUUUCUCCAAUGCAGCAGCGCCUAGAGACUACGGUCACGGUGACUACCAUGCAGCUGGCGGUGCAAGCUUGUACGAGAGUGGAAGAUAACAACGGAUUGGCUAUAGCGACCAUCUCCGCGACUUCUUCAUGCGAGGUGAUGGCCGCGACGUACACGUGUGAGGCCAAACUGUGAACUAUGACCGACUCUAGGGGUUAGUCUAGUAGGAUUCUCUCAUACAUUGGGGCUCGACACGACCACUAUGGAAGGGGGGAGACUACAACGUCGGCGACAUUAAUCCUACCCCAACCUCUUGUGGUAGUAGCGCGCCAGUGAUCACAGUGGUAUUUGCGGCUGGCCCCAUUGCCAUUGGCAUGAAAGGUCUCAACAAGGAUAGAGAAUUGAAGAAGAAAAUGUGCUCAUAGAUGAUGUUGACAACGUAGAAGAAGUCAUCGAGGUCGUGCGAAAACCUCCCAUGACAGUGCAUGACAUGCCAUGAGGGAUGCCUCUACCUCUAAUCCGUCGGCUUAUGUGAGUUUUCGCGGAGGUGCGCACUAUGGCUAUAUAUAUAGCGGCCAUGGUGAUGGUGACGUCUUCUUCAAUUCACUUGCCUUCUCGAUCUAUCAGUGGUGGUUUCAGACAUGAGAACUUAUGACGGUAGAUAGUGUGGCGGUGUCACCGGACUGCAUGCUGCAGAUGAUGAUGCGGCGACCUUGGGCGGCUGCGAGUGAUAGGUCGGAUAGCGCACCAUGUUAUAUCUGUGGUGCAUGUAGAGGACACUGGUGCAGUGGUCCCGGGGGUCGUGGUGAAUGUUACUACCCACCCACUGCCUGCCUUCCUGGAAUGGCAUGGAGUACAUGCUAACUUCCAAAAGAUCCGUCUUCGAGAUGAUGAUUGGAACAUCGCUUCAUGUCCGAGGUGUAAACUCUUGCUUUUGUCUUUAUUGGUUGGGAUCAGUAGUGACGAACUUGUGUCACUACCUUGUUAAAUGCGUAGUCUCCAUGCUGAUGCGCUAGCCUUUGGUGGUUAGUGUCGACAAGUAGGAUGAAAAUCCAUGUCCUAGUCUUCUUCGGCCCGACGUGAAGACGGUGGCACGAGGGCGCUUAAUCCUUCUUGAAGGCGUUGGCAUAUGUGGCGGUGGCCUUCGCAUCAGUGUGAUGCACACAACCAUUUUUAUUAAUUAUUGAGCAAAAUAAGUAUAUAGGCAGUCAUGGCCAAAUUGUUAGAGAUAUGAGAUAAAAACGUAAGUCAACAUCUUUUUCUGCCCCGGAAGUGGGGUGCCUUUCUGUGGGAGCAAGGGACAACACUUCCCUGGCGGGAGACCAGCGUCCAUGCACCUUCGACCAAAUCUACAUCUAAAGUGGGGCUCCUAUAUGACGCCCUACCCAUGGCACAAUUUAUAAAAUUAAGUUUUGUAUCAUAUCUAAAUAAUAUAUAUUUACUUCAAUUUUUGUGGUACAACUAUUUCAUUGUAUCUGGCCUUGGACCACACCAAACACACAAACCAAGUAAGCACUAAAAUCUGCAAAAGGCAAAUGUGAACUGACCAUAAAAGUUUUGUCGAAUAAUUAUAGUAUUAAAAUAAAGCAAAAACAGAAAAAUAUAUAACCAUUAUUUUGCAGGAACCAGUGUUCCUUAGUUCAUUGAGGAUGUGGUGGAAUGUCCGACCCCAAGUGUGCCUGAACCUGGACGUACAUCUCACUUCUUCUACAAAUGAAUAGACAAAGUCCGAAAGAUUUUAUCGCUAGUUCUAUAUCUGAAAGUAACACGUGUGCGGGUAAUUAGUUUGAAAACACACAUAAAGGUUUUAUGUAUAUUGGUUAGGCUGGUUCAUUUACAAUUUUCAGUGCAUACUUGGGACGGGAUUACAAAUUGGAAUAACCAUAUUGUACGUCUCUUAAUAUAGUUUUCUCUCCCACUAAUGGUCUCUAAAUAACCAAAAAUGUAUUUGUUUAGCAAGUCAGCCAUUAUCUCCUAACCAUUUUGUUCAAAGAAGCUCCAAAAUUUUCAUAUUACUAUUGGAGACAUGCAAUACUUCCUGAUUUGUCCUGGAUUUCUGAGGGAAAUCAAAUUUUGAACGAAAAAAUUGGUAUUGCCAGGGUCAGUUCUUUGAGUGGCUUUUUUGAGCUUCUAGAAUAAGCUGCCCCUAUCCAGCUUAUUCUAGAAGCUCAAUCAAAAGUAUAUUUUUAAAAACCUACCAGUUAAGACUUAAUGAGUAGAUUUAUAAAAAAUAAAUUUGAUUAGGCUUUUAGAAUAAGCUGGGUAGGGGUAGCUUAUUCCAGCUUAUUCUAGAAGCCAUCAAAAGAACUGGUCCUUAAAGGGGCAUUUGUUAAGCAUGUGCACAAAAUAACAAUUAAAUUAUGCAUGCCCAUAUUCUUUCUCUUCAUUUUCUAUAUCUGCAAAAUAAGUUGUGUUGGACAUCGCUCAUGAAAUAGAUAGAGUAUUGGUACUACUACUUAGCAAAUAUUUUGAGGAUUUCAUAUAUACUCCGUACUUUGGAUUUCCUUUUCUCGAGUGACCAAUGCCAACCGCGGGUGGUUGGCUCGUGGGCGCAUGCCUGGCCAUCUCCUGCUUUCUGCUUGGUUGCUGCCCAACCGCCGCUAGCAGCAGUAGGGUCGGCCUUGCUGACGGGCGCCGUAGUCCCCAUGCCGGCGUGUGCACUCCCCUCCGGCGAGGCCAACUAGUGGCACCACCUCACUGGUCGUCGGCUUCAGCAUAUAUACCAUCCAUCUCCUGGCAAGCCUUGGAGGCUUGGAGCUUCAUGGUUUGAUUGGCGUGUGUGGCGGCGUGUUCGCUCCUCCUGAACAUGUCUAGGCCAUAUACAAGAAAAUAUUAGUUUCAAACAUUAUGAUGCCAAGACUCGAACCUCAACAUGGAGCUUAUAUUUUUCUUAAUUAUAAAAAUACUAUCGUAGUCUGAAAACAUGAAGAGUUCCAUUGUGUCAUGAUAUGAUCCCUACAGGCCAUGGUAAAAAUUUGUGAAGGUUUAGCAAAAGUUUAAAUGAAUGAUGCUUAGAAACCGGACUAUCUUUGAGAAAUAAACUAGAUUUCGAGAUAAAAAAAGUGUCAUGCUUGAAGGCAAAGGGACCACUCAUUGGUUUACUUUAAAAAGGUAUAUGCUUAACAUACACCAUUACAUAGUUAAUUUCAAUAUUUGACAUUUUUGGGUUCAGUUGCUAUAGCUAAGUCGUUAAAUGCAUAUAUAGGCAUUUAAUAGAUGUAAUUCAAAUUUGAAAUGCACAUGUAUAACUUUUUUUUAGAAAAAAUGGGUCAAAAAAUAAUGUUUGUGUUAAUGAGUCUAUGUUUAAAGCUUAUACUUUCAAAAAAGGAAGGAAAAAAAUUUGAAGUUGAGUGUUUGCAUUGCAAGCAAGGUAACACACAAUUAGGGGUGGGGACUAUAAAACCGAAAACCGAAAAACCAAACCGAACUGAACCGUAUUAACUGAUUUCUCGGUUUAUUUGGUGGUUUGAUUUUUGGUUUGGUGGGAAAUUUUAGGGUUGUUCGGUGUUUUGUUUUUGUUCGGAUUUUGGUGCCCGGAAAUCGAAUAGACAGAACAAACCGAUAUGUGGGAUACCCCAUGGAAUACCUUGUUUCUGAAAAUGCAACAGUAUGGAGGCAUCACACAUUUCUCCGCACAUAAUACAUUUCACGUUCCAUGUGCUUUUUCUACUUAACUAUGGUUACUAGUUUGCUUGGCCGAAUAAACCAUAGAAUGAUAUUAAGGUUGCCAGAACUUGUGAUUAUCCUUUUGCAUAUUAUACAAAGCAAAUCAAUGCUCUCGAGUCAUUACACUUAUACUAACAAGUGCAUGAAUUUUGGUUUUUCGGUUAACCGAACAAACCGAACCGAUAUAUUGUGGUUAAUAUGGUUCGGUUUCUAAAUUUUGAAUGAUUAUUUCGGUUUCUAUUUUUCCAAAACCGAAAUUAUAUAGAACCGAAUAAACCGAACCGUAUUAACCAUAUAAACCGAACGCCCAGCCCUACACACAAUCCAUGUUCUUCAUUCUCAUGGGCCGAGAGCCGAGAGGAAGCAGAGUGGAUCGAUAAUGUGGCACCAUCCUCACCAAAAAAUCUCCAUGCAUUUGUCUCCCUCGUCUCCUUUUCCAAUCAUCCUAUCCCAUCCCAUGCAUCUCCUCUCCAUCUCCCUCCCCCCUUCUCUUCCUCGACCGCAUGCAGCAGCCGCAAGCAUCGCUGGAACCAACAAUAAGUAGCAUAUAACAGUGGCCGCAACAGCGAACAAGGCUAGAAUAUCUAACAUCAGGCAUGAGCAAGCAUAAGCCCCACGAACUGCCGAUGCUCCUCUCCCCAAGCCACGGUAGUAGCACGAGCACAAAAGGAGCACCAGCGGUGCAGUGGCAUGCCGCGGUGGCCAGGCACAAUGCGGCAGCCAUGAGGCGGCAAUGUUUUAUCUGGUUUUGACACUCGGCAAAGAGUUUGCCUAGUGCACCACAAAAAAAACUUGACAAAGAGCACUUUGCCUAAAGGGUGUAUGUCGAGUCCAUUUUGCCGAGUGCAACACUUGGCUAAGACUUUAUUGAGUAUGUUUUGCCGAGUGAACUUAGCGGUAGGAAAACAACGGUUUCUAGUAGUGUUAAGGAGUUGAGGAGAGAAGUGGAAAGGAAAUUAAGGAGUUGACGAGAGAAGGGGAAAGGAACCUAGUACUCCCACAUAACUAUUCCAUACCCUCCUCUAUUAAUUCACAUGGAAAGUUACUUCCUCUGAAAUUUCGCCCACUAAUUUUAACCACACACUAAACAUGGGCUUGGGACGAAAACUCGAUUUAAAAUGCCCGAAAGUGUAAUAAAUAUCAACUAGCCAAACAUGCUGGGGCGAAGCCCGUACUAGCUCCUACGAAGGUGGAGGUGCUCCCCAUCUCAUGAGGAGCUCCUAUUUGACGCGUUCUGCGUCGAAUUGGGGUCGCGGCGCAUACAGCAAGCCCCGAAUGGGCUGGCCCAUUAGCGUGCUCGCGCGUUCGCCCCGCUCGUACUGUGUCCUAAACUCACAAUGUAAAAAAAUCAAAAUAACAAGCUCCCUCACCAGGAAUGCAACCACAUACCAUCGGGUUUCAAUGUGCUCGCACUAACCAAGGCACUGGACGAUAAUACGUUGGUAAAAAGCAGCGCUAAACUUUAAAUACUAACCAUAGCGCCAGAUAUAACACCUUUUCAAAUUCUAGAACAUUUUUUGAAAAUCCGAAACAUUUUUAUAAAAAUUCUGGAACAUUUUUCCAAAUUCUGGAACAAAAAUCAAAUUCCAGAACAUUUUAUUGAAAAUACGGAAAAAAAUAUAAAAUUUCGGAACAUCUUUUCUAAUUUCGGAACAUUUUCCAAACAUUUUUUAACUUCUGAAACAUUUUUCCAAAUUCUGGAACAUUUUUUAAAACUCCGAAACAUUUUUGAAACAGAAACAAAAAAAACUGAAAAGAAUAAAUAAAAAAGAAAACGAAAAAAAACGGUUCAGGGGAUCUUUUAGAAAGUUCCCAAAAACGGAAAAAAAACGGUUGGGGAAAGUCUAAAACGUUCCCAAAACCGGCAUCCCACGCAACCGUUAAUGGGCCGACCCAGAUCAUCCUCACUCUCUUUUCUCCUGUGCGUUUGCCCGACAUUUUGACGCAAAGAGCGUCAAAUAGGAUAUUCCCAUCUCAUGGGGGCAUUGUGUGUUCCAUCCACUAGGUGUUUCCAUAGUGAAGACUCCUCAAGGUAUUGUUAUUGUGAAUCUAGGUUUGUCCUGGGGCCGGGGUUCGGGCCCAAUACUAGCCUUGCAAGGCCUAUGACGAGGUAGGCUUCCUGUGGAGGGGGGCAUGUGGGCCCAAUCCUGGCCUUGCAGGGCCUAUUGCGCGGAUAGGCAUGCGGUAGGAGUGCAUGGCAUAGUUGGUGAGCGAACAACCCGAUAUGGAGCCUGGCAAGGCUACAAUGUCGGUGUGUCUUGGUAGUGGCUCCCUUUGGUCCAAUUGGGUCGUACGGGCCAUGGCCAUUCUGUGGUACGACAUACAGUUUCUGCAGUUGGCACGACGGCUCCUCCUGAUUGUUGUGGUUGUAGAGCCACAUGUUGUGUUGUAGCUUAAGAGAGCCGUCAUAGUAGUGGUGGUGUUCGUGGUGCCAUCGCUGACCCAUGAUGUGGUGGCCAUCACAUCUUUUUGUUCCUCCUGGUCUAGUUUGCUGUUUUCGCAUUUUUGCGGAAGUAAGGUUCAUAGCAGCAUGGCGUCAACCAACGUCAAAGGUGGCGAGACAUAAGACUUUGGCCGAAAGCCUUGUUCUUUGAUGGAGGGCGAGGGGGUCUUUGCCAUUGAUGUUGCCGCCCGUGUGCGUUCUCCUCCGUCGAGGCAUUGUGGAAGAAUACAUAUAUGGUUGUGGCCGGUUUGAAUGGAAGUGGUGUGGAGAUUGUUGGAUAGGUUGAGCCAUUUUUGUGGCUCGGUGGGGUAGUCGUGCGAGGGUCUCGGAGAAAGAUUUGAGGUCCAGGUGGUCGGUGGCUGAUGCUGGUGACAGCGACAUACUCGGACGUUGUUUUUCUUUUUGAAAGUGUUGAUGAAGAUCUUGCAUUCAACCUCUCUGGAAAGCUUGCAUGCUAGGUGGUUGUAGUCUGCUUGGGUUGUCGUUGGUGAUUUUUCUUUUUUUCUGUUCUUUCGUAGUUGUUCUGUUUUGUAGUCUGCUAGGUGGUUGUACUCUGCUUGGGUAGCCUAGUUCCCUUAUAAACACGGCCACUCUGUGAAAUCGGCAAAGCUCCUGCCUUGCACGUCAAAGAAAAAAAAACAUGUUGUGAGUUCCCUGGCCCCUUCAGCUGCAGAACUAGGCAUGUGUUCAAUAUUUAUUUCACGGUUAUUUUCUCCAAGUAGGAGGAAUUUUUAGUUUUUUUAAUUUGGUAGUUAAUUGACAAACACUAANNNNNNNNNNNNNNNNNNNNNNNNNNNNNNNNNNNNNNNNNNNNNNNNNNNNNNNNNNNNNNNNNNNNNNNNNNNNNNNNNNNNNNNNNNNNNNNNNNNNGGGCAUAAUUCCAACAGUCUCCCACUUGCACUAGAGUCAAUAAUCUAGCUUUCACAUCACCAUGUGAAUUUACAUUGUAAUAAAUCUAACACCCAUACAGUUCUGCUGUCGAUCAUGUUUUGGCCGUGGAAGAGGUUUAGUCAGCGGGUCUGCUACAUUCAGAUCCGUGUGCACCUUGCAUAUAUUUACGUCCUCCUCCUCGACGUAGUCGCGGAUGAGGUUGAAGCGUCGUUUGAUGUGUCUGGUCUUCUUGUGAAACCGUGGUUCCUUUGCUAAGGCAAUGGCACCAGUGUUGUCACAGAACAAGGUUAUUGGAUCCAGUGCACUUGGCACCACUCCAAGAUCCGUCAUGAACUGCUUCAUCCAGACACCCUCCUUAGCCGCCUCCGAGGCGGCCAUGUACUCCGCUUCACAUGUAGAAUCUGCUACGACGCUUUGCUUGGAACUGCACCAGCUUACUGCACCCCCAUUAAGAAUAAAUACCUAUCCGGUUUGCGACUUAGAGUCGUCCGGAUCUGUGUCAAAGCUUGCAUCAACGUAACCUUUUACGGCGAGCUCUUCGUCACCUCCAUACACGAGAAACAUCUCCUUAGUCCUUUUCAGGUACUUCAGGAUAUUCUUGACCGCUGUCCAGUGAUCCACUCCUGGAUUACUCUAGAACCUACCUGCCAUACUUAUGGCCAGGCUAACAUCCGGUCUAGUGCACAACAUUGCAUACAUGAUAGAGCCUAUGGCUGAAGCAUAGGGGACGGAGCGCAUAUGCUCUCUAUCUUCAUCAGUUGCUGGGCACUGAGUCUUACUCAAUCUCGUACCUUGUAACACUGGCAAGAACCCUUUCUUGGACUGUUCCAUUUUGAACCUCUUCAAAACUUUAUCAAGGUAUGUGCUUUGUGAAAGUCCUAUCAGGCGCUUUGAUCUAUCCCUAUAGAUCUUAAUGCCUAGAAUGUAAGCAGCUUCUUCUAGGUCCUUCAUAGAGAAACUUUUAUUCAAGUAACCUUUUAUGCUCUCCAAAAGCUCUACGUUGUUUCCAAUCAGUAAUAUGUCAUCCACAUAUAAUAUUAGAAACGCCACAGAGCUCCCACUCACUUUCUUGUAAAUACAAGAUUCUCCAACCACUUGUAUAAACCCAAAUGCUUUGAUCACCUCAUCAAAGCGUUUGUUCCAACUCCGAGAUGCUUGCACCAGUCCAUAAAUGGAUCGCUGGAGCUUGCACACCUUGUCAGCAUUUUUAGGAUCGACAAAACCUCCGGGUUGCAUCAUAUACAACUCUUCAUAAUCGAAAAAUGCAGCUAUUGCUAACAUGAUUCUGACGGAUUUAAGCAUCGCUACGGGUGAGAAGGUCUCAUCGUAGUCAACUCCUGGAACUUGUGAAGAACCCUUUGCCACAAGUCGAGCUUUAUAAACGGUCACAUUACCGUCAGCGUCCGUCUUCUUCUUAAAGAUCCAUUUGUUCUGAAUAGCCUUGCGGCCCUCAGGUAGUAUCUCCAAAGUCUACACUUUGUUCUCAUACAUGGAUCCUAUCUCGGAUUUCAUGGCUUCUAGCCAUUUGUUGGAAUCUGGGCCCACCAUUGCUUCUUCAUAAUUUGCAGGUUCAUUGUUGUCCAACAACAUGAUUGAUAAGACGGGAUUACCGUACCACUCUGGAGCAGCGCGUGAUCUCGUCGACCUGCGUGGUUCAACAGAAACUUGAACUAGAGUUUCAUGAUCAUCAUCAUUAACUUCCUCCUCAACCGGCAUCGCAACGACAGAGGUUUCCCCUUGCCCUGCGCCACCAUCCAGAGGGAUGAGAGGUUCGACAACCUCGUCAAGUUCUAUCUUCCUCCCACUCAAUUCUCUCGAGAGAAACUCCUUCUCGAGAAAAGUUCCGUUUUUAGCAACAAACACUUUGCCCUCGGAUUUGAGAUAGAAGGUGUACCCAACUGUCUCUUUUGGGUAACCUAUGAAGACGCACUUUUCCGCUUUGGGUUCCAGCUUUUCAGGCUGAAGCUUUUUGACAUAAGCAUCACAUCCCCAAACUUUAAGAAACGACAACUUUGGCCUUUUGCCAUACCACAGUUCGUAUGGUGUCGUCUCAACGGAUUUCGAUGGUGCCCUAUUUAAAGUGAAUGCAGCUGUUUCUAAUGCAUAACCCCAAAAUGAUAACGGCAAAUCAGUAAGAGACAUCAUAGAUCGCACCAUCUCUAACAAAGUACGAUUACGACGUUCGGACACACCAUUACGCUGUGGUGUUCCAGGCGGUGUUAACUGCGAAACAAUUCCACAUUGUCUUAAGUGAGUACCAAACUCGAAACUCAGAUAUUCACCCCCACGAUCAGACCGUAGGAACUUGAUCUUCUUGUUACGAUGGUUUUCCACUUCACUCUGAAAUUGCUUGAACUUUUCAAAUGUUUCAGACUUGUGCUUCAUCAAGUAGACAUAACCAUAUCUACCUAAAUCGUCAGUGAAGGUGAAAGAAUAACGAUAUCCGCCGCGUGCCUCCACGCUCAUUGGACCACACACAUCGGUAUGUAUGAUUUCCAACAAGUCACUUGCACGCUCCAUUGUUCCGGAGAAUGGAGUCUUAGUCAUCUUGCCCAUGAGGCAUGGUUCGCACGUGUCAAGUGAAUCAAAGUCAAGUGACUCCAAAAGUCCAUCAGCAUGGAGUUUCUUCAUGCGCUUUACACCAAUAUGACCCAAGCGGCAGUGCCACAAAAAUAUGGCGCUAUCAUUGUUUACUCUAACUCUUUUGGUCUUAAUGUUAUGUAUAUGUGUAUCGCUAUCAAGAUUUAAUAUGAACAAUCCUCUCACAUUCGGUGCAUGACCAUAAAAGAUGUUACUCAUAGAAAUAGAACAACCAUUAUUCUCUGACUUAAAAGAGUAACCGUCUCGCAAUAAACAAGAUCCAGAUAUAAUGUUCAUGCUCAACGCAGGCACUAAAUAACAAUGAUUUAAGUUCAUCACUAAUCCCGAUGGUAGUUGAAGUGACACUGUGCCGACGGCGAUUGCAUCAACCUUGGAACCGUUUCCUACGCGCAUCGUCACUUCGUCUUUCGCCAGCCUUCGUCUAUUCCGCAGUUCCUGCUUCGAUUUGCAAAUGUGAGCAACAGAACCGGUAUCGAAUACCCAGGCACUACUACGAGAGCCGGUUAAGUACACAUCAAUAACAUGUAUAUCAAAUAUACCUGAUUUUUCUUUGCCCGCCUUCUUAUCUGCCAGAUACUUGGGGCAAUUGCGCUUCCAGUGACCCAUACCCUUGCAAUAGAAGCACUCUGUUUCAGGCUUAGGUCCAGCCUUGGGUUUCUUCGGCGGAUUGGCAACAGGCUUGCCGCUCUUCUUCGAAUUGCCCUUCUUGCCUUUGCCGUUUCUCUUGAAACUAGUGGUCUUGCUCACCAUCAACACUUGAUGCUCUUUACGGAGUUCAGACUCUGCGACUUUCAGCAUCGCAAACAACUCGCCGGGAGACUUGUUCAUCCCUUGCAUGUUGUAGUUCAACACAAAGCCUUUAUAGCUUGGCGGCAGUGAUUUGAAGGAUUCUGUCAGUGAUAGCUUCUUGCGGGAGUUCAAUCCCCAGUUCUGCUAGACGGUUUGAGUACCCAGACAUUUUGAGCACAUGUUCACUGACAGACGAGUUUUCCUCCAUCUUGCAAGCAUAGAAUUUAUCGGAGGUCUCAUACCUCUCGAUCCGGGCGUUCUUCUGAAAGAUAAACUUCAACUCCUGGAACAUCUCAAAUGCUCCAUGACGCUCAAAGCGACGUUGAAGUCCCGGUUCUAAGCCAUACAAGACUUCACAUUGAACUAUUGAGUAGUCCUCCUUACGUGCUAACCAAGCGUUCUUAACAUCCUGAUCAGCCGUAGCGGGUGGUUCAUCUCCUAGCGCAGCAUUAAGGACAUAAUCCUUCUUUCCAGCUUGUAAGAUUAGCUUAAGAUUACGAGCCCAGUCUACAAAGUUGCUUCCAUCAUCUUUCAACAUAGCUUUCUCUAGGAACGUAUUAAAAUUCAGGAUGACACUUGCGUGAGCCAUGAUCUACAACACAAAUAUAUUCAAAGUGGACUUAGACUAUGUUCAAGAUAAUUAGAGUUCAACUUUAAUCAAAUUAUAUGCUAAACUCCCACUCAAAAAGUACAUCUCUCUAGUCAUUUGAGUGGUUCAUGAUCCACUUACACUAUCCCAAGUCCGAUCAUCACNNNNNNNNNNNNNNNNNNNNNNNNNNNNNNNNNNNNNNNNNNNNNNNNNNNNNNNNNNNNNNNNNNNNNNNNNNNNNNNNNNNNNNNNNNNNNNNNNNNNNNNNNNNNNNNNNNNNNNNNNNNNNNNNNNNNNNNNNNNNNNNNNNNNNNNNNNNNNNNNNNCGAUCAUCACGUGAGUUGAGUAUAGUUUCAGUGGUAAGCAUCUCUAUGCUAAUCAUAUCAACUAUAUGAUUCAUGAUCGACCUUUCGGUCUCAUGUGUUCCGAGGCCAUGUCUGCACAUGCUAGGCUCGUCAAGCUUAACCCGAGUGUUCCGCGUGCGCAACUGUUUUGCACCCGUUGUAUGUGAACGUUGAGUCUAUCACACCCGAUCAUCACGUGGUGUCUCGAAACGACGAACUGUAGCAACGGUGCACAGUCGGGGAGAACACAAUUUCGUCUUGAAAUUUUAGUGAGAGAUCACCUCAUAAUGCUACCGUCGUUCUAAGCAAAAUAAGGUGCAUAAAAGGAUUAACAUCACAUGCAAUUCAUAAGUGACAUGAUAUGGCCAUCAUCUCGUGCUUCUUGAUCUCCAUCAUCAAAGCACCGGCACGAUCUGCUUGUCACCGGCGCCACACCAUGAUCAUCCAUCAACGUGUUGCCAUUGGGGUUGUCGUGCUACUUAUGCUAUUACUACUAAAACUACAUCCUAGCAAAAUAGUAAACGCAUCUGCAAGCACAUAUGUUAGUAUAAAGACAACCCUAUGGCUCCUGCCGGUUGCCGUACCAUCGACGUGCAAGUCGAUAUUUCUAUUACAACAUGAUCAUCUCAUACAUCCAAUAUAUCACAUCACAUCGUUGGCCAUAUCACAUCACAAUCAUACCCUGCAAAAACAAGUUAGACGUCCUCUAAUUUUGUUGUUGCAUGUUUUACGUGGUGACCAAGGGUAUCUAGUAGGAUCGCAUCUUACUUACGCAAACACCACAACGGAGAUAUAUGAGUUGCUAUUUAACCUCAUCCAAGGACCUCCUCGGUCAAAUCCGAUUCAACUAAAGUUGGAGAAACCGUCACUUGCCAGUCAUCUUUGAGCAAAGGGGGUUACUCGUAACGAUGAAACCAGUCUCUCGUAAGCGUACGAGUAAUGUCGGUCCAAGCCGCUUCAAUCCAACAAUACCGCGGAAUCAAGAAAAGACUAAGGAGGGNNNNNNNNNNNNNNNNNNNNNNNNNNNNNNNNNNNNNNNNNNNNNNNNNNNNNNNNNNNNNNNNNNNNNNNNNNNNNNNNNNNNNNNNNNNNNNNNNNNNUGUUGGAAUUAUGCCCUAGAGGCAAUAAUAAAUGUAUAGUUAUUAUUAUAAUUCCUGUAUCAAGAUAAUAGUUUAUUAUCCAUGCUAUAAUUGUAUUGAAUGAAGACUCAUUUACAUGUGUGGAUACAUAGACAAAACACCGUCCCUAGCAUGCCUCUAGUUGGCUAGCCAGUUGAUCGAUGAUAGUCAGUGUCUUCUGAUUAUGAACAAGGUGUUGUUGCUUGAUAACUGGAUCACGUCAUUGGGAGAAUCACGUGAUGGACUAGACCCAAACUAAUAGACGUAGCAUGUUGAUCGUGUCAUUUUGUUGCUACUGUUUUCUGCGUGUCAAGUAUUUAUUCCUAUGACCAUGAGAUCAUAUAACUCACUGACACCGGAGGAAUGCUUUGUGUGUAUCAAACGUCGCAACGUAACUGGGUGACUAUAAAGAUGCUCUACAGGUAUCUCCGAAGGUGUUAGUUGAGUUAGUAUGGAUCAAGACUGGGAUUUGUCACUCCGUGUGACGGAGAGGUAUCUCGGGGCCCACUCGGUAAUACAACAUCACACACAAGCCUUGCAAGCAAUGUAACUUAGUGUAAGUUGCGGGAUCUUGUAUUACGGAACGAGUAAAGAGACUUGCCGGUAAACGAGAUUGAAAUAGGUAUGCGGAUACUGACGAUCGAAUCUCGGGCAAGUAACAUACCGAAGGACAAAAGGAAUGACAUACGGGAUUAUAUGAAUCCUUGGCACUGAGGUUCAAACGAUAAGAUCUUCGUAGAAUAUGUAGGAUCCAAUAUGGGCAUCCAGGUCCCGCUAUUGGAUAUUGACCGAGGAGUCUCUCGGGUCAUGUCUACAUAGUUCUCGAACCCGCAGGGUCUGCACACUUAAGGUUCGACGUUGUUUUAUGCGUAUUUGAGUUAUAUGGUUGGUUACCGAAUGUUGUUCGGAGUCCCGGAUGAGAUCACGGACGUCACGAGGGUUUCCGGAAUGGUCCGGAAACGAAGAUUGAUAUAUAGGAUGACUUCAUUUGAUUACCGGAAGGUUUUCGGAGUUACCGGGAAUGUACCGGGAAUGACGAAUGGGUUCCGGGAGUUCACCGGGGGGGCAACCCACCCCGGGGAAGCCCAUAGGCUUUGGGGAGACACACCAGCCCUUAGUGGGCUGGUGGGACAGCCCCAAGGGGGCCUAUGCGCCAAGAGAAGGAAAUCAAAGGAAAAGAAAAAAAANNNNNNNNNNNNNNNNNNNNNNNNNNNNNNNNNNNNNNNNNNNNNNNNNNNNNNNNNNNNNNNNNNNNNNNNNNNNNNNNNNNNNNNNNNNNNNNNNNNNNNNNNNNNNNNNNNNNNNNNNNNNNNNNNNNNNNNNNNNNNNNNNNNNNNNNNNNNNNNNNNNNNNNNNNNNNNNNNNNNNNNNNNNNNNNNNNNNNNNNNNNNNNNNNNNNNNNNNNNNNNNNNNNGGGGGGGGAGUCCUCCCCCCCUUGGCUCGGCCGACCCCUUGAGGGUCCCUUGGACCCCAAGGCAAGGUCCCCCUCCCUCCUCCUAUAUAUAUGGAGCUUUUAGGGCAGAUUUGAUACGACUUUCUCACGGCUGCCCGACCACAUAUCUCCAUAGUUUUUGCUCUAAUCGUGUUUCUGCGGAGCUCGGGCGGAGCCCUGCUGAGACGAGAUCAUCACCAACCUCCGGAGCGCCGUCACGCUGCCGGAGAACUCUUCUACCUCUCCGUCUCUCUUGCUGGAUCAAGAAGGCCGAGAUCAUCGUCGAGCUGUACGUGUGCUGAACGCGGAGGUGCCGUCCGUUCGGUACUAGAUCGUGGGACUGAUCGCGGGAUUGUUCGCGGGGCGGAUCGAGGGACGUGAGGACGUUCCACUACAUCAACCGCGUUCUCUAACGCUUCUGCUGUACGAUCUACAAGGGUACGUAGAUCACUCAUCCCCUCUCGUAGAUGGACAUCACCAUGAUAGGUCUUCGUGCGCGUAGGAAAAUUUUUGUUUCCCAUGCGACNNNNNNNNNNNNNNNNNNNNNNNNNNNNNNNNNNNNNNNNNNNNNNNNNNNNNNNNNNNNNNNNNNNNNNNNNNNNNNNNNNNNNNNNNNNNNNNNNNNNUACCAUGUCGAUAUUGCUUCCACUGGUCACGCUUAGAAUAAAGUUCAAGUCGUUGGUCCAUUUGGGGGAUGGCGUCGAAAACAAGCCUGAGCUUCCAGAGAUUAGGCAUUGCGUCCGCCUCAAAUCUUAGCCAAGCUAUUCCACUCAUGAACCUCAGCUUCAAGUACUUGAGAGCUGUGAAUCCAGCAGCCGUGCCAAAGAUUAUCUUAACAUUAGGUGACUUGUCCACAUACAAUGACAGGGCAGUGAGGGCAGGAAACCCACUAAGAACAUCAACGUCAUUUACUGACAGUCCAGCCACUGCAAUCUUCAGAAUGCAUAGGUUGCCAAGUUGGAUAUUCCACCUAUGCAUGUCGCAAAAUACGACGGGGCUGUGUGGUGAGACCUCGAGUCUCUGGAGAUGAUGGAUAGGUCUAUCCAAGAACCACAAAACUCUUGCUUCUGAAGCGUCACCAUAGCUAACCGAGGAUCCGUGAGCCACCAGUUUUACAGUUUUCAGGCUGUCAUGUUCAUACAUUAAAUAAUCCAGAGCAUACAUGCUUCUCUGCGGUUGGUCGGGAUCUGAAGAAGGCGGUGUCGAAAUGCAAAGAUCCUGCAGGUGGUUCGGCUUGCAAAGGCACAUAUCAUCACCGACAGACCAAUCCAGCAAAUUUGUGUGAGGAGGAAGACUGAGGNNNNNNNNNNNNNNNNNNNNNNNNNNNNNNNNNNNNNNNNNNNNNNNNNNNNNNNNNNNNNNNNNNNNNNNNNNNNNNNNNNNNNNNNNNNNNNNNNNNNUACCAUGUCGAUAUUGUCUCCACUGGUCACACACCGAAUAAAGUUCAAGUCGUUGGUCCAUUUGAGGGAUGGCGUCGAAAACAAGCCUGAGCUUCCAGAGAUUAGGCAUUGCGUCCGCCUCAAAUCUUAGCCAGGCUAUUCCAAUCAUGAACCUCAGCUUCAAGUACUUGAGAGCUGUGAAUCCAGCACCCGUGCCAAAUAUUAUCUUAACAUUAGGUGACUUCUCCACAUACAACGACAGGGCAGUGAGGGCAGUCAACCCUCUAAGAAUAUCAACAUUAUGUACCGACAGUUCACUCAAUGCAAUCUUCAGAAUGCACAGGUUGCCAAGUUGGAUCCUCCACCUAUGCAUUUGGCAAAAUACGACGGGGCUGUGUGGUGAGACCUCAGAUCUCUGGAUAUGGUGGGUAGGUUUAUUUAAAAUCCAGCCAACUCUUGCUCUUGAAGCGUCACCAUAGCUAACCGAGGACCCGCAAGUCACCAGUUUUACAGUUUUCAGGCUGUCAUGUUCAUACAUUAAAUAACCCAGAGCAUACAUGCUUCUCUCCAGUUGGUCGGAAUCUGAAGAAGGCGGUGUCGAAAUGCAAAGAUCCUGCAGGUGGUUCGGCCUGCAAAGGCUCAUCUCAUCGUCGACAGACCAAUCCAGCAAAUUUGUGUCAGGAGGAAGACUGAGGNNNNNNNNNNNNNNNNNNNNNNNNNNNNNNNNNNNNNNNNNNNNNNNNNNNNNNNNNNNNNNNNNNNNNNNNNNNNNNNNNNNNNNNNNNNNNNNNNNNNAGUACGUAUACUACGUAGUAUAUAUAUAUAUAUAUAUAUAUAUAUAUAUAUAUAUAUAUAUACAUAUAAUAUAUUAUAAAACAAUUCACAGUUAUGCAAAUAUAGUAUCCCAGCGUCAGACAGAACACGAGUAUUGCAAGUGCAGUAAAAGCAGGAAAAACACGUUCAACCUUGCCUUAUUUCCUUAUUUCCGGUUGAUCGUUGUACAAACGACUUUAAGAAAAAUAAACAACUGGAAAGUAAAAUCAUGAUUUUACACUCUUAGAGCAGAUUAAUCUAAAUACCAAACUAGGAGUAAAUACAUUUUCAGAACAACUGACUGAAUAUCGAAGGGUCCAAAUUGUUUUUUAUUCAGAGUUUGAAAAAUCUUGAACAAAAAAUAGAGGGAAAGCUAGAGACUGCAUUGGAAGUAACUGAGAGUUCUGUUUUACUGUAAAGAUAAAGUUGGGUGAUGGAGAUGAAGAUCGUUAGAACACCAUAUGAAAACAUUAUUGGAACACAAAUUGCAACUGGAAAUAACAGCUAGUGACUAAAACUCGGAUGUUUCUGCAGGCACUUUCUCUGGAGCUCAUUCAUGUCUUCUCUUUUUGUAUGAUCAGCAGAGCGCUCCCAGGAAAUUCAGACUGAGAAUGAGGCACAGCCAGCACUGCAUGGAAAUAUGAAGAGAAACGCUGUGUCAUUGAAAUCAUGGAGCAAACUUGAUAAAGAAAAAUAAUAUACAAAGCGAGUACGUACAAGGUAAGUAACUUACUCAUAUCUUGCAUGCAUGCAUCCAACCUUUUAUUCAGUCGACCGACUCAGCAGCCCAUCACGGCGCACACAAUCCAACUUACUCAUAUAUUGUAUGCAUGCAUUCUUUAUUCAGUUGACCGACUCAGCAACCCAUCACUGCGCACACAAUCCGCUCGCCCCGGUAUGGCCGUGUGGCAAACAAAUCCCAGACAGGCGGUUCCCCAUCCGGGGUCCAUGAAUGAAGCUCAACCACCUUUUCAUCUGUUGAAUCGUUUGGACGCCCGAUAACAAUCAGCCGGUCACCACACGCUCGGAAACCCAUGUCCCAGCCAUCUUUGUCCUUAGACUGCACGGGCAAUUUUCCAAGAGUGGUCCACUUGUUGUCCAGCUUAUCAUACAGCUUCAAAUCAUUAUUCUCACUGUAAUCAGCAGCAUAAAGCUCGUUGUUCACAACCGCAAGGAGCGGAGGAGCUCCCGCGAAUGUCUCGUUGAGCCCCUGAGACAUGUUGUCGAUGACCCUCCAUGACCGCAGGUUCAAGUCAUACUCCUCACCGCAAGUCAACACCUGGUGGCUACUGGAAUAACCACCGAUGACAUAGAACUUGCCGUCCAUGAAGGCGCCAGAGCAUCCGUACCUGGCCCUAUUCAUGCUGGGAAGGGGUGUCCAAGUAUGUGUCUCCGAGUCAUACAUCUCUGCCGUGCUCAAUACAUUAGUACCAGAAGGAUCAAGGCCUCCCGCGACGUACGCCUUCUCACCUACACUGGCUGACCCAAACCAGGCCCGCGGGGUGUUGAUCGCAUCAGCAUCAGCAUCAGGCAGCCCUGUCCAUGAAUUGGUAAGGAUGCUAUAUCUCAAGGAAACCCCUGCGGACCCAAACACCAGCAGCUCGGUUCCUACAGCCAGUGACUCCCAGAAUCUGCUUUGAGCCGGUGGCAUCUUGGGCACUUUGAUCCAGCGCCCGGUGGACGGGUCAUAAGCAUCCCACUCCGGAGGAUUAUUAUUACCGCAGGAGAGGUAGAUCCAGUGCUCUGCCACCCCAUUCUUGCGACGAAGGCGGUAGAUGUCCCCGUCGCGAACCACCGAAUUGAAUUCACGGUUGAGGGAGGCGAUGGAGGCGCCGUAGUCCCGCCUGGACACAAGGUGGAGGCAACGGAUGAAGAGCUCCCGACCUAUCACAUCAAUGGUAUUGCUCCACGACACCACGGUCUGCUGCGCUCCACCUGACAAAAGCCAACAGCUCAUCCAUCGUCUUACUAAUUUCUACGAGUAAUUAAUAGCUAUUGGAACUCCUGUUGACUGAAUAGCAUACCUGGAGGAUUCAGGCGUGAACAGGACUCUGGUGACCUCGAUGAUACCCUGCAGGUUACAACUACCAUUUAGAGCAUGAGCAUGAAUAGUCAAAUCAGGUUUAAUCGAAUAACUCAACAUCAACAAAAGUAGUUUACAACAGCAACAAAAGUAGUACCUUUUAUCGCCAUGGGAACCGGAAUCCACUAAUUUCACCUCGAUUAUAGGAUUGCUCAGAUGAUUGCUAACAACACCGAUCCUCGCGACAUACUGCAGAUCAACAGCCGCACCCCCAAAUUUAGCGGAGACCUCUCUAAGGCCCGUCAUAUGCUCGAUGCUGAUUAGUGCAUUACCAUGUCGAUAUUGUCUCCACUGGUCACGCUUAGAAUAAAGUUCAAGUCGUUGGUCCAUUUGAGGGAUGGCGUCGAAAACAAGCCUGAGCUUCCAGAGAUUAGGCAUUGCGUCCGCCUCAAAUCUUAGCCAAGCUAUUCCACUCAUGAACCUCAGCUUCAAGUACUUGAGAGCUGUGAAUCCAGCAGCCGUGCCAAAGAUUAUCUUAACAUUAGGUGACUUGUCCACAUACAAUGACAGGGCAGUGAGGGCAGGAAACCCACUAAGAAUAUCAACGUCAUUUACUGACAGUCCAUCCACUGCAAUCUUCAGAAUGCAUAGGUUGCCAAGUUGGAUCUUCCACCUAUGCAUUUCGCAAAAUACGACGGGGCUGUGUGGUGAGACCUCGAAUCUCUGGAGAUGGUGGAUAGGUCUAUCCAAGACCCACAAAACUCUUGCUUCUGAAGCGUCACCAUAGCUAACCGAGGAUCCAUGAGCCACCAGUUUUACAGUUUUCAGGCUGUCAUGUUCAUACAUUAAAUAAUCCAGAACAUACAUGUUUCUCUUCAAAUGGUCGGAAUCUGAAGAAGGCGAUGUAGAAAUGCAAAGAUCCUGCAGGUGGCUCGGCUUGCAAAGGCACAUAUCAUCACCGACAGACCAAUCCAGCAAAUUUGUGUCAGGAGGAAGACUGAGGUGCAACAAGCGUGGGAGAUAUAUAAUGUCCCAUGGAACAUAAGUCCCCCUUGGUGUAUCCAUAACAUCAAGUGUUUCCAAACACUGCAGCCCUCUCAUCCGGUUCGGAAGUUUUAUGCAUAUAUCACAAACAAUCUUCAGAUAUCUAAGAUGGAACAGUUCGCAUAUCCCAGUGAGGUCUUGGUCGCCAUUAUGAUGGCCAGAUAGAUGAAGGUUCAGAACACGAACAAGCUUGAACUCUUCAAUGCAAGGCAUGCUCUCCGAUAAUCAUAAAACUCCAAGUGAACGUACUUGUGACUUUCUGAUGUUUGCUGGUAUCUUGGCAUAUUUUGCAUCACCAAGCUGGAGAGAUAGUCGACGGACCUUAUGAGAAAGCGUCAAAUUCUUUCGAUUGCAAUCUACUACCACAAGAAAAUUCUCUUCAGCAGACUUGUGUACAAUAAGAUCAUGCACCACGGCAUGAACUGUGCAGGACACCACCUCAUUGUUGAAGUUGAUAGACACAGGUUGGAUGAAUCUUCUAUCAACAAGUUCAUCGAAAUACGUUCCUGCAACUUCCUCUGUGUCUUGCCCUUCACUUGCAGCAAUAAACCCUUCGGCCACCCAUUGCCUGGCCAGGUCAAGUUUGAAGAUUAUGGAGCCCACUGGAUACAUACUAAAAUAGAGCAAGCAUGUCUUGAGGUAAUGAGGAAGGUUGUUGUAGCUGAGGUUCAGUACAUGUCUCGUUCUUUCUGAAGUUGAAUUUGAUGACAAACAAGACACUAAUGAAUCAUGUAUGUGUGUGAAUAAAUCCACUGAUACAGAAGGAUGGUUUGCUAAAACACUUGCUAUGCUGAUGGUCGCUAGUGGCAAUCCAGCACAUAUUUCUACAAUUUGGCUUGAAAUUAGUUUGAAUUCUUCAGGACAGUCACUUUCAGAGCCAAAAAUCCUGCCAAAGAAUAGUUUCCUUGAGUGACCAUCAUCCAAAGGUUUCAUCUCAAAAACUUGUUCUGGGUGACCGCAGCAACAUGCUAAUGCAACAUCUUCAAUCUGUGUAGUAGUUAUUAUUCUGCUGCCUUGACUACCCUUGGGGAAAACCUGAUUAAUAACGUCCCAUGCCGAUGUAUCCCAUAAAUCAUCAACAAUAAUUAGAUACCUGCAUGCCAAGAAAGUCCACACAUGUCACAUCUAUGUGCCAGGCAAAUGGCAACAACACUGAGAUAUUUACUAUUUAGUCCGUGCUGACUUGAAGAGUAAAACUAAUGUCGCUAGUUGACAUGCCUUUUUUUGAAAAAAAAGAUCAACCUGUAGGGAUUUAAUGUAGUACAUGCGAUUCUAGACCAUGUGAAAAAUAAGUACAUUCUUUUCUAGCUCACUAUAAAGCUUGCCUUUAAAAGAUUGACUAUAUAUCAUCAUGCCUUAUUUUUUUUGUGAAAAACAAAGGAGGAACCUGUAGGGAAUUUAUGUAAUACUCCCUUUGUAAACUAGAAUAGUGAUCUAAAUGCUCUUAUAUUAGUUUACGGAGGGAGUACUUGUGAUUCUGGACAUUCAUGGAUACAACUAGUACAUACUAUUUGCAUGUGGAAAAUAAGUACCUCUUCCCAUGUAGAUAAUUCCUGAUAUUGUCAGCAGUAAUGCGAAGUUCAUCAGAAGCCUUUUGGCUUGCUUGGGGCUGCUUCCUAUGGAUUUGUGAUAGCAUGUCAUUCAAAAGCUUCUUUAUAUCAGGCUUUUUGGACACCUGGAUGAAAGCUCGGCAAUCAAAUUUUCUCCUAAUUUUAUUGUACAGGACUUUCGCAAGCAUUGUUUUACCAAGACAUCCAGAUCCAUGAAUAGACACCACCUUGAGCUGCUCAUUCUCAUCAUUAGCCAGCUGUGAGUUGAUAAACUUGUUCAUCCGACCAUCAAUUACUAGGCCAGAACAAGUUUUCUCACAAGGCGGUGGAGGCAUUGGCAUUAUAGGCCCAAUGGCAGAAAAUCUACAUGCCGUCGAGGUACUACAAUAGAGGACUUGGUACCUCUCGUACCGUCGGAUAGCAUCCAGGGCAUAGAUCCUGAAUUCUGAUAACUUUCCAAUCAUCUGCUGGUACCACUUGAGCCUUCUGGGAGCACAAAUGACAUCAACACAAAUGAUUUUGGGGAUAACGUGUUCUAGCACAUGAGGAAUGACAUACUCAAUUUUCUUCUGCCACUUGAGCUUCUUGGCAAUCUUAAUAAGACCCAUCUUGCGAACAGAUCUGCAUUCCAUAAGCUCAAGGGAUACACGGUUGUCAAUAUAAUCAAGGAUAUCAUAGGAUAACUCGUGUGCCUCUUUCAUCCAACACCUCACCGCCAUGGGAGGGUCCUCCACCUCUAACAGAUCUUCAAGGUAUGCACUUAUUUCUUCAACAUUAUCUUUUAGGAGGUGAAAUCUGUCAUGGAGCCCCUUGGCUAGCUUGCAUCCUUUUGGACCUAGCAUAAUGUCGAGCUUGUUAAGGAGGGAUCCCAUGGCGCCCAUUGAAACACUGAAGGGGGCCUCCACGUCUCCGUGUUUGCCUUCCAUUGACACAUCUGGAUGAAAGAUAGACGAAAAAGAAAAAAAUUAUGUCGCCAGCACAUUGAAACAGGAGAAACACGAGAGAGAACAAAUUGCAAAAAGACAUAGAGUAACACUUUGAUUGGUCAUAAAGUAAAAGAUUAAAUGUUGCUUUGGAGUUGGUGUUUGUCAAUUAACUACCAAAUUGAAGAACUAAAACUUCCUCCUACUUGGAGGAAAUAACCGUGUAAAUAACAACAGAGCACACGCCUAGCUCUGCAGCUGAAGGGGCCAAGGAUCUCAUAGCGUGUUUUUUUCCUUUGACGUGCAAGGCAGGAGCUCUGCCGAUUUCAAAAAGAGAGGAAAAAAUAUUCAGAGUGACCGGGUUUAUAAGGGAACUAGGCCGGCAAAGACAACAACUAUGAAAGAAAAGAGAAAAGAACAACCACGAACGACAACCCAAGCAGACCACGACCACCUAGUAUGCAAGCUUUUGAGAGAGGUCGAAUGCAAGAUCGUCAUCAACACCUUCAAAAAGAAAAACAACGUCUGAGUAUGUCGCUGUCACCGGCAUCACCCAACCUAGACGACAAAUCUUUCUCCUACACCCUUGCAUAACUACCCCACUGAACCACGGAAAUGGCUCACCCUAUCCAACAACCUCCACACCACUUCUGGCGUUGGUUGACGCCAGGCCGCUGUGAACCUUACUUCUGCAAAAAUGCGACAACAACAAACCAGACCAGGAGGAAUAGAAAGAUGUAAUGGCCACCACAAACACCACCACUACUAUGACAGCUUUGUUAAGCUACAACACAACUCGUGGCUCUACAACCGUGCACCAACACUCCACACAACAAUCAGGAGGAGUCGUCGUGCCAACUGCAGAAAAUGUAUGUCGUCCCACACAAUGGCCAUGGCCCGUACAACCCAAUUGGAGCUGCAACCAAGAAACACUGAUGAUGCAGCCUUGCCAGGCUCCAUAUCAGGCUGUUCGCUCACCAACUAUGUUAUGCUCUGCUACCGCAUGCUUGUCCUGCAAGGCCAGGAAUGGGCCCACAUGCCCUCCUCCACAGGAAGCCUGCCGCGCCAUAGGCCCUGCAAGGCCAGGAUUGGACCCCAACCACAGGCCCCAGGUCAAGCCUGGAUCACAAUGGGAACUCCAUGAGGAGUCUUCACUGCCGAAAUCACUAGUUGAAGAGUAGACCUUUCAACGAUUAUUCCCACCUCCCUAGAUUGGCAAGUGACGCACUGCAUGCGUGUCACUUGUCGCAACCGGGGAGUUUCUCCUUUUUUCGUAGAUCUGUAUUUUCAAAACGUUUUAUCUCCUAAACCAUGCGUUCAAAUCUUGAACUGUUUUCACCGUUGGGUUUUCGAGAUCUUCAAAAUUAGAUCCCAUGUUGAUAGGUUUUAACAAACUUUUUUUUCAUGAAAAAAACCGGACGCACAAAUCGACGUUUUUUCCCCUUUCCGAGAGGCACAGCCGUGCCUCUCGCGAUAAUGAAACCGUGCCUCUUGCGGAAAAAAGAGAGUAGAAAACGCGGAAAAAAGAGAGAGCAGAAAACACGUUUUCCCCUUUCCGAGAGGCACCUCUCGUGAUAGAAAAACCGUGCCUCUCGCAGAAGCAAAACUGUCCCUCUCGCGAAAAAAGAGAGAACAAAAAACGUGUUUUUCCCCUUUCCGAGAGGCACGGCCGUGCCUCUCGCGAUAGCAAAAACCGUGCCUCUCAGGGAAGCAAAACCGUGCAUCUCGCAGAAAAAAAGAGAGAGCAGAAAACACGUUGUUCUCCCUUUCUGAGAGCCACGGCCAUGCCUCUCGCGAUUGCAAAACCGUUUCUCUCGCGGAAGCAAAACCAUGCCUCACACGAAAAAAAUAGAGCAGAAAACACGUUUUUCCCUUUUCGAGAGGCACGGCCGUAGGAAAAAAACACGAAAAAACCACUCCAAAAAGUAGAAAACACGUGCGAAAAAAUAAAAAAAGCAAAAUACAAAAUAACGCUCAGAACCAGGGCCGGGCCGGCAAAAUCUGAGGCCCUGUGCGAAACUAAAAAAAUAAGGCCCUAUCUCACUUAGAAAAUGAGUUAACGAGCAACUAUAGAAAUCAGACUAAUGUUUUUCAUUAUAAUGCAAAUCUGUAUUACCGAAACACAAUAUAAAAAGCUAAAUUUGAUAAAAUUAAAUUAUAAAGUAGCAUAUAUUAAUUGAAUAUCAUGCGUCAAUGUUUGGAUAUUAGACAAUCCGUUUAACUUACCUAAUUUUGGGUCAUGUCCUGUUGAACUGCUACACUAUAAUCUUUAACUGAGGAGGUAAAUACCAAUUUCUACGAAGUAACGAUCCUUGUCAAAAGUUAACUAGAAAAUUCGAAACUAGGAAUAGGAACAUAAGUUAAUCGAAAAGCGAGACUCGCUAAGCACUUGAAGGAUAGAGUCGGUCACAGAUAGACCUGACGAGGCAACGAAUUUAAAAUUCGGGAGAGAAAAGUACGAAGGCAACAACGACAACAGUCUAAAUUCAAUUGAUCUGAUGAGACGAAAGCGACCAAACGAUCAUGUUCCCUAUAGCGACCGUACCUUUUUUAGACUGACAUUAGCGCUUCCAUAUUAUCGAUCGAGCGGUUUCCUUUUUUUUAAAGAAAUAUCGAUGAAGCACCUGUGCUUGAUGGCUUGACUCGGGCCCAACUCUAGCUUUUGAUCGACUAAGUCCCAAUUCCAACGAGUAUGCUUUUUUUUGUGUGUGAAAUAUUGCUUGUUUUAUAUACAAAAUUUGGGGCCCUUCGAAAUUGUGGGCCCUGUGCAGGUGGCACAUUUGGCACCACAGUUGGCUCGGCCCUGCUCAGAACACGACACGUAGCGUCGAUUGAGAACACGCCAAAUGACGGCGCGCGGGAGUUUUCACUGGAAGACUUCCGAAAAAGUGCUCGCUAACUAGUUGCUCCCCUUUGCUAGGAAAACACCUAAUGGAUGGGACACGCAAUACUGUUGGAAAUAACCACGACACGUUUCGUGUCCGGUUUGUACACGCUCAAUCUCCUAGUUGUAGUUGUAGUAGGAUGAGAUUUUCUAGCCGAGUUUGAUUAGAUCGGAUCGGUUCUCGUUGCUGCUAUAUAUACAUCUGUAUACCCUUGUAUUUUGUACUACCAUCAGAUCAAAUCAGUACAAAGAAAAAUCAGGACCGAUACGGUCCUGUGGCCAUAAGUCGACGACUUCGCGUAUUGUGUUCUGGCGACUUGAUAUGUGCUAGAUAGCUAGACACGAUAAUCCAUCCACCAAGGUGCUUGCUCUUGCUUGUUUACUAUGGUACAUACACGUCUCCGCUGAAGCAGUCGGACAUAAUCGGCUGCAGCUUGUGCGUGCGCAAUCUGUUGGAAGAACCCGACAUCUGUGUUGUCAAGAUUCGGGAUCUAUGCUAACAAUUGGUUUCACAGCAGGGUCAUGUCGAACGACGAGGAGAACAAGCAGCUCGCGGCGUAUUUGGGUGCGGCUAAAAUAUUUGUUGCUCGGGUAAGUUCGUAGUACCCACGAUUUGAUUGUAAGAACUUCAGGGUCUAGAAGGCCCUCAUGAAGUGUGGUAUCCGUGCAAACGAGUUUUGGAACACAGUCGAUCUAGGAGGCGAAGCUUUCAAAAAGGAGGGAGCCGAGCAUCGGAAGGAUCGACAGAUGGCGUCGGUGAUUUACUCGAUGAUGCCGAUGGAUUUCCUCCACCAACACUUAAUUGUCAAAGAAACAACAAAAGAGGCAUGGGAUACCUUGAUUCUCACGUGAAGGACACACCCGUGUCAAGCAAGUCAAUCUCCAAACUCUCUUAAAGAAUUAUGAGCCCAGCUCCCGAUAGAAUCCUCGGGCAAGCUGUUUAACUAGUGCCGCGCCGGUCCUUUUAGCUUGAGAGGUAGGUACUUGAUGGCGUGGAAAUCAUCCCCUCUUGCCAUAUGAAUGUGGAGAAGAAAAUCUUGUAUCCACACGGCGGGGUCUGUAGUCUCGUCAUAUUGUUCUAUAUUUACGGGUUUAAACCCUUUCGGGAAUUGGUGCUGCAUUACCUCGUUUGUGAACCAUAGUGGGUGUGCGACGUCCUUGACCCGUGCUAUGUUGUUUCGGAGAUCGGCCAUGGGUUGUGCCGGGUACGGUUCCCGGUAUCUGUUGUUGUAGGUAAUCCGAGGAGAUCGGCCAUGGGUUGUGCCGGGUACGGUUCCCGGUAUCUGUUGUUGUAGGUAAUCCGAGCGGUUCUCCAUUCCAUCAACUCGGGGAGUACCUCUUGGAUCCGUUCUAUUAUCCAGGUCGUCGCAGGUCCUGACCACCCCUAGGGCGCACUUGUUCCUUUCCUUUUCUGCAAGGAGGCUCGGGUUUAUACUCGGUUUCUCCAGCCGCUCUGUCGCGCCAUCGAGGUAGGCGAUCAGGCUCGUCGUAGUCCGUGCGUUUUGGAGACGUGGGCUCUGGGGCCUCAUCGUCGAAUUGUGGCAGCAGGCGCCGACGUGGGUAGCUCUUCUUCUGAUCCGGCUAUCCAUGACCGUAUUCUUCUUCGACGGCCAAUACCUUGGUCCACCUGUUGUUUAUGGUAUCAUGUUCGGUCGGGGGUUGUCGUUGCUUCCCUUUUAAGCUUCAGGCGGUAGCUAUGAGAAGCUGCCUAAACUCUUCCUGACCUCCAAGGUCCUCGGGAAUUGCAAAGUCUUCCUUUUUUGGGUCGUCGUCCGAUUUGUUGAGGUCAUCGGGGUCGUUCUGUGCUUCGGGCUUGUCCGGGUCUUCUUGUGGCUGUUCUGGAACCUUGAGGUUAUCACGGUCCUCUGGGGUUGUAUUUUCUCGAGUGCCCUGUGCAGAAAUCUUUCCCUUGCUUGCCUUGGCACGCUUACGCUGCCUUCGGCGCUUUGGUGGCUACUCCCUGAAAUUGUCACCGUUUGGUUUGGGGGUAAGGUCGCCGUUGUUAUCGGGCGUGUCUACCAUGUAGACAUCAUAAGUGGAUGUUGCUGUCCAUCGCCCUGUAUUUAUAGGAAUGGGGUCAUCAUCCUCGUCGUCCAUAUCUUCCAACUCCUCGGAGGCAUAAUACAACGCGUCGGUUAAAUCUUUGACGGUGGCUACCAACUGGGUGGUGGGUGGGCCGUAAAAGUCCCCAUAUUCUGCCUCUGAGCCAAAUUGUGAACAGGUCGGGCACUGGCUGGUUGAGAUGCGUAGCGAUUGGAUCUGACUGAUCAUCUCGUUUAACACUGAGGGCUCGUCCUGAUCCAGCGUUGGGUGUUUUCUGAAGUUGACUUCCACGGCCUUCGUGAGGGAGGCGCGUUUGUCAAACGCCGUUUGCUGUAGUCUCGGCACUGAGGCCUUGUCCGAGCUAAAAGCUGACUCUUCGGCGAAGAGGGGUUCGAGGCCAUGGACGGAUGUGGGACCCGAAGUUAAGACUUCGGGGUUUUGGAUCUCAUUGACCGAAGCCGGGAUCUUGGCGGGGAUCAGAUCGGCCCGGUUGAGAAUCCAAGAUUCCUAAACCUUAUCUGCUGAUCGGGGACAAAACCUCCGAUCUGGCCAGACCGCUGGUCAAGUCUGAGCGCAGCGUGACACUGCCGAACGAGAAAACCUGCCCGGGGACGAAGAUGUCCCCAUUGCUGAUUCGAUCGCUGACGAUUAGGCGAGCCAUCGAUCUCUCGGUCAAUCAAACAACGAAACUCUCAUUGGAAGGACCAAUGUCGGUGUCAAAACCACCAGAUCUAGGGUAGGGGGUCCCGAACUGUGGACCUUGGAUCGAUGGGUUGCAGGAGGAGGGGGAGACAGUAUUUACCCAGGUUCGGGCCCUCUUAAUGAGGUAAAACCCUACGUCCUACUUGAUUAUAUUGAUGUGGAUGAUGAUUACAGAGUUGAUGUACCUCGAUAUCAUAUAAGCUAAACCCUAGAUGAGUCAACCUGUCUACAUGGACGAGGACCCCCCGGUUUAUAUACUCAUCGGGGGAUCUAGGGUUACAUACAACCGACCUAGUCUACUGUACUUCGACGUCACGCCUGUCUUCGAAUGUUCCUUCCUGAGUACGAGGUCGUCAUAUAGUCCAGCCUUUAAUAACACGGCCCACCGAGUCGGCCCACAAGAAAUGAACCGGCUGCCCGAGUUACCCCUUAAUCCCAGACUCCCUCGGCCGCUAAGGCUGCCUGUAAUGGGAGUAUGAUAGGUAGUAUUAUGCAUGCCAACUAGGCAAUUUUGAUGAGAUGGCAUAGAAUUACAUGAAGAAAAAGAGGAUUAUGUAUCAUAUCAUGAUAGCGUAUCAUAUUAAAUAUGAUGUGCUAUUAUGUGUCUUGCAUGGCAAAAAAAUAAACUACCCUAUGAUACUAUACAUUACGGAUAUGAUAUCAUAGAUACUAGUACUACCUCCGUCACAGUUUAAAAGGCACGCACGUGUAUCUAGGUCGCCAAUUUAAUUUAUAUAAAAUCUAUUGUUUAAUAUAAAAAUUAUAUCAUUAGAAAAUAAAACAUCUAAAGUUUUUAAUGGUAUAUUGUAAUAUAUGUUUAUCAUUAAGUUGGUCAAAUUAACGACUUAGGUACAUGUGCCGGACUUAUAAAUUAAGAUGAAGGAAGUAUAUGAUACUAUCGAUUACAACCAACCUAACAGAAAACAAUGAAUGCAUGAAAAUAGCAAUUAAAUCCCAGUUUCCUCUUUUCUUUAGUGCCAGAUGCAUUCGGAACUUCUUGUUUUAAUUCCUUAGUAGAAUUCGUAAAAUAGAAGUACUAACGAAUAGCGAGUAGAUAGCAUAGAUACACCAUAUUUGGGGAAUUUGAGGUUUUACAUCACAUGGCGGCCAAGGGGGUCUGCCAACAGCACCCACUGUAGUCACCCGCUGCAAAGAUGAAGACACUCUCGCAGACGACAACCUCAAGCAGUGGCAAGGUGAGGUAAUAGGAGGGGAGAGGGUAGUGGCAGCGCUAGGUUUCACCCUCGUGUCGUCAAGAGGGGAUAGAGAAAUUAACUUGCAAGGGAGAUCGUGCACGGAAAAAUCUUGUACGAUACCAUAUCGUUGUUAGUAUUGAAAGGCCACCAUCCACAAUAUAUGACAUCACUUCAACAAUCUCGCCCAAAACCUUUGUGAGUUCGAGCAGAGUAUCCACAUCCACCACAAUGUUAAAAGUAUAGGGGCUAGUGGGUCACACUUAUGGAGUCCACCUUCGUCAUAGAUUUUUGUAGCGACCUCACGUCAAGAGAUGAAGUUACGGACCCCACCGCACAAUUUCUCGGAAGAGGCCUUCAUUCUUAUAUACUCCCUUCGUUUUUAAAUAUAAUUUUUUAUUUUUUUAUUACAGGCUAUUUUUUUUAGAGAAGGAGGUUAAACCUCCGGCCUCUGCAUCAAUCGAUGCAUGCAGCCACCUUAUUAAUUAUUCCACAAAAGUCUAACAAGAGUAUACAUCAAUCCAUCCAAAGCCACCAUUCACACCUACAAACUCGAUAAUAUGGAGUGCUCUCACUCCAACCGGUGUUGUUUCCAAUCCAUCCACAUAACGUAUCGGGAACAACAGUCGGUGCAGCACACCUAAAACGCACACCUCACGCACACGUUUUACCAGCCGCCAUCAUCCUCGAACCACUGACCCAUCAUCCUUGCCAGUCCAAUCAUCCGUCGACACUACCAUGGCGCCCAACGACGCCACCGCCCUGCGCUCAUCCGUCCAGAUGCGAAGACUCCGGGAGACCUGUCGUGCGUAGCACCUGCCAACCAGGCAUGACUCAGCGUAGCACCUGUCGGCCAAGCAUGACUUGACAGCUCCACCGAAAUACCGUGCAAGACGAAGCCGCUCCACCUUCUGCCUCAGUCUGCCAGCGCUGCUCCACAAACGAUGCUCCCAAGGGAGAAACGGCACCGCAGUACCGCCAUCGUCCGAACUGGAAGACCAGAUCCUAGAGUUUCCCGCGAAGUAGUGCCCACCACCAGCAACCGUUCAGGACCCACACAGUGCCCACCACCACUCAGCCCUCAAGGCGACGCCUUUAGGAAGGUCACGACGUCAAGGACGCCGCCGCCGCCCAACGGAGUUAGGGUUUUCACCCGAGAGGCAAGGAAGGGGAGCAGAGGAGCAGAUGUAUACCGUCGUCUCCAAAAAGAAUAACGGCGCCCUUAAGCGUCGUCGUUGGCGCGGCCGACCUGGGCCAACCAAGGGGUUUCCCCCAAUCCGAAUCUCCUCCACCAACUUCACCCACAGGAAGGGCCCCGGCAACCAUGUCGGCACCGCCAAGAAUCCACAGGAGAGAGGCCCACCGAUCAGGACCUGGGGGGCGCAGGUGACGGUGCGAGCAGCGACCGACGAAGGGGAACAACACACCUUCACAACGACGCUUCCAAGAAAGAUAGCGGCACCCGCGGGUGUCGCCGUCGCGGCUCCGAUAAAGACCCGAGCAAGGAUUUUUCCUGGAGCUGCGCUGGAUAUCCACCGCCACCGACCGCUGAGCAUGGCAGCCACGCACCAUCACGACCCCCAGCCAAGGCCACUGCACCGCGCGCCCUGGACACUGCUCAUGCCCAGCCGACCAGCGCAGCCACGCCUGGCUGCCGCUCCCUACCACCAGGGCCGAGCGCCCAGCUAGAUCCGGCCAUGGAGGCCCGGAUCCGCCCUCCACCGCCGCCGAUUGGCGAGAUCACACCGGAUCCCGCAACCGCCGACGCGGGGCGCCGUCGUCAGAGCCCGAAGGCCGACGCGAGGGGCCCCGCCGCCGCCAUCCCCGGAGCGCUCGCGGCUUCGCCGACGCCCCCUCCGGCAACGGCGAAGCGGGAGAGAGGCAGAGAGGGGUCCGAUGGCUGCGCGGUGCGUGUCUCUACGCGAAGAGGAUGCGCGCCGGCGACGUGCUCGCGAGCCGCCGGACUAGAGGAGCGUGGGCCGGGCAGAUCGGGAGCCGGCGAUGUCCCUUCCACUCUUAUCUCACUUGCCUCAUAUCCUGGCGGCUGGCAACGGACACGAACGGAGCCCGCAGCAGCCCCGGCGGCGGCGCUAGAUCCCCGUUCCUUCCUUCCUCCGCGAAGGACCGGCAACCCUCGCAAGACCCGCUUGAGCGACUAGGUUAGGGAAGGAGGAGGCGGAUCUCUAUUGCAUGGAUGUGAGCAGGGCCUUAUGGACUAUAUACGGAGCAAAAUGAGUGAAUCUACGCUCUACUGUAUGUCUAUAUGCAUCCGUAUGUAAACUAUAGUGGAAUCUUUAAAAAAAACUUAUAUUCAUGAACAGAGCAAGUAUAAGAUAAGAAAGGUACUAGUUUCCAUCCAGCGAGUUUUCUUACGUAGCACAUGAACUAUUGCUUGCCAAAAAUGGACAGUAGUGUAGAUGUAUUACUGCCAGUAGUUUCAGGUUCAGCACGAGUUAUGUCCUUGAUAAAAUUGUCAAGAAAAUAAUGCAGCAUCCGACUAUAUAUGUUAUAUGUAGAUGAGAAAGAGUAAUAAAGUGCAACUGAACUUUUUACGUACUGGUUACGGAAAAUAUAAAAGAAAGGAGAGAAACAAAGAAAAGUGUUUACCUUGGGUUGGAUAAAAAAGGACGACCCUCUCCUCCUCCUGCUCCAUAACGCCAUGAUCCAGCAUCUUGUUGCGGGCCUCGCUGCACUCUGAGCAGGGCUCGGAGCCGACUCUCUUACAGGCUUGGCACACGAAGGCGCGGCACGGCCUUGGGGAACCGUCGAGGAGGGGCCGCAGCCCGCCGGACUGGUGCAGCUUCCUGACAUCGUCAGGGCCGCCCACGGGCCGUCCACCGACGAGGAGCUGCGGGAGGGAGAAGGCGCACCCCCGAGCCGCAAGCAACGACUUGAGCUCGCUGCGGUGCGCCUUGCUCGUGGACACGUCGCGUUCGUCCAUGGUCAGGCCGUACCCCUGCAGCAGGGCGCGCAAGGCGUAGAGGUCGGCCGAGGCGCGCCCUCUGCGGCGAGACGCCGACGCAGACGCCGUGUAGAGAACCACCUCCGGCUGCAGCAGCUCAUGCUUGCCGUGCGGCCCGGACGACGAAGAGCUGCCGUCCGGCGGCCUCAUCGAUCCGAAGUAGAGCGUAGUGGCGAGAGGAGAGCGGAAGCAGAUGACUGAGAAGGGAACAAGUGAUGCCUACUCUUGUAGUAGUACAAGCAAAGGAAUUUAUUAGGACGUAAUGCCUUUUACUGCCGUGCCUGCUUCCUUGCGUUUAUAUAUAUUAGUAUCAAAUUCCUCGGACGCAAUGCCUUUUUGUCGAUUGCCAGUGGUGCGUUACCUUUUUUUAGGGAAUCCUUUGCCUCUCCGGCUCACGCUGAUUACUUCAAAAUACUAGAAUCUGAUUGAACAGUUUUAUUGGAUUCUUCUCUGCUCCGGAUUUGAAAGACAAGUAUUCCCUCCGUCCGUUAAAGAAUGUACAAUUAGCUCAUUGGGGUUGAGUAAUUACACAGAAGAGAGAUGAUGGCUUGCACCUUUUCAAUGUAUUUUUGUACUCUACUUCAUAAUUUGUCUUGAAAUAUCUAUAUGUGCAUUUAUUACCGGACGGAGGGAGUACUCUAUGCCAAAUAGAGAUGUUCCACUCAACCACUACGAAAUAAAAAGGCUACACAAUCGACGACAAAAACUUUUGCUGGAAAUGGCAGAGUAUUUUGCUGCAACCGUCGUUAUUUUUUGCCACUACCGUCUUUCUGUUUGCUACAUCCACUCAUUUUUGCUGCAAGGACGGACAUUUUUGCUGCAACAGGCUCAUUUUUUGCUACUACUGUCUUUUGUAUUUGCUACGUCCACUCAUGAGGUCAUGGUGCUUUUUUAUGACCGAGAUGCGACCGGCGACGAUGAGGACGACAUUUUUUGUUGCAACUGCCUCGCUUUUUUGCUACUACAAAACGACGUGUUUUGCUGCAUCCAUUCACGAGGCCAUGAUGCUUCAAGCGCAACGGUGAUCACGAAAACAAGAUGCUGGUGUGGGGUUGUCGCGAAUCCUGGCGAUGAGAACUAGCAUGGAGCAGGAGGGGAGGGGAGGGGCGGUGCUGCGACCAGAGGAAGGUGUGCAGUAGGGCGUAACGCGUGCCCCGACGAGUUGUCCGAGAUGCGGGGAGGAAGGGGGCACGUGUGCGAGAUGCAGGGGAGGAGAUGAGGGCGUUGCGCGAGGAAGAAGAGAGCUCUGAACAAAUCGCUUUUAUCUAAAUCUGACGGUCUACGCGACCUGGAUCUGACGGCCCGCGCUCGACCGGUCAAAUCUUUGGGCCGACGCACCGGCACCUAUCAGUCCCCACUGAUUAUUGUUUUCAAGGAGACUCUGUGUCAGCCGGCCCACGCGUGCAUGGGAUGAGACAAUAUGGCACGAUCAGCCUCACCUUCACCACACAUGUGGCAUGCACAUGAGACUACUCACAAUGGGAGUAACAUAGAGUAGUAACAUGCAUGUGUUACUAGUCUAAGUUAAUACCUCCAUAAUGGAUAGUAACAUAUUGAUAGUAACAUUGAGACAUGCAUUUAUUAUUUUAUAGACUCAUCUUAUCUUGGUAUGGGCUAUGUUACUCCUUGUAUGAGUAACUAUCUAAAUUACUCAAUUUCUUUUUCUUUUUAUUAAUUAGUUGCCACAUCAUAUUUUUUAUUUAGGCGGAAUUUAUGAUACUACUUUUAUUAUGGGUAGUCUGACAAAGACUCAUGCAUGGGAGUAGCACUUGACAAACCAUGCCGGAAAGGUUGCCCAGAAUUAAUGUUUUGAUUGUCGUGACAUGCUGCUGAUCGCUAGUUAGGUGUCAUAUCUUUUAUUUUGUUUUUGUUGAUAACCUGAAUUUGUACAUGCUCGGUGUCCUGUCUAGAUUUUCACACCGUUAUUAUAGAAGCCAUGUGCAUUUUAGACCCUAAAACUAUUCAAAAUUCAAAGAUCCGACAACGAAAAAAUUACUUCCUUCGUCACGGUUUAGAAGGCGUGUUUCGAAAUUCUCUGUAACCUAGGUGAUUAUUGAUUGGUUGUGAGAUGAGUUAAAAAAUAGCAUUCACACUAUACCUGCAUAUAGAAGUAGUACAACGGAGUAUUAAUUAGCUGCUAAGAGUAAAUGCAAUGCGCCCUAAACCUUGUUUAUUAUGAAAAUGCACGUAAAUUUAACUGUGGCUUCUAAACUGUGAUAGAGAUAGUAAUAUUUUCUUUUUAGGGAAACAUCACUAUAAAUAAUCUAGGUAAAGGCGUCAUCAAGGCGGACCCGCAAACCGCUCGCAUCCGUCCGGACCAUGAAAGCCAUUCAACGGGGGUCUAUAUCGGUCCGCGAAGCAAUUCAGACACGAUUUCUUCACAAACCGAAGACAAAAGCGGGGGACUUUGCGGGAGUCCGGACAUAGCAAACGUAUGAAUUUGACACUCCUGGCCCACCCGAAACCAUUUCCGGACCUGCAACUUCAUCCUCCCCAUUUUCUCUUGUUCCUUCUUUCUUUCUUGCCUUCGUAGCCGCUCCACCCCCCUCCCGCCCCCACAACCACCAUGCCAAACCCCCGCCCGAACAUCUAUGUUUUCGUCACCUUUGAUGCUCUAGCAGGGCUCCAUCCCUGCUUCUCCUCCAUCUCCGUUCAACCCCUGUCCUCUAACCGCCCUGCCAUGUACCAUCCACUACUGCUAUUCAUGCCUUGCUCAACAACAGUUCGAUAAAUUGCCGGAGCGAAAAACACUUGUCCCUUCUUCUUUCUAGCAACGAAUUCCGAUUUGGAGUACAUACAAGAGCAAUAUGUUGAGUCGUCCGACGGCUCGUCGGACGAGGAGUACUCUCAUAAGAGGGUGAUGAUGCAGGCGCUCCAUGAGUAUGUGGAUUGUGCAAAGGAGGAUGUUCUCAAUUUCAAUGGCUCGAUCAAGGGUCACUGAGUGCUCAACCGCAACCGUGCGCGCGAACAUCUGACACUGAUGGCCGACUAAUCUACCCCCAAUGCACUCCCAUUAUCGUCGGCGUUUUCAGAUGAGCAAAGGUGUCUACGAUCGUUUGUACCAUGACGUCCUGUCCUCCAAUGACUACUUAAUCCCAAAGAAGGAUGAUGUGGGAACAAUUGGGUUCUCUGGUUACCAGAAGUGCACGACCGCUGAUUCAUGAGACGAUUACGGAGUAGCUAUGGAUGUCUGAGAGCAUAUGCCGAGAUGCCAUGUUUAGGUUUUCUACUGCCGUGGUCGAGGUGUUCGGGCCUCAGUACCUGGGAGAACCAACUGUGGGAGGCGCCGAGAGGCUCUUGGCAGUCUCAGAAGCAAGAGGGUGGCUAGGUUUGCUUGGAUCUCUUGAGUGCAUUCAUUGAAAAUGGAAGAAUUGUUCGAACACUUUACAAGGGCAAUAUGGGGGCCAUAUUAAGAAUCCCACGAUCAUUCUUAAAGCAGUUGCAUCACAAGAUUUUUGGAUUUGAAACACUUUAUUUGGCAUGCCCAGGUUUCGCAAUGACAUCAUUGUGCUGCAACGAUCACUGUUGUUUGCGAGGCUGACUGAAGGAAAAGCUCCUCCUUGCCGCUAUACUGUUAAUGGACAUGAGUACAACAAGGGUUACUAUCUGGUGGUCAGUAGCUAUCCUCCAUAGGCUACCUUUAUCAGCACCAUCUCAAACCCAAUUGGCCAAAAAAUGGCCCACGCUGUCCAAAGACAAGAAGCAACUAGAAAGGAUGUCGAGAGGGUAAUUUAGAGUUAUGUAGGCCCGUUUUGUGGUUGUUUGUGGAUUUUCUAAACAAUAGGAUCCGGAGACCUUGUGGGAGGUGAUGGAAUGUUGUGUGAUCAUGCACAACAUGAUUGUCGAGCAUCAGGGUGACAAUGCUGCCGCAACUCUAGAAUUUAAGAACAUGGGUGAUCAUAUCCAAUCUCCGGACCCCCCAUUUAAAGAGUUUAUCCAAAUGCAUCAACUAAUUCAGCAGCGACCAACUCACGAGCAGGUGAAGUAAGAUCUAAUUGACCAUCUUUGGCUGGUGAAAACAAUGUUUGGAUGUAAUAUUUGUUUUUUUAAUUUGAACAAGUGUUGCAUGCAACUAUUUGAACAUUAUGUACAAUUUUUAUGCGACUAUUUAAUCGCAUAGAAUUAAAAGAAAACGAGGAAGGCCGGAUGUAUGUGGCUACGGUUAGAUGGUUGUCUCCCGCAUCCGUUUCCACGGAUUAGUACCCCUGUCCGCGGACUGAUGUAAAAACAAUGCGGGUUGCCAUUUGAGAUGCCCUAAGGAGUCACGACGUAGACCAUUCAAGCAACUUCCAGCGCAGAGAGGAGGCAGAUCCACCCAGGGAGGAGUGUAUCAACUUGAUAUUAAUAUGUUGCACUUGAGCUUGAGGUGUCCUUUGGCUCCAGCUCAUUCAAAAUAAAUACAUGUGCGGUCUGUCGCUCGCAUUCUGUCAGAGAUCGGGCGGCUCGCAGUCCUCGCAGUCAGUCAUCUAGCUACUCCUAGUUCUCUGCAUCAGGACCUCCAUUGAGGUGGGCUCCUAGACCUCCAGUAUGUUCUGGUUCGACCGAUGGGCGGGCAAGACCCCCUUUGUUGCCCUCUUCCCCGACCUGUUUGCUAUCGCAGUAGACCCACAGAUUUUCGUCAAGGUGACCCUUAUUGACUUAGGGCGCCUGGCUUUCCCUAGGCCAUUUGGACCCGCGAACACCGUCGCAUGUCACGAACUCCUUGCGACCGUCGCCCUGCACGAACCGGACAUCGACCAGUCUGCCAAUCGCACUUUGUGGCAUCUAGAGUCUUCGGGCAAGUUCUCCGCCAAGUCUUUAUACCAGACCAUCGCUGCCAAUCCCGCUCCGGAGCCCUUUGAGAUGAUUUGGAAAACCAGGCUCUGCCGGAAGAUUAGGAUCUUCAUGUGGCAGUAGAUACGCGGACGGGUCCCAUCAAGAGUGGAGGUGCUCAAGCGACACGGCCCGGGAGACGGACAGUGCCCCCUUUAUGGGAUUGCAGUGGAUUCCAGCCACAUCUUCUUCUCGCACGUUUCCGCGCAAUUCCUCUGUUCCUGCAUCCACGAGACCAUUGGGGGCCUUUGGUAUUACACCAACUUCACCGACCUAUGUACCGAGAUCCAGGCCUCCCCUUCUUCGUGAGGGCACAUUAGAUUGCUGGUUAUUGGUGUCCUCGUGUGGACGCUCUGGACAAUCCAAAAUAAGCUUGUUAUUCAACAUGUGCCUCUUCAACGGGCAACUGAGAUGCAGCUCUGGCGGCUGCUUAGCCAUCAACGGGACUAGGACGACAUCAACUCCAUCAUCGCAGACCUCCGGACCAUGGCCAUCCGCUUGAUGCCGCAGCUACCCCACCACCCCCGAGACGGAUUAGCUUUUGCAUUCACGGUCUUUUCCACAUGUGUGUUGUUUUGUUUUUUAGGGCUUGUUGAGCCGUGCCCUUAGCAGAACCCCUAGUACUUGUUGUCAUGAUACCCUGGUGUGUGUGUGCUUGAAUUUGAACCUAUGCUUGUACUCGUGGUUUGGUGGUUGCUUUAUAUAUAAAGCAGGACGAAAGCCUUUUUCGGUAAAGCACACUAAAUUAUAUCAAGUGAAUUUUCAUGAGAAAGUCAUGUUUCAGGUUUGUUCUAUUUCCUACCAAAUACCUUAUUUUUGAGGUAUUUCUUCUUGUAUUUCAAAGAGCAGCUCACCUGCUGACUUGCUUGGUAGUAUAUAAUGAUACUCAUAUCAAUUAAAUCAAGAUUCUUGACUUCUCCGCAAACAAUUAGUACUCCCUCCGUAAAGAAAUAUAAGAGUGUUUAGAUCACUAUUUUAGUGAUCUAAACGCUCUUAUAUCUCUUACAUCGCGGUGCUAAAUUUGUCACAAAUAGUAUUCCAAUUAAGUUGACUGGGAUCAAAUACAUAUCCAACAACAAAGUAAAAGUAUUUGCUACAGCAGGAAGUUGAUGCUGUCUAGACAAAAAAAAUCUUGGGACGUCUUGGGUGUUUCCUUGCUGCUUCUUUCCACGUAUGCUUUGUGUCACCACCCACUUCACGAUCAAGAGCUAUCUCCUCGAUAUGUCUAAAGUACUUGAUCGCCGAUGAGCCACAAAAGCCAUUUAGAAUUUUACAUAGCAGUCGGGUCAACUUUGUUGGCUUUUGAAUCGUAGAUGAAAUCACUACCGAAGCUAAUACACGUGUGUAAAGUUGACCCGAAAUAAACAAGCAAGCAAGCAGGUUAAUGGAUUCGUAACCUGGCUUGCUAGCUAGCUCUCAAUCGGAUCGAUCAACGAAGGCGUCGGUGACUGCUACAGGCUCGUAUCUAUUGCUUUAUUGCGUUUUGAUCUUUUUUAUCUGAUAUUACAAAAGCUAGGGUAAACGCAUAUAUAUAUGCUAAGCAUUGGCUACUGCUAAUCCUACUCGGUUUGCAAUACUACUACUAAUCCUACUCGGUUUGCAAUACUAAUCAAAUUAGGACACAUGUGUACGUUUGGACUACAACUAGGUUAAUUACUACAUUCACCUCCUUAACCUUGUUGAUGUGUCUUCAUUGCUUGCACUCCGACUUUCUUCCUCAUCUCGAUGAACUUCUGUCGACCGAGGGACUUGGUGAAAAUAUCGGCAAGCUGGUCUUUCGUAUUCACGUGCAGAAUUUCGAUCAUCCCUUCCUCAAUGCACUUCCGGAUGUGGUGGAACCGGGUAUCUAUGUGCUUGCUCCUUUCGUGAUGAACCGGAUUUUUGCACAAUGAGAUUGCAGCUUGGUUGUCAAUCUUCAAUGACACCUUCUGCACCUCCCGCUUUGCAAGAAUAGCUAGGAGUCUUCUCAGCCACACUGCUUGACAAGCCGCCGUGCUUGCCGCUAUGUAUUCUGCCUCGCAUGAAGACAGUGCCACCACCUUUUGCUUCUGAGAAUUCCAGCUAACCGGAUUCGGGCCAAGGUAGAAAAUCAUGUCCGUUGUGCUCUUUCGGUCAUCAACAUCACCUGCCAUGUCACUAUCUGAAUAUCCAUGAAGGAUCAAUCCUUCCUUUCCCUUUCCGUACGUGCAAUCAAGAUUAAUGGUUACUUUUACAUAGCGCAAGAUUUGAUUGACCGCGCCCAUGUGCUCGGUUGUCGGAUUCUCCAUGAAACGACUGAUGAUCCCGACUGAGUAAGCCAAGUCAGGUCGGGUAUGCACCAAGUAUCUUAGGCUGCCCACAACGCUUCGAUACAUUGUGGUGUCCGCCGGCGGAUUUGAGCUACGCUUGCUCAACUUGUGACGUUGGUCCAUUGGAACUUGUGUCUCGUAGCAAUCUGACAUGCCAUACUUGUCCAAUAACUUGACCGCGUAGGCCGAUUGACAUAGGGAAAUCUCUCCGGAGCUUUGCUUCACUUCGACGCCCAAGUAAUAGUUGAGUAAUCCCACAUCACUCAUGCUAAACUUGUUCUUCAUUUGCGCCUUGAAACGUUCAAUUUGUUGUAUGCUAUCUCCGGUGAUAAUCAGAUCAUCGACAUAAACUCCAACUAGCAGGUUUGAGCCUUUGGAGUUCUUUGUAUAGACUGCGUGCUCGAGGGGACAUCUCUUGAACCCGAGCAAGACCAUACUUCGGUCUAACUUUGAGUUCCAAGCUCUUGGCGCUUGCUUCAACCCGUAAAGUGCCUUCUUGAGCUUGUAAACUUUCCCUUCUUUGCCUUUCUUCUCGUAGCCGAGGGGUUGUUCCACGUACACUUCUUCUGUGAGAUCGUCGUUGAGAAAAGCGGAUUUAACAUCCAUAUGAUGAACCUUCCAAUCCUCUUGUGCUGCCAAAGCUAGGAGCACUCUCACCGUCUCGAUUCGAGCAACCGGUGCAAACACCUCAUCAUAGUCAACUCCUUGACGUUGAACGUAGCCCUUUGUAACGAGUCUUGCAUUGUACUUCACAAUGGCACCCUGUGUGUCCUUCUUUAACUUGUAAACCUACUUCAAACCUAUCGCCUUUUGGUUUAGAGGACGGGUUACCAAAGUCCACGUGCCAUUGCUCUCCAUCGCCUUCAUCUCCUCAUCCAUGGCGUGCGUCCAACUACGGCUUUUGCUCGCCUCUACGAAGUUCGCCGGCUCCUCAACUCCGAACAGACAUAGUCCGGAGUACUCGAGCGUAACUAGCUUUGUGUACUUGUAGACUUUCUUGAGGGUCUUGUAGCGACGAGGCCCUGAGGAGUCCGUUGUGGCUUGCGAAGGAGGAGACACAAAUUGUGUCGGUAUUGAAGCACUUGAGGAAGACGGCUGAGACCGUGGUGUGUCAUCGACAUCCACGUCGUCGACGUAGUCGUCGUGACCGUGACCAUCAUCUUGAUUGUCGUCGUCACUAUGCGCCUCGUUGUCGAUGUUGUCGUCGAGAUCUCCGCCUGUGUCGUGCGCGGCGUUGUCGCUAUCUCCUUGCGACCUAUGCGCAUCGUCGUCGGUGUCAGCACCAUGAUGAUCACUACCAUUGUGGUCACCUUGGUUGGGCGUCUUGCUAACCAUCUGGGCAUCCUCCCCUACAUCAUCAUCAGUUGGAAAUUCAACCGUGAAUAUGUUACCGUUUGAAGCACCGUCGGCUGCUGCACUCCAAUUCCACACUUUGUUUCCUUCAAACACGACGUCGCGUGAAAUCCGUAGACGCUUGGUUUGUGGAUCAUAGAAGCGGUAUGCCUUGGUGCCGGAACUCCUCUCGUAUCCGAUGAACACCAUCUUGGUGCUACGAUCGGCAAGCUUUGAGAGGUGCGGCUCCGCCGUCUUCACAUGUGCCACGCACCCGAAUGUCCUUAGAUGAGACACAUUCGGCUUACGUCCGUAAAUUGCUUCAUACGGAGUCUUGCCGAUCGAUCACCGCCUUCGUUGGAGCCCGGUUGAGAAGAUAGACCGCCGUCGAGACAGCUUUUCCCCAAAAAGUCCCCGGCAGGUUCUUGCUCUUGAGUAAACUCCUUGCCAUGUCAACGACGGUUCGAUUGCGCCUUUCAACGACCCCGUUCUGCUGCGGCGUGUAAGGUGCCGUGAGGAACCUCUUUAUGCCGAUCUUCUCGCAGUAGUCGUUGAACUCAUUCAACGUAAACUCUCCGCGACGAUCUGUCCGUAGAGCGCGAACCUUCAGCUUGUGUUCCAUCUCCGUUGCAGCCUUCAGCUUCUUGAACGCUUCAAACGCCUCAUCUUUAGACCGUAGGAGAACGACCCACAUAUAUCUCGAGUAAUCAUCUACCACAAGGAAGAAGUACUUCUUUCCUGCUUGAAGUUGCCGGGGUGAUAGGGCCACAUAGAUCACCAAGGAGCAGCUCGAGUGCAUCACUCGCACGAUAGGUAGACUGAGCAGGGAACGGCCUGCGGUGCUGUUUUCCAACCAAGCACCCGUCACAUACUCGAUCAACAUGGUCGAUAACUGGCAUCCCAGAUACCAUCUCCAUCUUUGACAUCUUCUUCAAGGCGUAGAAGUUCACGUGUCCAAAUCUAGCAUGCCAUAACCAUGAAUCGUCAUCACUCUUGGCAAGCCAACACUCCGGUUGAGAUUGAUCAAGGUUGAGGAUAUAGAGCCUAUUCCGUGUGCGAUUAACACGAGCUAGCACGUUUCGGAGGUUGUCGAAGAUCGUCAUCACUCCGUUUUCGAUAUUCACCUUGCAUCCAUUCUUGUCAAGCUUCCCAAUAGAGAUGAUGUUGUUGCGAACCCGCGGGAUGUAGUACACUCCGGUGAGUAUGCGAUGUUCGCCUGUGAGACCCUCGAAGAGGACAGAUCCUUGCCCGCAAAUCUCCACAGCCGAACCAUCACCGAACUUGACCGAGCCUUCAACAUCGUAUUCCAUCUCGAGGAAUUUCUCCUUGCACCACGUCAUGUGGUUACUGGCACCCGUGUCAAGAUACCACGACAUGUUCUGAUCACCGGAUAACUUCGGUGUCACUUUCUUCGCAUGAAGCAGCACCUUCCGGCUUGGUUUCACCACCACCGUUUCAGCGAGAUCACAAACUUCGGCCAUCAGAAGACCUGGACCUUCGUCUUCCUGCUUUGCCAAAUUUGCCUUGAUCUCCCGCUUGUUAGGCUUCGGACAAUCCUUUGCAAAGUGACCCAUCUCGUUGAAGUUAUAGCACUUAACCUCGGAUAAAUCCAAAUUCCGUGGCUUCCGCACUUUAGAUUGGUCCGCCUUACCACGACCUUGUGGCUUGCCUUUUCCUUUGCCUUUUCCGGUUUGUCUGUCGCGCUUCACAUUGCUUGAGCCUUCGCCACCAUCACACCUUCCUUUGUUACUUGGGGCCUCCCAAUCUGCGCGCGAGUACAUGAGUUGGUCACUACCUCCUCCUUUGCCUUUCCGACAGCCACGAGCAUUCUCUUCCCAUGUCCGUAGGCGUCCGAUUGUUGGAAUUAUGCCCUAGAGGCAAUAAUAAAUGUAUAGUUAUUAUUAUAAUUCCUGUAUCAAGAUAAUAGUUUAUUAUCCAUGCUAUAAUUGUAUUGAAUGAAGACUCAUUUAAAUGUGUGGAUACAUAGACAAAACACCGUCCCUAGCAUGCCUCUAGUUGGCUAGCCAGUUGAUCAAUGAUAGUCAGUGUCUUCUGAUUAUGAACAAGGUGUUGUUGCUUGAUAACUGGAUCACGUCAUUGGGAGAAUCACGUGAUGGACUAGACCCAAACUAAUAGACGUAGCAUGUUGAUCGUGUCAUUUUGUUGCUACUGUUUUCUGCGUGUCAAGUAUUUAUUUCUAUGACCAUGAGAUCAUAUAACUCACUGACACCGGAGGAAUGCUUUGUGUGUAUCAAACGUCGCAACGUAACUGGGUGACUAUAAAGAUGCUCUACAGGUAUCUCCGAAGGUGUUAGUUGAGUUAGUAUGGAUCAAGACUGGGAUUUGUCACUCCGUGUGACGGAGAGGUAUCUCGGGGCCCACUCGGUAAUACAACAUCACACACAAGCCUUGCAAGCAAUGUAACUUAGUGUAAGUUGCGGGAUCUUGUAUUACGGAACGAGUAAAGAGACUUGCCGGUAAACGAGAUUGAAAUAGGUAUGCGGAUACUGACGAUCGAAUCUCGGGCAAGUAACAUACCGAAGGACAAAGGGAAUGACAUACGGGAUUAUACGAAUCCUUGGCACUGAGGUUCAAACGAUAAGAUCUUCGUAGAAUAUGUAGGAUCCAAUAUGGGCAUCUAGGUCCCGCUAUUGGAUAUUGACGAAGGAGUCUCUCGGGUCAUGUCUACAUAGUUCUCGAACCCGCAGGGUCUGCACACUUAAGGUUCGACGUUGUUUUAUGUGUAUUUGAGUUAUAUGGUUGGUUACCGAAUGUUGUUCGGAGUCCCGGAUGAGAUCAUGGACGUCACGAGGGUUUCCGAAAUGGUCCGAAAACGAAGAUUGAUAUAUAGGAUGACCUCAUUUGAUUACCGGAAGGUUUUCGGAGUUACCGGGAAUGUACCGGGAAUGACGAAUGGGUUCCGGGAGUUCACCGGGGGGGGGGGGGGGGGGGCAACCCACCCCGGGGAAGCCCAUAGGCCAUGGGGGUGGCGCACCAGCCCUUAGUGGGCUGGUGGGACAGCCCAAAAGGGGCCUAUGCGCCAAGGAUAAGAAAUCAAAGGAAAAAGAAAAAAAAGAGGGGGGAGGUGGGAAGGGAGGAGGACUCCCUCCCACCAAACCUAGUCCAACUCGGUUUGGGGGGGGGGAGAGUCCUCCCCCUUGGCUCGGCCGACCCCUUGAGGGUCCUUGGACCCCAAGGCAAGGCCCCCCUCCCUCCUCCUAUAUAUAUGGAGCAAUUAGGGCUGAUUUGAGACGACUUUUCCACGGCAGCCCGACCACAUACCUCCAUAGUUUUUCCUCUAGAUCGCGUUUCUGCGGAGCUCGGGCGGAGCCCUGCUGAGACAAGAUCAUCACCAACCUCCGGAGCGCCGUCACGCUGCCGGAGAACUCUUCUACCUCUCCGUCUCUCUUGCUGGAUCAAGAAGGCCGAGAUCAUCGUCGAGCUGUACGUGUGCUGAACGCGGAGGUGCCGUCCGUUCGGUACUAGAUCGUGGGACUGAUCGCGGGAUUGUUCGCGGGGCGGAUCGAGGGACGUGAGGACGUUCCACUACAUCAACCGCAUUCUCUAACGCUUCUGCUGUACGGUCUACAAGGGUAUGUAGAUCACUCAUCCCCUCUCGUAGAUGGACAUCACCAUGAUAGGUCUUUGUGCGCGUAGGAAAUUUUUUGUUUCCCAUGCGACGUUCUCCAUCAGUGGUAUCAGAGCUAGGUUCAUGCGUAGAUGUCUUCUCGAGUAAAACACAAAAGUUUUUGUGGGCGGUGAUGUGCGUUUUGCUGCCCUCCUUAGUCUUUUCUUGAUUCCGCGGUAUUGUUGGAUUGAAGCGGCUUGGACCGACAUUACUCGUACGCUUACGAGAGACUGGUUUCAUCGUUACGAGUAACCCCCUUUGCUCAAAGAUGACUGGCAAGUGACGGUUUCUCCAACUUUAGUUGAAUCGGAUUUGACCAAGGAGGUCCUUGGAUGAGGUUAAAUAGCAACUCAUAUAUCUCCGUUGUGGUGUUUGCGUAAGUAAGAUGCGAUCCUACUAGAUACCCUUGGUCACCACGUAAAACAUGCAACAACAAAAUUAGAGGACGUCUAACUUGUUUUGCAGGGUAUGAUUGUGAUGUGAUAUGGCCAAACGAUGUGAUGUGAUAUAUUGGAUGUAUGAGAUGAUCAUGUUGUAAUAGAAAUAUCGACUUGCACGUCGAUGGUACGGCAACCGGCAGGAGCCAUAGGGUUGUCUUUAUACUAACAUAUGUGCUUGUAGAUGCGUUUACUAUUUUGCUAGGAUGUAGCUUUAGUAGUAAUAGCAUGAGUAGCACGACAACCCCGAUGGCAACACGUUGAUGGAUGAUCAUGGUGUGGCGCCGGUGACAAGAAGAUCGUGCCGGUGCUUUGGUGAUGGAGAUCAAGAAGCACGUGAUGAUGGCCAUAUCAUGUCACUUAUGAAUUGCAUGUGAUGUUAAUCCUUUUAUGCACCUUAUUUUGCUUAGAACGACGGUAGCAUUAUGAGGUGAUCUCUCACUAAAAUUUCAAGACGAAAUUGUGUUCUCCCCGACUGUGCACCGUUGCUACAGUUCGUCGUUUCGAGACACCACGUGAUGAUCGGGUGUGAUAGACUCAACGUUCACAUACAACGGGUGCAAAACAGUUGCGCACGCGGAACACUCGGGUUAAGCUUUACGAGCCUAGCAUGUGCAGACAUGGCCUCGGAACACAUGAGACCGAAAGGUCGAUCAUGAAUCAUAUAGUUGAUAUGAUUAGCAUAGGGAUGCUUACCACUGAAACUAUACUCGACUCACGUGAUGAUACUUGAGAUAGUGUAAGUGGAUCAUGAACCACUCAAAUGACUAGAGAGAUGUACUUUUUGAGUGGGAGUUUAGCAUAUAAUUUGAUUAAGUUGAACUCUAAUUAUCUUGAACAUAGUCUAAGUCCACUUUGAAUAUAUUUGUGUUGUAGAUCAUAGUCUAAGGGUCGCUUCAGUAUUAUUCCCUCCGAUUCUAAAUAUCGUAGUUUCUAUGACCAGCUUUUGCUGGAUAGGAGCUAACAAUCGUAGUUUCUUUAACAAAUUGACUAAACUGUCCACUGUUAAUUUCUUUUAUACAAUUGUAAUUUCUUAUGAAAAAAGAAACUCCUUGCUUGGACCAAUAAACAAAGACCUAACUGCUACUCAUGGACAAUUUUAUUGCCCCUGCCACCUUGCGUAGAAAACACAUUAUGUUGGCCAAGGACUACAUUAGAGAACAUUAAUAUACUGAUAUUUGUUUUUACCAAAAAGUUGUAGAAAUAUUCAGAUGUAAACUGGUAGAGAUAAAAGCACAUAAAUGGCUCUGUCGUAUGUUACGAGAAAUAUUUUUGGAUGGUUGAUGAGAAAUAUUUAGUUGGUAACUCCCUAAGACUGUCUUAUAAUUUGAAUGGUAGGCAUUAGACCUAUGAAGACCAGGGACAUCUCUAACCACAACCAGUUUUCUGGAGUUCUUUUUACCCCAUUUAUUUUGUAGUCAUUACAUUUAUUACACAGCUAGGUUGUUCCGCGUUGAAACCUUUUUUGUUAACUUUCAAAAAAGGAGUCGCUAAUGUAUAAAAUGUUGGAUGUAGCUAUUUUUUGUACCUUUUAAACUAAAAUGUAUCAUAUCAUUGACUUGUGGAAAUAUAGUGUAUAUUGUGUAUCUUCCAUGUGAAUAAGAGAGAACAUAAUUAAGCAAUGAUUUGUGGAAAUAUAGGAUCAGAUAAUACAGGUUGACCAUGGAGUUUUUCGCUACUAACUAUAAAAUAUACAUGUUUCCAAAGUAAAAUUUCACAUGCAUAACCAGUUAUUUAAUUUUAAUAUAUUUCUAUUCCUAUAAAUUGAAGCAACAUUUCAUCAAAAACUAGCCCGUGCAGCUGCACGGGUUAACGACUAGUGUUAGUAAUUUUGCUGGCUACUAAAUGGGAACACAUUUUAUUUCCACAUCCAAGUUUCCAGUUGUGUCUGGAUUGCAUUGCAAUGCAUCACUCUACAUCCACAGUGAUAUGUCACGACUAAGGCCCUUCCCAGUGCACCGGUGCUAAGGGUGUCACGUAGGUAAGAAAGUUACAUGGCAAAGCCAGUAAAGAUGAGAGAGCAUUAUGAUGAUCCCAGGAAGAGAUGAUGCUAAACGCGUGAACCUAUGUAAAACGAUUACCAACCAAUGCAUGAAGAAGUUUAAUUAUUAAAUAAUUCCAUGCGGUAACCUUAGCAACUAAAGCUAAGCAUCUAUGACCCUGUUUGGAUACUCUAACUCGGUUAAAAGUUAGAGUUAGAUUCUAAUCAUCCACAGGAAAAAGAACAUUCAUCGGGCGUCUCUGUGCCCCCCGCGUCGCCCUCUCGAGCGAGGCGACCGGGGCGGUUCCCCACUCCUCCCCCUUCCCGCGAGUCGCCGCCCCCUUCCCCCUCGCCGCUGUCGUCGGCGGGCGUUGCCCGCGAGGCGCCCCGCAUUCCGGCGGUGGCGGCCCCCAUUCUUCCCCCGUCGCUGGACCCCGGCUCUAGCGAGCGGUCCUGGCGGCGAAGCCCUUCGCCCGGCGCCGUUCCGACGCGGAUCUGGAUGGCGGCGGUGACGGCCCAUGGCUUGCGGCGGCCUGCAGCGCCUGGGUGACUCAGAUCUAGGCCCUAUGGGCCCGAUCUGGGUCGGGGCAGGCCUGCUGGGGGGCUGCGCUCGGUUGUUCUCCGGUGGUUCUCGCGAGCUCCUCGCGACAGGGACGGCGGCUACUAUGCCGCGACUGUUGCAGCUUGGCGGCGGAGCUUCACGGGCCGUUCUAGGCUCGGCCGGACAUCUGGUCUGGUGUGCCUCUGCUGCUAUGCCCGGUCUGCUACCGCCUAAGCCGGUGGAGGUUGUUCCCUCCCUCGUGGCUGCGGUGUUGUCGGUCCUUGUCUACGGGUGUCUCGUUUGGAUCCGGCGGCCUCGCUUCGUUGGCCGUGGUGAGACGAUGGUGGUGUCCUCGUGACUGUGUUGGCGCAUGUUGAUGGGCGGCGGGUGUGGUGGAGCCAAAGGUUGGUCCUGGGUGGCGGGGUGCGAGGGGCCGGGAGAAAUCCAUGUCGGGUGUUGUCGGCACCAACAUGUUCUUGAAGGGCGUCGGGUGACCCUCUCCCCCCACUAUCCUCCGUCUACCGGGAGAAAUCCUAGGAUUCGUCCGGGCAGCAGCGUCGUCAUCGUCGCAUUUUUUCUUGAAGAUGGUACUUCGUACACGGCAACUCGAUGGCUUUGGAGUCUAACUCAAACCAUGGAUCUAAAUAGGACCUAUGCAUUGGGGAGACUAGUUGCUAAGGUUGUUUUUAAUGCACACUUAGCACCUCAUCUCAGCACCCAUGCAUUCCACGAGGCCUAAGCCCUAUUGAAUGAUAGCAUCGCCAAUUUGGAGUCAAUGCAAAUGGAAAGUUGAUCCUCACUGCAUGCUAAACUGACAAUUUGAAAUAAACUACAAAUGCAACGCCGGCUGCUUGGACCAAUGAGACUGAUAACGGAGAGACAAGGCGUCAAAGGUCCAGAGUUCAUUAGUGCAUCAAAUGUAAUAUUUUUCUCUUUCAAAUUGGCAGGAACGCAGUGUGCAACUGCUAUGUUAAACUAGUACCUGUGCUGCUUGGAUCAAUGUGGUGGAGAAACAGGAGAUAAGUUUAGGGGGUGUUUGUUUCCAGGGACUUUUUGGUGUAGGGACUAAAAAAGUCCCAAAAAGUUCCAUGUGAAACAAACAGGAGGGACUUUUAGGGAUUAAAAUGGGGUAUUUGAGACUAUUUGGAGAAGUCCUUGUAGGAGGGUCUUUUUGAAAUUUUUUAACACUUUUUCCAACAAUGUCUCUAUUUUUACCAUGUCAUUUAAUAACUACUACUACAUUAUUAAGGGUAACAUGGUCUUUUUGCAUAUCAUUUAAUAACCUCUAGUCCUUAUUUAGUCCCUGAAAACAAACAGAUAGGGACUAGAGACUUUUAAAUUGAGACUAAAAAAGUCCCGGGACUUCUCAAACAAACAGGGCCUUAAAAACUCCGGGGACAGCUUUCGAGAUUGAGGAUGCUCGCGUGCUUUAGUAAUUGAUUAGUGAACUCUAAGCCGCCCCCAAUUCUUUAUGUUUACCUCACGUCCCAAGGUUGCAUCUGAGCAUCAGUUGUCUACUGGCGGUAUCAAGGGCAAUGCAAAAGCAUUACUAUACAGUGAGUGCACAGUGCUUUCAAUUCAGCCUCCUAACUGGUCUAGGUAGCUUACCCCAACUUCAUUCCUGCCAUGGACUUUGUCGUCCUCGCCGGUCGAUGAAAACUCCAUGAUGUGAUCUUGCAACCAAACAAACACAUACACACAGAGAGUGAGAGAGAAAAAAGAGAGAUGGAGGCUGUGGUGACUGUCGUUGCCACCUCAUUGGUGGAGUGGAUGGUGCCGAAGCUCUUUGAUUCCUUGCUCACUAAGCACGAGCUCCGGACGAACCUCAAGGUUGACAUCGAAUGCAUCAAGAAUGAGUUUGCUAUGAUUUCUGCCGUCAUCCAGGAUGAUGAUCGCCGUGGUGGCUGCCGCGGUGGCAGUGAAGAAGCACAUAUGGUGUGGAUCAAUAUUGUGCGUGACCUGGCGCACGCCAUAGAGGACUGCGUCGACCGCUUCAUGCACCAGGUCACCAUGGCCGACACAGCCACCGGGAAGCUGAGCCGGGCUGUCCACCGGGUGAAGACCGUGAAGGCCCGUAACAAGUUUGCUGCCGAGAUCCGGGUGCUGAAGAAAAGAUCAGAAGAGUCUUCGAAGCUAAGAGAAGCAUACAGCAACAACAAUAGCGGCAAUUCUUCACCAGAGUGGCCGACGGCAGUUGAGGGGGACGUCGACGAUGACACCUACUAUUCACCGGCAUCCAUCGCUGUGCCUGUGGGUAUGGACGGUCCCCGUGAUGAGCUUCUGGAUCUAAUCCAGCAGGAGCAGCAGCUUAAGGUGAUUAUCAUUGUGGGGUUCCAUGGUAUGGGAAAGACUCUCCUUGCCAAUCAUGUGUACAGGGAAAUUAAGAGCCCAUAUGAAGUACGGGCAUGGGUCCUAGGGGGGAGGAGGACAGCAGCGGAUGUUCUCAAGGAGAUACUCCAGCAGCUUGGCCACGUCGUUCCCCUGCCAACCAAGGGCAGGCUCACUCUCACCUCGCUUCACGCAAGCAUCGCAGAGUGCAUUGGCAAGAAGAGGUAACUCAUCCAUUCAGUUCCCCAUCUCUUUGUCUCAAUCUGCUAGCUUCAUCUAUCGUCUGAUUAAUUUGCCAUGUUUAAUUAAUUUGGUACCAAUCAGGUUCUUCAUUGUAAUUGAUGACCUGCGGACAACAUCACAUUGGCACAACAUAAAAGCAGCCUUUGUGGGUUUAACCGGCAGAUUUCUGGUGACGACCGCCAUUCAGCCCGUAGCAAAUACCUGCCGCAGCUCAUCUGUUAAUGAUCAUGUAUACACAAUGGCAACUCUUACCAACCAAGACUCAAGAACAUUGUUCUUCAAGGAAGCUUUCCAAGACGAUGAACCGCCGCCGCAUGUGCAGGACCUCAGCUCUGAAGCGCUCAAGAAAUGUGAUGGUCUUCCCCUUGCUCUUGUUACCACCGCAAGGUUCUUGCAAAGCGCAGGUAAUCCAACACCCAUGAUAUGGGCAAAAUUAUGCGCCGACCUGGGUACACAUCUGGAGAGUGAUGAUCUAUUUGCAAGAAUGAGGCGUGUGCUUGUCCAGAGCUACACCAGCCUUGAUAGCCAGGUUGCCAGGACAUUCUUGCUCUAUUUGGGUACCUACCCAAGUGGUCGUCCUAUCAAGAAAUCAAGCUUGUUAAGGAGAUGGUUAGCAGAAGGGUUGUCCCCAGGAGACAAUACAUGUAGUGAUGUUGAUGCCGCCAUUAGAAAUUUCGAUAAGCUUGUCGAACGGAGUAUCAUCCAGCCUAUGGAUGCCAGCGGUAACAGCACAGAGGUGAAGACAUGCCAUACCCAUGGCAUGAUGCUGGAGUUCGUCCUGCGCAAGUCCAUGUCUGACAACUUUGUAACUGUGUUAAGCAAUCGGCAGUCUUCCCCAGGCCUACCCAGUAAUAUUCGUCGGCUUGCUCUGCAUCAUGCAAUGCCCAGAAAAGUGCAAGGUUUAACUUUUGUCCGGUCACUGACAAUCUUGGGCAAAGCGCACCAAUCUGUCCUGGACUUCUCCAAGUAUGAACUGCUGCGAGUUUUGGAUCUGGACGAGUGCGAUGUACCCUUGGGGGAUAGCCAUCUCAAGUUGAUAUGCAGAAAACUGUUGCUGUUGAGGUACCUAUGCCUCGGGAAAGCUCUUACUGCGACGGUGCUUCCACAGGAGAUCAGCAAGCUUCAAUUAUUGGAUACACUGGAUGUAAGAAGGACACGUAUAGAGAUUCUGCCAACACAAGUCCUGGAGCUGCCACAUUUACUUCAUAUAUUUGGGAAGUUUAAGCUCGAACAAGAUGUAGGAGACCGGAGAAUGAGUAAGCUACAGAGUUGGUUGUUAGAGGAGAGCGAAUUGAAAACACUGGCAGGAUUUGUUGUGGACAGCACCAAGAGCCAACAAUUUGCACAGCUCAUGGAUCAUAUGAAUUAUCUGACAAAGGUGAAAAUAUGGUGUGAGCCUACCACCGAUGUCAGCAGCUCAAGUCAUCUGGCAAAGGCCAUCAAGGGGUUCAUUGAGAGAAGCACCGUGUACACCGGGACACCUUCACUCUCACUCAGUUUUGAAGGCGAGUCGACCCCAGAAAUGCUGGAUUUCUCUCUAGAGAAAGGAAAGAAUUACCGCUGCUAUCUUGGCUCGCUCAAGCUGCACCUGCAAGGAAGCAACAUAUGCAGCCUGCCCCCAUUUGUUGCCUUUCUGGGUGGUCUCACUAAGCUAGGCCUUUCAUCCCCGCAGCUGAACCUGAGCCAAGACUUCCUUGCUGCCCUGAGCAAAGUGCCCCGCCUGGCAUACCUGAAGCUGGUUGCAACUAGCCUGGGCAACCUCGUCAUCACAGAAGGUACGCUUGAGAGCCUGACACGCCUAUCCAUCGUGGUGGAAUCCGUCAUUUUUCAGCUGGACAUCCAUGUGGGAGCUCUACCUCGCCUCAAGUCGCUGCAGCUGCUAUGCAAAUAUCUAGAUGGUUCAAUUUCUGGCAUGUCAACGGUCCAGUCUCUUCGGCAUCUCGACCAGAUUGCUCUCCUUCGUGAUGUGGGAGAUGAAACAAAAAAUGAGUGGAAAGAAGCAGCAAAGAACCUCCCAAGUCCACGUCCCAAGAUCUUGUUUCUCUAGACACCAUCAACGCACAUCCAGGUAAUGAAUCGUGAUUUACUUGCCUUGCAAUUGUUUCUCCUGACCUCUCCAUGCACAGUUCAGAUCCUGGUAAUGAAACUUUAUUAUUAUUUUGCAGCAGCACAAGUAGCGAGUUGCUAAUGGCACAUCAUUGCCGCAUGCUGCUAAUUGGUUGAUGGCUAUUCAUGGACAAGUGUGUCUCGUCAACAAGAUCAAGUCCGUUGAAUAAGUUACUCCUCUUUGCUCUCGUGUCGAUUUCCUGGCUUCCCCGCCGUUCGUACUUUUAUUUUGUGUCACCACUAGGAUUUAUUUAUUUGUAACAGAUCGAAGUUAAUGGUCUGUUAAGCGGAGCAAACGAUUUUCUUUUCAAGAAAUAUGGUGACUUCCUGCUGUAAUAAAUAAGCUUACUCUGUUUGUUGUUGGACAUGUAUUUGGCUAUUUCAGGCCUAGUCAACUUAACUGGCUUCUAUUAUUUCUCAUAAAUUUAGCACAACUAUAUCCUAGCACUUGUUUGGGAUAAAUUCUGGAAUCUCAAUUUACUUGAUGUGAGUGAUUUUAUAUAUUCUCUCUGUUCCAAAAUAAAUGUCUCAACUUUAACACUUAUUUUGGGACGAAGGAAGUAUAUAUAUAACGGCCAAGUGAGCACCUGGUAACUGGUGUGUUCAGUGGAAGCAGACCGUUGGAAUCAGAUGAAGAAAAAGAACGCUAUGAUCCAUGGGAACACCCAUGAGAGGGUGCAAAAGCUAAUUGCACAGGCCCCUGAUAUUAUUUUCUUUAAGAAGCCAUCAGUAUAGGUGAGGUUGCUCAUCAAAUUACCAAAAGAUAGUGUUUGAUAAAAAAUAAAAGAGAAGAAAUAGAAAUGUCUGGAAUAUGAUGAUGAGCCCAGACAAAAAACACUUGAUAUAACUUCCUUUCAAGAAAAAACAAAACACUUUAUAUAACUUAUUACUUUCUUUUUUCGGUUUACAGUGCAACAUUUUAUUAUCAAGAUGGUACCCAGUAGUCCCUGUCCUGGUGGAUCUACCGCCUCUCUGGCCCUGGAAGCGGCCCGAUGACCCUCGGCAUGGCGACCUACAUGCUCAACCUUUCUGAGACACUAGUAGAAAAUGAGGCCUCCGCAGUCCGAAAUCACAUUAGCCCCGGGUCAAAAUAAAGCUGAGAUAAAUGCCGGGCAUUGGUCCCGGUUCGAGCUGCCAGGGCCUCGCGGGGCAAAAGUUCCGGUUCGGUUCGACGCAUUAGUCCCGGUUCGUGCCAAAAACCGGGACUAAAGAUCCAGCGACUGACACGUGGCGUGUGACGGAGCAUUAGUCCCGGUUGGCGGCUGGAACCGGGACUAAUGGUUAGUCUUGUGUCCCGGUUCUGUUCAUUAACCGGGACCAAAGAGAUGCCUAUAUAUACCUGUCCACCCUCUCCUCUAAUUUUUGGUUGUGUGAGGUGUGCAUGUCAUGCUCUUGCCACCCUUCUAUGCAUGCGCAUGAGGUGUUCGAUGAAACGCCUGAGACACACUUAAGCUUUCUCCUCUCGAAGCUCGACAUCUCCAAGCUCCAUUUUCCUCAAUAUUUGUCUAGGUUUGACGGUGCACCAAGUACACAAGUGUUCUAAAUGUUAGCUACUUCCUUUCAUCUCUCACUGCUAGUUUAGCUUAUUUCAAAUGCUCUAGAAAUAGAGUGGUUUGUGGAUUUUAGUGUAGUAGUGUAUGUGGGAGUUUUUUUGAUUUAGAUGCAAAAUCUGAGCUCAAAUUAACUUCUUAGAGUCUGCACACGUGUAGAGCACCGUCCCAUGCCCGUCCUCACCGUUGUCGAUCGCCCGCGCCGAUCUCGUCGCCAGAACCACCAUGGUGAGCCUCUUGUUCUUAUCUUCUUUUUAAAAGAAAAAAAAUCUUACUUGUAUGAUUCAGAUAGAUACUUGUAUAAAUUACUUAAUUUUAUUAUUUUUGUUAUUAUAUAGUGCGAUGGUUUUGGUGAUCUAAAAUUCUCUCUAUGUAAGUGGUGAUCUAAACACUCUUAUAUUUAUUUGCAGAAAGAAUAUCAUUUUAGACAGCUUAAUUUGUUGCUUCUAUUACAAUUUAAAGUUCUAGCCAAGACAUCAAGCGUGCACACCUUACAAUUAAUUAUUAAUAAGAAUAAAACAAAAUAAAUGACAGCAGACAAGCGAUAAGCAGAACACUACAAGAAUCAACAAUACCAACCACCGCCCUUGAUAACACAUUGAGAGGGAGGGAAUGAGUGACGGAGGGAGGGAGGGAGAAAGGGAGAGAGAGAGAGAAAGGUUCUUCAAAAUGAAUGCCAAAAGCUCCAUUUUCCCGAAUCAUCGCCUCAGCUUGUCGGAUCACGGGCACCGAGCGUGGAGUAGCUCGGUGCCCGCUCUCUGUUUGCCGGUAUGUCUCAACUGUGUGAGAUGGCGUAUUACGACACGGUCCCACGGACCAUUAGAUGUUGCAUUGCAGAUGGACCACGACGGAGGGGGAGGCUGAGAAUGCUAUGAAGACACGCCAGUGGAUGACUCGGAGAAGGACAUGCAUGCCCAACCGGGCCCUCAGCCGAGUGCGUAGUCUGACACAUACACCCAGCACUACGACUCGUACGGUAGGCAGCCGAAGCAGGACAGCGACGACGACCUUGAUCCGGAUGAAUGGUUGUCCGAUCCAAAGAAAAGGGGGUAGAGAAGAAUGUUUCAACAUGUAGGAGAACGAAUUCCUUCAAUACUGUUGGCAUCGGCAAUGUGGAAGAAUCGGGUGAUCCAGCCGAUCCAACAAAAGAUAUGCCCAAGAAAGUUAGAAUGGGGUUCCAUUGGAAGAAAGGGAAUGAGAUCAAGAUUUAGUGACAAGGGGCGGAGGUUAUAAUGACAGAGAGGCUCAAGGACAUCUAGGCGAAGAAACAUGAGUCAUAUGUCAAGCACUAUAACGUGAAAGAGAAGAAGAAGGCAGAGAAGUUUACCCUCUUGAUGGCGUCGAUUGUGAAGAAGAUCAAGCUCUAAGAGAGGAAGGUCGAGUUUGCGACCACUUCUGUGGAAACCAAGAUGUUAACCAUGAGGGUGGACGAGUAGGAUAACGAUGUGGUGUUCGUGUUAGGAGGUUGAAGCGCUUUGGCUUUCGAUCUGGUCAUAGAGGAGAUAGUGGCUGGUGAGGAGGACUCUGUGGCAGAGUAAGCGAGGAGGCUCGAAAAUCAGUGUCAGAGUUCUAUGAAGCGUCUCAAACCCCCAUACAUGGGAGCCCGCAUAUUUAUAUCCUCCUUUUUAAAUCUCUAUCUAUCUCUAUCUCCUCCUUGUUAAAUCUCCUCUCACCGGUUGAUCUCUAUAACAACCGGUGCUCAACUUGUACCUCAAGCUAAGAUCUAUCUAUAUAUAUAUAACAGGAAGGAGAUAGAGAUAGAUAGAGAUAAGAUACAACAGGUUUAAACUGAAUAACUAUCUCCUAACAGCUCCUUGGUACUUAGGAUAGGCCGAACCUGGUGGGGCCAAUACUUCAUGUUUAACACCCUCCCAUAAUCAUAACUUGAUCAAGUUAAGAUUACGCUUGAACUCCUCAAAAGGCCUUGUAGGCAAUGCUUUUGUAAAUUCAUCUAUAACUUGAUCCUUUGAAUGCACAAACCUAUAUCCAAUUCUUUAUUGGCAACUAUCUCAAAAAAAUGAUAAUCAAUCUCAAUAUGCUUGGUUCUGGCAUGAAAAACUUGAUUAGCUGACAAAUAUGUGGCACCAAGAUUAUCACACGAAAGACUUGGAGUUUGUAUAUGUUUCAACCCAAGUUCCUUAAGUAUUGACUUAACCCAAAUAACUUCAGUUGUAGCAUUUGCUAAAGCUUUGUAUUCUGCCUCAAUGCUGGACCUGGACACAAUUGCUUGUUUUCGUACGCACCAUGAUAUCAAAUUUGAUCCAAAAAAUACUGCAUAACCACAUGUUAAUCUUCUGUCAUCUACACACCCUGCCCACUCUGAAUCAGAGAAAGCACUAACAAGCGUGGAUGAAGACUUGCUGAAAUGUAUGCCCAUACUUAAGGUAUUCUUAACAUAUCUGAGUAUUCGUUUAGCAGCAGUGCAAUGCAAUGAAAUGGGAGCAUGAAGGAAUUGACAAACUUUGUUUACGACGAAGGAAAUAUCAGGCCAGGUCAGAGUCAAAUAUUGGAGAGCACCUACCACACUUAUGUAUCUGGUGCCAUCUUCCUGAUUCAGGAUUUCCCCUUCGGCAAGAGACAACUUCUCUGUGCUAGAGAGAGGUGUUGAUGAUAGUUUACAAUCCUGCAUACCUACUCUCACUAGUAGAAAAUAGGGCUUUGGUUCGGGCCUGGCCAGCCCAUUAGUCCCGGUUCUUCAUGAACCGGGACCCAUGGGGGGCAUUAGUCCCGGUUCAUGAGCCCAAGGGGCUGGUGUGACAGCCCGAUGCCGACGUUCCAGAAGAUUUCCCUUUUCUUUCCGUUUUCGUCGUGUGUCUAUAUUCUUUUGUCGCAUCAUCAUCGCAUCAUGCGCAUCAUCUACAUUGCAUCGGCAUCUUCGUUGCCGCCAGUUUUCAAAAACUUGCAUCCACUAGUAGUUGCCGGUUCUCGUCGUUGUCCGUUCUGAGUCCGACCGCACACACACACGCCCGCGGCACCGUCGAACCUUGUUUUAAAAAGUGUGCGUAAAACUUUCUCUGAUCGGGUUGAGAUUUGACGUGCGAUCUUAUUUUAAUAUAACUAGGCCGCCUGUCGAAUUUCGUCGCGAUCGGAGUCCGUGUGGUACCCGAACGGUCGACCGUAGCAGCACCGUAUUCGGUCUACCGUCGGACGUUUUUCGAUGUUUUAAAAUCGCGUUGUCGCGUCGCCCGUUUUCCCUCUCAUCUCCGGAUAUCCCCUCUACACGGCCGCAUACCCAUUCCCGCGUUCAGAAUCGUCCGAAUCCGACCUCACGGUUGGAUCCGGAACGAAAUUCCGGGUAACCUAGCCCCCCAUAUGUCUAUAAAUACCCUCCGGUGCAUUUUAGACAGCUCCCUCACCCCUUGUGCCUCAAAAUCCAUGCAGCCCCGAAACCCUAACCCUCAGCCUCUCUUCCUCCUCCAGCCACCAGCCCAUGGGGCCCGAUCUGAGCCCGCCCGAGCCCAUCUGGGCCCGGCCAAACCCAUCCCGCCGCCGCCUUGCCCGAGGAGCCCGAGCUCCUGCCCCGAGCUCGACAGGAGCCCUCCUGCGCUCGCGAGCCCCGCCUUCCAGCCACCUCCCGUGCCUGCCCGCGCUUCCUCGUCGAGGCGCCGCCUCCUUCCGUCGUCUGCCCGGGUGACCAGCCCCUGCCGUCGCCGGAGGCCGCCGCGCAGACCGGAGCUCCGGCCACCUCCAGCAGUUCUGUCGUCUUCCCGAGCCACGUCUACCCGAGGGCCGGCCGCAAGCCGAGCCGCCGUCGCCUAGCAGGCCGCCUCGUGCCCUGCCCGCUCCCAUCGGCCGCCCAUGCACCUGCCGGAGCCGCCAGCCGCGCCAGCUGCCAGAUCCACGCCGCCAUGUCCCGAGAUCGACGAGGAGCAGCAACCGCCGGCCAAGCAUCCACCCCGAAGGCCUCUGGUGAGACCCCUCUCCCCAGCCUAUUUUUUCGCCCUGUACAUAAUUUUGUUAGGAUGCGCCUGGUAGGUCCAAUAGGUAAUUUAGGGUUUUUCCGAAUUUAGUUCUUUUCAGGAAAAUAGACGUAUAUUUAGAUACCCGUAUCUUUUUAUCCGUAAGUCGAAACGAAGCGAGUAAUAUAUGUUUUUCGCGUAGUUUCUCGUGUAGAAUACGUUGGCGCAACUUGCAUAUUUGCUUGACGACGUCUAGCGUGCCGAAUGCAUCGUUUGGCGUGCUGUCCCAAUAGGUUUAGUCGCGUAUUUAAUUUUCCGCGCAUGUUCGAAGUGCUCGAAUGCCGUAUUAGAAAUGCCCAUGUUUUAGGAACCAUUUUUCCAUGAAUUUUAGAGCGGAUAUUUGUAUUUUUGCGUGUAGGGAAUUGCCUCUAGUUUAUUUUCCCGUAUAUAGGUUAUUUUCCCGCAUUUGUGUGUGGCUUUAUUUUUGUUGUGCAACCCCACAUAUUUUAUAUGUUUUCGGGGUAGAAAAAUCCAUGGGAUUUUUCUGUGCAAUUAGUUUUAGCUUUUGAGCAAAUUAGUUCGCGCGAUAUUUUGCCAUGUUGCCCUUUUGUUUAAUUCAUAGGAUUUAUUCCGUGCUUUGUUUGACAAAGUUGUCAACUAGAGAGUUGAUCUUGGAUGUUUUGUCUAGCCCCUGGUAUUUUUGGUUGCAAUAGAAAUGCAUGUUUAGGUGUGGUUUGAUUGCCGUCAAGUUGCUAGAAUAGUGCUGAUUUGGAGGUGCUGAAAUAUUUCUAAGUCUGAAAUCUGUUAUAUUUUGUUGCUGUUUUGUUUUGCUUCUAUUUUUAGAUCUGUAGCUCUUUUGAGGUUGGUCCAAUGGAGUAAGUUGUAGCCCUUGUGUUUCUCUAGCAUGCUGUGAAGUUGCAUUCCAUUUGGAGCCCUGUAGCUAUAGGUUUUGCUGCUGUCAAUAUAGCUUCAGAUCGAAAACUGCACUUUCAUGAGGUGUAAUUUUCACCAAGUCUGAAAUAGUGUGUGAGAUGCCAUUUUGUGUCUUAUUUUCAUAGUGAUCCAUGAUGCCAUGCUAGUUGUUGUUAGUUGUUUGUAGUAGUGCUUCUUGCCCUCUUACGUAUCAUGCCUUGCUUGAGUUUAUUGGAGAUGAGUAGCUCGUAGUUGUGGGGUGUAGAAAAUGCUAUGUGGCUGAUUUUGGCAGAUUGUAGUCAUUUCUUGUUCUGCUCGUAGAUUUUGAACCGUAGCUCCGAUUUGAUCGUGUCCUACAUGAAACUUGCUUAGAAUCUCGUGUAGUUUCAUUUUUCCUUGCUGUCUGUAUGUUUUGAAGUGCUCGUGACCGUCGUUGCACACAUAUCGCAUUUAUGCCAUCAUAUCUUGCGGUGCUUGUAUGUUUUGAACCGUAGCUCCGUUGGAGAUGUUCUUUAUGUGUAGGUUGCUUGAAAUGUCGCGUAGAAUCACGUGAACCUAUUUUUUAUCCUGUUUAACAACUAAUUAAAUGAAUAAGUUCAGAUCUGGACAGAAUUGUAAAUUAACAUGUGAGGUCGUCUCAGAGGUGCUAUAUGUCAUUUCCGACCUUAUUUAAAAUGCAUAGAUAGGUAGUUUAAUUAAGCUUCACCUCUUGCCAUGUUUAAUCACAUUUAAUAUUGCCGUGCAUCUACUCGGGAUAGAACUAAAUAAUUAAACGUGGAGUUUCUUCAAUAUGCAACUCGUUGCAUAUUGAACUUCACUUAAUGUGUAGUGUUUGAUUGUGUGAAUUGUCAUGCCGUGACUUGCAUAUAUUCAGCUGCUCAUGUAUCAUAUGUGUUGUGCAUCGCGUGGUGAAUAUCAUGUUUUAAUUUUUGUUUCCGGUUUCCUUCGUCUCGAUAAAGUUCCGCAAGCGUGUCGGAUUAUGAGGACCCGUUCGACUACGUCGGUUCGUCUGCUUCACGGAGACAUUCUUCUUCCAAGCGGGAUCUCAGGCAAGAUGACCAUUUCCCCAGAUACCAUUACUAUCAUUGCCAUGCUAGUUUACCGUUUCUAUCGAAUAUGUCUCGUUGCCUACCACAUGUUAAAUAUCAGCCUCUUAACAAUGCCAUGAAACCUUCAACCUGUUCAACCUAGCAAACCACUGAUUGGCUAUGUUACUGCUUGCUUAAGCCUGUUGAGAGCGUUGCUAGUUGCAGGUGCAGAUGCUUCCAUGUGAAAGCAUGGGUUCCUUGUUAUAUCACCGUAUUUAAAUGCUAUUUAAUUUAAUGCACCUAUAUACUUGGUAAAAGGUGGAAGGCUCGGCCUUUCUAGCCUGGUGUUUUGUUCCACCUUUGCCCCCUUAGUUUCGACUACCGGUGUUAUGUUCCAUAAAUGAGCGCUCCUAACACGUCGGGGUUGUUAUGGGGACCCCCUUGAUAAUUCGUUUUAGAUUAAAGCUGGUCUGGCAGGGCCCAACUUUGGUACUACAUUUGCCUAAAGACCUAAUAAAAUUACAUAGGGACUUUCCGGACCCCGAGGAUAAUUUAAUCAACCCCCGGGCCAGUGCUCCUCAUGAGUGUUGGCCCCACCUGAGUGAUGUCCGGCGCCCAUAUGGUCACCCGGAGGUGUAGCGAUCCCGACGUUUAGCUCAUCCGUCGUGUCCUGAGAACGACGUACGUGCCUCCUAUCAGGAUCGUCGACACGUCGGGCGGCCUUGCUGGAUUAGUUUUACCUUUGACGAGAUAUCUUGUGCAUCGGGAUUCCGGUGACGCUUUGGGUAAUCUCAGAGUUGAGGUUUUCCACUAGGGAAUCCGACGAGAUCGCGAGCUUCGUGAUUGAGGAUUUCUAUGCGGCUUGUGGUAAUUUAUGAUGGACUAGUUGGAGCACCCCAGCAGGGUUAAAUCUUUCGGAAAGCCGUGCCCGCGGUUAUGUGGCAACGUGGAAACUUUGUUUAAUACUGGUUCUACAUAACUUGAAGUUAACUUAAUUAAAAUAUGCCAACUGUGUGCGUAACCGUGACUGUCUCUUUCGUGAGUUCUUUCUUCGAUCGAGGACACGGUGGGGUUAUGUCUGACGUAGGUAGGUGUUCAGGAUCAUUCAUUUGAUCAUCAGUACUCACGUCCGUUAUGCGUAGAUCAUCCCCCUCUUUAUUCUUGUACUCAUAAGUUUAGGCACCAAAUAUAUGCUUAGUCGCUGCUGCAACCUUACCACUUAACCAUACCUCACCCAUUAAGCUUUGCUAGUCUUGAUACAUUUGGAAAUGAGAUUGCUGAGUCCCCUGUGGCUCACAGAUUACUACAACACCAGUUGCAGGUACAGGUAAAGUUUACUUGAUGCGAGCGCGUUGAUUGUUCAUUUGGAGUUGCUUCUUCUUCUUCUUCUUCUUCAUCGAUCUAGGAUGGGUUCCAGGCCGGAAGCCUGGGAUAGCAAGGAUGGACAUCGUUCUUCUUUUGUCGUUUAUUUUCGUCCGUAGUCGGACCCUGUUCUUACUCUUGAUGUUUGUGUAAUGUACUGUUGUGACUCUGAUGUAGCUUGUGGCUAGUGUAAGCCAACUCUUUAUGUAUAACUCUUCUUUUCAGUACAUGUACUUGUAACGAUAUCCAUUAUUGCGACACGACGAGAUGCGCUUCUAUCCCUGAUGAGGCCUUAGUGCCAAAUUGAGGAUAGGGUCGCAUCUUGGGCGUGACAGCUGGCCGGGGCCUCGUGGCCAUUGGUCCCGGUUCGUCUGGACCCAUUUGUCCCGGUUCUAGGCACGAACCGGGACCAAUGGGCCGUGCUCCUGGCCCACAUCCAUUGGUACCGAUUCAUGCCUUGAACCGGUAUAGAAGGGGGGGGGCGUUAGUCCCAGUUUAUGCCACGAACCGGGACAAAUAAUUUGCCUAUAUAUAACCAUCGCCGCGGUAGAGCACUCUGUUGUUUCUGGCCGACGAGGGGAGGGCAUUUGGGUGCUCUAGCUCACCUCCUAUGCACAUGAGGUGUUCGAUGAAAUGUCCGAGCCACACUAGUUAAGCUUUCUCCUCUCGAAGCUCGACCUCGGAGCUCCAUUUUUCCCAAGAUUUGUCUAGAUUUAGCGGUCCAUCACGCCCCGUCCCCGUUUUCAUCGCCGUUGAUCGCCCGCGUCGAUCUCGUCGCCGGCACCACCGUGGUUAGCCUCUUGUUCUUAUCUUCUUUCUGAUUUUCUUAGUUUAGAUAGAGACUUGUCUAAUUUUCUUACUUUAGAUAGAUACUUGUCUGAUUUUCUUACUUUUGACACACAUAAUUAUAUAUAAUGCACGCAGAUGAACCGACAAUGGAUGUAUGGUGACAGACACACCUCCGAGUACAUUAAGGGCGUGCAUAAUUUUCUCAAAGUGGUUGAAGCAAAAAAGAGGAAUGGUUUUAUGUGUUGUCCAUGCCCUAAAUGUGGGAAUACGAAGUCUUACUCUGACCGCAAAAUCCUUCACACCCACCUGCUUUACAAGGGUUUCAUGCCACACUAUAUUGUUUGGACAAGGCACGGAGAAAUAGGGGUUAUGAUGGAAGACGUCAAAGAAGAAGAGGAUGAUGACAACUAUGUUCCCCCUGAAUACCGUGAUGCUGCAACGGGGGGAGCUGCUGAAGAUCAAGAGGAACCAGACGAUGUGCCCGAUGAUGCUGCAACGGGGGAAGCUACUGAAGAUCAAGAGGAACCAGACGAUGUGCCCGAUGAUGAUGAUCUCCACCGGGUCAUUGUCGAUGCAAAUACGCAAUGCGAAAGUCAAAAGGAGAAGCUGAAGUUCGACCGCAUGUUAGACGAUCACAAAAAAGGGUUGCACCCCAAUUGCGAAGAUGGCAACACAAAGCUGGGUACCGUACUGGAAUUGCUACAGUGGAAGGCAGAGAAUGCUGUGCCUGACAAAGGAUUUGAGAAGCUACUGAAAAUAUUAAAGAAGAAGCUUCCAAAGGAUAAAGAAUUGCCCGACAGUACAUAAGCAACAAAGAAGGUCGUAUGCCCUCUAGGAUUGGAGGUGCAGAAGAUACAUGCAUACCCUAAUGACUCCAUCCUCUACCGUGGUGCGUAUAAGGAUUUGAACGCAUGCUCGGUAUGCGGUGCAGUGUGGUAUAAGAUUAGACGAGAUGACCCUGGUGAUGUUGACGACGAGCCCCAUAGGAAGCGGGUUCCUGCGAAGGUGAUGUGGUAUACUCCUAUAAUACCACGGUUGAAAUGACUGUUCAGAAACAAAGAGCAUGCCAAGUUGAUGCGAUGGCACAGUGAGGACCGUAAGAAAGACGGGAAGUUGAGAGCACCCGCUGACGGGUCGCAGUGGAGAAAAAUCGAGAGAGAGUACUGGGCUGAGUUUGCACGUGACCCAAGGAACGUAUGGUUUGGUUUAAGCGCGGAUGGCAUUAAUCCUUUUGGGGAGCAGAGCAGCAAUCACAACACCUGGCCCGUGACUCUAUGUAUGUAUAACCUUCCUCCUUGGAUGUGCAUGAAGCGGAAGUUCAUUAUGAUGCCAGUUCUCAUCCAAGGCCCUAAGCAACCCGGCAAUGACAUUGAUGUGUAUCUAAGGCCAUUAGUUGAAGAACUUUUACAGCUGUAGAAUGAAAACGGUGUACGUGUGUGGGAUGAGCACAGUCAUGAGGAAUUUUACGUGCACGCGUUGCUGUUUGUAACCAUCAACGAUUGGCCCGCUCUCAGUAACCUUUCAGGAUAGAAAAAUAAGGGAUACCACACAUGCACACACUGUUUUGCUGACACCGAAAGUAUAUGCAUGGAGAAAUGCAGGAAGAAUGUGUACCUGGGCCAUCGUCGAUUUCUGCCGACAAACCAUCAAUGUCGAAAGAAAGGCAAUCAUUUCAAAGGCGAGGCAGAUCAACGGAAGAAGGCCGCCAUGCGUAACGGUGAUCACAUACUUGCUAUGGUCAAUAAUUUAAAAGUAAUCUUCGGAAAGGGUCCCGGCGGACUAUCUGUUCCGAGUGACGUUGCGGGACACACACCCAUGUGGAAGAAGAAAUCUAUAUUUUGGGACCUACCCUACUGGAAAGACCUAGAGGUCCGCUCUUCGAUCGAGGUGAUGCACGUCACGAAGAACCUUUGCGUGAACCUGCUAGACUUCUUGGGCGUGUAUGGGAAGACAAAAGAUACAGCUGAGGCACGGGAGGACCUGCAACGUUAGCAUGAAAAAGACGGCAUGCCUCCAAAGCAGUAUGAAGGUCCUGCCAGCUACACUCUUACCAAAGAAGAGAAGGAAAUCUUCUUUGAAUGCCUGCUUAGUAUGAAGGUCCCGACUGGCUUCUCGUCGAAUAUAAAGGGAAUAAUAAAUAUGGCAGAGAAAAAGUUCCAGACCUUAAAGUCUCAUGACUGUCACGUGAUUAUGACGCAACUGCUUCCGGUUGCAUUGAUGGGGCUUGAUACGUCUCAAACGUAUCUAUAAUUUUUGAUGGUUUCAUGCUGUUAUCUUGUCAACUUUGGAUGUUUUAUGUACCUUCUAUAUCUUUUUUUGGGAUUAACUUAUUAAUUCAGUGCCAAGUGCCAAUUCCUGUUUUUUCUGUGUUUUUGACUCUUUUCAGAUCUGAUUUUGGAACGGAGUCCAAACGGAAUAAAAUCCCCGAAAUAAAUUUUUCCAGAACGGAAGAAGAUUAGGGGACUUGAGGGCCAAGGCAGGAGAGCCACAGGGGGCCCACAAGCCCUGUAACCACCACCAGGGGGGAGGCGGCUACCAGGCUUGUGGCCUCCCUGGCGCCCCCCUGACCUAGCUUUUUCACCUAUAUAUUCCCUAAAAUGCAGAAAAAAAUGAGGGCAUCCACGAAAACACUUUUCCGCCACCGCAAGCUUCCGUUUCCGCGAUAUCUCAUCUGGAGACCCUUCCCGGUGCCCUGCAUCAACAUCAUCUCCUCUCCAAUGACUCGUGAGUAGUCUACUUCAGACCUACAGGUCCGUAGAUAGUAGCUAGAUGGCUUCUUCUCUCUCUAGGAUCUUCAAUACAAAGUUCUCCAUGAUCUUCAUGGAGAUCUAUCCGAUGUAAUCCUCUUUGGCGGUGUGUUUGUCGAGAUCCGAUGAAUUGUGGAUUUGUGAUCAGAUUAUCUAUGAAUUAUAUUUGACUCUUUGCUGAUUUCUUAUCUUCAUGAUUUGAUAUCCUUGUAAGUCUCUCCGAGUCUUGGGUUUUGUUUGGCCAACUAGAUCUAUGAUUCUUGCAAUGGGAGAAGUGCUUGGUUUUGGGUUCAUACCAUGUGGUGACCUUUCCGAGUGACAGAAGGGGCAGCAAGGCACGCAUCAUGUUGUUGCCAUCUAGGGUAACAAGAUGGGAUUUUAUCAUAGAUAUGAGAUUGUCCAUCUACAUCAUGUCAUCUUGGUUAAGGCGUUACUCUGUUCUUUUGGACUUAAUACACUAGAUGCAUGCUGGAUAGCGGUCCACGUGUGGAGUAAUAGUAGUAGAUGCAAAAAGUAUCGGUCUACUUAUUUUGGACGUGAUGCCUAUAGAUAUAAUCAUUGCCUUAGAUAACGUCACGACUUUGCGCGGUUCUAUCAUUUGCUCGACAGUAAUUCGUUCACCCGCCGUCUACUUGCUUUUAUGAGAGAAGCCACUAGUGAACACUACGGCCCCCGGGGCUAUUCACAACUAUCGUUUCCACUUUCACUUUUACUUUGCUCUGUUUACUCUUUGCUUUCAGUUCUCACUUUGCAAACAAUCUAUAAGGGAUUGACAACCCCUUCAUAGCGUUGGGUGCAAGCUCUUUGUGUUUGUGCAGGUACUUGUGACUUGACGAGACCUUCCAUUGGUUCGAUACCUUGGUUCUCAAAACUGAGGAAAAUACUUACCGCCGUUGUGCUAUAUCACCCUUUCCUCUUCAGGGGAACACCAACGCAAGGCUCCAAGGCCGCGGGAAAAUCCUUUGCAUAUUUGUCAAGGAAGUCCCUAAGGGUGUAGCCGUAGCAGCAGGAUUCCUGGCGCCGUACCAGGGAAGGUCUGUUGUCGCAGUAGCAGGGCUUCUACCGGAAAACGUCCGAUUAGCCAUUGUGAAGCUAUGUGCAUUCCUCAAUGCAAUCUCUCAGAAGGUGAUCGAUCCAGAAAUCAUACCAAGGCUAAGGAGUGAUGUGGUGCAAUGUCUUGUCAGUUUCGAGCUGGUGUUCCCACAAUCCUUCUUCAAUAUCAUGACGCACGUCCUAGUUCAUCUAGUUGACGAGAUUGUCAUUCUGGGCCCUGUAUUUCUGCAUAAUAUGUACCCCUUUGAGAGGUUCAUGGGAGUCCUAAAGAAAUAUGUUUGUAACCGCGCUAGGCCAGAAGGAAGCAUCUCCAUGGGCCAUCAAAUAGAGGAUGUCAUUGGGUUUUGUGUUGACUUCAUUCCUGGCCUUAAGAAGAUAGGUCUUCCUGAAUCGGGGUAUGAGGGGAGACUGACUGGAAAAGGCACGCUUGAAGGGGACUCAAUAAUAUGCAGGGACGGAUAUUAUUGGUCUCAAGCACACUACAUAGUACUAAUGAACUCUACCUUGGUGACCCCGUAUGUCGAUGAACACAAGAACAGUCUGCGCUCCAAACACCCGGAGCAGUGCGACGACUGGAUUACAAGUGAACACAUCAGGACUUUCAGCAGUUGGUUGGAAACACGUCUCAGAGGUAAGAACACUGUUUGUGAUGAGUUGUACUCAUUGUCCAGGGGACCAUCUUCAACUGUAUUGACUUACAAAGGAUACGAGAUAAAUGGGAAUAUAUUUUACACGAUCGCCCAAGAUCAAAAGAGCACCAACCAAAACAGCGGUGUCCGCUUUGAUACAGCAACCGAGAGGGGAAUAGACACAUAUUAUGGUUACAUAGUGGACAUAUGGGAACUGGAAUACGGACAUGAUUUUAAGGUCCCUUUGUUUAAGUGCAAAUGGAUCAAUCUGUCAGGAGGCAGGGUACAAGUAGACCCACAGUACGGAAUGACAACAGUGGAUCUGAACAAUCUUGGGUACACUGACGAACCGUUCGUCCUAGCCAAUGAUGUGGCACAUGUUAUCUAUGUGAAGGACAUGUCUACCAAACCGAGAAAAAGAAAAGAUAAGGAACCGAAUACAUCAUACGAUGAGCCAAAGCGCCACAUAGUUCUUUUAGGAAAAAGGGACAUCUUGGGAGUGGAGGGCAAGAUAGACAUGUCCAAAGAUUAUGAAAAAUUUCAUGAAAUUCCUCCCUUCAAAGUCAAGGCUGACCCCAAGCAUCCUGAUAAAUGAUGAAGAUUAUCCAUGGUUACGGCGCAAUAAGGAAAGGACACAAGCGAAGAAAAAAUGAAGACUUUCUCCACAACUAUUAUGAUGAUACCAUGCCAACUUUCAACAUUUUCGUAGUUCAUUUGAAAUGCCUGUUGUAAGAGACAAGUUUCUGUAUGAAAUCCUGAUACUUCGAAACAGAUUAUCCGUUUUGUACACGAAGUGCAUCUAGUUUUUGUCGUAACCCUCUCAACUUUCUUGCAUAUGCUAUGUGGUUGAAAUGAUGAUACCAUGCCAAAUUCCAACCUUUUCAGAGUUCAUUUGAAAUGCUUUUCAAUUUCAGGGUCUUAUAGCUUAAAAUAAUCAGUAAAUGCAUGAAAAAGAACAUAUGAAGUCAGAAAGGGAUGAAAAUUAAUGAUGUAAGUAGAAACCAAAUAAAAUAAAAUAAACUUUAAUAAAACAAGAAGUCCGGAUUAAAAGAAUUAUCAUAAAAGAAAAUAAAUAAGUAAUUAUAAUUUUGUUACAAACUUUAAUAGCAAAAAGAAUUAUCAUAAAAGAAAAUAAAUAAGUAAUUAGAAUUUUGUUACAAACUUUAAUAGCAAAAAGAAUUAUCAUAAAAUAAAAUAAAUAAGUAAUUAGAAUUUUGUUACAAACUUUAAUAGCAAAAAUAAUUAUCAUAAAAUAAAAUAAAUAAGUAAUUAGAAUUUUGUUACAAACUUUAAUAGCAAAAAGAAUUAUCAUAAAAGAAAAUAAAUAAGUAAUUAGAAACAAAAAAGAAAGCAAAAAUCUAGAAAAAAAUUAAACAUAGCACCGCACCGAGCCACCACACGGCCUUUGGUCUUGGUUAGUGUCAAAAAACAAAAAAUUAGUUGUAAGUAGAAACAAAAGAAAAAAAUAAAGCAAAAAAAAAACAAAAAUAAUGGAAAAAAAUAAAAAAAUAUGUGAAUUUAUAGAGAAAAUUCAACCUAAAUUCAAAGUACUAGUUAGCUUAACUAGCUAACUAGCACUUUGAAUUUAGGUUGAAUUUUGUCUUUAAAUUCAAGCUCGAUGUUGCACCCAUGGCGGAGCUUAUAAACAGGUUCGGGAGCCUUUCGCUUGGCGAGGUGGGACUAAACAUCCAACUGCACCGCGGCUGUGGCAGGCACAUGCCUUUAGUCCCGGUUUGUGGCUUAAAUCGGGACCAAAGGCCUCUGCUUCCCGCCCUUCGGGCUGCUGAAAAGAGACCUUUGGUCCCGGUUGGUGGCUCCAACCGAGACUAAUGCCCCCUUUAGUCACGGUUGGUGCCACUAACCGGGACCAAAGGUCUCUGUUUCCCGCCCUUUAGGCUGCUGAAAAGAGGCCUUUGGUCCCGGUUGGUGGCACCAACCGGGACCAAAGGCCUUUGCUAUAUAAGCCAACACUUGAAAUUUUCAGAUUGGUAUCGCCACCAUUGCCCCCCACUCGACGAUGCCGCAAGCUCAUCCACGGCGCCGCCAGGCUGCCCUGUCGCUCAUCGCCCGCCGCCAUUGCCCGUCGCCCUCCGCCCCCCGAGCCCACGCCGUCGCCCGUCGACGUCGCCCUCUGCCCCCCGCCGUCGCCCUCUGUCACCCUCGAUCCAUCGCCCAUCACCGUCGCCCUCGCCCUCCGCCCCCUGCCACCGUCGCCGUAGCCCUCGCCGCCCACGCCGUCGCCUGGCCGCCCCCGAUGUGAGCCGCCGCCGCCACGACUCUGUUCUUAUUUUUAUUUAUUGUUUUUCAUUUUUGAUUUAUAACACAACAAUUUGUUGAUUAGAAUACAAAAAUACAAAUAAAAAUACAUAUUUUUGGAUACAAUUUUGUACUAAAAUGAGUCUCUCAAGUGUCCAUCUUAUUCGAGAAAAGGCUUGGAAAUUCCACACCCACAUAAGAAAAUGAAGUCUUCAUAUACUUUAUUUCCUUGUUACCCAAUGGAAAAAUUCACGACCAUUCGAUUAUCUAUUUUCUUAGAUUAAGCAACUAGUCUAUAACUGAUUAUUCUUGAAUGAAGUAGCAAGCAAUACAAUGUUUGUUUCUAGGAAACUAGAAAUGCAAUGCUAAUGUACCAUUUUCUUGGAACUCUUGACUAUAGUUAUUGCGUAUUAAAGGCACAAUAUGUUUGAAAAAUAUAUAAAAAAAUCUCCCAAAAAUGAAACCAUAUGUUUUGUGAAUCUGAUGGACCCCUUUUCAUAGCCUUACCCUAACCAAUAAGUCAUCAUAAGCAUCAUCACCUAUAUUGUGAAAACAUUCAUUACAUUUGUGUUGAGAUACAUUUGUUAUUUAUUUUUAGAAGCGCGCUGAUAUAAGAAGGAUUGUCCAAGGUUUUAUCAUAAAAGACUAUGUCCAUGUCUCAAAAUCACGUAUUUUAAAAUGUGGUGAUGUGGUAGUCCUACAACCAUAUGCCUAUAUAAUAUGCCUAUCCCGCAUAGAACUAGUUUAUUUUUUAGUUCAUUUUACGAUGAUAUAAUAUGCCUAUACCGUAUUUUAAAAUGUGGUGAUGUGGUGAUGUGGUAAUUAUUGAUUUAUUUUUACAAGCACGCUGACGUCAGUUGUGCUUCCCCGGCAAUGGCGCCAGGAAAGUGCUGAUCCUGCAAUCUCUAGUGUUAGCUAGACGAAUGCUUAUGACAACGAACCUUCUCCUGCAACGGCACCAGAAGAAUGCUGCUAGCACUCCCCGGCAAUGGAACUCGAAGAAUGUUGUUGAUGGCCCACCAGCGCGUGGGUUCGCAGCAGUUUUCGAGGGUAGAGUAUUCGACCCAAAUUUGUAGAUCCCCUAAGGGAGGUGAGAGAAUACUAUCGAGUAUUAGCAGCUGAAUUUGUCGGAUUCAACCACACCUGAAAGAUUAGUAUCUGCAAGCACAGUAGUAAUAACAAAGUAGUAUGAUAAGAACGGUGUAAGAAACGUUCUGUUGACAGCAGACUAUUCCUAACAAUUGUAUCAAUGGCGCUUUCGUUGCCGCGUUGACGGAAGUUGUCAGUUCCCGUCAACGUCCGGUGAACCAACAGUGUAACAUGUAGCAGCAGUGUAACGAGUAAUAGCAGUGGCAAGGAACAACAGUAGUGACGAAAGUAGCAAGUAGCAACAGUAGCAAGAGACAGUAAUAGCAACAGUAGUAGUAGCAGAAGAGCAAGACAAGUAACAGCAGUAGCAACAGUAGUAGCAGCAGAGCAAGACAAGUAACAACAGUAGCAACAGUAGGACAAACUCGUAGGCAAUGGGUCGGUGAUUUGUUUGGAUGAUAUUCAUCAUGCAACAGCUAUAACACGGAGAUAUAAGUGGCUAGCUUCCGUUCGUCAAUGUGAUGUAGGCAUGCAUUCUAUGUGUCAUCAUACGUGCUUAGGGAAAAGAACUUGCAUGACAUCUAUUGUCCAUCCCUCCCGUGGCAGCAGGGUCCAAAAGGAAACUACGGGAUAUUAAGGUUCUCCUUUUAAUAAAGAACCGGACCAACGCAUUAGCACUUGGUGAACACAUGAACUCCUCAAACUAUGGUCAUCACCAGGAGUGGUUCCAGUUAUUGUCACUCCGGAGUUGCCGGAUCAUAACACAUAGUAGGUAACUACAACUUGCAAGAUCGGAUCUAAAACACACAUAUAUUGGUGACAACAUAAUAAUUUCAGAUCUGAAAUCAUGGCACUCGGGCCCUAGUGACAAGCAUUAAGCAUGGCAAAGUAGUAGCAACAUCAAUCUCACAACAUACUGGAUACUAGGGAUCAAUCCCCAUCAAAACUAACUCGAUUACAUGAUAGAUCUCAUCCUACUCAUCACCGCCCAGCGAGCCUACGAAUAGAUUACUCACGAGCGACGAAUAGCUUCAUGGAAUUGGAGAGGGAAGAAGGUUGAUAAUGACGAUGGCGACGAUUUCCCCCCUCCGGAGCCCAAGACGGACUCCAGAUCUGCCCUCCAGAUGAAGAACAGGAGGUGGCGGCGCCUCCGUAUCGAAAACGCGACGAAAACUUCCUUUUUUAUUUUUUCUGGGACGAAAGGCAACUUAUAGAGCUGGAAUUGGGGGCGGCAGGUGCCUGUGGGCCCCACAAGCCUGCCCACCGCCACCAGCGGGGGUGGUGGCGGAGCAGGGGCUUGUGGCCCACUGGCCCACGGCCUGAGGUGGAACUUGGCGCAGAUAUUUUUGAUAUUUUCCAAAACUUCUCUCGGUAAAUUUUCAGGACGUUUGAAGAACUUUGAUUUCUGCACAAAAAUAACACCAAGGAAUUCUGCUGAAAACAGCGUUAGUCCAGGUUAGUUCCAUUCAAAUCAUGCAAAUUAUAGUCCAAAACAAGGGCAAAAGAGUUUGGAAAAGUAGAUACGUUGGAGACGUAUCAACUCCCCCAAGCUUAAAACCUUGCUUGUCCUCAAGCAACUCAGUUGACAAACUGAGAGAGAAAGAAAAACUUUGACAAACUCUGUUUGAUCUUGUUGUUGCAACUAUGUCUAACUCAUAACCAUAAUUUCAGCAAGAUCACAAGUUAGCCACAUAAGCAAAUGACACAAAGGUCUCACGGUAAACUAAUAUCAAUGGCAUAAUCAGCUAACGAGAAAAUAAUAAUGAGUUUCAAAUGCCAACACUUCAAUCAAAACAAGCAUGAAACAUUAUGAAUAGGUGGUAUCUCGCUAGCUCUUUCUAAGACCGCAAAACAUAAAUGCAGAGGACUUUCAAAGAUCAAGGGCUGACUAAACAUUGUAGUUCAUAGCAACGAAGAUCCAGUCAUAGUCAUACUCAAUAUCAAUCAAAAGCAAAGCAUAAAAAUGACAGAGGUGCUCUCUAAUUGGUGCUUAAAUAAGAAGAGGAUGACUCGACAGGAAAAUAAAUAAACAAGCCCUUAGCAGAGGGAAGCAUUGAUUUGCAGAGGUGCCAGAGCUCAAGCUUUGAAAACAGAGAUAAUAAUUUUGGGUGGCAUGCUUUCAUUGUCAACGCAAUGACCAAGAGUUCUCAAUAUCUUCCAUGCUACUCAUGCUAUAGGUGGUUCCCAAACAGAAACGUAAAGUUUUAACUCCCCCACCACCAAUCAAUCACACUCCAUGGCUAGCCGAAUCCUCGGGUGCCGUCCAUACUAACAUCAAUCUAGGGGGAGGCUUGUUUUACAGUUAUGUUUUCGAUUUAAGCAUGGAACUGGGCAUCCCAAAUACCGGCCCCUUUCUCGUGAAUGACUGUGAAUAAACACAUGUCGAGGAUAACACUCCUAGCAUGGAAGAUACCAAUAGCCCUCUGUCACCUCAUGAGCGGUUCGGGCAUGCAAAACAGAUUAUUUCUUGAAGGUUUAGAGAAUGGCACAUGCAAAUUUACUUGGAACGGCAAGUAGAUACUGCAAAUAGGUAGGUAUGGUGGACUCUCAUGGAAAAACUUUUGGAUUUAUGGAAGUGGAUGCACAAACAGUAUUCAUGCUUAGUACAAGUGAAGGCUAGCAAAAGACUGGGAAGCGACCAACUAGAGAGCGACAAGAGUCAUCAAGAUGCAAUGAGUUGGACUAACAUUGAAUGCAAGCAUGAACAGGAUAUAAAUCUCCAUGAAUACGGACAUCAUAGAGGCUAUGUUGAUUUUGUUUCAACUACAUGCAUGAACAUGCGCCAAGUCAAGCCACUUGAAACAUUCAAAGGAGAAUACCAUCCUAUCAUACUACAUCAUAGUCAUCUCAAAAUCUAUGUUGGCAAUCAAGACAAACCAUUAUAAGCUCUCAGCUAAAUAAGCAUGGCAUCAGAAACUAUGAUCUCUAAGUUGUCAUUACAAACAUGGUUCUCUCACAACAAAGCAAAAUCUGGGUCGACAAGCUAGUCAUAUUUACUAAAACAAAAUAGAUAGAGUUCAUACCAGCUUUUCAGUCUCAGUCACUUCAUCAUAUAUCAUCAUUGUUGCCUUUCAUUUGCACGAUCGAACGAUGAAAACGAUAAUAAGCGCAUUGGACUAAGCUGAAUCUGCAGGCAAACACAAAGGAGAAGACAAAAUAAUAUGGCUCUUUGAAAGCUAAACAGGUAAGCAUGUAAGAACCACUAAGCAUUGUAACCAAUAUCUUCUACCUUGACACGAAGAAAAAGAAAGCUAUUUACACGGGAAAGCUCCCAACAAGCAAAAGAAGAAAGAAAAAUCUUUUUGGAUUUUCUCAAAAGGACACAAAACAAGAAAACAAGAAAACAAAAAGAAACUAGCAUGGAUAAUACAGUGGCAAAGUGUAAACAUCGGCAAACAGAGUGAAAGCAUAAACAUGAAUGUAAAGUCGGUGAGAACACGUACUCCCCCAAGCUUAGGCUUUUAGCCUAGCUUGGCCUACUCCCAUGGUGGGAAAUAACCAGCUCCAGGAUACUCCGGAGCAGACUGCGGAUGCCACUGCUGUGUGAGCUCCUGUGGCUCCCACUGAUAAAAUGGCGUCUGGUACUCGACUGGAGGCUCGGGCACGGGCGCCUGUGGUUUGGCCAACCCCCAAUAUGCGUAGAUGUCCGCGAGCAUAAUAGUGUACCUACCUGCAUGAAGAUCAAACAAAGAAGGAGCAGGCAAAGUAAUAGUCUCUCGAGUACCCUGACUAAACACCAGGUUAUAAAUCAUCCGUCUACUAGCAUCUCUGUCCAGAAAAUCCUAGCGAACCAUGCUAUCAUAAUCCAUAUAUCUCUCAGGGAGAAGCAUCUCUCCUUCCUCUCCCAUUCUAAUGGGUAUCUCAAAGCACUACAAGAAAUAUGCUCAUACAUGAUGUUUUUUAAAAUGUCGUUGAUGAAUUCGUCAUAAAUCUAUGACGAUUUCAUCCGAGAUUGUCGUAACUUUUACGACGAUGUGAGUCAAAAAUGUAGUAACCGCAUAAGAUGAGAUCGUCAUAACUUUAUGACGAUUAUAAAAACAUCGUAACAUGUUCUAACUAUGUUGACAUGUCACUCGUGGGUCCAUUCUAUCCCACCUCAUCCUAGUUUGUGAAAAUAUCCCAAAUCACAUUGUUUUCAUACAAAUUCUGUUUCACACAUUCUAUUUUCACACAAAUUAUAAGAAAAUGAAAAUAUCCCAAAUCACAUUGUUUGUCAUCCCAAAGUAGACACAUAUGCAUAAUAUUGAUUAAUUUUGACAAACUGUAUGUUUACCCUGAAUAAUAGGAUGAAAAAUAUAAGAGAAACAAAAGAAAAAGAGAAAAUUACACAAGCUUAAAUCUGAUUGGUGGAAUGAGUUUUGACAUGGAUCGGUGACGUGGCAAACAUCCGGCCAUCCAUCCACCCGCAGCAAACCUCACCCAACCCAUCAUGCCCUCCUCUUCCUCUCUCUGCGCUAACCCUAGCCGACGCCUCCCUCUCUCCCCCGAUCCCACCCGAUACGGAUCGCCCAACCCUAGCCGCCACCGUGAUCUGACCAGGGGUAGCCGCGAUGGCGACGCGGAGAGGAGUGCCGCCCCGUAGAGUGACCGCUUCGUCUGUGUAUAGGCCGACACCCAGGAGGGCAACGACGCCGGUGGCAUAGUGGCCACUGCAGAGGGCGCGGUGCGGGCCAGCCUCGACACCGACGAGCUCAUGGCGCUCAUGCACGGCUCAAGGGCACGCCGAGUGGAGGAGGGGGAGGGGAGGGGUGGGGGAUUUGGUUUGUGAUUUUUGGAUUUUUGGUCCGAGCGGCGAUGGGGUUGCUGUCGCGGUCGGAGGAGGUGGCGGUGCUGGUCAGGCUCAAGGUGGCGGCGGGGCCGAUCAGGCGCGAGAUCUCGCCUAAGAUGCACUGGGCCUUCGCCUACGAGAUGCUCCACCGGGUCUCCUGCAGCUUCGCGCUCGGACUCGAGCUCCGCAAUGCCGUAAGCGCUCCUUCUCCUCCCUUUCCCCCCUUCAACCCCAGAUCCCCUCCGAUCCCUGGAAUCCUUGAGGCACUCACGGCCGCUAAUUUUGACCCUUCCUGGAGGUGUGCGUCUUCUACCUCGUGCAAGGUCUGGUUCUGAUUCCGCCAUGGAUUCGAUUCCUUGGUGCUCGUUUGGGGAUCCGAUCCGGUCUGGUCUCUUGUCUCCUCUCCUCUUGCUUGGAUUCGGUUCGAUUGACCACCAUUACUAUGUAUGUAGAUCUUGCUAGAGAUUUUCGCAUCUACUGUUGCUAGUUGGAUUCGUAGCUGUAUUGCACAUACUACUACUACUAUCGAUUGAUCGAUUACACAUUCCUUUGUUCUUUCUUAGAGCUACUAGUACUACUCCUACCAUAUACCAGUGUUAAUAUAUUGAGAUUGAUUCUGGUAGUGUUGGGUAGCCAGUAGAACUUUUAUGAUGUAAGUUAAAAGGGUACUGUGUGACUAGACUGAAGAAAUUGUGUUGACAAAUUCUCCCGCACCACCUUAUUUUUUCACUAGACUGAAGAAACUUGACUGCAGAUGCACCAGUUGCUCAUUUUUAAAUAGUCCUAGUGUUAAAAUGGCCAUGUUGUAUAAAAUUCAUGUGGAUAUGUGUUGAAAAUUCAGUUAAAUUGUCUUCACAGAAACUUUACUGAAAAAUUCAGUUAAGUUCAAUCACCAUUCUGAAUUUUGACCACAUGAGUACAUGACCAAGCUUAAGAGUUUAAAACAUUAUCCAAAUAAUCAUGUCCCACAUUAUUGCCAGGGCAAGAGUAGUAGCACGAGCAGGAUUUUGCAAACUGAAUGAAAAAGGAAGUCAUUCUUUGCUUCUACUGCCUGAACAAAGUCAUGUCGGCUGCACCAUGGCUCUUCUAUACUCCUGAAGUAUCAGUUAGUAAACAAGGAUAAAAAUGAUGGGGACUUUGCACCUUUGAUAAAACUGUAGGUGGUUUACCCACUGCAAGCAUGUUAAGGAAGCAAAAUGUUCACAGAGUUUCCAGUAGAGUGGCAAUUUUUGAAUGGCACUUCACCUAUGAAAUUCAGAGCAAGACUUCCUGUUUUGCUGUGGAGUUUAGACGUUCAGCUUAUCAUUCAAGACUUAUAUGCAUGCGUUUCUAGCUGUAGAAUUCAAAGCAAGACUUCAUGUUUUUCUGAAAUUUAACAUUUCAGCAUCAUUAAUCUUGUCUGACUGAAUGUUUCCAAAAUUAACAUGAUUGAGUGUUUCCAAAAUUAACAGAAUCUUGCCAUUUCCCGAUUGAAUGUUUCCAAAAUUAAAAGAAUCUUGUCAUUUCCUGAUUAAUUUUUUUUGAUUAAAUGUUUCUAAAAUUAAAAAAACCUUGCCAUUUCCCAAUUGAAUGUUUCCAAAAUUAACAAAAUCUUGUCAUUUCCUGAUUAAAAGUUUCCUGAUAUUUUUUUCCCAAUACAAACAAAAUCUUGCCAUUUCUUGGUCGAAACAGCAGCAACAACAGAUGACAGGGAAAGGAUAGGACGCUGCGAGACGUCGGUGUGACAGCCGGGUGGCGGCGUGCAAUGGGCUGGGUGGUUGCGUGUGGUGGCGCUGGUCGCUCUGACCACCGUGCGGAAUCUAGGGUGGCGUGCGAGGGCUGUGGCGGCGAUGCGCUCUGAUCCGGGGCCACGGAAUGUGCUAUCGGUGGUUGAGGUGGUCGCGGCAGGAGGAGACGAGAUCGCAUUGGGAGGGAAUCGCGGAGGUGCAGAUCGUGGGCAGCGGAGGAGCAGGUUGACAGGCGGAGGAAGAAGAAAGGAGACAGGAUCUAUCUGUAACAGAUUUGAUGGUACGAGGGGGUUUUGGCAAAAUUUCCAUUACACUGUGGAUGCGACAUUAAUUUCGGGAUGGAGGGAGUACUAAUAUAUUGUUGCAAGCACUGGAAUUUCCAUUCCAUCUGUAUAAAACUGUAUGUGUAGUGAUUGUUGUAUUUUGUUGUGUUCACUAUUCAGGUUAGGAUUGCUCGGCUCUUUACCACCUAUGGCCCGCGCAUGUGCAUUGUCGAUGGCCGUGUUGUGAGGAACUUUGUUGCUCAGGUAAACACACAACGCUGUUGCUCUGCUAGUUUAAAAACCGCAAGUUUCUUUUCAUUUCCGAACUAACACUUGAAUGCUCUAUGUUAAUAUAAUGGCAGGCGCUAAGGAAGGAGCCUUUGACGGUUUACGGCGAUGGCAAGCAGACCAAGAGUUUCCAAUGCGUUUUUGAUUUGGUAGGUCAUCUCUAACCAUCAAUGAACAAUAAUUAUGGCUAUGCUAUCUGGAAUGCGCUUUCUAAAAUAGCACUCUUCCAAGUUGAGGGGUUGAUGAGGCUGAUGGAAGGUUAUCACAUUGGGCCAUUCAACUUGGGCAACCCCGGUGAGUUCACCAUGCUGGAACUGGCCGUUCAACUUGGGCAACCCCGGUGAGUUCACCAUGCUGGAACUGGCCGUUCAACUUGGGCAACCCCGGUGAGUUCACCAUGCUGGAACUGGCCAUUCAACUUGGGCAACCACGAUGAGUUCACCAUGCUGGAACUGGCCAAGGUUGUCCAGGACACCAUCGACCAUGAUGGUGAGUUCAAUAACACUAUUAUGAUGAUGGUGUGCUGAGCAGAGGAUGUGAAACAUUUAGACCACAGAGACCUUUUUUGGUCUUUGAUGUAUCUAAAAUCGAGCUUUUUAAAACUGAUGCUAGGCAUGCCAUCACUAUAUAUAUUGUUGUAGAGAUGCUUGAGGUGGUUCUGUUAUAGUGGUACACAAUGGAGUUUGUCAGCUAAGCAUAUGAUGUUACUAGGAGAUGCUAGUGAGAUGUCACCCAUCGUUGAAGUAUCUUAAACCGAACUUUUUAAAACUGAUGCUUGGUUUAGCUAGUGCUUGUAGAUUAGAGUGAGUAUUGCUUAUCUGCUUGUCAAUCGAAAUCCACAACACACUGAAUUUAGCAGUGAGUAUUGCUUAUUGCUUAUCUAUUUGUCUUCUUAAAAAGAAUGGCAUGUUGAUUGAGGCCAAACAUUGAUGGGAAUGCCUUAGCUUUUUCUUUUUCUGCUGGAAACCUUUUUUUUGCUUCAGAUUUCUUGACUGGUCAGCCUGGCAUCUUACCUUAUUAACUAUAGCAACAUGUUUUACUCUUACUUUAAUUGAAGUAUUCUGCAGUAUGCAAAUCAAUUCUUUAAAUGUUGCAUUAUUGGCAACAUGGAGACAAACCUUAAACUUAUAUCGGUUAAACUUGGUCACUUGGACGGCAGACUGAGCCACCAGCCUACCACAUGUCCAUAUCUAUACAAGUUUAAUUUGUUUUCUUUUACUGUCAGUGUGAACCGCAUCAUUGGUUGUUGGGUACUGGACUACGGUGGCAUAUCCUUCCAUGUAAUUUUUUAAAGGCGAUGGAUGCAAAUCUAGUUGCAUUAGUAUACUCCAGUACACUCAAUUUAAUUGUCAGCUUGCCAAACGAGACGUAGUAGUUGAAUCUAACCAUAUAGUAGUAGUAAUAAAAAAUACUAUACGUUUUGGUGUGGCCAAACUGCUGUACAUUAUGUUUUUAGUAAGGAUCUCAAGUUCUUAACACAAACUUGCUAAGUUUUGAACACUAACUCUAAUAUUUUUUAUAUUUAUUUCCGUUUUUUUGAUUCAUGUGCAGUGUAAUGUUCUUGUAGGAUGGCAAGUUGUCGCAUCUCGAGCAUGUCUCAUAGGAGAGUGGAAUGAAGUCCAUUGUACUGUUGGGAUAGUAGCAGAUGUGUCAUUUCUAUUGUGUAAUUCUGUCCGUUCUUGCUAUAUUCAUUUGUAAGGAAAUGUAUUCAUGAGAUGAGUUAUUGUGUUAUGUAAACCUGGGAGAUGUAUUAUGUGAUGUUAUAUGAUGGAUGAUUUUAAUUUGACUUGGAGUUUUCUUGAUUUGAAUAUGAAAUAUAGUUGGAUUUAAUAUUGGACAAAUAAUUGGGUUGAAAAGGCUCAACAAAUACAAAUGAAACCAAAUUCUGAAACAAAAAGUUGCUGAAUUCAAAAAUGAAAAAGGUCAAAACUGAAACUGGACCAAAUGUAUUUGGGCACUAAAAGGCCAGGGCCCAAAUUAUAAUGAUAAAAAAAUUCUAAAAAAAUACUAUGAUUGUAAAUAAGCUAAGGCCCAAAAAGAAGCCCAAUAAGAAAAAGCCCAAAAAAAUAAAACCAGCCCAUGUGAUCAAUUGAAAUGGGUUGGGCUGAUUUCAACCGUGAUGUUUUGAUUUCAUCGUAAUUUUGCCACGUAGGACUGGGUUUGAUUGCCAACGACGAUUUAGGAUCGUCGUAAAGGUUACGACAAUCCAGGAAUCGUCGUAAAAGUUACGACGAUUUUGAUCAAAACAUCGCUGCUGUUCAUUUGUGACGCUCCGUUUUCGAUGCUUGGUUUCUCGUCAUGAGAUCGUGUAAAAUAAAAACCGUGAUGAUGUAGCGACGAAAAAAUAGCGUCGUGUAUUAGCAUAUUCCUUGUAGUGAAGUGUCUGGCAAGACGGGUAGCAUAGAUACCUCCAUAGACGACACCUUAAAACGGUUCAGGUUCAAACGUUGAGCUACUAUAGCGCCCAAGCUAUAAGUCUUAUCGUUAUAAAGGCCUUCGGGUAGAACCGCAAGGUCUCGAGAACAAAGUGAUCCAGCCUCCCCACAGCCAAUCAAACAUUUUCCCACAAAUAGUGAGAAGUACCGAAGCACGGGAAAAUGUAUGCUAGCAAUUCUAGCGCGAGACACUCCUCUCUCCUCUCCAACAACAAUAGAACCAAUGAAAUCCUCCAAGUCCCGUGGACGAGGGUCACGGAUAUCCCCAAUAUAAGGUAAUUUGCAUACAUUGCAAAAAUCCUGCAGCGUCAUGCACUUGGGGACAUCGUAUAUCAUGAACUCAACCAUGGGAGGAUUCUUCCUCGGAUAAAAGUUGAAGCUUUGAACGAAAAUAUUGGCGAGGAGGAGAUAUUGUGGGCACUUAUAUUCAACGAACGCAGUAAGAACUGCGUUCUCCACAAAGUAAUAAAAGUCUUCAUAAAGUCCGGCGGCGCGCAAAAAUUCAUCACUUGGCCACUCGCACGAUCGAACUUCUGUGACUCGAGGGACUGCGUACUUGGGGUGGUUCUUCUCAUCCUCCUUGGGGUUACGGCUUGAAGAGCCUCUCAAGAACCUCCUCAUCUUUUCCUUUUUAUAGCUCUGAAAUUUUUUGAAACUUUUCGAGACUUUGAAAGAAAAGUGAAUAAGGAUUAACCCAACUUGUAGCAACUACUCCUACUAGUGCCUAGAGACCGUAUCACGCGCUAAAACUACUUGGGACCAGCUAAAAUCAACCUUUCAAGCUCAAGAACAGGGUCACCAAGGUAGCAAGAAUCCGCGAAGGAUAAAGCACUAGAGCAAAAACUAAUUGGACCAAUGGAGGAGUCACUUACCAAGGAGUAAUUUCCCCAAAACAGUUCGUAGAAUGGUGCUUUGAGCAAGGAGAUUGAAAAUCACAGCCAAAUGAGCAAGAACACGGGUUUGAGCUGCGAAACAAUUUUUUCUGGAGGUGGAAGAAGAGGCUGAGAGCUGGAAUGAGUGGAGGGGAUGCCUGUGGGCCCCACAAGCUUGCACCCCGCCACCAGGGGGUAGGUGGCGGUGGGGGGGCUUGUGGCCCACUGGUUAGGCCCCCUCACCACCUCUCAGGCCUAGAAUUUUUCAAAAAUUCCAGAAAAAAUCAUACUAAAUUUUCAGGACCAUCGGAGAACUUCUAUUUUCGAGGUAUUUUCUCCGGGACGCUAAAACAGAAAACGAGAAAAGCUAAAGUAAUUCUAUCAUUUUUUUUCUAAGCCACAGAAAAUGAAGACUCAAAACAGAGGUAUGUGACUCUUUGAUUCAUCCGUCUCAUGAUCAUCGAAAGAAAUCCGUCAAUGAGAUUGAUCAAGUCCUUAUGACAAAACUUUCUCGAAUUACAAGAGAGAACGGAGAAUUUUCGAAUAGCCACUAAGUCACCUCAAUGGGGAUAUGAAUCUCCCCAACAAGAAAAUCGUAAUUCAUCUUGACACGAGGAAUAGGGCAUUCAAAGCUCCCAAUGAGAAUCGAUGAAGUGUUUUCGAUAGCAUUGAUGCAAUAUACUGGAUAUCGUUUCUUCGGAAAGUGCAUGGUGUGCUCAUUACCGUUGACAUGGAAAGUGACAUUGCCUUUGUUGCAAUCUAUAACAGCCCCUGCAGUGUUUAAAAAGGGUCUUCCGAGGAUGAUAGCCAUGGCAUCGUCCUCGGGAAUAUCCAAGAUAACAAAGUCUGUUAAGAUAGUGGCAUUAGCAACCACAACUUGCACAUCCUCGCAAACGCCGAUAGGGAAAGCAGUUGAUUUGUCGGCCAUUUGCAGAGAAAUUUUAGUGGGUGUCAACUUAUCCAACUCAAGUCUAUGAUAAAGAGAGAGUGGCAUGACACUAACACCGGCUCCAAGGUCACAUAAGGCAGUUCUUACGUAGUUUCCUUUAAUGGAGCAAGGUAUAGUGGGCACUCCGGGAUCACCAAGUUUCUUAGGAGUUCCACGUUUGAAAGUAUAGUUGGCAAGCAUGGUGGAGAUCUUAAGAUCUGGUAUCUUCUGUUUAUUAGUCACGAUAUCUUUCAUGUACUUGGCAUAUGGAGACAUCUUGAGCAUAUCAGUUAACCGCAUCUGCAGAAAGACGAGUCUUAUCAUCUCAACGAAGCGCUCAAAAUCCUCAUCAUCCUUUUUCUUGGAUGGCUUAGGAGGAAAGGGCAUAGGUCUCUGAACCCAUGGCUCCCUUUCUUUACCAUGCUUCCUAGCAGUGAAGUCAUUCUUGUCGUAUCUCUUAGGUUGUGGAUUAUCAGGAUUAACCAUAAUUUCAAUCACCACAUCCUCAUCAUUGCUAGGUUGAGCAUUAUUAUGAACAUCACUGUCCAUAUUGUCACCAGGUUCAUGUUCAUCACCAGAUUGUGUUUCUGCAUCAGACGUAGAAAUGUCAUUAGGUUCUUCAGGUGUGAUAGUAUUUAGUGAACUGGCAUGUAGGUUUUUAUCAUCCUUCGUCUUCUCCUUAGGAUGACUAGGUGUAUCAGCAUUGAUUCCUUGAGAAUCUUGAUCAAUUCUCUUAGGAUGACCUUCAGGAUACAAAGGUUCCUGAGUCAUCUUGCCUCCUCUAGUAAUGACUCUGACAGAGUUGUCAUUUAAUUCAUUGAGCAAGUCAUUCUGAGCUUUAAGUACUUGUUCUACCUGAGUAGUAAUCAUAGAGGCAUGUUUACUCAGAAGCUUCAGAUCAUUGACAUUUCUGUCUACACAAGCACUUAAAUGGCUAAGCAUACGAGCAAUUUGUUCCAAAUGUCUGCUAACAUAAUCAUUGAAACUCUGUUGUUUGGCAACAAAGUUGUCAAAUUCAUCAAAGCAUAGGCUAGCAGGUUUAUCAAAAGGAAUAUCACUAUCAUCAAACAUACGCAGAGAAUUCACUUCCACUACCUGUAUCGGGUUAUCGAGACCAUGGAUCUCUUCGAUAGGUGGUAGAUUUUUGACAUCUUCAGAUCUAAUGCCUUUCUCUUGCAUAGAUUUCUUGGCUUCUUGCAUAUCUUCGGGACUGAGGAAUAGAAUACCUCUCUUCUUAGGAGUUGGCUUAGGAGGUGGUUCUGGAAUAGUCCAAACAUUAUCGUUGAUCAAGAGGUUAUUCAGUAGGGUCUCAGCUUGUUCUACAGUUCGUUCCCUAAAAACACAACCGGCACAACUAUCUAGGUGGUCUCUAGAGGCAUCGGUAAGUACGUUAUAGAGGAUAUCAAGUAUCUCGUUCUUCUUAAGAGGGUGAUCAGGCAAAGCAUUCUGUAGCUGGAUGAGCCUCCCCCAAGCUUGUGGAAGACUCUCUUCUUGGAGUUGAGCAAAGUUGUAUAUUUCCUGCAAGGUAGCUUGAUUCUUAUGGACAGGGAAAUAUUUCUCACAGAAGUAAUAGACCAUCUCCUCGGGACUACGCACACAUCCAGGAGAAAGAGAGGUGAACCAGGCUUUAGCGUCUUAAGGAUAUAGUAGUGGCGGAUCUUCUCCUCAUUAGUGAAGAGGUUGGCUAUUUCGUAUAGUUUGGCAAGAUGGGCUAUGACCGUCUCAGACUCAUAACCGUGAAAAGGAUCAGAUUCGACAAGAGAGAUUAUCUCAGGGUCGAUAGAGAAUUCAUAAUCCUUAUCGGUGACAAAGAUAGGCGAAUGGCAAACUUCGGGUCAUUUUUCAUCCUAGGUUCCCGAGAUUUUUCCUUCCACUCGAGAAUUAAUUUCUCAGAGUCAUAGGCAUCCUUACAUGCAAGAAUAUCCUCAGCUAUCUCUCCCUCCAUAACGUAACCCUCAGGUAUAUCAGGCAAUUCAUAUCUGGGAGAGCUAGAUCUAACAGGAGCAAAAGCAGGUUCUAUCUCAAUAGUAUCGGUAGUUUCAGAAGCAUCACGAGCAUUGGCAGUAACUCUAGCAAUGUCAAGCAUAGCAUCAUCAGGAAAAAUAGCAUCUCUAGCAGUAUCAAGCAUAGUAUCUCUAGCAGUAUCAAGCAUAGUAUCAUCAGGCAUAGUAUCAAGCAUAGCAUCAUCAGGCAUAGUAUCAAGCAUAGUAUCAAGCAUAGUAUCACAAGCAUCAUCAAGCACAGGCGACAUAUCAAGAUUUCUAGCAGGAGGUGAUGUCGCAAACUUACUCAUAACUGAAGGUGAAUCAAGUGCAGAGCUAGAUGGCAAUUCCUUACCUCCCCUCGUAGUUGAGGGCAAGACUUUGGUCUUUGGAUUCUUCAUAGUGAUCAGCAGAUAUAAAUCCCAAGUGACUCAGAGAAUAUAGCAAUACCUCCCCGGCAACGACGCCAGAAAAAUGCUGACGUCAGUUGUGCCUCCCCGGCAACGGCGCCAAAAAAAUGCUGACGUCAGUUUUGCUUCCCCGGCAAUUGCGCCAGAAAAGUGUUGAUCCUGCAAUCUAUAGUGUUAGCUAGACGAAUGCUUAUGACAAUGAACCUUCUCCUGCAACGGCACCAGAAGAAUGCUGCUAGCACUCCCCGGCAAUGGAACUGGAAGAAUGUUGUUGAUGGCCCACCAGCGCGUGGGUUCGCAGCAGUUUUCGAGGGUAGAGUAUUCGACCCAAAUUUGUAGAUCGCCUAAAGGAGGUGAGAGAAUACUCUCGAGUAUUAGCAGCUGAAUUUGUCGGAUUCAACCACACCUGAAAGAUUAGUAUCUGCAAGCACAGUAGUAACAACAAAGUAGUAUGAUAACAACGGUGUCAAAAACGAUCAGUUGACAGCAGACUAUUCCUAACAAUUGUAUCAAUGGCGCCUUCGUUGCCGCGUUGACGGAAGUUGUCAGUUCCCGUCAACGUCCGGUGAACCAACAGUGUAACAUGUAGCAGCAGUGUAACGAGUAAUAGCAGUGGCAAGGAACAACAGUAGUGACGAAAGUAGCAAGUAGCAACAGUAGCAAGAGACAGUAAUAGCAACAGUAGUAGUAGCAGAAGAGCAAGACAAGUAACAGCAGUAGCAACAGUAGUAGCAGCAGAGCAAGACAAGUAACAACAGUAGCAACAGUAGGACAAACUCGUAGGCAAUGGGUCGGUGAUUUGUUUGGAUGAUAUUCAUCAUGCAACAGCUAUAACACGGAGAGAUAAGUGGCUAGCUCCCGUUCGUCAAUGUGAUGUAGGCAUGCAUUCCGUCUGUCGUCAUACGUGCUUAGGGAAAAGAACUUGCAUGACAUCUAUUGUCCAUCCCUCCCGUGGCAGCAGGGUCCAAAAGGAAACUACGGGAUAUUAAGGUUCUCCUUUUAAUAAAGAACCGGACCAACGCAUUAGCACUUGGUGAACACAUGAACUCCUCAAACUAUGGUCAUCACCAGGAGUGGUUCCAGUUAUUGUCACUCCGGGGUUGCCGGAUCAUAACACAUAGUAGGUAACUACAACUUGCAAGAUCGGAUCUAAAACACACAUAUAUUGGUGACAGCAUAAUAAUUUCAGAUCUGAAAUCAUGGCACUCGGGCCCUAGUGACAAGCAUUAAGCAUGGCAAAGUAGUAGCAACAUCAAUCUCACAACAUACUGGAUACUAGGGAUCAAUCCCCAUCAAAACUAACUCGAUUACAUGAUAGAUCUCAUCCUACUCAUCACCGCCCAGCGAGCCUACGAAUAGAUUACUCACGAGCGACGAAUAGCUUCAUGGAAUUGGAGAGGGAAGAAGGUUGAUGAUGACGAUGGCGACGAUUUCCCCCCUCCGGAGCCCAAGACGGACUCCAGAUCUGCCCUCCAGAUGAAGAACAGGAGGUGGCGGCGCCUCCAUAUCGAAAACGCGACGAAAACUUCCUUUUUUUAUUUUUUCUGGGACGAAAGGCAACUUAUAGAGCUGGAAUUGGGGGCGGCAGGUGCCUGUGGGCCCCACAAGCCUGCCCACCGCCACCAGCGGGGGUGGUGGCGGAGCAGGGGCUUGUGGCCCACUGGCCCACGGCCUGAGGUGGAACUUGGCGCAGAUAUUUUUGAUAUUUUCCAAAACUGCUCCGUGUAAAUUUUGAGGACGUUUGGAGAACUUUGAUUUCUGCACAAAAAUAACACCAAGGCAAUUCUGCUGAAAACAGCGUCAGUCCAGGUUAGUUCCAUUCAAAUCAUGCAAAUUAUAGUCCAAAACAAGGGCAAAAGAGUUUGGAAAAAUAGAUACGUUGGAGACGUAUCACACGCUGAUAUAAGAAGUAGUUUAUUUUUGACAAGAAAAUUAAUAGAACUAGUUUAUUUUUGUAGUCCAUUUUACGAUGCCUAUCCCGCAUCCUCGUCGUCGACUCGGCGGAGGACACCUGCUUGAUCAGAGGGGCCAUGUCCGGCACUGGGCUCCGCCCGGCUGGUAUUGGGAGGUGCUACCUUCCGGGGGGCGUAAGUUGGUGAGGAGUCAGCCCGUUGUUGACCCAAUCCUUGUUUGGUGGCAGUCGCGUGGGCUAGUGAUGGUGUCGAGGCUUCCGGACACCGCGGAGGUGGUACGUCGCCGUGUCAGCGAGGAGGACGAGCACGUCCGUCGCUACAUGGUUGCGUUGGAGGGCAGGUUCGAAAAUACCUGGCAGGUUCUUCAGGGAUCUCACUGGAGCUAUGAUCCUGUGAUGGUUCCUUCUCUUUGGGUGUCCACCGCCCGCGACGAUACCCGUCGGGCGAUACGGUUCUAGCUGUAUUAGUGAUGCUAUAUGUAUGACAAGAGAUGAUGUAGUUUUGCUUAUAAUUGAAUGCAUGCUAAUUUGAAUACUACUUUAUUUUACGAUUUGGUUUUUCUUAUUGAAUGCUCAAAUUGGAAAAGUACUCCUACUUUGAAUGCUAAAAUUGGAGAGCACUAUGCAGAAAUCUAGGAGCCCCCUCCAUCAUCCACGCCGUCGUCCCCGUCAUCGACCCCCCUCCGACCUCGAGUCAGGGUCUAUAUUGUUUUAUGCUAUUUUACCUUAAGGAGGGUAUUUAAUUAGGUACUACCUAAUACUGAUGAUCAUGUUGCUGUAAAUGUUGUAUGACAACGUUGUAAAGGGUAGUAAUUGGUCUCUUCAACUGCUUUCCAGAGAUGGAAUUCUUCACGAUUCUACUUGAGAAAUCCUCCAGCAGGCAGGUGCUGCCGGAUAAUUUUGUGAAGAUGCUGGACGACCAUCGGCCACAGAACAUGAAGCUGAGGCAGGCCGGCAACGGGCUUCACAAGCUGUGGGACGUGGAGGUGGUGUUCGACACUGAUGGAAACAUGUACCUAGAUCGUGGCUAGAAGCAGUUCAUCCGUGCCUACGACCUGUGGCACGGGUACUUCCUUGUCUUCAGGUACGACGGCAACUCCACGUUCGCCGUGAAGGUGUUCGACACGACUAUGUGUCGGAGGCGCUACCAGGACGACGACGAUGCCAGUACACUCUGUCUCUUCUUCCGCUCCAUUAGGCUAUGUCUCACACCCUUUUUUUUAAAAAAAAUUGCAUUUGGCAAGGCAAUGGGAGCAGGAGCAGUGAGUACUGCGACAGGUGCUAUGUUUACGGCAGCAGCGACUCUCGCUACAGCAAAAGUAGCAGCGACUCUGGCUACAGCAAAAGUAGCAGUGACGAUGGCCUCGCGAUGGUGAUCCCACAGCUGGGCGAUAGGGCCAUGCCAAUUGUGGUAGAGGAGUACAUCCCACAGCCUGGCAUGGGGCUUCGCCGCUCUAAGCGCAUCAGGAUGAUGAAGGAGAAGGUGAAGAAGCAGGAGUGAAGAUCUUAAGAACCUGAUGGAUCUUUAAUCUUUAUAGUGUAAACCUUUUAAGUACGAUAGUGUUGAACUGCUACUGCACUUUUAAGUAUGAUGGUGGUGUGCCUGAUGAAAUUUUGUGCAUGCUCAUGGAUGCUCAUGGAUGAAAGAUAAAAUUAUUUCUUUUUGUGCUUGCUCAUGGAUGCUCCUUGGUUGGUGUAUAUAACAACCUAAAUUAACCCCUAAACCAGCCCCUUUCAAAAAAAAAACUCAGCUUCAGCCAAGUGCUGAUGCGUGGAUGCCUUUUGGUCCUGGUUGGUGUCACCAACCGGGAAUAAAGGCCCCCAUGCCUGGCCUGACCGCAGCGGCCACGUGGAGGCCCAUCUGUCCCGGUUGGUGUAAGAACCGGGACUAAAGGUCGAGGGCAUUAGUAACGACCAUUUAAUCCCGGUUCCAAAACCGGGACAGAAGGCCCUUACGAACCGGGACAAAAGGCCCUUUUUCUACUAGUGUCUUUUCAAAAGAUCGGUUGCAUACUUCUCUUGACAGAUAUGAAGACCACCUUCUCUAUCUCUGUUAACCUAAAUACUGUUGGGGAACAUCACAUGGAAAACAAAAAAAUUCCUACGCGCACGAAGACCUAUCAUGGUGAUGUCCAUCUACGAGAGGAGAUUUGGAUCUACGUACCCUUGUAGAUCGCACAGCGGGAAGCGCUAAGAAACGCGAUUGACGUAGUGGAACGUCCUCACGUCCCUCGAUCCACGCCGCGAACCGUCCCACGAACCGUCCCGCGAUCCGUCGCAUGAUCCGCUCAGAUCUAGUGCCGAACGGACGACACCUCCGCGUUCAGCAUACGUACAGCUCGAUGACGAUAUCCAACUUCUUGAUCCAGCAAGAGGGGGUGGAGAGGUAGAAGAGUUCUACGGAAGCGUGAUGGCGCGCCAGUGGUGGUGAUGAUCUACUCCGGCAGGGCUUCGCCUAAGCUCCGUAGAAAUACGAUCUAGAGGAAAAACUGCGUGGUAUAGGGUCGAGCAGCACGUGGCAAAGUUGUAUCUCGAAAACCCUCAAUACCUCUAGUAUAUAUAGGAGGGAGGGAGGAGAGGAGGCAGCCUCAAACCCUCAAGAUUUGGCCGAAAUUGGAGGUGGAGGAGCCCUACUCCAAUCCUACUUGGAGUAGGAUUCCACCUUCCCACUUGGAAACUCUUUCCACCUUGUGUUUUUCCUUCUCAAACCUUAUGGGCCAUAGUGGGAACUUAUUCCAGCCCACUAGGGGCUGGUUUAUCUCUUCCCAUAGCCCAUGAGACCCCUUGGGGCGUAACACCCCUCCUGAUGGUCCCCGGCACCCCUCCCGGCACUCCCGGUACACUACCUAUGAGCCCGAAACUUUUUCGGUGACCAAAACAGGACUUCCUAUAUAUCAAUCUUUACCCCGAGACCAUUCCGGAGCUCCUCGUGACAUCCUGGAUCUCAUCUGGGACUGCGAACAACUUUUGGUUACCAACACCUAUAAAUCAACUAUACCGAAACGUCACCGAACCCUAAGUGUGCAGACCCUGCGGGUUCGAGAACUAUGUAGACAUGACCCGAGACACUCCUCGGUCAAUAUCCAAUAGCGGGACCUGGAUGCCCAUAUUGGAUCCUACAUAUUCUCCGAAGAUCUUAUCGGUUGAACCUCAGUGUCAAGGAUUCAUAUAAUCCCGUAUGUCAUUCCCUUUGUCCUUCGGUAUGUUACUUGCCCAAGAUUUGAUCGUCGGUAUCCGCAUACCUAUUUCAAUCUCGUUACCGGCAAGUCUCUUUACUCGUUUCGUAAUACAAGAUCCCGUGACUUACACUUAGUCGCAUUGCUUGCAAGGCUUGUGUGUGAUGUUGUAUUACCGAGUGGGCCCCGAGAUACCUCUCCGUCACACGGAGUGACAAAUCCCAGUCUUGAUCCAUACUAACUCAACGGACACCUUCGGAGAUACCGGUAGAGCGCCUUUAUAGUCACCUAGUUACGUUGUGACGUUUGAUGCACACAAGGUAUUCCUCCGGUGCCAGUGAGUUAUAUGAUCUCAUGGUCAUAGGAACAAAUACUUGACACGCAGAAAACAAUAGCAAUACAAUGACAUGAUCAAUAUGCUAUGUUCAUAGUUUGGGUCUUGUCCAUCACAUGAUUCUCCUAAUGAUGUGAUUCCGUUAUCAAGUGACAACACUUGCCUAUGGCCAGGAAACCUUGACCAUCUUUGAUCAACGAACUAGUCAACUAGAGGCUCACUAGGGACAGUGUGUUGUGUAUGUAUCCACACAUGUAUUUGAGUUUCCAAUCAAUACAAUUCUAGCAUGGAUAAUAAACGAUUAUUAUGAACAAGGAAAUAUAAUAAUAACUAAUUUAUUAUUGCCUCUAGGGCAUAUUUCCAACAGUCUCCCACUUGCACUAGAGUCAAUAAUAUAGUUCGCAUCACCAUGUGAUUUUAACGAAUCCAACACCCAUAUAGUUCUGGGGUCUGAUCACGUCUUGCUCGUGAGAAAGGUUUUAGUUGACGGUUCUGAACCCUUUCAGAUUCGAGUGAGCUUUACAAAUCUUUAUGUCAUCUUAUAGAUGCUGCUACUAUGUGCUAUUCGGAAAUACUCCGAAUAUCUACUCUACUAUACGAAUCCAUUUCACUACUCAUAGUUAUUCGGAUUAGUGUCAAAGCUUGCAUCGACGUAACCCUUUACGACAAACUCUUUAACCACCUCCAUAAUCGAGAAAAAAUCCUUAGUCCAUUUAGUUACUAAGGAUAACUUUGACCGCUGAUCAGUGAUUCAAUCCUGGAUCACUCUCUGUACCUCUUAACAGACUUCCUGCAAGGCACACAUCAGGUGCGGUACUCAGCAUGCCAUACUUUAGAGUCUACUUCCAAGGCAUAGAAGACGACCUUCGUCUAUUCUCUUUAUUCUGCCGUGGUCGGGUUUUGAGUCUUACUCAAAUUCACACCUUACAACACAGUCAAGAACUCCUUCUUUGCUGAUCUAUUUUGAACUCCUUCAAAAACUUGUCAAGGCAUGCAUCUUGUUGAAACUUGUAUUAAGUGUUUUGAUCUAUCUCCAUAGAUCUUGAUGCUCAACGUUUCAAGUAGCUCAAUCCAGGUAUUCCUUUGAAACACUCAUUUCAAACAACCUUUUAUGCUUCACAGAAAUUCUACAUUACUUCUGAUCAACAAUAUGUCAACCACAUAUACUUAUCAGAAAUUCUAUAGUGCUCCCACUCACUUCUUUGGAAAUACAAGUUUCUCAUAAACCUUGUACAAACCCAAAAUCUUUGAUCAUCUCAUCAAAGUGUAUAUUCCAACUCUGAGAUGCUUGCACCAGUCCAUUGAAGGAUCGCUGGAGCUUGCAUACUUGUUAGUAUCCUUAGGAUCGACAAAACAUUCUGAUUGUAUCACAUACAAUCUUUCCUCAAGGAAACCGUUGAGGAAACAAUGUUUUGACUUCCUAUGUGCAAUAUUUCACAAAUAAUGCAGCAACUACUAACAUAAUUCCAAUAGACUUUUAGCAUCUCUAUGAGUGAGAAAGUCACAUCAUAGUCAACUCUUUGAUCUUGUCGAAAACAUCUUUGCGACAAGUUGAGCUUUUCUUAAUAGUGACUUAUCACCAUCAUCGUCUGCCUUCCUUUUAAAGAUCCAUCUUUACUUAAUAGUCUUACUACCAUCAAGAAAUUCUUCCAAAGUCUACACUUUGUUUUAUACAUGGAUUCUCUCUCAGUUUUCAUGGCCUCCAGCCAUUUGUCAGAAUCAGGCCCACCAUUGCUUCUCCAUAACUCGUAGGUUCAUUGUUGCUCAACAACAUGACCUCCAAGGCAGGGUUACCGUACCGCUCUGCAGCAGUACGCGACCUUGUCGACCUACGAGGUUUGUAGUAACUUGAUCCAAAGCUCAAUGAUCACCAUCAUCAGUUUUCUACUUCAAUUGGUGUAGGCGCCACAGGAACAACUUCGUGCGCCCUGCUGGUUGAAGUGACGGUUCAAUAACCUCAUCAAGUUCCACCACCCUCCAACUCAAUUCUUUCGAGAGAAACCUUUCCUCGAGAAAGUAUCCGUUUCUUAGAAACAAACAUUCUGCUUCCAGAUUUGAGAUAGGAGAUGUAUCCAACUGUUUAGGAUAUCCUAUGAAGACACGUUUAUCUGUUUUGGGUUCGAGCUUAUGAAACUGAAACCUUUUCACAUAAGCGUCGCAGCCCCAAACUUUCAAGAAACGACAACUUAGAUUUCUCUAAACCUCAAUAUAUACUGUGUCAUCUCAAUGGAAUUACGCGGUGCCCUAUUUAAAGUGAAUGCGUUGUCUCUAAUGCAUAACCCAUAAAUGAUAGUGGUAAUUCGAUAAGAGACAUCACAACAUGCACCAUAUCAAAUAGGUCGCGGCUAUGACACCAUCACACCAUGGUGUACUUGGUGGCAUGAAUUGCGAAACAACUUCCACAUUGUCUUAAUUGUGUACCAAAACUCGCAACUCAGAUAUUCAUCUCUAUGAUCAUAUCGUAGACAGUUUAUCCUCUUGUUACGACGAACUUCACUCUGAAACAGAAUUGAACUUUUUUCAAUAUUUCAGACUUGUGAUUCAUUAAGUAAAUACUCCUGUAUCUACUCAAAUCGUACUUGAAGUAAGAACAUAAUGAUAUCCACUGCGCGCCUCAGCACCCAUUGGACUACAUACUUCAAAAUGUAUUACUUCCAACAAGUUACUAUCUUGUCUCAUCUCAAUGAAAACAAGGCCUUGCUCAUGUGGUAUGAUUUGCAUGUCACAAGUGAUUCAAAAUCACGUGAGUAUAAAGAUCCAUCAGCAUGGAGCCUCUUCAUGCAAUUUAUACCAACAUGACUCAAGCGACAGUGCCACAAGUAAGUGGUACUAUCAUCAUUACCUUGUAUCUUUUGGCACCAAUAUCAUGAACAUGUGUAACACUACGAUCGAGAUUCAAUAAACCAUUGAAGGUGAUUAUUCAAGCUAAUAGAGUAACCAUUAUUCUCUUUAAAUGAAUAAUCGUAUUGCAAUAAACAUGAUCCGAUCAUGUUCAUGCUUAACGCAAGCACCAAAUAACAAUUAUUUAGGUUUAACACCAAUCCCGAUGUUAGAGGGAGUGUGCGACGUUUGAUCAUAUCAACCUUGGAAACACUUCCAACACGUAUUGUCACCUCGCCUUUAGCUAGUCUCCGUUUAUUCCGUAGCUUUCAUUUCGUGUUACUAAUCACUUAGCAACCGAACCGGUAUCCAAUACCCUCGCGCUACUAGGAGUACUAGUAAAGUACACAUUAACAUCAUGUAUAUCAAAUAUACUUCUUUCGACUUUGCCAGCCUUCUUAUCUACCAAGCAUCUAGGGUAGCUCCGCCUCAGUGACCGUUCCCCUCAUAACAGAAGCACUUAGUCUCAGGUUUGGGUUUAAUCUUGGGUCUCUUCAUUAGUGCAACAACUGUUUUGCCGUUUCACGAAGUAUCCCUUCUAGCCCUUGCCUUUCUUGAAACUUAGUGGUUUUACUAACCAUCAACUAUUGAUGCUCCUUCUUGAUUUCUACUUUCCCAGUGUCAAACAUCGCGAAUCGCUCGAGGAUCAUUGUAUCUACCCUUGAUAUGUUAUAGUUCAUCACGAAGCUCUCACAGCUUGGUGGCAGUGACUUUGGAGAACCAUCACCAUCUCAUCUGGAAGAUUAACUCCCACUUGAUUCAAACGAUUGUCGUACUCAGACAAUCUGAGCACACGCUCAACGAUUGAGCUUUUCUCCUUUACUUCGUGGACAAAGAAACUUGUCGGAGGUCUCAUACAUCUUAACAAGGGCACAAGCAUGAAAUCACAAUUUCAUCUCUUUAGAACAUCUCUUAUGUUCCGUGACAUUUCAAAACGUCUUCGGCGCCUUGCUUCUAAGCCAUUAAGUAUUUUGCACUGAACUAUCGCAUAGUCAUCAGAAACGUGUAUGUCGGAUGUUCACAACAUCCACAGACGACGCUCGAGGUGCAGCACACCGAGUGGUGCAUUAAGGACAUAAGCCUUCUGCGCAGUAACGACGACAAUCCUCGGUUUUACAGACUCAGUCCACAAAGUUUGCUACUAUCAAUUUUCAACUACAUUUUCUCUAGGAACAUAUAAAAACAGUAGAGCUAUAACGCAAGCUACAUCGCAACUCGCAAAGAUCAUUAGACUAUGUUCAUGACAAUUAGUUCAAUUAAUCAUAUUACUUAAGAAGUCCCACUCAAAAAGUACAUCUCUCUAGUCAUUUGAGUGUACAUGAUCCAAAUCCACUAUCUCAAGUCCGAUCAUCACGUGAGUCGAGAAUAGUUUCAGUGGUAAGCAUCUCUAUGCUAAUCAUAUCAACUAUAUGAUUCAUGCUCGGCCUUUCGGUCUCAUGUGUUCCGAGGCCAUGUCUGUACAUGCUAGGCUCGUCAAGUUUAACCCGAGUGUUCCACGCGUGCAACUAUUUUGCACCCGUUGUAUGUGAACGUUGAGUCUAUCACACGCGAUCAUCACGUGGUGUCUCGAAACGACGAACUGUAGCAAUGAUGCACAGUCGGAGGGAACACAAUUUCAUCUUGAAAUUUUAGUGAGAGAUCACCUCAUAAUGCUACCGUCGUUCUAAGCAAAAUAAGGUGCAUAAAAGGAUUAACAUCACAUGCAAUUCAUAAGUGACAUGAUAUGGCCAUCAUCACGUGCUUCUUGAUCUCCAUCACCAAAGCACCGUCACGAUCUUCUUGUCACCGGCGCCACACCAUGAUCUCCAUCAACGUGUCGCCAUCGGGGUUGUCGUGCUACUCAUGCUAUUACUACUAAAUCUACAUCCUAGCAAUAUAGUAAACGCAUCUGCAAGCACAAACAUUAGUUUAAAGACAAUCCUAUGGCUCCUGCCGGUUGUCGUACCAUCGACGUGCAAGCCGAUAUUACCUAUUACAACAUGAUCAUCUCAUACAUCCAAUAUAUCACAUCACAUCGUCGGCCAUAUCACAUCACAAGCAUACCCUGCAAAAACAAGUUAGACGUCAUCUAAUUGUUGUUGCAUGUUUUACGUGGUGACCAUGGGUAUCUAGUAGGAUCACAUCUUACUUACGCAAACACCAUAACGGAGAUGUAUCAAUUGCUAUUUAACCUCAUCCAAGGACCUCCUCGGUCAAAUCCGAUUCAACUAAAGUUGGAUAAAACGACACUCGCCAAUCAUCUUUGAGCAACGGGGUUGCUCGUAGCGAUGAAACCAGUCUCUCGUAAGCGUACAGUAAUGUCGGUCCGAGCUGCUUCGAUCCAACAAUACCGCGCAAUCUAGAAAAGACUAAGGAGGGAAGCAAAUCGCACAUCAGGAAUGUUGUGUUCUACUCGAGAUGACAUCUAUGCAUGAACCUAGCUCAUGAUGCCACUGUUGGGGAACGCCGCAUGGGAAAUAAAAAAAUUCCUACGCGCACGAAGACCUAUCAUGGUGAUGUCCAUCUAUGAGAGGAGAUUUGGAUCUACGCACCCUUGUAGAUCGCACAGCAGGAAGCGUUAAGAAACGUGGUUGAUGUAGAGGAACGUCCUCGCAUCCCUCGAUCCGCCCCGCGAACCGUCCCACGAUCCGCUCCGAUCUAGUGCCGAACGGACGGCACCUCCGCGUUCAGCACACGUACAGCUCGAUGACGAUCUCCACCUUCUUGAUCCAGCAAGAGGGGGUGGAGAAGUAGAAUAGUUCUCCGGAAGCGUGACGGCGCGCCGGUGGUGGUGAUGAUCUACUCCGGCAGGGCUUCGCCUAAGCUCCGCAGAAAUACGAUCUAGAGGAAAAACUGCGUGGUAUAGGGUCGAGCAGCACGUGGAAAAGUUGUGUCUCAAAAACCCUCAAUACCUCUAGUAUAUAUAGGAGGGAGGGAGGGGAGGAGGAAGCCUCAAACCCUCAAGGUUUGGCUGAAAUUGGAGGUGGAGGAGUCCUACUCCAAUCGUACUUGGAGUAGGAUUCCACCUUCCCACUUGGAAACUCUUUCCACCUUGUGUUUUUCCUUCUCAAACCUUAUGGGACUUAGUGGGAACUUAUUCCAGCCCACUAGGGGCUGGUUUAUCACUUCCCAUAGCCCAUGAGACCCCUUGGGGCAUGACACCCCUCCCGAUGGUCCCCGGCACCCCUCCCGGCACUCCCGGUACACUAUCGAUGAGCCCGAAACUUUUCCGGUGACCAAAACAUGACUUCCUAUAUAUCAAUCUUUAGCUCCGGACCAUUCCGGAGCUCCUCGUGACGUCCUGGAUCUCAUCUGGGACUGGAACAACUUUCGGUUACCAACACCUAUAACUCAACUAUACCGAAACGUCACCGAACCUUAAGUGUGCAGACCCUGCGGGUUCGAGAACUAUGUAGACAUGACCCGAGACACUCCUCGGUCAAUAUCCAAUAGCGGGACCUGGAUGCCCAUAUUGGAUCCUACAUAUUCUCCGAAGAUCUUAUCGGUUGAACCUCAGUGUCAAGGAUUCAUAUAAUCCCGUAUGUCAUUCCCUUUGUCCUUCGGUAUGUUACUUGCCCGAGAUUUGAUCGUCGGUAUCCGCAUACCUAUUUCAAUCUCGUUACCGGAAAGUCUCUUUACUCGUUCCGUAAUACAAGAUCCCGUGACUUACACAUAGUCACAUUGCUUGCAAGGCUUGUGUGUGAUGUUGUAUUACCGAGUGGGCCCCGAGAUACCUCUCUGUCACACGGAGUGACAAAUCCCAGUCUUGAUCCAUACUAACUCAACGGACACCUUCGGAGAUACCUGUAGAGCACCUUUAUAGUCACCCAGUUACGUUGCUACGUUUGAUGCACACAAGGUAUUCUUCCGGUGCCAGUGAGUUAUAUGAUCUCAUGGUCAUAGGAACAAAUAUUUGACACGCAGAAAACAAUAGCAAUAAAACGACAAGAUGAAUAUGUUACGUUCAUAGUUUGGGUCUUGUCCAUCACAUGAUUCUCCUAAUGAUGUGAUCCCGUUAUCAAGUGACAACACUUGCACAUGACCAGGAAACCUUGACCAUCUUUGAUCAACGAACUAGUCAACUAGAGGCUCACUAGGGACAGUGUGUUGUCUAUGCAUCCACACAUGUAUAUGAGUUUCCAAUCAAUACAAUUCUAGCAUGGAUAAUAAACGAUUAUUAUGAACAAGGAAAUAUAAUAAUAACUAAUUUAUUAUUGCCUCUAGGGCAUAUUUUCAACAAAUACCAAGGAAAAAAUGCAAAUCUCCUAGAUCUUUGAGUGCAAAUUCUGAGUUUAAAUCUUUCAACAAAGCUGUGCUUGCAUCAUUUCGUGAGCUUGUAACAAUUAUGUCAUCAACAUAUAUAAAAACAAAUAUAGAGGUAUUUGACUUAUUAUAAAUGAACAGUGAUGUAUCUGACUUUGAAGGAUUAAAACCAAGUGUUUGGAGUUUUGAGCUUAACAGAGAGUACCAUGCACGAAGAGCCCGCUUCAGUCCAUAAAGAGAUUUGUCAAAUCUGCAGAUGUGGUUAGGUUUAUUCUUAUCCUCGAAACCAGGAGGUUGUUUCAUAUAGACUUCCUCUUCCAGAACACCAUGAAGAAACGCACUCUGCACAUCUAACUGCCGAAGGCUCCAUCCUCUAGAUACAACAAUGUUGCUGUAUAAAACAAGAUGAAUGGUAGCAGCCUUGACAACAGGACUGAAGGUAUCCUCAUAAUCAAUGUCAUACCUUUGCUUAAAACCUUUAGCAACAAGUCUAGCUUUGUACUGAUCUAUUGUGCCAUCUGACUUUUUCUUGAUUCUAAACACCCACUUACAGUCAAUUAGAUUGUUACCUUGAUGAGCAGGAACGAGAUGCCAAGUCUUAUUUUUCUGAAGUGCCUGAAACUCUUCAUCCAUGGCCUUUCUCCACUUUGGAUCAGCAUUGGCUUCACAAAAAGUGCUAGGUUCUCCUGUUGAACAAGUUAAACCAAACUUAAUUUUAUAAUUUAUGGGCGCAAUUACCCCUGCUCGAAGACGUGUGCGCGGUGGAGAAGGCAUCUGCUGAAGAUCCCUAUGCUGUGACGGAAGCUGGUGCUGGAGAAGUUGUAUGAGCCGUCGACGAUCCAGGCAGGCAAACAGAACCAGCUCGGUUUUCUGUGUCUGCAGCAGCUGGUGCAGAAGAGGUACGCCUAGUGCCCUCGAAGGCACAACGGAUCUUAGCACGGAGUUUCCAGUAGAGGACACGCUCUCUGAUGGAGACACGGGGAGCAUCAAUGGCGAAGCAUGUCUUCUAGGAAACAUGUAAUCGAAUGAUGAUGUUUAUAAGGUCUACAUUUCUUUGGAAAAAACAGAUAAGAAACCUAUGUUAUCAAUAAUGUAACAGUUCACACAAACAACAACACGCACGCAGAUUAUAAAUACCGUUAUUACAGUUAUGUCUUACAAGUAAAGAUAAUUCCCCACUAGCGUCUCCACAAACUGAUCUGUGCAUGGGUCUUACCAUUUCCUCUAUGCAAGCGAAAACUAGGACACCAAUUUCUGCUGGACCAGACUGAUUAUCUAUUUAUUUAUAGCAAAGACUUAAUCACCCACCUGGACUAGUAUUCCUUGAAUCAGAUAUCAUAUAAUUAUCUUAUCUGGUAUUUCCCCCAAAAUCUCAUCUGUGGUUGUUAUUUCGACCUCAGUGUUUUCGUCACCAUAGGAACCAGAACCCGCUAAUUGCACGUCAAUUAUAGGAUUGCUCAGAUGGUUACUAACUAUGCCAAUCCUCGAGACAUACUCCAGAUCAGCAGCUGCACCCCCAAAUUUUGUGAAGAUCUCUCUAAGGCCUAGCAUGUAAUCGAUGCUGAUUAAUGCCGUACCAUGUCCAUUUGUUUUCCACUGUUGGUCCAUUGGGGGGAUGGCAUCGAAAACUAGCUUGAGUUUCCAGAGAUUAGGCAUUGCAUCCGCCUCAAAUUUUACCAUAGCUAUACCCCGCAUGAACGUAAACAUGAAGUACUUGAGAACUGAGAACCCGACCUUGUCAAAGAUGAUCUUGUUAUCAGGCGGUGUCUCCACAUACAACGAGAGGGUAGUGAGGGCGGGCAAUCCUCUGAGAUUAUCCACACAGUGUGUCAGCAAUCCCCUCACUGCAAUCUUCAAAAUGCAUAGGUUGUCAAGUUUUCCAACCCACGAAGGUACCUGUGAGAAUAUGCAGCUGGUGUGUGGCGAGAAUUCAAAUCUCUCGAGAAGGGGCGGAGGCUCCAUACAAUCCCAUAAAAUGUUUGUUUUUGAAGCUGCGGUAUUUGUAGCCGACGAGGCAUGAGCCACUGCAAUGGUUUUCAGGUUGCCAUGACCUCCGAGUAAAGAACCGAGAGCUUCCAUGUUUUUAGCCACAUGCUGGAAAGUAGACAGUGAAGAAAUGGUAAGAUGAAGCUCCUGCAGGUUGUUUAGUUUGCCAAGGCUCAUUAAACUGGGGGACCUUAUUCUGUCUAUCCCAUCCAGCAGAUCUCUCUGGACAGGAAGACUCAGGUGCAAGUGCAGCAACCGUGGAAAAUUCACAUCCCAUGGAACAGGAGCAAAUCUUGCAUCCGUAAUAUCAAGUGUUCCCAGGUACUGUAGCACAUGGUUCGGCAGUUUGAUGCAGACAUCACAUGCAAUCUGCAAAUAUCUCAGUUGAAGCAUUUCUGAGAUCCCACUGAGGUCUGCCAUAUCAUCAUCACGGCGGCCUUGACCAGAUAGUUGAAGGUUUAGGACACGAACAAGCUUGAACUCUGUAAGACAAGGCAUAGACUCAAGUAAUCCAGAAAAUCUAACUGACCGAACAUGUGAUUUUCUGAUGUUUGCUGGUGUCUUGGCAUACCUUGCGUCCCCAAAGACAAGCGAGAGUCGACGGACUUUGUGAGAAAGUGACACAUUCUUUCGACAUCUGUAGUCUAUUGCCACGAUGAAAUUCUCUUCUGCAGACUUGUGCGCAAUAAGGUCAUGUAUCAUGUCAUGCACUUGACAGGACAACACCUCCUUGUUGUAGCUCACACAUAUCGGCUGGAUGAAGCUUCUUCCAAUAAGUUGAUAGAGAUAGCACUUUCUCGAUGUCUUGCCCUUCUAUUGCAUAAAUCAGACCUUCGGCCACCCAUUGCUUCACCAAAUCAUCCUUUAAGAAUGUGUAGCCCUCUGGGUACAUAUUAAGGUAGAGCAGGCAUGUCUUCAAAUAACGAGGAAGAUUAUUGUAGCUCAGAUUCAGUGCUUGUCUAGUUCUUUCAGAAGUAGGCACUGCAGAGAAACAAGAGAUUAAAGACUGAUGGAUGUAUGUGAAGAGAUCAUUUGACAUGAGAGGCUGGCUUAGUAGAAGACUAGCUAUGCAGAUUGUGGCUAGCGGCAAACCAUCACAUAUUUCAGUAAUUUCAUCACAAACUUGUUUCAGUUCAUCAGGACAAUCACUUUCAGAGCCAAAGAGUCUGUUAAAAAAUAGCUUUUUUGAGUGAUCAUCAUCCAGAGGUUGCAUUUCAAAGACAUGCUCCGACUGAUAACAACAGCAAGCUAUUGCUACGUUUUCAAUCUGUGUAGUUGUUACUAUUCUGCUGCCUUGACUACCCUUGGGAAAAGCUUGAUUAAUUAAAUCCCAUACUGAUGUUUCCCACAAAUCAUCAAUAAUAAUCAGAUACCUGCAACAUGCCAAAAUUGAGGGGGCAUAUUAAUUAGGGUUUUAUGGCGACAUUUCGUAGAAGGAAAAACAGUAGUACCUUUUGUUUUGUAGGUAUUUCUUGAUACUAUCAAUGAGGUCAGUCUCCUUAAAAUCCCAUGGGUGGUCCGGAAGCUGUAGUUGCGAGGAAAUGUCACAGAAAAUCCUCUUCAUAUCGGGUUUCUUCGACACCCGAACGAAAGCACGACAAUGAUAUUGCUUCCCAAUUCUGCUGUACAACACGUUGGCAAGUGUAGUUUUACCCAGACAUGAAGGUCCAAGAAUAGAUACCACCUUGAGCUGCUGAUCCUCCCCAACGUUCUCCACCAAUGAGUUGAUAAACUUACUCAUCCAGCCAUCGAUCACGAUGUGCGAUGCUUCUUCAUCAUACUGUGUUGGAAUUGGAAGCGUAGGGCCAACGGGCACAAGCCUACGCUUCAACGUGCUGUAAGAAUGAAGAUUGUAUCUCUGGUGCCGUUCAAUUGCCUCAAGGACAUACAUCCUGAAUUCUGAUAGCGUUUCCGCAAUGCUAACAACCUGAGUCUUGGGAGUCUUGGCAUGACCCAAGAAUUUGAGGCAGAGUCUGAAUUUGAGGCUGGACCUUGUGGUCUUGAUGUUGUCGGGAACAAGGGAUGGAUUCUCAGGCCCCACAAAUAUUAAGCUGUCAAUGUAAUCCUCCAUGUCAUAAGACAGAUUGCGUGCCUCAUUCAUCCAGCAAUUGGCUGCCAGGGGAGGGUCCUCCACCUCUGACAGCUGAUCAAGGUAGGAGCCCAUCUUUUGAACGUCAUCUUUGAGGAGGCCUAUCCCGUCCUCGACCCUCUUGAACCUCUUGGAGUUGGAGCAUCGACGUAAAAGAGGAGCUUGCAGCAGCAUAUCCAGCUUUCCAACAAGGGGUCUCAUGGAACCCAUCAAAGCACUGAUUGGGGCCCCAAUCUCUCUGCCUCGGAUCGAAACAUCUAAACACACAAAACAAAGGUAUAAUUAAUCAACAAAUAAUGAAUGUUACUGUCAAAAAUAUAAAAUAACAACAGACAUCCACAUCACCCUCUUCCUCAUUGACCCAUAUUAGAAGAAGGUGGGAGAUUAGAAGCUGUGUCCUCAUUUUUCAUGGAAUUGGUUGCUGGGUUACAGGGUUAGAAACGGACCCAUAUUUUUUGCAGGGGAAAUUGUAAGCAAUUAAUAAUAGUACAUCUUUUUUAGCUGUAAGCAGUCAUUAGCAAGUAAAGUGAGAUGAGCCUGAUCUUCGGCUAACCUCUGGUAGAAGGACCUGGAUCAGAGAAGGCGAUGUUGUCCACUUGAGGAAAUUCCUCGGCCUCCUCCUCCUCAUCUUCCUCGUGCUUAGGAGGAGAUGGUACCUCCACCUGCUGCUCAAGGAGAGGUUUGAUCUGCACCUCCUCCUUCAACUCUCGCAGCAUCAAUCAAUCAAGAAUUAAUCAGAUCCCACUCUUCUCACAGCUAGCUCUGCCAAAGGUAGCCUGCAUCAGAUCGGGGCAUGUGAGAAGCAGGGGGACAGAGUAUUGGGGGAAUGCAAUUAAUUAACGCAAACAGAUGCUAGAAUAAAAAAAUUAAAGAGAUUCUCGAUGGAGUGGACUGCACUGCACGAGGCUAAGAAAUAAAGAGAUUCUUAGUAGACUGUACAACUGCAAGAGGAUAAUAAAUAUAGUAAUCCGCAGGGCCGGUUUGGCUCAUGACUCGACUCGGGGAUGUAUAAUUUGAAUUAUACUCUCGACUAGAUGUUUCGUUCUUUCGAUAUUAUAAUCUACUCCCUCCUCCGUUCCUAAAUAUAAGUCUUUAAGAGAUUUCACUAAGUGACUAUACACAAAGCAAAAUUAAUUAAUCUAUACUUUAAAAUAUGUCUAUAUACAUUCGUAUGUAGUCCACUAGUAAAAUCUCUAAAAAGACUUAUAUUUUGGAACGGAGGGGUAUGUUGGCUUCAUCAGCUUUUGCUAAUAAAGCUGUACCCAUCUCCUGGCCUGGCCUUGAUCCAGCCAUUGCUGCUAACUAGGGUAGCUGUUAUGGUCAUGGCGCUUCGGAAGGAGCUCCUGAAGCCGAUCGCAACUCAACUUCCCUAUGCAUCAUGGUAAAAGUGAUAACUGAGAUGGAAAUCCAAGAGGGAUCUCUCCCGCGUCUCAAGUCCCUGGUAUGUCUUAAUUAAAGAGGUGAGCGACGAAACAAAAAAGGAGUGGAAGUGUGACUCCGGAUUUCCCAAGCUCUUGUUUUUCACGAAGAAAGAACUGGUUGAUGAUGUUUAAAGUCUAUAGGACGUCCAUAUCAAAGAUUCUACAGAUUUUAUAUUUACUAGUCAUCAACCCGUGCAUUCGCACGGGCUAGUAUAUUCACAAUACUAACUUUGUACAAAUUUAAAUAAUGAAUAUAAUUAAGAUGAUAUUAAUUGAUGGCUUUGCAGUUACUUUACCAUUUUAUUUCAGGGCCAAAUAUUUAUUUAUUUAUUUAUGGCAUGCCACUGUUUUUCGUUUACCCGUUUGUGGCAGCACACACACCAAUGGAUUUAGAUAUUCGGUGUUAGAAUUGUUCACAGCAGGUAAACUUGCAUAUAAAAGUUAGAUUUAGUGUACUAUUUGAAAUGUGGCCGAACUCUAGGAUAUGCCAAAAACAUUAAUAUAUUUUUAUCAUGGGAAGUUUACUUGCUAUUUUCUCCAGGGGCUAAAAUAGGUGUCAUAUCCUUUGCUGAGUUUUCCGUUUAUAUCGAUCUGAUUGUUAUAUCAGUCCAUCUCAGUCUGCAUUUUCAUUCGCCUAUGUAGGUCCACUUCUUCUUGCUCGAUAGUGUGGCCAAUUCUAGAAAGCCAUUUGAAGCUCUUACUUACGGAAGAUGUUCCAGUGGAUUCCAAAUCCAAUCUCCUCUCUCUAUAUGAGCAUAAGAUUGAAUAGGAUAGUACUUUUGGAAACAAAGCUACUUUUGGAACUCUAUGUUGUUGUGUCCAUCUUUAUCAUGUUGCAAAUCAGAUGGGUGGAGGAUGUCGUUCAGUGGUGAAUAUACAUGAGUCAUCUGGGAGAAUUCUAGAAUCUUAACUGGUAUUUAUUUUCCAUAUUAUGUUUGACUCGGCAGAAGGUGGUUUGAAAUCUAUAUUUUAUGAGCAUUGUCUUUCUAUACUUGUUGUUAUGUUCCUUUCAUAUAUUUUUAUACUUGUUUGUUCUUUUAGGAAUGUAAAUUACACGGCGUACGCACAAAAUUAAUUUUGGUCUUUCCUCAGUGUUAAGGGUUUAUGUUAUGGGAACAUAUUACAUCGGCUAAUUUCAAGCAGAUGAAGGAAUGAAAAGAGAAAUAUGAUCACCGUACUAUGUAUAUAUGCUACAGCAAGAUACCUUGUAAUUUAUUCACUCUUUAGUUGCAACAGGAUGCAAGUUUGUUAAACAAAGCAUAACUAACAGUUCUCAAAGAAGUUGUUAGGGGAGAGCUUGUACAAACUUAGAAAUCUAUGUUUUUGAGAAUAUUAAUCUUUUAAGAAGGACACGAUGGGCAACAAAAUGCAAUCCAACUAUUAUACCUAACAUUAACCAUCGGUAUCGUAGCAAUAAUGUUAUUUCCUCUCACGUUAAACAUAGUUUUAAUUCAAGAUUAUGAUGCAUUUACCAGGGAAUGGUUUUUUAUGUCUGGAACUGCAGUAAAUUAAGACCAAAUUGAGUUAUCUUUCUAUGUUUUUCUUGUCUAUCCAAUGAUUGGAUUGUUUGAUUAAGUGGAAAUUUAUGGUAAAAUUAUCACCACCAGAACACCAUAGAAAUCACAAAACUAUGGUUUGCACUGCAGGGUUGUUCUAGAUAUGUACAGCAAGUGUCAUUUGAAACAUCGACAAUAGAAUCAUGGAUUUUAUUGCAGCAGGACAACUACAACAUAUCGUUUCUUCAUACAAAUUUUAGUUAUCACACCUAAUGACAGUACGUAUGGCCAAAAUUUCUGUCCUAUAGAGGUUAGCCUGAAUGUAAAUUCUUGCCUAACAAAAAUACUCCCUCCGUCCGGUGAAAAUUUUACAUACUGACAUUUUAGGACAAAUUAUGAAGUGGAGUAAAAAAUGCAUUGGAAAGGUGCAAGCCAUCAUCUCUCUCCUCUUUAAUUACCCAACCCCAGUGAACUAACCGCAUGUAAAAAUUAAGAAGACUAUGUGUAAAAUGUUAUUGUUCUUGAUUACCGUGUGAUAAGAAAGAAGCGUUUUUUUCUAUUUUAAAGUGCAUUCGAAAGAUAAAAUACACUCUUUUGUGGAAAAAUUGUAAGGCCAAACGUAAACUCUUCACCGGACGGAGGGAGUACAUCGGAUGUGUUCCAUCCAAUCUUAGGGGGAUAGGGUAAAGGCAUGUACCACCCAACUUAGUGUCAACACAAACAAAACAGGAGAGGAAACCCAUCUAACCUAUAUUCCAUCAAACAUGGGAUUCUUCUGCAAUCGGACCAUGCAUACCACUUGGUCACCAUGAAAAAUCUGGAGAUGCGUGGGAGGAGAAAACCAUAGCUAGCCAGUGUAUAUUCCAUCAAACAUGGGAUUCUUCUCCAAUCGGACCAUGCAUUCCACCAUGGUCGCCAUGAAAAAUCUGGAGAUGUGUGGGAGGAGAAAACCAUUGCUAGCUAGUGUAUAUUCCAUCAAACAUGGGAUUCUUCUCCAAUCGGACCAUGCAUUCCACCUUGGUCGCCAUGAAAAAUCUGGAGAUGUGUGGGAGGAGAAAACCAUUGCCUAGCUAGUGCCUGAAAAUUACGUGUGAUUGUAGGUGCUGCUGUAUUGGCCUGUAUUGGCUAUGGCGAGAGUUGAUAGCACAUUGAAGAUCCGAUGGAGGACACGACCAAGACAUUAGAAAGCCUGGGUUGGAGCAUUGUGAGCGUCAUGGAGACAUCUCUGAUUAGAAGUACAUAGAGGUAGGGUUGAGAAAUUAGAAACGGAUCUACAGUUGUAUAGAUACGAUGCCACUCUGUUUUAGUUUUGGAAGAGGCUGUGCAGGACAAGCAUCUGUUUAUUGGGUGGAGGGACGUGAAGCUUUUUUGACAUGGGAUUUUUUUUCUUCUGUUUACACGAUCUGAGAAAACUGUUUUUUGGCUAGUAAAAUCUAAUUAACGUGGUAAUUUCUAAGGAGUCUAGAAUUAGUAUAAGUAUAGAUUUAUUUUUGGAAAAGGGAAGUUAAACCUCCGGCUUCGCAUCAAUCGAUGCAUGCAGCCAUCUAUAGAUUUUAUAUGGAUUGUGGAAGUGUGACUCUGUAAAUUAAAGAUGUCAAAUGGUUGAAUCAACUUAGUGUAUAAAUGAUACAGAAAGGUUUUCGUGCCACAAUUUGCCAACACCAAAUGACAGUUUUUUUUCGAGAAAAGUCCACAUUUCUACCCUCAACUAACCACGUGGUUUGAUUCUCAACCAUGAACUUCAAAACCGGUCGGAUUCAACCCUCAACUUGUCACAGGGUCCAGAUGACAACCCUCGACUUAGUUUCAAGCUGGUCAAGCGGUUUUGACCGAGUCAAAGCUGACUGGACAGCCCAGUCAGUAAGCCACGCACACAUCAAAUCAAACCCAAUCCCCAUCUCUCUGUUUCAUUCACAGUCACACCCGACCCAGUCCACCCCGCCGCCGCCUUAGUUGUGAGGAACGCUGCCGCCUGUGCCCACAACCUCCACUGCCGGCAAUGGGCGGCGCCGCCACACCUCCGGUAGGUACUUCUCUCUUUACUCACUCUCUUCCCGUUAGGCUUCUACUGCUGCUAACCCUAGCGCCUUGUUGCUACUUGUUGUUGCCGCUGACUAGCUCCUGUUGCUUCUGUCGCCCCCGCCGGCAAGCUGUUGGUGGUGGCGCCGCUGGCUAGCUGCUGCUGCUAACCCUAGCCGGCCUAUUGUUGAUGCUGCUAACCCUAGCCGACCUACUGUUGGGGAUAGGAUUGGAUUGAUGUGUGUGUAGCAUGCUGACUGGGCUGCCUAGUCAGCUUUGACUCGGUCAAAACCACUUGACCAACCCGAAACAGAGUCAAGGAUUGUAAUCUGGACCCUAUGACAAGUUAAGGGUCGAAUCUGAUUUUUUUAGAGUUCGGGGUUGAAAAUCAAACCAUGUGGUUAGUUGAGGGUUGAAACGUGGACUUUCCUCUUUUUCUUACAUCAAGCGAUUGCAGGGAAGCAAGGAAUUAAAAGCACACUUUCAUGCAUAACACUUUUUCCUGUCAUAUCACUUUAGAAAUGAAAUGUUCAAGCUGGAUCAGCUUGCCAAAUAACCAAGGUUGAGAUUGGGAGGGGAGAAAAAUUGCACCAAAUGCGGUCGGCUUACAGUACUGUGCUUGUCGGGGGUUCAUGGUAAUGCGAAAGCACUACAUGCAUCGUCAAUCUCCAUGUACAUUCAUAAGAUGCCUCUAUAGUUCUUCUCCACUGCUGCCGUGCGUGUUCAUAGGCUUUUAAGCAUCAGCAAACACACUGUCAUGCCCGGUCACAUGCUGUGAAAUUGUUGAAGUUAUCUCCCGUUUCUUCACCUCCUCGAUCCAGUUAGCAGCCAACAGUGUCCAUUAGUUGAACCUGACAGUUUGGCACACUUUCGACCCGUGCCCAACUGCCCGUUUGACAUAAAAGCUCUAAUAUUAGUUGAAUUGAUCAACAUUAAAUAUUUCAUGCCUUUUUGCCUAAUCAUCCAAGCAGUUAGCGUUGCAUCAGUUUACUUUAACUUUGCAUUCACUCAAGGCAAACACAGGAUGAAUGAACUCACAUAAGUCUUACACGCUAGUCAUCCAAAGCAACAAUUUCACCGAAUUAAAAAGAAUCAUGAGCCCUCUGAUCAGGACUGGUGUAGGAACAUAAACACGGGGAGCUUCAAGGCAAAAUAGUAAUGAGGAGAAGGAAAAAGAGGGAGUGACAAGAAAACUCAAUAGUAGCAAGGAGUGGACGAUAUCUUGAUGAGUAGAGGAGCAAAUUAAAAAUAAGAAACACGAUGGGGGCGUUUGUCACUCUCGGUGUUUCUAAAAAGUGUUUCUAGACUUUGAUCAAUCUUCCAACAUUUUUGUACUGAAAUGGAUGCUCGAAAGUGACUAAUUGCAAGGGAGUACAUAUGGACAGAAUCUUAAAACUUGACGCAAUCCAAAAUACAACAAGUACGAUAAAAUAUAAGAAACAUAUUUUAAGCAAGCAAAGACUGAGAUGGGACCUUGGGAGGGGAGAAAAAUACUCAGAUGCGGCUUAGAGUACCGUGUCAUGCUUAAUUAACCUAUAUAUGUAAACUAAAGCACUACAAGCGUCUUCAAUCUCCAUACAUUAAGUAAACAAAGGUGUACAAGUAUUUUAAGCAAGCAUCGGGAAAAACACUCCGUCGUGCCCGGUGCCUGUUUUGCGGAUUGUUAAACAUAUCUUCUGGGUUAAAAUGAGUCUGCUGUGAAAAUUAGCCCUACGGCAACUGUUACUCAUACGAAGGCCCAAGAGGUUUGUUGGAAAGGCAGAAAAUGAACUUACAGAUAAUUUUCUUGUACUAAGAAAAUGCAGAGAAUUUUAAGAGCCGCGACACCGCCUACUGACUGAUACGACAUUAUUAGUGACACCGCAUCCUGGUGCCAUUUUGACUGGCAUAUAUGUGCAUAUUAUUCUACUUUGGUUAUUUCUUGUGGUGUGUUGCGUUGUAAAUAAACUCUCUCUACACAAAGGCAGGUGACAUUUUUUAUUUCUUACUCUGCAGAACCGGUUGAUACUUUUGAAAUGGGAAUUGAGCUUCGUGCGGAAAUCCCUAUGGCACCAGCUACUAUUGAUAAUACGUUGCUGCUGGUGAAUCAUGAAACUUUUGCUAAUACACAAGAAUAUCUGGUUAUUAAGUGUUGUAUGUGCGUCUCAUUUUUCUUAAUUGAUACAUUGGUUAACUCUUGGGGUGUGUUAAGUUGUAUAUAUGCUCUCUCUUCAGCGGGCACCUGCCAAUUUUUGUUUAACUUUUAGUCGUGCACUACAGCUUGUUACUUUCGAGAUGGGAAGUGUGGUGGCUGCCAAAAUCCAUGUGGUGCUAGCUACUACUGAUAUAUAAUACAACGUUGUCGGUGAAUCACGUCGCCUUUGCUAGUGCACAAGAAGAAUUUGGUCCAAUCACCAACAUUGAAAGUUUUAAAAGGCAGGUGGAAGGGGUGGCGGUUUGAGAAAACCAACAGAUGGAAGAAGGCACGAAGGUAAUUUACACAAGCUAAUAACUGUCUUAAUUUCUUCCAAUGCUCUCUAUCGGGGUAACUAGCUAAUUUACACAAGCUAAUAGCAUCGAUCAUCAUCAAUCCGAUACAAACGCAUAUCACCACAGCGCACACAUCCAAGACAGGAUACAAAGGCGCUGAGCGCAGCAACAUCACCCUAGCACUAUGAAGGUAACCAGGGAUUUCAACCGUAAACACGCCACCGUGAAGAGAUGAAGCCGCCUACGGUGAACUCUGGGCUCGAGGCGACACCUUCAGGAAGGUUACGAUGCCGUAACGCCGCCGCCGCCCGAUUUAAGAAUCAGAGUUUCCCCUGAAGCCACACGACGGGCACUGAUAGCUGCGACAAUGCAUUCAAGAAGGGAACGAUCUUCGCCGCCGCCGAUCCAUCGAAGAUAGAACAUGUUUUCACCCCAGCCAACACUCACCGUCACCGAACGCCACAUCCCCGCUACCACGUCGCCCACAUGACCAUGGCCACCGGGCAGCACCAAGUCACAGCCUCCGCCAAAGAGCACCACGCUACCGCCACUAGAGCCGCCACCCCGACAUCCAAGACGUCUGGACACCACCUCACCAGAGACACGUCGCAACUCCCAACCAAAGAGACGGGCGAAAUGUCCCACCUUUCGCACCCCUGGGAGACCCCAGCGCCGAGACCCAUUAGGUCGGCCAGCGCUGGCCCCCAUCGACCCGUCCUGUAGCCCGGAGCACAAGACGAGCUCAAUCCUGCUGCAACAUCAGGGGGACGAGGUCAUUCCUGCUGCACCAUACGCGAGACAAGCUCGAUCUAGUCGCACGAUGCGCGAGACGACCUCGGUCCUGCUGCACGGGGCGUGAGACGAGCGAUGGACCGCAGUUGGGAGAGGGCCAGCCCUUCGACGAAAGAAAAGGCCGGACGACAAGGGAAGGGGUUGAAGGCCGACAUAGACCGCCUACAGACGAGCCGAUGCUAGGAUAAGCUAGCCAUCACCGCAGCCGAUCUGCUACCACCACAGCAUCAGCGCCUCCACGCCCUGGCCAGAGCCACCUGAAGCUCCGCCAUCCCGCACCGGAGUAGCGAUGACACCAGCCACAUCACCACUACCUUAUGAGGGCCGUCGGCCACCCCAACCACCGCUUACCAACACCAUCCACCGGAUCUGAGCAGGGGAUCCCAGACCCACACCCCCGCUAACCACCUCCAACCUGAACAUGACAGGAGGCGAGAUCGUCCACCAGCCCGCCCCAGGACACGGAGCCCCGAGCCGUGGCCGAUAGAGGGGAGGGGCGGCGUCAGUGGCCACCGAGCACCGAGAGGAGGGAGGGAGGCGGGGCAGGGUCGGCCCGACGCCCGACGCCACAGGGCAGAGGGGAGGCGCCCCGCGAAGCCCCUCAUCUGUGCACACGAGAAAGCACCCCGCCACCGCUAACGCCACGCGGCCUUCGGCCGGCGACGCCCCCGGCGGCGGCGAGCGGGGAGGGACAGGGGAGAGGGGGCGGGGGGCGCUAGGGUUCCUCUCGGGGGCGCCCGUGGGAGCGCCUCAGGGAUAGGAGGGGGAGGGACCGGCUCGGGUCUGCUAUCGAGGUAACUAGUAGAACUGAGAUGAAUAAAUAUGUUCAAGUGGCAAGUGAUACGGAAGCUGGUAGAUCAGGGUUUUUUGAGCCGGGAAGAGCGAAAAGAAUCCAGCACGAGGGCUCACUCCCGCGACAGGCGACUAGGGUUCUGCCCUCCCCCCUCCCGCCGUCGUCGGUCACUGGCCGCCGGUCAAGCUCCCACCUGAUCAUGUCAUCUUGCUUAAGGCGUUACUCUGUUCGUCAUGAACUCAAUACACUGGAUGCAUGCUGGAUAGCGGUCGAUGUGUGGAGUAAUAGUAGUAGAUGCAGAAAGUAUCGGUCUACUUGUCUCGGACAUGAUGCCUAUAUGUAUGAUCAUUGCCUUAGAUAUCGUCAUGACUUUGCGCGGUUCUAUCAAUUGCUCGACAGUAAUUUGUUCACCCACCAUGAUAUUUGCUAUUAUGAGAGAAGCCUCUAGUGAACACUAUGGCCCCAGGGUCUACUCCACACCAUAGUUUCAGCCUUAUACUUUUUACUUCGUUGCACUUUCCACCUUCAGAUCUCACUUUGGAAACAAUCUUGAAGGGAUUGACAACCCCUUUGAAGCGUUGGGUGCAAGCUUGUUUGUGUUUGCGCAGGUACUCUGGACUUAACGAGGCCCUCCUUCUGGAUCGAUACCUUGGUUCUUAAACUGAGAAAAAUACUUACUGCUCCUGUGCUGCAUCACCCUUUCCUCUUCAAGGGAAAAACCGCCGCAAACCAGAGAAGUAACAAGAAGAAUUCCAGCGCCAAAGAAGGACUUUUGUUGCCGUAGCAGACCCGUAGGUCUAUGGUGAACUACUCACGCAUCAUCGGAGAGGUCAUGGUGUUUAUGAAGAAGCCCUCCGUAUCCGAAUCCCCCUCUGGUAGGGCACCAGAACGUGCCCCAGAUGGGAUCUUGCGGAGACAGAAGCUUGCGCAGCGGAAAAGUACUUUCGAUGAUCUCCUGAUUUUUCAUGGAAUUUUAGGGAAUAUAAAGGCGCAAAACCUAGGGCAAAGGAGCCUCAGGGAGCCCACAAGCCAGGGGCGCGGGCCCCCCUGGCCGCGCCAUGAGGGCUUGUGGGGUCCCUGGUGGCCCCCUGCCCUGAUUCUCCAGCUUCCCGAUCUUUUUCUGUUCCGAAAAAAAAUCUUUUUGGCAGUUUCAUUCCGUUUGGACUCCGUUCAAAAUCCUCCUCUGAAAGGGGUCAUAAACAUGGCAAAAAUAGGAACUGGCUCUUGGCACUGAGUUAAUAAGUUAGUCCUAAAAAAUAUAUAAAAGGCAUGCAAAACAUCCAAAGUUUGACAAGAUAAUAGCAUGAAACCAUCAAAAAUUAUAGAUACGUUGGAGACGUAUCAAGCAUCCCCAAGCUUAACUCUUGCUCAUCCUCGAGCAGGGAAGUGAUAAAGACUGAAUUUUUGAUGUCGAAUGCUACCUAGCAUAGUUUUCCUUUGAAACUUCUUUCACGUGACAUGAAUGUUCAGAUCCGUAAUAUUCGAAACAAUAGUUUGCUAUUGACAUGAAAACAAUAAUACUUCAAGCAAACUAGCAAGGUAAUCAUGAACUUUCAAAAUAACAAGGCCAAUGAAAGUUAUCCCUACAAAAUCAUAUAGUCUGGCUAUGCUCCAUCAUCCUCACACAACUAAUGUAAAUCAUGCACAACCCCGGUAUUGGCCAAGUAAUUAUUUUCGCACUCUUACUUUCUCAAACCUUUUAUAACUAUCACGCAAUACAUGAGCGUGAGCCAUGGAUAUAACACUAUAGGUGGAAUAGAGUGUGGUGGUGGUUGUGAGACAAAAAGGAGGAGAUGGUCACAUUGACUCGGCGUAUCAAAUGGCUAUGGAGAUGCCCAUUAAUAGAUAUCAAUGUGAAUGAGUAGGGAUUUCCAUACAAGGGAUGCACUAGAGCUAUAAGUAUGUGAAAGCUCAAAAGGAAAACUAGUGGGUGUGCAUCCAACUUGCUUGCUCACGAAGACCUAGGGCAAUUUGAGGAAGCCCAUCAUUGGAAUAUACAAGCCAAGUUAUAUAACGAAGAUUCCCACUAGAAUAUGGUGGUGACAAAGCAAGAAGCUCUCAAUCAUGAAGAACAUGGUGCUAUUAUGAAGCACAAGUGUGGAAAAAGAUAGUAGCAUUGUCCCUUCUCUCUUUUUUUCAUUUGGGAUCUUAGGCCUCUUCUUUUUUCUCUUUUUUUGGGCUCUUUGGCCUCUCUUUUUUUUAUUUCCUCACAUGGGACAAUGAUCUAAUAAUUAUGAUCAUCACACUUUUAUUUACUCAAAUCUCAAAGCUUAGAACGAUGAUGACUCUAUAGAAAAUGCCUCCGGCAGUGUACCGGGAUGUGCAAUGAUCUAGCUUGGCAUAUGACGUUGUAACAUCUCGCUAGGUAUCUUACGAUCAUGCAAUGACAAUAUGAGAGUGACGACACAAGUCAUGAGACGGAACGGUGAGAGUUGCAUGGCAAUAUAUCUCGGAAUGGCUAUGAAAAUGCCAUAGUAGGUAGGUAUGGUGGCUGUUUUGAGGAAGGCAUAUGUUGGGUUUGUGCACCGGCAAAAGUUCCGCGGCACUAAAGAGGCUAGCAAAGGUGGAAGGUGGAAGUGCAUCUAUACCAUGGACUCACAUUAGUCAUGAAGAACUCAUAUACUUGUUGUGAAAGUUUUUAUUAGUAAUCGAAACAAAGUGCUAAACGCAUACUCCUAGGGGAAGGGUUGGUAGGUGUUAACCAUCGCGCGAUCCCGACCUCAACACAAAGGAUGACAAUCAAUAGAUCAAUUAUGCUCCGACUUCCUAACAUAGCGGUUCACCAUACGUGCAUGCUACGGGAAUCACUAACUUCAACACAAGUAUUUCUAGAUUCACAACACCCUACUAUCAUAGCUCUUAAUAUUACCAAAUCCACGUCUCAAAACUAAUUGAGAGGAAUCAAAACUUCUCUUUUUACUCAAUGCACAUGAAGAUGGAGGUUUUUGCAUCCUCUUUGGGUACAUAUCACCUUUGGGACUACUUUCAUUGCAUAAGCCAACUACCAAGUCACGCACCGCCGUGCUCUAAAAGAUAUAAGUGAAGCACAUAGAGAAAAAUUAUCUAGCUCAAAAGAUAUAAGUGAAGCACUAUGAGCAUUGUAGCAAAAUCACGAUGAGUGCAUGUCUCUCUCUCUCUCAAAAAGGUGUGCAGAAAGGAUGAUUGUGACACAACAAAAAGAAAAGACUCCUACAAUACAAGACGCUCCAAGCAAAACACAUAUCAUGUGGUGAAUAAAAAUAUAGCUCCAAGUAAUGUUACCGAUGAAUUGAAGACGAAAGAGGGGAUGCCUUCCCGGGGCAUCCCAAAGCUUAGGCUUUUAGGUGUCCUUGAAUUUGGCUUGAGAUGCCUUGGGCAUCCCCAAGCUUGAGCUCUUUCCACUCCUUAUCUCUUUGUCCAUGAGAACAUCACCCAAAACUUGAAAACUUCACAACACAAAACUUAAACAGAAACUCGUGAUAACAUUAGCACAAGAAAACAAACUACCACCUCUUUUGGUACUGUAGCAAACUUGAAUUCUAUCUAUAUUGGUGUUAUUAUACUGUAUUCUCACUUUUUCAUGGCUAGUACCCCCGAUACUAACCAUAGUUUCAUCAAAACAAGCAACCAACUCAAUAAAAAUAGAAUCUGUCAAAAACAGACCAGUUUGUAGCCAUCUGUAUACUUCGUAUACUUCUGGUACCUCAAAAAUUCUGAACAAUUACGACUUACUGGGAAAAAGGCAUAUAAACCAUAAGCAAAAAGAAUCAACUCAAAAUCUCUUUCUGAAUAGAAAUGAAAAAUCAUCUCGUGAGCGAAAAGUUUCUGUCUUUUUCCUGCAGGAUCAAACAACCAUCACCAAGACUAGUCAUAAAGGUUUUGCUUGGCUCAAACACAAAAAUAAACACAAAAAACACAAUCACAACAGAAUUAUGAUGGUGUGGACACAACAAAACAGAAAUAAAAAGAUAAAUUCAUUGGGUUGCCUCCCAACAAGCGCUAUUGUUUAACGCCCUUAGCUAGGCAUAAAAGCGAUAGAAUCACGUAUCGUCGUCUUUGGUGCUCAAACCAUAACUGGCCCUCAUCAUGGAUUCAUAAGGUAAUCUUAUUUUAUUUCUAGUAAAGUGUUCCAUGCCCUUCCUUAAAGGAAAUUGAAAUCUAAUAUUCCCUUCCUUCAUAUCGAUGAUAGCACCGAUAGUCCUUAGGAAAGGUCUACCAAGAAUAAUAGGGCAUGUAGGAUUGCAAUCAAUGGCAAGCACAAUGAAAUCCACAGGUACAUAGUUCCUAUUUGCAAUAAUAAGAACAUCAUUGAUCCUUCCCAUGGGUUUCUUGACAGUAGAAUCAGCAAGAUGCAAAUUAAGACAACACUCUUCAAUCUCAUUAAAACCCAGAACAUCACAUAAAGACUUUGGAAUCGCGGAAACACUAGCACCCAAAUCACACAAAGCAUUGCAUUCAUAGUUUUUUAUUUCGAUUUUGAUGGUAGGUUCCCACUCAUCAUGAAGCUUUCUAGGGAUAGAGACUUCCAAUUCAAGUUUCUCUUCAAGAGAUUUUAUCAUAGCUUCGACGAUAUGAUCGGUAAAGGCCUUGUUUUGGCUAUAAGCGUGUGGAGAGUUCACCAUGAAUUGCAUCAAGGAAAUGCAUUCAAUCAAGGAGCAACUAUCAUAAUUGAAUUCCUUGAAAUCCAUAGUAGUAAUUUCAUUAAUACUCAAAGUUUUAAUAUCUUCUAUUCCACUUUCAAUGCUUUUAGCAUCAAGAUAGAUGGACUCCAAAUCAUUGGGGCACUUUUCAACCAAAGUGGAUUCAUAUCCAACCCCAUCAUCAUUAGGUUUGACACAAGAAAACAAAGAUUCAAUGGGAGUCACACCAAGCACUUUAAGAUCUUCGUGAUUCUUAUCACGAGAACACGCCUUUUUAAGCCAUUCAUGUCUAACACAAAUUUGGGCGGUUCUUUCUUUGCUCUCAAUCAUGGAAACACGCAUAGCUUUCAAAGUUUCAUCCAUGUUGAUCUUGGGAGGAGCACAUCUAACUUUCAAAGCAUCAACCUCACUAGACAUUCUAUCAACGCUCUUAGCCAAAUCGUCAAUUUUGAGUAGUUUUUCCUCUAUGGAUGCAGUGAAAAUCUUUUGAGAGUUGAUGAACUAUUUGAUAUUAAUCUCUAGAUCAGAGGGUAAUCUAUUGUAAUUUCCAUCAGUAUAUUUGUAGGAGUUUCCAAAGUUAUUAGAGGAAUUACUAGGAAAAGGCCUAGGAACAUAGUUUUCUCUAAAAUCAUUGUUGUUACCAAAAUUAUUCCUACCAACAAAAUUAACGUCCAAGCUAGCGUUGCUACUCUCAAUCAAAGAAGACAAGGGCAUAUCAUUAGGAUCUAAAGGAGCACUUCUACUAGCAACCAAAUUCAUUAACUCGUCCAUCUUAGCAAUCAACGAGUUAAUUUCUUCUAUAGCGUGUACCUUCUUAUUAGUAGGUGACCUUUCAGUGUGCCACUGAGAGUAAUUCGUCAUGAUAUUGCCUACGAGCUUUGUGGCUUCCCCUAACGUGAUUUCCAUGAACGUUCCACCUGAGGCGGAGUCCAAGAUAUUUCUAGAAGCAAAAUUCAAGCCAGCGUAAAAGAUUUGUAUAAUCAUCCAAAGACUCAAGCCAUGAGCCGGACAAUUUCUAAUCAUCAAUUUCAUUCUCUCCCAAGAUUGUGCAACAUGUUCAUGAUCAAGUUGCUUGAAAUUCAUGAUAUCAUUACAGAGAGAGAUAAUCUUAGCCGGCGGAAAAUACUUGGAUAUAUAAGCAUCUUUUCACUUAUCCCAAGAAUCGAUACUAUUUUUGGGCAAAGAAGAAAACCAAGUUUUUGCGCGAUGUAAAAAAGCUUCAAUUUAAUCACAUCAUUAUCCACAUCUUUCUUAUUUUGCAUAUCUCAAAGCUCAGUGAAGGUAUUGAGAUGGGAUGCGGCAUCUUCACUAGGAAGGCCGGAGAAUUGCUCUUUCAUAACAAGAUUCAGCAAAGCGGCAUUGAUUUCGUAUGACUCCGCACUAGUGGCGGGAGCAAUUGGAGUACUAAUAAAAUCAUUAUUAUUAGUAUUCGAGAAGUCACAAAGUUUGGUGUUUUCAUUCAUGGUGACUUCAGCAAGCAAGCAAGCACACAAGAGAACAAAGAGCAAGCGAGAAAAAGGUCAAACGAAAAGGCAAACGAAAAAGGCAAACGAAAAAAGGCAAACGAAAAAAGGCAAAUUGUGAAGUCGGGGAGAGGAAAACGAGAGGCAACUGGCAAACAAAGUAAAUGCAAGAGAUGAGUUUGCGUCACCUACUUGGAUGAGUUCUUGACUUGAUCCUCCCCGGCAACGGCGCCGGAAAUCCUUCUGCUGCGGCAACAAAAGUACUUCACUGGCAAUGGUGCAAGAGAUCCUUCUGUCGUAUCUUGAGCUUGCGUUGGUUUUUCCCUUGAAGAGGAAAGGGUGAUGCAGCACAGGAGCAGUAAGUAUUUCCCUCAGUUUGAGAACCAAGGUAUCAAUCCAGUAGGAGAAUCUCGUCAAGUCCAGAGUACCUGUGCAAACACAAAAGAGCUUGCACCCAACGCUUUAAAGGGGUUGUCAAUCCCUUCAAGAUUGAUUGCAAAGUGAGAUCUGAAGGCGGAAAGUGCAACGAAGUAAAAAGUGUAAGGCUGAAAAUAUGGUGUGGAGUAGACUCGGGGGCCAUAGUGUUCACUAGAGGCUUCUCUCAAAAUAGCAAAUAUCACUGUGGGUGAACAAAUUACUGUCGAGCAAUUGAUAGAACCGCGCAAAGUCAUGACAAUAUCUAAGGCAAUGAUCAUACAUAUAGGCAUCACGUCCGAGACAAGUAGACUGAUACUUUCUGCAUCUACUACUAUUACUCCACACAUCGACCGCUAUCCAGCAUGCAUCUAGUGUAUUGAGUUCAUGACGAAUAGAGUAACGCCUUAAGCAAGAUGACAUGAUGUAGAGGGAUAAACUCAAACCAAUGAUGAAAACCCCAUCUUUUUACCCUUGAUGGCAACAACAUGAUGUGUGCCUCGCUACCCCUUCUGUCACUUGGUGAGGUCACCGCCCGGUAUGAACCCAAAACCAAGCACUUCUCCCAUUGCAAGAAUCAUAGAUCUAGUUGGCCAAACAAAACCUACAACUCGAAGAAAAUUACAAGGAUAUGAAAUCAUGCAUAAGAGAGAUCAGAAGAAAUUCAAAUAAGAUUCAUAGAUAAUCUGAUCAUAAAUCCACAAUUCAUCGGAUCUCGACAAACACACUGCAAAAGAAGAUUACAUCGGAUAGAUCUCCAUGAAGAUCAUGGAGAACUUUGUAUUGAAGAUCCAAGAGAGAGAAGAAGCCAUCUAGCUACUAGCUAUGGACCCGUAGGUCUAUGGUGAACUACUCACGCAUCAUCGGAGAGGUCAUGGUGUUGAUGAAGAAGCCCUCCGUAUCCGAAUCCCCCCUCCGGCAGGGCACCAGAACGUGCCCCAGAUGGGAUCUUGCGGAGACAGAAGCUUGCGGCGGCGGAAAAGUACUUUUGAUGAUCUCCUAUUUUUUUAUGGAAUUUUAGGGAAUAUAUAGGCGCAAAACCUAGGGCAAAGGAGCCUCAGGGAGCCCACAAGCCAGGGGGCACGGGUCCCCCUGGCCGCGCCAUGAGGGCUUGUGGGGUCCCUGGUGGCCCCCUGCCCUUGUUCUCCGGCUUUUCGAUCUUUUUCUGUUCCAGAAAAAAUCUUUUUGCCAGUUUCAUUCCGUUUGGACUCCGUUCAAAAUCUUCCUCUGAAAGGGGUCAAAAACAUGGAAAAACAGGAACUGGCUCUUGGCAGUGAGUUAAUAAGUUAGUCCCAAAAAAUAUAUAAAAGGCAUGCAAAACAUUCAAAAUUUGACAAGAUAAUAGCAUGAAACCAUAAAAAACAGGGACAAAUGGGUCCAGAUGAACCGGGACCAAUGCCCACGAGGCCCCGGCCGGCCCCCUGGGCUCAUGAACCGGGCUAAUGCCCCCCAUGGGUCCCGGUUCGUAAAGAACCGGGACUAAUGGGCUGGCCAGGCCCGAACCAAAGCCCUGUUUUCUACUAAUGAGACUAAACUAAUACACAGCUUGGAUCAAUGGGGUGGAGACAUGGGAGAUGAGUUAGAAAACCUAUGAACACGCGCUGCAGCAGUCCACAAGUAAUAUCUUUUGUUGGUAACUGUGAACUUACAUGGAGACUCAGAGCAAAUACAAUAAGGUAUAAUCAGCAGGCUGUAAGGAUUAUAAUUUUUUGUCUAAACAGCAUCAACUUCCUGCUGUAGCAAAUGCUUUUACUUUGUUGUUGGAUAUAUAUUUGUUCCCAGUCAACUUAAUUGGAAUAUUUUUUGUCACGAAUUUAGCACCUCAAUGUAAGAAAUAUAUGAGCGUUCAGAUCACUAAAAUAGUGAUCUAAACACUCUUAUAUUUCUUUACGGAGGGAGUAUUAAUUGUUUGCGAAGAAGUCAAGAAUCUUGAUUUAAUUGAUAUGAAUAUCAUUAUAUACUACCAAGCCUGGAAUACAAGAAGAAAUACAUCAAAAAAAGUAUUUGAUAGGAAAUAAAAGAGAGGAAAUAGAACAAGCCUGAAACAUGACUUUCCCAGGAAAAUUCACUUGAUACAAUUUAGUGUGAUUUACCGAAAAAGGUUUUCGUUCCGUUUUAUAUAUAAAGCAACCACCAAACCACGAGUACAAGCAUAGAUUCAAAUUCGAGCACACACACUCUAAGGUAUCACGACGCCAAGUACUAGGGGUUCUGCUAAGGGCACAACUCAACAAGCCCUAAAAGCAAAACAACACACAUGCGGAAAAGACCGCGAAUGCAGAAGCUAAUCUCACUCGAGGGUGGUGGGGUAGCUGCGGCGUCAAGCGGAUGGCCAUCGUUCGGAGGUCUGCGAUGAUGGAGUUGAUGGCGUCCUGGUCCAGUUGACGGCUAAGCGACUGCCAGAGCUCCAUUAAGCCACACAUUUUGAACACCACGUCAGUUCCCCGUCGAAGAGGCACACGUUGAAUAACAAGCUUGCAUGCNNNNNNNNNNNNNNNNNNNNNNNNNNNNNNNNNNNNNNNNNNNNNNNNNNNNNNNNNNNNNNNNNNNNNNNNNNNNNNNNNNNNNNNNNNNNNNNNNNNNGCUGCUACGGAUCAGCGGGUGCCACUUCAGCUCCGGCGAUGUCGCGAUGAGCCUCCGGCGACCGCUGCUACGGAUCAGCGGGUGCCACUUCAGCUCUGACGACGCCGCGACGAGCAGCGGGUGCCACUUCAGCUCCGACGAUAGCGCAACGAGCCUCCGGCAACCGCUGCUACGGAUCAGCGGGUGCCACUGCAGCUCCGAAUACCACUGCUGCGGAUCAGCGGGUGCCACUACAGCUCCUGCGACGCCGCGACGAGCCGUUGGCGACCGCUGCUACGGAUCAACGGGUGCCACUUCAGCUCCGACGAUGCCGCGACGAGCCUCCGACGACCGCUGCUAUGGAUCAGCGGGUGCCACUGCAGCUCCGACGACGCCCCGACGAGCAGCGGGUGCCACUUCAGCUCCGACGACGCCGUGACGAGCCUCCGGCGACCGCUACUACGGAUCUGCGGGUGCCACUGCAACUCCGGAUACCGCUGCUGCGGAUCAGUGGGUGCCACUACAGCUCCUGCGACGCCGCGACGAGCCACCGGUGACCGCUGCUACGGAUCAACGGGUGCCACUGCAGCUCCGACGACGACGCGAUGAGCCUUCGGCGAGCGCUGCUACUGAUCAGCGGGUGCCGUUGCAGCUCCCCCGACGAUGCGACGAGCCUUCGGCGACCGUUGCUACUGAUCAACGGGUGUCACUGCAGCUCCGGCGACGCCGCGACGAGCCACCGACGACCGCUGCUACGGAUCAGCGGGUGCCACGAGCCGCCGGCGACCGCUUGCUACGGAUCAGCGGGUGCCACUGCAGCUCCGGUGACGCCGCGACGAGCCUUCGACGACCGCUGCUAYKSAACUACUACGUCUCGUUUGGCAAGCUGACAAUUAAAUUGAGUGUACUGGAGUAUACUAAUGCAACUAGAUUUGCAUCCAUCGCCUUUAAAAAAUUACAUGGAAGGAUAUGNNNNNNNNNNNNNNNNNNNNNNNNNNNNNNNNNNNNNNNNNNNNNNNNNNNNNNNNNNNNNNNNNNNNNNNNNNNNNNNNNNNNNNNNNNNNNNNNNNNNUGCUUAGAAUCUCGUGUAGUUUCAUUUUUCCUUGCUGUCUGUAUGUUUUGAAGUGCUCGUGACCGUCGUUGCACACAUAUCGCAUUUAUGCCAUCAUAUCUUGCGGUGCUUGUAUGUUUUGAACCGUAGCUCCGUUGGAGAUGUUCUUUAUGUGUAGGUUGCUUGAAAUGUCGCGUAGAAUCACGUGAACCUAUUUUUUAUCCUGUUUUGAGAGAGAAGAGGAGUAGAACUAAAUAAUUAAACGUGGAGUUUCUUCAAUAUGCAACUCGUUGCAUAUUGAACUUCACUUAAUGUGUAGUGUUUGAUUGUGUGAAUUGUCAUGCCGUGACUUGCAUAUAUUCAGCUGCUCAUGUAUCAUAUGUGUUGUGCAUCGCGUGGUGAAUAUCAUGUUUUAAUUUUUGUUUCCGGUUUCCUUCGUCUCGAUAAAGUUCCGCAAGCGUGUCGGAUUGUGAGGACCCGUUCGACUACGUCGGUUCGUCUGCUUCACGGAGACAUUCUUCUUCCAAGCGGGAUCUCAGGCAAGAUGACCAUUUCCCCAGAUACCAUUACUAUCAUUGCCAUGCUAGUUUACCGUUUCUAUCGAAUAUGUCUCGUUGCCUACCACAUGUUAAAUAUCAGCCUCUUAACAAUGCCAUGAAACCUUCAACCUGUUCAACCUAGCAAACCACUGAUUGGCUAUGUUACUGCUUGCUUAANNNNNNNNNNNNNNNNNNNNNNNNNNNNNNNNNNNNNNNNNNNNNNNNNNNNNNNNNNNNNNNNNNNNNNNNNNNNNNNNNNNNNNNNNNNNNNNNNNNNAUCAGUGGGUGCCACUUCAGCUCCAAUCGAAGCCGCGACGAGCCUCCGGCGACCGCUGCUACGGAUCAGCGGGUGCCACUUCAGCUCCGGCGACCGCUGGUAUGGAUCAGCGGGUGCCACUUCAGCUCCGACGAUGCCGCGACGAGCCUUCGGCGACCGCUGGUAUGGAUCAGCGGGUGCCACUUCAGCUCCGACGAUGCCGCGACGAGCCUUCGGCGACCGCUGCUACGGAUCAGCGGGUGCCACUGCAGCUCCGACGAUGCCACGACGAGCAGCGGGUGCCACUGCAGCUCCGACGACGCCGCGACGAGCAGCGGGUGCCACUGCAGCUCCGACGACGCCGCGACGAGCAGCGGGUGCCACUACAGCUCCGACGACGCCGCGACAAGCCUACGGCAUCCGCUGCUGCGGAUCAGCGGGUGCCACUUCAGCUCCGAAUACCGCUGCUGCGGAUCAGCGGGUGCCACUACAGCUCCUGCGACGCCGCGAUGGGCCAUCGGAGACCGCUGCUACGGAUCAGUGGGUGCCACUGCAGCUCCUACGACGUCGCGACGAGCCUCCGGCGACCGCUGCUAUGGAUCAGCGGGUGCCACUUCAGCUCCGACGACCGCUGCUACGGAUCAGCGGGUGCCACUUCAGCUCCGACGAUGCCGCGACGAGCCUCCGGCGACCGCUGCUACGGAUCAGCGGGUGGCACUUCAGCUCCCGCGACCGCUGCUACAGAUCAGCGGGUGCCACUGCAGCUUCCAAUACCGCUGUUGCGGAUCGGCGGGUGCCACUACAACUCGUGCGACGCCGUGACGAGCCUUCGACGACCGCUGCUACGGAUCAGUGGGUGCCACUUCAGCUCCGACGAAGCCGCGACGAGCCUCCGGCGACCGCUGCUACGGAUCAGCGGGUGCCACUUCAGCUCCGGCGAUGUCGCGAUGAGCCUCCGGCGACCGCUGCUACGGAUCAGCGGGUGCCACUUCAGCUCUGACGACGCCGUGACGAGCAGCGGGUGCCACUUCAGCUCCGACGAUAGCGCAACGAGCCUCCGGCAACCGCUGCUACGGAUCAGCGGGUGCCACUGCAGCUCCGAAUACCACUGCUGCGGAUCAGCGGGUGCCACUACAGCUCCUGCGACGCCGCGACGAGCCGCUGGCGACCGCUGCUACGGAUCAACGGGUGCCACUUUAGCUCCGACGAUGCCGCGACGAGCCUCCGACGACCGCUGCUAUGGAUCAGCGGGUGCCACUGCAGCUCCGAAGACGCCCCGACGAGCAGCGGGUGCCACUUCAGCUCCGACGACGCCGUGACGAGCCUCCGGCGACCGCUACUACGGAUCUGCGGGUGCCACUGCAACUCCGGAUACCGCUGCUGCGGAUCAGUGGGUGCCACUACAGCUCCUGUGACGCCGCGACGAGCCACCGGUGACCGCUGCUACGGAUCAACGGGUGCCACUGCAGCUCCGACGACGACGCGAUGAGCCUUCGGCGAGCGCUGCUACUGAUCAGCGGGUGCCGUUGCAGCUCCCCCGACGAUGCGACGAGCCUUCGGCGACCGUUGCUACUGAUCAACGGGUGUCACUGCANNNNNNNNNNNNNNNNNNNNNNNNNNNNNNNNNNNNNNNNNNNNNNNNNNNNNNNNNNNNNNNNNNNNNNNNNNNNNNNNNNNNNNNNNNNNNNNNNNNNCCGCGACGAGCCACCGGUGACCGCUGCUACGGAUCAACGGGUGCCACUGCAGCUCCGACGACGACGCGACGAGCCUUCGGCGAGCGCUGCUACGGAUCAGCGGGUGCCACUACAGCUCCGACGACGCUGCGACGAGCAGCGGGUGCCUCUGCAGCUCCGACGACGCCGCGACGAGCCUCCGGCGACCACUGCUACGGAUCAGCCGAUGCCACUGCAGCUCCGAAUACCGAUGUUGCGGAUCAGCGGGUGCCACUACAGCUCCUACGACGCCGCGACGAGACGACGACGACCGCUGCUAUGGAUCAGCGCGUGCCGCUGCAGCUCCGGCAACGUCGCGACGAGCCUUUGACGACCGUUGCUACGGAUCAGUGCGUGCCACUUCAGCUCCGACGAAGCCGCGACGAGCCUCCGGCGACCGCUGCUACGGAUCAACGGGUGCCACUUCAGCUCCGGCGACCGCUGCUACAGAUCAGCGGGUGCCACUUCCAACUCCAACGAUGCCGCGACGAGCCUCCGGCGACCGCUGCUACAGAUCAGCGGGUGCCACUUCAGCUCCGACGACGCCGCCACGAGCAGCGGGUGCCACUUCAGCUCCGACGACGCCGCGACGAGCCUCCGACGACCGCUGCUAUGGAUCAGCGGGUGCCACUUCAGCUCCGACGAUGCCACGACGAGCCUUCGGCGACCGCUGCUACGGAUCAGCGGGUGCCACUUCAGCUCCGACGAUGCCGCGACGAGCCUCCUGCGACCGCUGCUUCGGAUCAGCGGGUGCCACUGCAGUUCCAACGACGCCGCGACGAGCAGCGGGCGCCACUUCAGCUCCGACGAUGCCGUGACGAGCCUCCGGCGACCGCUGCUACGGAUCAGCGGGUGCCACUGCAGCUCCGACGAUGCCGCGGCGAGCAGCGGGUGCCACUGCAGCUCCGACGACGCCGCGACGAGCCUCCGGCGACCGUUGCUACGGAUCACCGGGUGCCACUUCAGCUCCGGCGACCGCUGCUACAGAUCAGCGGGCGCCACUUCAGCUCCGACGAUGCCGCGACGAGCCUGUGGCGACCGCUGCUACGGAUCAGCAGGGUGCCACUUCAGCUCCCACGACGCCGCGACGAGCAGCGGGUGCCACUGCAGCUCCGAGGACGCCGCGACGAGCCUCCGGCGACCGCUGCUACGGAUCAGCGGGUGUCACUUCAGCUCUGAAUACCGCUGUUGCGGAUCAGCGGGUGCCACUACACCUCCUGCGACGCCGCGAUAAGACGCCGACGACUGCUGCUUCGGAUCAGCGGGUGCCACUGCAGCUCCGGCGACGCCGCGACGAGCCUUCGACGACCGCUGCUACGGAUCAGUGGGUGCCACUUUAGCUCCGACGAAGCCGCGACGAGCCUCCGGCGACCGCUGCUACGUAUCAGCGGGUGCCACUUCAGCUCCGGCGACCGCUGCUACGGAUCAGCGGGUGCCACUGCAGCUUCGACGAUGCCGCGACGAGCAUCGGGUGCCACUGCACCUCCGACGACGACGCGACGAGCCUCCGACGACCGCUGCUACGGAUCAGCGGGUGCCACUGCAGCUCCGAAUACCGCUGUUGCGGAUCAGCGGGUGCCACUACAGCUCCUGCGACGCCGCGACGAGACCGNNNNNNNNNNNNNNNNNNNNNNNNNNNNNNNNNNNNNNNNNNNNNNNNNNNNNNNNNNNNNNNNNNNNNNNNNNNNNNNNNNNNNNNNNNNNNNNNNNNNGGGUGCCACUUCAGCUCUGACGACGCCGUGACGAGCAGCGGGUGCCACUUCAGCUCCGACGAUAGCGCAACGAGCCUCCGGCAACCGCUGCUACGGAUCAGCGGGUGCCACUGCAGCUCCGAAUACCACUGCUGCGGAUCAGCGGGUGCCACUACAGCUCCUGCGACGCCGCGACGAGNNNNNNNNNNNNNNNNNNNNNNNNNNNNNNNNNNNNNNNNNNNNNNNNNNNNNNNNNNNNNNNNNNNNNNNNNNNNNNNNNNNNNNNNNNNNNNNNNNNNNNNNNNNNNNNNNNNNNNNNNNNNNNNNNNNNNNNNNNNNNNNNNNNNNNNNNNNNNNNNNNNNNNNNNNNNNNNNNNNNNNNNNNNNNNNNNNNNNNNNNNNNNNNNNNNNNNNNNNNNNNNNNNNNNNNNNNNNNNNNNNNNNNNNNNNNNNNNNNGGGUGCCACUGCAGCUCCGAAGACGCCCCGACGAGCAGCGGGUGCCACUUCAGCUCCGACGACGCCGUGACGAGCCUCCGGCGACCGCUACUACGGAUCUGCGGGUGCCACUGCAACUCCGGAUACCGCUGCUGCGGAUCAGUGGGUGCCACUACAGCUCCUGUGACGCCGCGACGAGCCACCGGUGACCGCUGCUACGGAUCAACGGGUGCCACUGCAGCUCCGACGACGACGCGAUGAGCCUUCGGCGAGCGCUGCUACUGAUCAGCGGGUGCCGUUGCAGCUCCCCCGACGAUGCGACGAGCCUUCGGCGACCGUUGCUACUGAUCAACGGGUGUCACUGCAGCUCCGGCGACGCCGCGACGAGCCACCGACGACCGCUGCUACGGAUCAGCGGGUGCCACGAGCCGCCGGCGACCGCUGCUACUGCCACUGCAGCUCCGGUGACGCCGCGACGAGCCUUCGACGACCGCUGCUACGGAUCAGCGGGUGCCACUGCAGCUCCGGCGACGACGUGACGAGCCUUCGACGACCGCUGCUACUGAUCAGCGAGUGCCACUGCAGCUCCGGCGAUGCCGCGACGAGCCACCGNNNNNNNNNNNNNNNNNNNNNNNNNNNNNNNNNNNNNNNNNNNNNNNNNNNNNNNNNNNNNNNNNNNNNNNNNNNNNNNNNNNNNNNNNNNNNNNNNNNNAAAGACCUAAUAAAAUUGCAUAGGGACUUUCCGGACCCCGAGGAUAAUUUAAUCAACCCCUGGGCCAGUGCUCCUCAUGAGUGUUGGCCCCACCUGAGCGAUGUCCGGCGCCCCUCUGGUCACCCGGAGGUUUAGCGAUCCCGACGUCUAGCUCAUCCAUCGUGUCCUGAGAACGAGGUACGCGACUCUUAUCGGGAUCGUCGAUACGUCGGGCGGCCUUGCUGGAUUAGUUUUACCUUUGACGAGAUAUCUUGUGCAUCGGGAUUCCGGUGACGCUUUGUGUAAUCUCAGAGUUGAGGUUUUCCACUAGGGAAUCUGACGAGAUCGCGAGCUUCGUGAUUGAGGAUUUCUAUGCGGCUUGUGGUAAUUUGUGAUGGACUAGUUGGAGCACCCCUGCAGGGUUAAAUCUUUCGGAAAGCCGUGCCCACGGUUAUGUGGCAACGUGGAAACUUUGUUUAACACUGGUUCUAGAUAACUUGAAGUUAACUUAAUUAAAAUAUGCCAACUGUGUGCGUAACCGUGACUAUCUCUUUCAUGAGUUCUUUCUCCGAUCGAGGACACGGUGGGGUUAUGUCUGACGUAGGUAGGUGUUCAGGAUCAUUCAUUUGAUCAUCAGUACUCACGUCCGUUAUGCGUAGAUCAUCCCCCUCUUUAUUCUUGUACUCGUAAGUUUAGGCACCAAAUAUAUGCUUAGUCGCUGAUGCAACCUCACCACUUAACCAUACCUCAGCCAUUAAGCUUUGCUAGUCUUGAUACCUUUGGAAAUGAGAUUGCUGAGUCCCCUGUGGCUCACAGAUUACUACAACACCAGUUGCAGGUACAGGUAAAGGUUACUUGACGCGAGCGCGUUGAUUGUUCAUUUGGAAUUGCUUCUUCUUCUUCUUCUUCAUCAUCAUCGAUCUAGGAUGGGUUCCAGGCCGACAGCCUUGGAUAGCAAGGAUGGACGUCGUUCUUCUUUUGUCGUUUAUUUUCGUCCGUAGUCGGACCCGGCUCUUACUCUUGAUGUUUGUGUAAUGUACUGUUGUGACUCUGAUAUAGCUUGUGGCGAGUGUAAGCCAACUCUUUAUGUAUAACUCUUCUUUUCAGUACAUGUACUUGUAAUGAUAUCCAUUCUUGCGACAUGACGAGAUGCGCUUCUAUCCCUGACGAGGCCUUCGUGCCAAAUUGAGGAUAGGGUCGCAUCUUGGGCGUGACAAGUUGGUAUCAGAGCAGUACCGACCUAGGAGCCCCUUUGAUUGAUCGAACUUGGCCGAGUCGAGUCUAGUGAAAAACUACUUUGAGUCUAGUUAUAUAUCGGAGAGUAGGAUUCUUUUUUUUCAUCUUCUAUGCUCUGGUGAGGAAUCUUGACGUAAUAUUUUAGUUCUACUCCUCUUCUCUCUCAAAUUUUUUUAGGAUCACGCGGAUAUUUUUGAAAUCUAUAUGAUGCCGAUGUGACGGAGUUCUGUCUUGGUGCCUCCUAUCUGCUUUAAGUUUCAGGGGAGUUGAGCUCCAGGGGAUUCUUGAGCACAUCGUUAUCAUUCAGAUUUCUUAGUAUCUCUGAACGAAGGAUGUUCGUAAUUGCUUCAAUACUAGUAGUGGCGAGAUCACCCCGAUGUCCCCAGUACUGGUGCAAAUUGUUCGGGAGUACUGCCAUACUUUGUAUCGUUGUGAUCACGAGGGUCUGUAGUAGAUGAAGGUCCGAGAUUCUGGUCGUGUGUUGACGGAUGUGAUACAGGUGACGGGUUAGUAUAGGAGUUGUGUGUUAUUACUCCUUGUAUCCGUGUACCAGAUUGCAUGACCAGAAAUUUUGGGAAUUCGUAGGUGGGAAUUCAAGUAGUUGCUUAUAGGAGAAUCUUCCAACAAAUGCAUGAUGUUAGGUUGGGGUUCGACAUCUAGUGGAUUCCUGUCCAUGAAAAUAUUGGACGAAAUCUUUCUCAUGAGUUUGUUCUGGCUAAUUGCAAGCCGCACCCUUUGUUUUGUUGAAUGUGGUAAUUUGUGUUGCUUCGAUGUCAAGUGGUGAUUUCAAAUCUUUCCUAAUCUGUGUUCCCAUAUUUUUAUGUGAGAGUGCUACUCCUUUUUCUCAAUCAAUUGUCUCAUCAAUUUUGUCAACCGGAGUCGUCAUGUUAAUUCCUUUCCAACCGGUGUGCUUCUCUUGAGUAAAUUCAAUCCUCUUUAAUAAUUGCAAGAUCAUUCUCGCAUUUUAUUACGGAGUUCAUCUCAUCCGUCUGAAGUUGUUUUUGUUUUUCCCCGCCCUCCCGCCCUUUUCUUCAGUGUUUGGAUUUCAUCCAAGUGCCUUCUUAUUUAGUGAUGCUUCCGCUAUCUCUUCUUCCUUUUUGUAGCAGGUGAUUCAUUGUUGUGAACAUUCUCAGGAGUCGAGUUCAUCAUUUCUUCAUUUUGUUCCUUCCCGGUGAAUUUAAUUCAUUAUCUGUGUUCACAUAUUCUAUUCAUCCUUGUAAUUUUUUCCCAUGUUGGAAAUUCUCAUCAGUCUUCUUAUUGUCAUUUCUCUCUAUUCCAUCAGGAGUGCUGAAGUUAUCUGAGAGGUUCUUGUUUCCAAUUCUUUUAUUUAUUUCCAGGUGCUAACCUCAUCUAGUUCUCUUCAUACCGGUGCAAUAUCAAUCUUUCCAGCAAUCUUUUCUAAUGGUGGUUUCUUUGAAUGGGCCCAUAACCCAGAGGUUUUUCCCAGGAUCUUACCUGGCUCUUUUAAUCUUUUCCAGGGACCUUUAAAUCUUUUCAACUAUGACGUAAGUAUGAUUUCCAUCAGUCAUAUCCCUUCGUCAAGAUCUAUUUGAAUUAAUUCUCAUAUUGGUUCAACCUUUCAUUCUUCAUUAGUCUGGAGUGUCUCAGUAUUCUUGGUGUUGUUCUCGUCAUCAUUCUCAGCUUCCAAUUAGAAGGAGUGUUUCUCUCAGUCUUGUUCCAUUCUUGUGAAGACUGUCAUCUCAGCAUCGUGUACCCUCUCAUUUGUUGUCAAUCAUGAGUAAUCCCUUUCUUGCUAUCCGGUCCGUUUCUGAGUUGUUUUUAUUUCUCGUUCCUCCGACGGCCAUCAUUUCAGAAGACUCUUCGUUCUCAGCUUUCAGCUUUCAUCCUCAACUCUUCUCAAUUGUUGUCUCUUCGUUCGUCUCUCGGUUAUUCCGGCGCUUUGUUCAAGGUUUUUCUCUCAGGUGGCUCAUGAGCUCUUCAUUUUCAUGUAUCUUCAUUAAUUCGUGGUGUUCCCAUUCAGUUGUGAAUUCUUACCUGUACGUCCGUCAAUUAUGCCUCAAGUGGUGCUCAUCUCUCUGCCUCUUCAAGAUUCAUUUCUAGUAGAAUAAGUGGUAUGCUAAAUCCGUUGCUUGUCAUCAAUUAAUCUUGAUGAAGGAUAAGCAUAAUAUAAUUCUUAUUCUUGUUCUUCCUUCUUCCAAGAGAUUUCAAUUCUUCUUCCGGAGUGGCUCAUGAUAUCAAUUCUUUUCUCAAGUGCCUAUCUUUCUUUUCCGGAGUUCCAAGUUUUUUUUAGUAUCUCUUUGUGAGGCUUCAUCUAAAUCCUGGCAAGGUCAUAAUCUUAUUCUUUUCUACCGUGAUAUCUUUGCAUCAUUCAUUCGUAUACGGUGGUCCUUCAUGGUGGUUCAUCAAGGUUUCAAUCCAUUCUCAAGUGUUCUUCAAGAUUCCUGUUGGAGUACCUCAAGUAUCCUUCCUCUUGCAUUUAUAUGUGGAGUUGUUCUUCCUUUAUCCUUUGAGGUGGUAUUAUAGCAUUCUUGUUAGUGUAGGAGUCUCGAAGAGAUUUUCUUUCAGGAAUGAGAUAAUUAAACCCACCAAUUCUAUGAUCAUGAGAUAUUUUCAACCCAUGAUUCCUUGAUUGAGCUAUCUUGGUUUCGAUUUCACCUAAAGCUUUUCCUAUGGUUUUUUGCAAUCAUGGUGCUUGUCAUUAAUCCAAGUUCUCUAUGUAUCCUCUUGGUGUAAGAUUUGUUCAUAUCUUUGCUUUCAUCUAUCCUUGGUUCUUGUACUGGUUGGUUGUCACCUCAUAGAUGUUGAGAUGAUUUUCAUAAGCCCACUACUAUCUUAUUCUUUUCAUUGUUGUUUUUCCAACAACUCCGUUCAGUUCUUCUUGCAAGAAUGCUUGCUAAGUUCAUUGGAGUUACUAGUUGUCAUUCUCUCUUCAUUCUCUUCUUCCGUAUGAGUUAGUUCCUAUUCUAUUGUUCUGGAGGCAUUGUGUUGUUGCUCUUUUGGGUCUAUUAUGUUGUUCUAUCAAGAUCUUGGUGUACCCUUGCUCUAUUUACUUGUUGGUUGUGAAUAUUGUCUAUUUCUUCCACGUUUUCCAAUUUUUUGUCCCAUUUUCCUACCGAAGUGCUGCCGAAAUUUUCCGUGAAUUCUUGCUUCUUUCUGAUAUCAUUCCUCAUCGCUUUGCAACCUUCAAGGAUCGUUGGUUUCACUCGUUUGUCAAAGAAGCGACUAAGUUUUACCUCUUGUUUUCUCAUCCUCUCCCCCUUUCUUUCUUGGAUCUCGGGGCGAGCCUCUUGUAGUGUAGGAGAGUUGUGACAGCCCGAUGCCGACGUUCCAGAAGAUUCCCCUUUUCUUUCCGUUUUCGUCGUGUGUCUAUAUUCUUUUGUCGCAUCAUCAUCGCAUCAUGCGCAUCAUCUGCAUUGCAUUGACAUUUUCGUUGCCGCCAGUUUUCAAAAACUUGCAUACGCUAGUAGUUGACGGUUCUCAUCGUUGUCCGUUCUAAGUCCGACCGCACACGCACACGCCCGCGGCACCGUCGAACCUUGUUUUAAAUAGUGUGCGUAAAAAUUUCUCUGAUCGGGUUGAGAUUUGACGUGCGGUCUUAUUUUAAUAUAACUAGGCCGCCUGUCGAAUUUCGUCGCGAUCGGAGUCCGUCUCGUACCCGAACAGUCGACCGUAGCGGCACCGUAUUCGGUCUACCAUGAGAUGUUUUUCGGUGUUUUAAAAUCGCGUUGCCACGUCGCCCGUUUUCCCUCUCGUCUCCGGAUAUCCCCUCUACACGGCCGCGUACCAAUUCCCGCGUUCGGAAUCAUCCGAAUCCAACCGCACGGUUGGAUCCGGAACGAAAUUCCGGGUAACCUAGCCCCCUCAUAUGUCUAUAAAUACCCCCCGGUGCAUUUUAGACAGCCCCCUCACCCCGUGUGCCUCGAAAUCCGUGCAGCCCCGAAACCCUAACCCUCAGCCUCUCUUCCUCCUCCAGCCACCAGCCCAUGGGGCCCGAUCUGAGCCCGCCCGAGCCCAUCUGGGCCCGGCCAAGACCAUCUGGGCUUGGCCAAGCCCAUCCCGCCGCCACCUUUCCCGAAGAGCCCGAGCUCCUGCCCCGAGCUCGACCGGAGCCGUCCUGCGCUCGCGAGCCCCGCCUUCCAGCCACCUCAUGUGCCUCACCGCGCUUCCCCGUCGAGCCGCCGCCUCCUUCCAUCGCGUGCCCGGAUGGCCAGCCCCUGUCGUCGCCGGAGGCCGCCACGCAGACCGGAGCUCCGGCCACCUCUAGCAGUUCUAUCGUCUUCCCGAGCCAUGUCGACCCGAGGGCCGGCCGCAAGCCGAGCCGCCGUCGCCUAGCAGGCUGCCUCGUGCCCUGCCCGCUCCCAUCGGACGCCCAUGCACCUGCCGGAGCCGCCAGCCGCGCCAACUGCCAGAUCCACGCCGCCAUGUCCCGAGAUCGACGAGGAGCAGCAACCGCUCCAGCGCUGCCCCGUGGGCCCCGCGCCGGCCCAGCAUCCGCCCCGCAGAGGCCCAGCUCGGUCAGCCAGGCCGAGGCCUCCACCCCUGAUGCACCAGGCCAGCCCGAAGGCCUCUGGUGAGACCCCUCUCCCCAGCCUAUUUUUUUUGCCCUGUGCAUAAUUUUGUUAGGAUGCGCCUGGUAGGCCCAAUAGGUAAUUUAGGNNNNNNNNNNNNNNNNNNNNNNNNNNNNNNNNNNNNNNNNNNNNNNNNNNNNNNNNNNNNNNNNNNNNNNNNNNNNNNNNNNNNNNNNNNNNNNNNNNNNCCAAACCGAGUUGGACUUGGUUUGGUGGGAGGAGUCCCCCUCCCUUCCCACUUCCUCCCUCUUUUUUUUCUUUUCCUUUGAUUUCCUUCUCUUGGCGCAUAGGCCCCCUUGGGGCUGUCCCACCAGCCCACUAAGGGCUGGUGUGUCUCCCCAAAGCCUAUGGGCUUCCCCGGGGUGGGUUGCCCCCCCCCCCCCCCCGGUGAACUCCCGGAACCCAUUCGUCAUUCCCGGUACAUUCCCGGUAACUCCGAAAACCUUCCGGUAAUCAAAUGAAGUCAUCCUAUAUAUCAAUCUUCGUUUCCGGACCAUUCCGGAAACCCUCGUGACGUCCGUGAUCUCAUCCGGGACUCCGAACAACAUUCGGUAACCAACCAUAUAACUCAAAUACGCAUAAAACAACGUCGAACCUUAAGUGUGCAGACCCUGCGGGUUCGAGAACUAUGUAGACAUGACCCGAGAGACUCCUCGGUCAAUAUCCAAUAGCGGGACCUGGAUGCCCAUAUUGGAUCUUACAUAUUCUACGAAGAUCUUAUCGUUUGAACCUCAGUGCCAAGGAUUCAUAUAAUCCCGUAUGUCAUUCCUUUUGUCCUUCGGUAUGUNNNNNNNNNNNNNNNNNNNNNNNNNNNNNNNNNNNNNNNNNNNNNNNNNNNNNNNNNNNNNNNNNNNNNNNNNNNNNNNNNNNNNNNNNNNNNNNNNNNNCCAAACCGAGUUGGACUAGGUUUGGUGGGAGGGAGUCCUCCUCCCUUCCCACCUCCCCCCUCUUUUUUUUUCUUUUCCUUUGAUUUCUUAUCCUUGGCGCAUAGGCCCCUUUUGGGCUGUCCCACCAGCCCACUAAGGGCUGGUGCGCCACCCCCAUGGCCUAUGGGCUUCCCCGGGGUGGGUUGCCCCCCCCCCCCCCCCGGUGAACUCCCGGAACCCAUUCGUCAUUCCCGGUACAUUCCCGGUAACUCCGAAAACCUUCCGGUAAUCAAAUGAGGUCAUCCUAUAUAUCAAUCUUCGUUUUCGGACCAUUUCGGAAACCCUCGUGACGUCCAUGAUCUCAUCCGGGACUCCGAACAACAUUCGGUAACCAACCAUAUAACUCAAAUACACAUAAAACAACGUCGAACCUUAAGUGUGCAGACCCUGCGGGUUCGAGAACUAUGUAGACAUGACCCGAGAGACUCCUUCGUCAAUAUCCAAUAGCGGGACCUAGAUGCCCAUAUUGGAUCCUACAUAUUCUACGAAGAUCUUAUCGUUUGAACCUCAGUGCCAAGGAUUCGUAUAAUCCCGUAUGUCANNNNNNNNNNNNNNNNNNNNNNNNNNNNNNNNNNNNNNNNNNNNNNNNNNNNNNNNNNNNNNNNNNNNNNNNNNNNNNNNNNNNNNNNNNNNNNNNNNNNCGGAGGCUCGUCGCGGCUUCGUCGGAGCUGAAGUGGCACCCACUGAUCCGUAGCAGCGGUCGUCGAAGGCUCGUCACGGCGUCGCACGAGUUGUAGUGGCACCCGCCGAUCCGCAACAGCGGUAUUGGAAGCUGCAGUGGCACCCGCUGAUCUGUAGCAGCGGUCGCGGGAGCUGAAGUGCCACCCGCUGAUCCGUAGNNNNNNNNNNNNNNNNNNNNNNNNNNNNNNNNNNNNNNNNNNNNNNNNNNNNNNNNNNNNNNNNNNNNNNNNNNNNNNNNNNNNNNNNNNNNNNNNNNNNNNNNNNNNNNNNNNNNNNNNNNNNNNNNNNNNNNNNNNNNNNNNNNNNNNNNNNNNNNNNNNNNNNNNNNNNNNNNNNNNNNNNNNNNNNNNNNNNNNNNNNNNNNNNNNNNNNNNNNNNNNNNNNNNNNNNNNNNNNNNNNNNNNNNNNNNNNNNNNNNNNNNNNNNNNNNNNAUCCAUAGCAGCGGUCGCCGGAGGCUCGUCGCGACGUCGUAGGAGCUGCAGUGGCACCCACUGAUCCGUAGCAGCGGUCUCCGAUGGCCCAUCGCGGCGUCGCAGGAGCUGUAGUGGCACCCGCUGAUCCGCAGCAGCGGUAUUCGGAGCUGAAGUGGCACCCGCUGAUCCGCAGCAGCGGAUGCCGUAGGCUUGUCGCGGCGUCGUCGGAGCUGUAGUGGCACCCGCUGCUCNNNNNNNNNNNNNNNNNNNNNNNNNNNNNNNNNNNNNNNNNNNNNNNNNNNNNNNNNNNNNNNNNNNNNNNNNNNNNNNNNNNNNNNNNNNNNNNNNNNNNNNNNNNNNNNNNNNNNNNNNNNNNNNNNNNNNNNNNNNNNNNNNNNNNNNNNNNNNNNNNNNNNNNNNNNNNNNNNNNNNNNNNNNNNNNNNNNNNNNNNNNNNNNNNNNNNNNNNNNNNNNNNNNNNNNNNNNNNNNNNNNNNNNNNNNNNNNNNNNNNNNNNNNNNNNNNNNNNNNNNNNNNNNNNNNNNNNNNNNNNNNNNNNNNNNNNNNNNNNNNNNNNNNNNNNNNNNNNNNNNNNNNNNNNNNNNNNNNNNNNNNNNNNNNNNNNNNNNNNNNNNNNNNNNNNNNNNNNNNNNNNNNNNNNNNNNNNNNNNNNNNNNNNNNNNNNNNNNNNNNNNNNNNNNNNNNNNNNNNNNNNAGGCUCGUCGCGGCUUCAUUGGAGCUGAAGUGGCACCCACUGAUCCGUAGCAGCGGUCGUCGAAGGCUCGUCGCGGCGUUGCCGGAGCUGCAGUGGCACCUACUGAUCCGUAGCAGUGGUCGUCGGCGUCUCGUCGCGGCGUCGCAGGAGCUGUAGUGGCACCCGCUGAUCCGCAACAGCGGUAUUCGGAGCUGCAGUGGCACCCNNNNNNNNNNNNNNNNNNNNNNNNNNNNNNNNNNNNNNNNNNNNNNNNNNNNNNNNNNNNNNNNNNNNNNNNNNNNNNNNNNNNNNNNNNNNNNNNNNNNUUUUGCUGCCCUCCUUAGUCUUUUCUUGAUUCCGCGGUAUUGUUGGAUUGAAGCGGCUUGGACCGACAUUACUCGUACGCUUACGAGAGACUGGUUUCAUCGUUACGAGUAACCCCCUUUGCUCAAAGAUGACUGGCAAGUGACGGUUUCUCCAACUUUAGUUGAAUCGGAUUUGACCGAGGAGGUCCUUGGAUGAGGUUAAAUAGCAACUCAUAUAUCUCCGUUGUGGUGUUUGCGUAAGUAAGAUGCGAUCCUACUAGAUACCCUUGGUCACCACGUAAAACAUGCAACAACAAAAUUAGAGGACGUCUAACUUGUUUUUGCAGGGUAUGAUUGUGAUGUGAUAUGGCCAACGAUGUGAUGUGAUAUAUUGGAUGUAUGAGAUGAUCAUGUUGUAAUAGAAAUAUCGACUUGCACGUCGAUGGUACGGCAACCGGCAGGAGCCAUAGGGUUGUCUUUAUACUAACAUAUGUGCUUGNNNNNNNNNNNNNNNNNNNNNNNNNNNNNNNNNNNNNNNNNNNNNNNNNNNNNNNNNNNNNNNNNNNNNNNNNNNNNNNNNNNNNNNNNNNNNNNNNNNNNNNNNNNNNNNNNNNNNNNNNNNNNNNNNNNNNNNNNNNNNNNNNNNNNNNNNNNNNNNNNNNNNNNNNNNNNNNNNNNNNNNNNNNNNNNNNNNNNNNNNNNNNNNNNNNNNNNNNNNNNNNNNNNNNNNNNNNNNNNNNNNNNNNNNNNNNNNNNNNNNNNNNNNNNNNNNNNNNNNNNNNNNNNNNNNNNNNNNNNNNNNNNNNNNNNNNNNNNGAUGAUGGCCAUAUCAUGUCACUUAUGAAUUGCAUGUGAUGUUAAUCCUUUUAUGCACCUUAUUUUGCUUAGAACGACGGUAGCAUUAUGAGGUGAUCUCUCACUAAAAUUUCAAGACGAAAUUGUGUUCUCCCCGACUGUGCACCGUUGCUACAGUUCGUCGUUUCGAGACACCACGUGAUGAUCGGGUGUGAUAGACUCAACGUUCACAUACAACGGGUGCAAAACAGUUGCGCACGCGGAACACUCGGGUUAAGCUUGACGAGCCUAGCAUGUGCAGACAUGGCCUCGGAACACAUGAGACCGAAAGGUCGAUCAUGAAUCAUAUAGUUGAUAUGAUUAGCAUAGAGAUGCUUACCACUGAAACUAUACUCAACUCACGUGAUGAUCGGACUUGGGAUAGUGUAAGUGGAUCAUGAACCACUCAAAUGACUAGAGAGAUGUACUUUUUGAGUGGGAGUUUAGCAUAUAAUUUGAUUAANNNNNNNNNNNNNNNNNNNNNNNNNNNNNNNNNNNNNNNNNNNNNNNNNNNNNNNNNNNNNNNNNNNNNNNNNNNNNNNNNNNNNNNNNNNNNNNNNNNNCAGCUCCGACGACGCCGUGACGAGCCUCCGGCGACCGCUACUACGGAUCUGCGGGUGCCACUGCAACUCCGGAUACCGCUGCUGCGGAUCAGUGGGUGCCACUACAGCUCCUGCGACGCCGCGACGAGCCACCGGUGACCGCUGCUACGGAUCAACGGGUGCCACUGCAGCUCCGACGACGACGCGAUGAGCCUUCGGCGAGCGCUGCUACUGAUCAGCGGGUGCCGUUGCAGCUCCCCCGACGAUGCGACGAGCCUUCGGCGACCGUUGCUACUGAUCAACGGGUGUCACUGCAGCUCCGGCGACGCCGCGACGAGCCACCGACGACCGCUGCUACGGAUCAGCGGGUGCCACGAGCCGCCGCCGACCGCUGCUACGAAUCAGCGGGUGCCACUGUAGCUCCGGCGAUGCCGCGAUGAGCCGCUGACGACCGCUGCUACGGAUCAGUGCUACCUCUUGAGCUUGUGUUGGUUUUUCCCUUGAAGAGGAAAGGGUGAUGCAGCACAGUAGCAGUAAGUAUUUCCCUCAGGUAUCAAUCCAGUAGGAGUAUCAAGACAAGUCACCAAUGUACCUGCGCAAAAGCAAACAAACUUGCACCCUACGUUAUAAAGGGAUUGUCAAUCCCUUCACGAUUAUUUGCAAGGUGAGAUCUGAAGGUGGAAAGUGCAACAAAGUAAAAGUGUAGAGCUGAAAAUAUGAUGUGAAGUAGACCCGGGGGCCAUAGUAUUCACUAGAGGCUUCUCUCAUGAUAGCAAGUAUUACGGUGGGUGAACGAAUUACUGUCGAGAAAUUGAUAGAAUCGCGCAAAGUCAUGAUGAUAUCUAAGGCAAUGAUCAUACAUAUAGACAUCACGUCCGAGACAAGUAGACCGAUACUUUCUGCAUCUACUACUAUUACUCCACACAUCGACCGCUAUCCAGCAUGCAUCUAGUGUAUUAAGUUCAGAACAAACGGAGUAACGCCUUAAGCAAGAUGACAUGAUGUAGAGGGAUAAAUUCAUGCAAUAUGAUAUAAACCCCAUCUUUUUACCCUUGAUGGCAACAACACGAUGCGUGCCUCGAUACCCCUUCUGUCACUCGAUGAGGACACCGCACGGUAUGAACACAAAACCAAGCACUUCUCCCAUUGCAAGAAUUAUAGAUCAAGUUGGCCAAACGAAACCCACAACUCGAAGAGAAUUACAAGGAUACGAAAUCAUGCAUAUAAGAGAUCAGAGGAGACUCAAAUAAUAUCCAUAGAUAAUCUAAUCAUAAAUCCACAAUUCAUCGGAUCUCGAUAAACACACCGCAAAAGAAAGUUACAUCGGAUAGAUCUCCAUGAAGAUCAUGGAGAACUUUGUAUUGAAGAUCCAAGAGAGAGAAGAAGCCAUCUAGCUACUAGCUAUGGACCCGAAGGUUUGUGGUGAACUGCCACCGGUGCAGUUUAUAGCAAAUGGUCAUACAUACAACUAUGGUUACUAUCUUGUGGAUGGCAUCUACCCAAAGUGGCAAACAUUUAUGAAGCCGUUGAAAAAACUGGAAGGUAAGAAAAAUCUUGAUUUUCACAAUGCUCACGCGGCGGCUAGGAAAGAUGUUGAGAGAGGUUUUGAGAUUUUCCAAGCCCAAUUUGCUAUUGUGAGAGGACCGGCUAGAUUUUAGGAUCAAAAGAUCCUUUGAUACAUCAUGCACGCUUGUGUGAUUAUGCAUAACUUGAUCAUUGAGAAUGGGUAUGGCCAAGAUUUAGACUACUUUCAGUAUGAGCUCUUGGGACAUCCCGUGCGAGUGCGGUGGAGGGCUGCGAGGGUCGCCCAGUUUGUUACCUUCUAUCAUGACAUUCGACGUAGCGAAACACAUGAUGAUCUUCAGAAGGAUCUCAUUAAGGAGUGAUGGGUAUGGAAUGGACGACAAAACACAUGAUGAUUUCUUGUCUUGAAAGAUAAACUAUUUAUCUGUGUUUUAAUAAAAUUAGACUAUUUAUUGUUGAUUAUUUUUAUUUGUUUGACCUUCUUGGUUUUAUUUAGAGUGUAUAUGUUGUUUAUGCUGUUCCCGCGCCGUUUAUUUAUAGCGCCUGUUGGAGCGGCUCGCGCGCCGCUCGGGUGCGCGUAAAAACCGACUAUUUCAAAGCUCUACACGCGGCUGUUGGAGUCUAACUGGCGGGUGACUGCCAAUUAGCAUCGCCAGACCAGGAGCUUAACCUUCUCUUAUCAACAGAUAAAAAAGGAACUAGAUCAUCUAUCAGCUGGCAAAAACCGUGCGUAAUUCUCAGUCAAUCCCCCUUUGUGGCCAGUAUGGCACGCUGAACAUUUUCCGAAUAAAUAUAUAUACCUCGAAAAUAUAUACAAAUCUUGGACUGAGUUUAUGCACAAAUUCAAAUCCUAGAAAUUCCCACUUGUCUGCACACAGAGAGAUCAUAUUGUCUAUCAACAACUGCUAUUCUCCCUGGCUCGAAGUUGGAAAUUCAGAAGUGCCUUUUUUUGUGAAAUUCGGUAGAAUAUUUUUCCUUCAACUUCUCCGGUGUACACCUUGGAGAGAUCAAGCAAAAUCAGAGGCUACAUACUUGACUACACUGUGAUUUUGCCUUCCGCUGUACAAACGAAACUCGAUUUGUAGCGAGGUUUCAUCACUCUGCAGAACAUACAGCAUGAAUCUUAGGCAAGCCCUACCAGUUCAAAUAGCAUCCUCCAUCACACAAUCCUUUACUAACCUUGCUAUGUCUUAUGCUCCAGCAGACUAUCCCAGCGGCUUUUGAGGAUCUCGUAAGCGUCUGGACAGGGAAGAGCUAUUACAGAGGAGGAGCUGCCGUUAGUUGACAGCUCGACCACCAGACCCAACCGCAGCAGCGUCUCCAUAGCUUUGUCGAUAGGCAUUUCAAUCUACAAGGACAUAAGAACCACACUUAAUGAUUUCAUGACAACCGGAGAAUACAUGGAUAGAAGGUGUCGACUCCCCACCUUCGCAUUAAAUUUCUCAUACAUAAACUGCUCGCACAUAUCUCUGAUGCUUGCGCGAGAAGACACCUGCACGGAUUUAAUCAGCCAAGGAUUCUGUAAAUUAAAUGUGACAAAUCUUGAGUACUAAAAGCAGCAAGACAUACCUGAUACUUAUUUCUGCCGAGUAACAUAGCAUAUGCCAAGAGUGCUUCCUUAUACUGUACAAAAAGAGAUGGCGAGGAAGUUUCCAGACUCAACUGAGUGAAAUGCGCCAAAAUUUAUGGUUUUGACUGUGCACUGAACGUGUUACCUGCUGUUGCUCCGAUGCAUCUAGAAGAAAGUAAACUGAACCAAAGCCACUUGCUAACGUCUUCUCAUAAAGGGUCUUAUUGACCAGAAGCUGGAGAGGGGAUAUUGAUGUCAAAUAAACUAUCCUCUGUCGUACUGAAAAGUACUUGAAAUCUAUAUCUACCGCACUUCGGAAACUGAACUAUAUAAAGAAUUUCAUCAUCAUGCAAAUAUAGAGAAACAUAAAUAAUCUACCUGGUAUCUAUCCCUGGUCUGUUUGUAGCCGAGCGUCACACGGAACACGAGUAUUGCAAGAGCAGUAAAAGCAGCUAGAUCAAGAAGGAAGGCUGACCUGCAUUACAUACCAUGGAAGAAAUGCAAACAAUGUUACUUUGUUUUGUGAAAAUAAGAAAGUAUUCCCUAAUAUUACUGAUGCAAAUUACAUACUUACGGCGAUGAGGCUAAACUCUCAAAUUUGUAGUUGACAACAUAUGCCAACAAUCCUAUUACUGUAGCUAUAUCCAGCCUUACCUGUAUUUUUGAAGGAAAACAGUAUCAACACACCAAAACCCAGGAAGAAGAAAAGAGAAAGAAAAAGAGUUCAAGAGGGAAUUACUGUAUCAAGGAUGCGGAAGGAUAACUUUUUGUGAGGAAAAACCACCUGCAGACAAGGUUCAUAUGGUAGUUACUUACUAUGGUAUUUGGCAAUAUUCUCUUAAUGCAGAAGAUAUGCAUCUCUCUUGUGUUUUACGAAACAGAAAGUACUAUGAUGCUAAAUAUAUUCUGAAAAGUGCAUAGGCUUUUGGAUGCAACUUCGGUAUUGAAAUAUGCAUCGAAAUUUUUUGGCCAAUUUUUUCAUCUUAAUAACCAUAGUAGAUAGGGAUUAUGAGCAAUGUAUUGCAGAUGUAGGUAAACCAAAUGCGUCCAUGAGACUGAUGCACUUACUGGCAAAUCUGGGAUGGGUAUUUUCUGGUAAAUUUUCAACUGCGGCGGCAGCAUCUGCAUCUCAGAGCUCUCCUUCUCAUUACUUUGAGCAGAAUCAUCAGAAUAAAGUAUGAUGAGUUCUUCAAAUGCUGGUUCCUGGCAAAUAACAUAAUGGAAUUAUGUAUCUUCUUUGUAUACUAUUUUGGAUAAAGUAGCACUACUGUAGCUUAUGAGCAUCCAUAGUAACCAGAAAAAUAAUAACAGAUAAUCAUCUGAAUAUUGUUAGUUUCCUGUAAAAUCAAAAUAUGUCUCGGGUAAUUUGGGCAAAGGUUUUGUCCAUCAUAUGUUUGUUACAAUUAUAUUGUUUCUUAUGCUUCACUAUCCAAGGUGUUUAAUGUCCGUAUAUAUGUAAGACUACAGAGUGCACACCAGUUCUAUAUAAUAAUGCUCAACCAUUUCACACAAACUACUUUACCCUCUCUUUUCAGUUUCGCACAACAUGGCGAAUACUUCACAAUCAUAAAUGGACAUUUAUAUUCAUCACCUACUGAUAAGAAAGGUGUGUUAAAAAAUCAAAUCCCAGCAUACCUGCAGAGUAGACUGGGCAAAUAGAAUGCCAAAAGAAGCUUUCACUAUCUCCCAAACAUUGUUGUCACAAGAUUCUCUGCUUGCUGGCUCCCAUAUAUUUGCAAGCGUAAUUCUAGGCAGAAAAUUUGGCCUGAAGAGAAAGCAGAAUAUACUUCUUAAAUUCACCUAUAUUCAAUGAUCAAGUAUGGAAGUAAGCAGAACAAAUUAACAAGUGAAACACUAUUCAUAUAUACUAAGCAAUAAUUUUAAUAGAGAUAUAACGAACUUCUUUCAAGGAUUAUAUUUAAAAAAUGAUAAAUAAGGGCGACAGCAGUACUUAUGGAAUGCUGAUGAGUUGCAAGGAUGUACGCAAAGAAAAAUGAGAAUGUGGAAUAGGCUUCGAAGAAUGUGCAAGUUUGCGGUAAGCACAUGGUUAAGGCAUUCUCAGUGAAACCAUGGGCUAUUACUAGCGUGGAAACAGAUUGCCAAAGAUGAUGUAAAAGUUAGAUGUGCCCCUAAAAUAGCAUAUGGAAACCAGCAUCUACUCGGAAUCUAACCUCACAUAGCCUUCAGAUUGUUUUGUUUCAGUAUCAGAUUUCAGCGUUGCUUCUGGCAAAGAUGGAAUUAAUCCUGUCCAUGUAAGCACUCUCCUUAGGAGUCUGCCGCGAGGGCCGACAGGUGACAGAAAUCCUUCAUAACGCGAGACUGCCCUUUGUGCAGCAAUCCAAAUAGGAAGGUCUGCAUCUGGUAAUUGAUCUGGCGUAAGUUUGCCCCUAGAAUAGUUUUCUAUCAACAGCAGUGAAUUCUCUGCAUAAGUUUGCUCUUUCAGCCAGAGCUUCAAUUUGUCAAUCCAGAUCUGAAAUCCCGGGCUCCCUGUUGAUUUUUUCAAAGCCUGGCAUGAACUAAAAUAAUCACAUACAAUUAGCUAAGAGUGGUAUAGGCAUGCUGAACCAUAGAAGUAACAGGUCUAGCACUCAUUAUGAGCUCAGACAAGAGAAUAUAGUGUGAAUAUCAGCGCAUUCGGCGUUUCCUAGUCAUGUAGGAAACUUCACUACACAAAUUACCACUAUACGUUUAUGCUAGCCUAACUUGAAUAUUCUUGACAGUUCAGUUCAUAACAAUCUAAGAGAGUACAUGUAUAAGUGAGUUCAGUCAGAGACAGAGCGUGACUAAACGAGGUACGUCGGAAUGCGAUUAAAUUUGAGGUGAUCAAGACAUAAUAAAUGUGCUCAAAUGGACUGUCAUGAGGGGACUGACCUCAUUGGUCCAUUUCCCCAGUUUCCCCAAGGGUUUGGAAAGGCUGAAGAAAAUUUUCUGCAACAACUUGGACUGUAGGUAAUCAAGUUUUUCUACCAGUAGUAGGCCUUUCUGGCUCUCGGUUGAGUACCCACGCCUGCCAAGGUCAAGAGUUAGUUGUAUCUGCGGCCAUAUGGGCAGUAGAUAAUCCAGGACCAAACUAAAAACUCACCGGAAUAUGAUGGCGUUAGACUCGGCUGCCUUUUUCCAAUCGACGUAAACCGGCAGCGUCAGGAGGUAAUCGCUGUUGAGGGAGUAUGUGAGGAGCAGGUCCUGUGCGGAGAGCUCCUCAAACUGAGCGUUGCGCAGGAGGCUCAUGAAGGCGCGCUGGAAAUGAGUCGCAAAUGCAACCCUUUUUGUUAUCAUCACACAAGCGAUGGACCAUGGUUAGCUAAGCUAGCUAGUAGCAGUUGUACCAAUUUCAAUUGGUUGGCCAAAAGAGAAUCAGACUGGGUUUCACUACCUGGUUGGAGAAACAGGGGCGGGGCCCGGGGAUAGGCCGAGCAGAGUCUUCCAGUCCAGGCUUCUGGACAGAAAUGACAUCCUGCCGUCGUCGUCGUCGCCGUCCUGGGACAUGCCAAAGAGCCCGGAGCCCCUGCCGUUCACUGUCGGCUGGGCACCGCCGGAGGCCGCUGAGGAGGUCUGGCCUUGAGCCUGCUCGUCCUCGUCGUCCCGGAGCAUGUAGUAGGCGCGCAUCUGCUCGAGCGUCUCCUUGUGCUCCGCGUGCAGGACCGCGUCCAAGCACCUGCAGCGCACGACCAAGAUUGCGUGAGUUUCCCCAUUCCGUACCUGCCGAUUCCAGAAUCGUAUCAUGUGGAGGUAGAGGGGGAAGGUGCUGGCCUCGCGAAUCUCCUGAAGUCCUCGGCGGCGGCGGGCUGGGCGGGGAAGAGGGAGAGGGCGGCGUCGAGCAGCGCCGCCUUGGGGACGGCGAUGUAGCGCUGGCGCGGCACGUUGAUGCCGCCCUUCUUCCCCUCCUGGUCGUCCUCCUCCUUCCCGCCGUGCUCCUUCUGCGGCUGCGGCUUCGUCUGGUAUUGAUCCUCGCCGUCGGCGGUGGCCGGGCCGGCCUGGAAGAAGUCGGGGUCGGGGUCGGCGUCGGCGUCGGCGUCGGCGCGGAGGGGCUCGAACUGGACCGGCGAGAGGUUGCCGACGGAGCAGCGGGCCGCAGGGGAGAAAGAGGACCUGUUGGUAGCGUAGGCCGGCGUCGUCGCGGCGAAGAAGGAGGAGAUCGGGACGGCGCUGGCUGCCGCCGGCGCCGGGCUGGCGCGUAGCAGAAGCAUGGUCGUCUCGUGGGUCGCGCGCGAAGGGAAAGGAACGGAACGGGUGGCGCGGCAAGGAUAACGCCCCCGCGGUGGCGCGGCCCGCCACGUGGGGCAAUUCCUCCUGCUGGGCCUCGGCCCGUGGGCCCAUCGCAUCCGCACGAAAGGCCCGAGUCCAGGGGCACGAUCCACUGAGUCCACACCCACAUCCGCCUCCUCCUCCUCCCCUGCUCUGGUGAUCUGCGCUGCUCCGGUGGUCUUCGCCGCCACGGUAUGCGCCCCUUCCCCUUCUCCUCGACUGCUCCGUGCCCCUGCCGUCCCGUCCCCUCCCCGCUUCCUCCUCACCUCAACCAGCCGCGCCGCACUCUCAACCCUGCCACGGUCGCCGGUUUCGUCUCCGGCGCGGUGGCCGCGCGCUCCUCUCCUUGCCCCUCGCCGCCGUAUGCGGUCGCCGGAACCUACAAGAACUAGAGCACAGGGCCCGCUGCCCUCGGCCAAGGCGCCGACCGGAUCUGUAGCUACCUCCUCUGCUCCUGCUAUGUGCACUGCAUUACCGCAACCGAUUGCUAGUGACUACUCUAUAAACGAGUCCAGAAUUAGCCCAUUUCCCUUACUGAUUACACACUUCGCUCGCUCGCUUGCUGUAACAUUGCCAUCACCACGGACAACACUGCCAAUUCUAGAAUCAGACCGCACAGUUUCCAGUACAGCGUACAUCUCUAAUUUGGUUGCAAUGUCGGCUAACUGAACCAAGCUUCAGGAUCUCAAAUAGAGCCCCACAUUUUCACACGUUCCACAGCACAACUUUUAUUCAGGCCAGUGCUACAUAUUACACUCAUACCCUGUUAUAGGUGAAUCAUAUCUUUUCUUAGACUGUUAGGCCAAACACAAUCAGGCUGUAUGCUUUGCUUGCCCGUUUACUUUGCCAGUACCUGUCCGGCUGUUCCUUUUACCAAUCCUGUCAUGCAUACAUCUGGCGUAACGAUGGUCUGCAUUUCCUCUUUGCUGCAGUGUCUUAUACACGCCUGGAGCGGAACUCAUGAGCGGGGGCACCGCAGUUAGUGCCAGCCUGCGGACAGCCCUGUCGUACUGCGUCCAGCAGGUCCGGAGCUAUGACUACCACAACUACCUCUGCCUGCUCCACCUGCCGCCCGCGAUGCGCAAGGCCGCGUUCACCUUCCGGGCCUUCAACGUCGAGACGGCCAAGGCCAUGGACGUCGUCUCCGACCCCCGCAAGGGCCUCAUGCGCCUCCUCUGGUGGAAGGAUGUGGUCGACAAGGUCUACGCCAACAAGACGGUCGAGCACCCUGUCGCCCUCGCGCUCUCCUCGCUCCUCUCCGAGCAGAAGGUCAGCAAGCACUGGCUCAAGCGGUCGCUGGAGGCAAGGAUAAACGACGGGAACCGGGACGACGACGCCAUUCCUGAGAACAUCCCGGAGCUGGAGAGGUACGCGGAGGACACCCAGUCGACCAUCCUGUACAUGACGCUGCAGGCUGGUGGGAUACAGUCCACUAUUGCUGAUCAUGCCGCCUCGCACAUCGGUAAGGCCAGUGGGCUGCUGCUGCUGCUCAAGGCGCUGCCUCACCAUGUGAGCAAGCAAGGGAAGAUACCGUACAUCCCGGCCAGUGUGGCCGAGGAGUGCGGGCUGCUUGCACGGGAGGGUGGCCGGACAGAGGUCAGGAUGGGCGAUGCGCUCCCGGAUGCAGUUUUCAAGGUUGCGUCUGUUGCCGAAGCUCACCUGCAGAAGGCACGGGAGCUGGCAGCGUCUGUGCCAGCAGAGGCGGUUCCCGUGCUCCUUCCAGCCGUGCCGGCCCAGGUCCUUCUGGACUCCCUGAGGCGCCGAGAAUUCAACGUCUUCGACUCGCGCUUGUCUAGUGGAGUCCAUGGCAUAUCCCCUCUGUGGUACCAGCUAAAGCUAAACUGGCAUGCGUGGCGAAACAAGUACUGAAUUCAUCCAUACUGUGCGAACCGUGUUUGUUGAAAGCGCAGGUCAGCGUGCGUUUUAGCUCAGACUGAACCCAGGGUAUCCAUUUACUGGAAUGUAAUAAGCUUGAUAAUGAAGAAAGGCUCUGCUGCCUGCUCCAACUGGCUGUUUCUGAGCAAUUUUGAUAAUUGAUAUAGCUUCCUUUUUCAUUGGAUACAUGCAUUGUUGGGGGUUGUUUGUUUUGUUUGUAUUCGAGUAUAGACAUGAGGUGGAUGAAUGUUAUCUGUUGCAUUUGUCCUUUCAGUUGUUGCUUGUCCAGACUGUUCCAAUACAAGGGGGGGUCGAUGGAUCAUCUGGAUGUGGGGCUUGAGUUGUUGCACUGCCAUAGUUCAAUAUUCAGUGACCUCUGUUUCAGGAAAAUAACCCAAGAGAGAAAGGGUUUGGCAUCUACACUGAGAUGAAUUGACAAGGAUAUGAAGCUGAUACUUUAACUCCAUUUGUGCAAGCUUCAGAUGUGUGGAGCCCACUAUGAAGGCAUAAGGCAGAAGUCAUGAUCACCUUCAUUUUGAUCUCGGGUUUUCAGGUAAUGAAGAUAUGCGUGGCUAAGGAUCUACUCAUAUGUCUUGAUUGCCGUAUUGGUACUGUGAAUUCUGUUAUAAGAUAAUCAGGCUGGCUAACAUUUUUUAGCAUAUUAAAUACUGGUUGCUAAUGAUUUGGUAUAGAAAAUUGUUGCAAGCAAUGUACAUACAUAAAGAAAACAAGUUCCUCAUUGUACCAAAAACUAGUGCCUAUCUCAGCUUCAUAUUUGGCUUUCGGCAACUGUUUUUUUUUUUUUGACUUCCUUAUGUUAGUCACAGUUAGGUAGGGUGGCACAUCGUGCUUUCUUUCUAUGUUUUUUCUGUUUACAUGUUAUUAUACUCCAAGAGGAAAGAAACCUAAAUAGAAGCAAGUUUGGCUCGUGGUCUGAUCAUGCUCCUUGCACUGUGCUUCAACUGUUGUUGGAUUCAUUGCUCCCCUGUUUUUCUUACUACUUCUUAUCCCUUCUCUGGUGACUGAAUUUUUACAGAUUGGUCCAAAGUCCAAAUUUGCAAUCAAUUAAUACUUUACUCUUGCUGCAAAAACCUUAACAUUGAUGUUUCAGCAGCUGCUUGACCUGCUGUUUAUUGCCUCCUUUUUAUGCAGCCUUUCUUGACGACAAAAGGAAUUCCCACCAUUAUUUACAUUGCAGCUUUUCGCUUCUUUUCAUGACCAGAACCGCUGUAAAGUUUGACAGUUAUAUUACCAGUCAACAGGAUAUGUCUUAAGAAACUUGGCAGAUAAGUGACCUGAGCAAAUUCUUGCAGUUCAUGAAUUUAGCUGCAACAAAACUCAGUUUUGCAAUGCUCGUGGGAUAUUAUAUUUUUUGCAGAAACUCUAAUUUUAACACGUCUAGUUCAGAAGAUGCUUCUUAAUUAUUUUAUUUGAUAUCUCUUGGCUAUAUUCUUCUUCUGAAGUUGAAAAGGCUAUGCAUUCUAGCUUUUGGCAUUUGGCAAGGCAACUGAAAUAAACAACUAGCUAUGCGACCACAUCUUAUUUGCCACUUUGAGGUUUGGAUAAGCUCAGCACUAUGCACGAGAAGUCAACAAAGUAAGUAGGCAAGUUGCAAACCUUGGGGUUUUAGGGACAAACACCUGUGCUCAAUGCUUAAAAGUAACUCAACAUAGCCCUUUUUCCAUUGGGACCUUCACCCCUGCUUUUAUUCUGGGUGUUUGGUCCCUGGUGGAGUAAACAGCAAUCACUGGAGGAAGAAGCAUUGUCCCCUUGCUUGCUGGUUGGCUCCACUCCACAUGCAUAUGCUUGCUUUGCCCCUGCCUUAGUAGUAGCAAUAGCAGUAUAUUAUUGCUUGCUUCUGGCUGGGCAAUGGCCUUCAUGUGUGGUUGGGUCUAUGCCCAGCUCAACUCAUGAGUAUACUGCAUUUGCUGCCUGGUCCUGGGUGCUGUAUGUAGGCAUGCCAUAGUAAUUUGAUUUCCUGGCAAGGAACAAAAGGCAAUUAUUGUUGCAUUUGCUGCCACUGUAGAUGGUAGCGGAGUGCGAUGUUCCCGAUCUCGGCAGCCUGGUUUCGACCUGGACGAAUCACUGAGAGAUUUUUCUUUACAUGGUAUUUCAGCCUGUGCUGUUUUGAAUUAACCCAUCCAUGAAUCUGAUCUGGCGUCAAAUUUCAGGUUAACUGACGAAGCUUUCAGAGACCCUGAUAAUAGCAAACAAUAAUUUUUGCAAUAAUAUAUUUUAUGUGCAAAUAUAUAUACCGUUUUGAUAUGCUGUACUCAAUAUUUUCCUGUAGUGUGUCACAUCAGGAAACACAUAGGAAAUGUGAUGUGUACUCACGCAGGCAUGCAGGGCUUGACAUCACCCAGGAAAAAGUAGAAAUGGAGUAUGCUUGCAGUCUGGUAGCUUCUUCCUUAAGCUUCGGUCAAAAGGUUAGGGGAACAUGUGCUCAUAAGCUCAAUCAUUGCACUAGGUUAUUAGCUUGGAGUUAGGACUAACCUAAGCUAAUGGCAUUUGGAAAGGAUCACCGGUAGUCCGUAGUUCUUCUUUGGCUUAGCUCGGUCCACAUGCCCCAUGUAGAGAACAGAUUGAGUUGAACUUUUUGUCUUCUCUGUUUUUUCUAAGUUGUAAUCUGUCGAUGAUUCUUGAACCAGACUUUCCAAUAUUUCAUUCAUUUUUGUUGUUCUGCAGAUGUAAACUACAGCUGUUUCGCCGCGACAAGUAAAAAUUAUGUGAAGCAAGCUGGACAAUAGCAAGGAGCGAAAAUGGCAUCUUGAUCUGAACUGGGUGGCCUGCCCUGUGGAUCUCAGUGCUUCAAUUAAUUACCGAGACAGGAGGAAUAAAACGGGGCGGUCUUGGCAAAUGGUGGAUCUGCCGCAUUCAUCAUUCCGUGAUACACAUGGGAUGAGCACAAUAAUGAUGUAAGUACCUGGAUCAUUUUAAUUCCCUUUCACUGCAAUUGCAUAUAGCUUCUCUAUUUGUUUUGCUUGGGAGCAAAAGGCCAUAUAUAUGUGCAUCAUUGUUGAGAUACUAUUAUAUUUUGCACGCGAGAGAUAUGCAGUGUGAAAACAGCAUAGUAGAAGCAAAGAUUAGUUAGGAAGAUCCGUAGAAUGGCUGCAUGCAUGAUGGGUCCUCACAUGAGAGCUUUCACGCAGGCAUCAUUUUAUCUUCCUCUGCAAACAAACAUCACCAUCUCCCAUCUGUCCCUCCCUCCUCACUUAAUUAUUCGCCCCCCGCCCCCCUCAUCUCAUCCUCUCGAGUCCCUGCCUUUUCCACACCAUCUUUUCAACCUCAUACACGCGCGCAUAAUUAUAUCAUAUUGUGUUCCCCCCGGCUUUCUUCUCCUCUGACAUUCCGGUCAGUACGCUUCAUGCAUGUGUUCCAUCAUGCCCGCUGCUUCGCACAAGCUGAGCAGCACUGAGUGGUGAGAGGUGAGAUUGCGGUGCGUGCAUGGCUUGCGGUCAAGUAUAGGGUUCGUUCUUGCAUGCACUAUAUAAGCCAGGCAGUCGGCCAGCCGGAAGUUAAGUUGGUGGGAGGCAAUGCAUGUCAUUGCUGCUCUUAUGCGUGUUUGCCAUCCUCUUAAAGCAGUGGCUGGGAAGCAUGCAUACAUCCCCUGCUUCGCCGGUACCACGCACUCAGGGCCGUAAGCGGUCGCUGUCGAUCUCAUCUCGGGCUUUCUGGCUUGUCUCUAAUGCUGCCAUCUACAUGGUGCUUCAGCAUCAUCCUUGAGCCAUAAUCACCAGCUUGUUAUAUGUGGUAGGUGAGUUCCGUAUAUGCAUUACUGUUCUUCCCUUAUUGCCACGUCGUUAGUUAGCCUGGUUAAUAUGUGUGGGCUUGUGGUUGACAUUUCCUCUCUUUUUUCAUUCUUCUCCAGACAGUCAUUCCUUUACCUCUAGCUCUUUUUGUCGAAAAACACUUCGCCUUUGUGGCUCAGUAUACAACCAGCCCAGGGCCCUAUAGAUUAUAUGCUUUGCUUUUUAAACCCAUUUGUUACCUUUGUAAGUUGCUGUUUGAAUGUCUCAUGAAACAAGAGCGACUGUUUUCCCUGAGUGGUAGAGCUACCUUGUUCCUAUUAACAUAAAGUACGUGUGAUGUAGAUAACUAGUUGGACUUGGACAGAAGAUUUUUAGUACCUGUCAUUCCAGGCUGAGCUAUAUAUAUCUGAAGACAUUAUCACAGAUAAUUUCAUAGUAAGCAGUUCUAUAGGUCAUUCCUGUCAAAUAUAUGAUGUCAAGUUUAGUUAGUUUUCUUCUCUCUAGCAUACCUAUCCAACAUGAUAUAACGGGACUGUUCUGUAUCAUGAUCUGGAGAAAUUCUUCCAUGCAUGUCUGUUUUCUUCUCCAGUAUGUUCCUUAUGAUUGAACUUAACCGCCUCGCUGAUCUAAGUCGUGUGUUUCUUUACUCAUUCCCUGCGACUAUAACGCCAUGUUGAGUUUCUGUUGUCUACAUGCUUUUGGCGUCAGUUAUUUGCUAGUACCCAGAAGUAGCAGAGACCUACAUUUCGUCGCUGAUUCUGUGAGUUAUUUCAGGACUUUGACAUAUAGAAUGUUUGAUCUAUAAGUGUUUAUUUAUUUAUUUAGGUACGAUCGUAGCAAAGUAGAACAUAGCCUGUAUCAAACUAGCUAGAUAAAACAAUGUGAAGAACAUGUGGGACUAACAUUUCAGGCCCAUGCAUUACUAACUGUUGAAGUUAAGACUUCAUAUAAUAUAUGCACCCCAGGGACCUAGAUAAUUUUCUUGGUGGUCCUCGUGAACACACUUUUUUUAAGCAAGCUAGCUACCAUUAUACGUAUAUAUAAUCAAAUAUACAGCAUGCAUGUAAUCAUAAAUACUUCAUCCCAUAGCCCUUUGUUUCUGUAAAAGAAUUAGCUGAUGAUGAACUAAAUGCAUACUCAUAUGCACCCAUAUAGAGAAGAAUGAUGGCUCACCCUUCAGACCACAGAGGGAGAAUGAUUAGUCAUACUUAUUAAGAUUAAGUAAGUGUUUACGUUAUUUACAUCUUUGCCUAAUUUAUUUGAAUGUAAUAUUGGUGUCUUAUGUGAUCUAGUUAUUCUGAACAAUCUUUGCUAAAUUAACUGGAAGAUCUUCACGUUGUCAUUUGUACUUGUUAUUGUGAAAGUACUAGAAACAUGUAAGGCUAAACAUCUUCUUAGCAGUCUGCUGAAUAUUUUUGUUCUCUGACAUGAGGCUUAUAGCAACGGGCAACAAAUGUAGAACUAAAUGUCAUGUUAUAAAAAUGAGCACAGUUGGUGUUCGAGCAUAUAUAUUGGCACAACUGGGCAUAUGGCUAUCAAGUUCGUUGAAAUACCAACAGAUUAAAAUUCCAGAAUUGAACUGCGUUGCCUUCUACAAAUCAUAAUUCAUGAAGCCUUUAUGUUCUCCAUGAUAUUAUUUCAUAUAUAUAGCAACACAGAGAUAUGUAAUUGUAUAUUUAGUACAAUGUCCCCUGAAGCACGUAAGCAGCACAACACUACACACAGCAUAUGUAAUAGUCUUAUUUACACGGCGUUAUGUAACUCAAAAUACUUAUCUGUCCAAUAAUUGAUAUAUGAUCAUCAUCCUUAUUGUAACUCCUUAAUAUAAUAAUUAUAGAUGGGAUGCUAGUAUAUCCGAUUGGUGCUGCUGCUCAUCACUUCCAUGGAUCAACUUGACUGCUCGAUGUUGAGGUCGACGCGUAAUCAGUUGCUACCUCUUGCACCUUCUCGUUGAGCUGAAGAAUGUCUCCUUCAUGAGCAUAAUCGACACCCUUGGCUGCAUCGUUACUAAGCUGAGAUGCAACGAACUUGUCCAGAACUCUCCAGUCGGUGGCAGCUUGGUCGUCGACGGCAUGGUCAAUAAGUUGAACAUGGUGGUGCUGGGCAUGGUGCACAUUGAUCUGGUGAUCGUCUUGCGAUACCAAAAGAGAGUGGAAGGAAGAAGGGCUCUCUAGCUCGUGAGGAAUGGUGUUGAGAACAUGAUGAUGGUUUGGCAUUUGGUACUGUAGCUUCAGCUCUCUCUUGUAGGUGUUGUUGAGCAUCUGGAGGUGCUGUUCUUGCAGCGCCAUGCUGUGAUGAGGCGGCAUUCNNNNNNNNNNNNNNNNNNNNNNNNNNNNNNNNNNNNNNNNNNNNNNNNNNNNNNNNNNNNNNNNNNNNNNNNNNNNNNNNNNNNNNNNNNNNNNNNNNNNNNNNNNNNNNNNNNNNNNNNNNNNNNNNNNNNNNNNNNNNNCCAUUCCUCUCAUCGGAGAAUUUAGAUCAUGCAUGAAGGGCCCAUCGUCAUCAACAUACCAGCAUGGUGCAUCAUGGUCUAAAUCUCUUCUUGUUGUGGGCAAUCUCUUCUUGAACACCCUGCAUACUACCCAUCCUUCCUCCUGAAAUUUACAAAAUUAAUUAGACUAUAUUAAUCUGUUGAGUAGCAGCUUGCAGGGUUUAUAUUCGAGUCAAGAUUGAUGGAACGAGAUCGAUGUAUAUAAAAUGGAGAAGCUAUAGACUUACCUGUGGAGGGCCAUUCUCAUUGGUCUCGAGGCGGUACUCGUGCAUGAUCCAAUCGGAUUUCUGGCCAUUGGGAGCUCUGCCCUUGUAAUACACCAGGGUCUUCCUCAUGCCAACCAGACAGUGCUUUGCAUAGAUGGGCUUGUCCCUCCCCGUCGCCUUCCAGAACCCCGCCGCGGUCGCACGGUUCGUCCUGGUCCCGGUCGGGUACUUCUUGUCCUUGUGGCUGAAGAAGUACCAGUCGCUCUGCUCCUCCUCAGGCCCUAUCCUGCAUUUCUCUAUACACAAAUGAAUGUAAGCUAAAUCGGCAAAACCAUAUUCGAAAAUCCAAUUCGGCUCUUGGGAGCAUAUGCCCUGCGUACCAAACAUAUUAAUAUUUUUUGUCAAGACUCAAGACUACAUUAAGUUGUCGUUGCUCACUGGACUGCAUUACUAUAUUAUUGUGUGUGUNNNNNNNNNNNNNNNNNNNNNNNNNNNNNNNNNNNNNNNNNNNNNNNNNNNNNNNNNNNNNNNNNNNNNNNNNNNNNNNNNNNNNNNNNNNNNNNNNNNNNNNNNNNNNNNNNNNNNNNNNNNNNNNNNNNNNNNNNNUGUGUGUGUGUAAUAUAUACCUUGGCUGCAUUUUUAUAUUAUUGUGUGUGUGUAAUAUAUACCUUGGAGAUCCCAUGGCUCUAUCUUGUAGAGAUCAACAUCCUUGAUGACGUUUAGGUCGAUCCUCCUCGAGGCCACCUUCUUGCGGAGGUAGUAAUCCACAAGCUCCUCAUCGGUUGGGUGGAAGCGAAAACCCGGAGGAACCUGUGGUUGUGUGCUGCCACUCAUGUCGUCCGAUCGAUCGGUGUAUAACUAAACCUGCAAGGUGUAUGAAAAUCUAGUUACAGUCUAAUUAAUUGUAUUAUUGUAUUAUUGUGCCAUGUGUGUAGAAAUGAAGCAUGCAUGCAAUGCAGAUGACAGCAAAAGAUCAGAUCAGGAAACAUAUUGCCCAUCUAUACACGUAGGCAUGCAUGCCUGUGUUAAUUUAACUGAAUUCGAUGGAGAUCGAGCAGGCAAGCAUGCCUAGAUGUGUCUUGUGUGGGAAGCGUGCAUGUGAUAAUGGACGGGUGAAAAGUAGUGGUAAUGCUGGGAGAAAGCAUGAUCAUUUGUGUGACGCAUGCAUACUACACAUGCUGAGAGGCAUCACUCAUUGCACCUUGUGGAAUGUUCCCCGGCUUCUACUGCUCAAAGGUAGAUCUCAUCAUGCAUGCAUGUAUGUAUGUUUGUCCCUGAUCUAGCUAACUACUUGUAUAGUGAACUUAUAUAUGUCUGUGCUACUUGUAUUUGCACUUGAAUUACUUUGUACAUAUAUAGUUGGGUAAUAUAUAAGCACUUGUAUUAGCUUAGGUCCCAGUCAAGGUGCUCAUGGAUCUAUGAUCAUAUGUGCUAGCUAAAUAGCUAGCUGGUGGGCAUGAUUUAUACUUGGAUCAGAUCUAUUAAUUUGGAGGAGGCAUUUAGCACCCAUGGUGCAUGGAUGUAUAUGUAUAAUGUUGUAAGUCCGCAUACACAUGGUCAUGUGCAAGGGAACAUGCAUGCAUAUACUCCUUCCGCUCCAUAAUUCUUGUCGUGGUUUCAGUUCAAAUUUGAACUAAAACUACAACAACAAUUAUAGAGCGGAAGGAGUAUAUCCUUAUUCAUUUAAUUACAAACAUUUCUAGUUUAAAUAAAGUAGGCAUGCACACACAUCAUCUCGACAUGCAUGUACUUACAAGAGAUACAUCGAUCAGUGUGUUAUAGUAUAUGAUAAUACGAUUCCUUUCCAGAAGAAUUUACAUGUAUAUGUAUGUACUUCUCAUCACAAAGGAAUCUUAAGCAUAGAUUAUGUAGCAAAGCAAAACACAUCAUAUCCAUUCUCCACAACAAAAUAAAACAUACAGACAAACUAUAUCCAUCCUCCACAAGAAAAUAGAACACACAAACACAGUAGCUCGUAGCUGAUCACACAAAUUUUGUAAUCAAAUAUGUAAAUGAUAUCUAUAUAUGCAUGUGCGCUAGAUUGAACUUGGAUUUCGUCAACACAAAAAGUUAACAAAUAAAUUACUCAUAUGUAGAUAUAAGUUCCGACAAAUGAUAAGUCCAUAUUGAAGAAGCAGAUGCAAUCCAUUAAAUGUAUGAAACUCUUGCGUAUGUAGGCACCAUGUAUUAAUUCUACUCCCUCCGUUCCUAAAUACUUGUCUUUUUAGAGAUUUUUCACUGCGGACUACACACGGAUGUAUAUAGACAUAAUAUAGAAGAUAUGUUAAUUCAUUUUGCUCUGUAUGUAGUCCGUAGUUGAAUCUUUAAAAAGACAAAUAUUUAGUAACGGAGAGAGUAUGAAUUAAUAUUAGUGUGCUAGUAAUAUAUGUUGCAUCUGUGAUCAAUUUUCGCGUACUGAUCGAACAUAACAUCUCUACUUAUCUCCCUAUCAUAUAUAAAUAAGAGUUGCUUAUAUCGAUCUAGGGUUCCAGGGAAGACAUGUUUUCAGGAUAACUCAAUAUAUGUCUAGGUUUUAUUUAUACCUCUGUUUGAUCAGUCGAAAUCAGUGAGACGCGUGAUGGAACCUUGUAGAGAAAAACCCAGAGAUCUGUCUAGCUAGCUAGCAGGAGCAGGGAUAUAGUAGCUAGUAGACAGGGAUGAGCUUUUUGUCUCCAGGCUUGUCUCUCUGAUCUGCCUUUCUGAUCCUUAACUCAUUGUCUGGCUCAGAUCCCAAGAAGAAUGUCGACGACGACCACAGAGAAGAGCACGCGCACACAACACAAACAAUAACAAACAACAUCAGAGAGAGUUCAAGAACCUUGAAGGACAACAAGACAAACUAAUUAAGAGCAACAAGAGCUGAGAUGCAUCUAGGUUAGCUAAGCCAGCUCCUCUCCAAAGUACAUGAAGAAAAGAACAUCAUCAAGGCUGAGCUCGAUCGUACAUAUACCUGCUGCCUAGCCUCGAGUGUUCGUCGUCGAUCGUGCGAUCUGCGUGCACCCUCCAGAAGAGUUCUUGGCUGCUUCUUCCUCCUCUGCCGCCUCCCUCCCUUGAUCCUGCUCAGAAGGUAGCUGCUGCAGAGAGGAUGGAGGGAGAGGGUUUGCAGCUUGGUCGAGGAGAGAGAGAGAGAGAGUGGGGGAACGGGACGGGAACGGGGUUGAUAAAUGUAUGGGGGCAGAACGGGAUAGGAUGAUCAGAGGAAGGAAAAGCUUAGCACAAGGAUUGAAUAAUCUAUGGCCGCCAUGGAUCGAUCAGUUGACAGGCAUGCAGGCAGCUAAAGGUAGCUAGUAACAAGAUUAAUAUCCAACCAUCGGGGCUAGGCAGGGAUCGAUCCGAUGAACCGCGGAGGAUCGAGCCGAGCUGCCUGGCUAGGGUGAAAGGGAGGGCAAUGGUGGUGGUGGCGAGUGAGUGAGGGAGAGAGAGAGAGAGGGUCGAGGUGGAGAAGAAGAAGACGUAGGAGAACAGCGACCCCCUGUGGCCCACACGCAAUGCUAGAAAAGAAAGAGGAGGGAGGGAAAGGGACCCGACCACCCACCAAACAAAUCCCUCCCGUCCACCCUUGUUGCCUCGCGCCAUCAUUCCCCUCCUUUCCCAGUUUCUUUUCAUAAAAAACUUCCUCCUCCAAAAGGCCAAUGCCAAUUGCGACACUGCUCCCCUCCUCUCUUCUAGGGUUUGUGGCUAGCUUGAUCCCUCCAUCUCCCUAGAACAAGUGUGAUGGAUACUACAGGUAGCUAGUACCAUUCUACUUCCUAUGGCCAUAAACCGUAAGGCGCUCUUAUAUGCUGAGGUUCGACUUCCACCGUCAGUUUGUAGUUCAACAAUGUGUAGGUUAUAUAUGUGUACCACCAAAUUUAAAUUGGUGAAUAUGCAUUAAUUUGGGAAAAAUUUCAAUGGUAUGAUCGACUGGAUACGCAACCUUAUGUUGUGGGUUUAACCGCGAUGGGCAAAGUUAAAUCCCGAAACUCGAUAUUUUAGGGUAGGGGAGUCCAAACGUAGUAUGAAAAGAAUUGGAGGAACGUAUCUUAAGGGUAGGACUUAGCUAUACCUCGACCAACAUGGGUAUGUAAGUCUAUUCUUUGCAAGAUAAUGACAUUUAUACUCCUAUGAUGAUGAGCCCGACUUUCGCCCGCCGUAGACCGAUCCCUCAAAAUACUCGUGUGAUGAGUACUCGAUCCGCCGCGCGAUCUCAUGUCUGCACAAUGAAAGAGAUGUUUUCGCGCCUUUACCGUGAUCGAGAUCCCUUUCUUAAUUACCCAGAUCUUUUGUUUGAAACCAACGCCUCGAAAUUUCUUUUUUAUGCAUAACAUAAAGUUGAAAAUAUCGUUGUUAGCUUGACUCCAAUAUCUACGACUAUCGGCAUUGACAAUUGAUGAUAUAUAUGGUUAUUUUUAACAAGAGUCUAAUAUAACUGCAUGAUUCAUAUACAUGCCAAGUAGAUAGAAAGCUAGGCAUGCAGGUAGCAAUCUCAUGCGUGAUAAGUGUUCAUGUCCCUCCUCAUUACAUCCAUCGUCGUCUCUGGGUAUAGCCCCAUCGUCAUCCCACGUACCUGCCCUACCUAGGCUGUAUAUGUAGAGCAUAAUGUGUGGGUCAAGCUUAGCCUGGGGGAUGUAAAUAAUCAUGUGCUUGUCCCUAUGCAUGACACUGAUCAUUAGUGAUGAUGCAUGGUUCAUGAUCUACCGGGCCGGCCGGCAGGUGCAUUACAGCAUUAGUUUGUACGUACAUCAUCGGUAGAGUGAUAGGAGACGAUGAAGACCACAAAUGGCUAGAGCCCCAUGUACAUGGAUAGGCAUCGAUACCACAAACUUUGAUCAUAUAGAGUUGAUUGCCACUAUUAUUUCUAUCGAAAUGAAAUUAUCGCACCCGGUCUCCGCAUACACGCAGAGUGAAAUACUACUAGAACUGCAAGUAUUAUAACAGUUUAAUCUUCUCAAAUUUUCCAUUGAUUUUUUUAAAAUACUCCAUCCAUUUCUUUUUACUCCGCGUAUUAGAUUUAUCUGAAGUCAUAGUUUGUGAAGUUUGAUCGAAUUUAUAUUUAAAAAAUUAAUGACUACAAUCUCAGAUCAGUAUAAUAUAAAGAUAUAUUUUAUGAUGGAUCUGACAGUAUUGAUUUUGUAUUUUGAAUAAUAAUAAUAAUUUUGUAUAAAAUUGAUCAAACCCUGGGAAGUUUGACACCAUACAAAUCUAAUACGCGGAGUAAAAAGAAAAGAAGGGAGUAAAAACCAUCAUAUAUGUACAUAGAGUGUGCAGUGAAACAUAUGCCUAUGACUUUUUUAAUUAUGGUGAUUUACUGCCCGUGCUAAAACAAUUCAAUUAUUUACCUUAACUUUUGGACAAAUAGCGAAGAAUCAUACUAUGUACCAAAAGUUUAUGCUCAUGAUCUUCGCCCCAUAUAUUGCAUGCACGUGUGCUUUAUUUUUUAAAUAACGUAAAACAACCUUGUAGGGACAACAAUUUUAUCAUUCUAGAAACUAGUCGGCGGGUAAGGUGCUUCAAGAUAUGAUGUUUUUAGUGAAUUAAGUGGGUCCAAAAGAAUUUGAGGAGAAAUGCGAGCUAAGCCAGUAGCUAAGUUGUUGUACUACGGGUAAUUAACUCUAAGAAAACUCUGAAAUAAAAGAGAAGACAACUUUUCAUGAGAAAGCUAGUUUCAUCACAAGUUUUCCCCUUCUGAAAAUUGUAAGUGAUAGAUCGUGCACGCAGGCCCAGCUGGGAGAAGUGUGUAGGAGAAUACCACAUUCCUGGCUUGCAUCAAAAAGGUAUAAAAGCUGGUAUUUCUUACAAGAUUUUUUUGAAUAUGGAAGUGAUAGACCAUGCAUGAGAAGAGCAAGUGGGGUACUGCCGGAGAAGUGUGUAGGGGAAUACAUUCUUGGCUUGUGCGAGAAAGGUGGCAUGUUGCAUUCAUUCCCUCCAACACCGCCCCCAGGCCAUGACAGGCGUGAGCUUCAUCCGAUGAUUAGCCUCACCCGGUCAGCCACCACAUUCUUUAUCCCGCUGGCCCUCCCUCCUUUCGUUUUUUGCACGCCCCUUGUGCGCGUGAUGCAUCCUGGUGCGUGGCAUCUCCACAUUUUUGCUGCUGAGUUUCUACCCAACAUGAAGCUAGGGUGAUUACGUAUGUUUGAAUGUUUCUCUCUAUGCUCUUGUUUGUCCAACUCCGGGAAUGGGUCUUGCAAAGACUAGACUAUUUCGGAUCCAGAUUAUUUUGACAAAUGGGCAAUGAGAGAGAAAAAAAUACAGGCUAAUCAAAUGGAGUUUGGUUCAUCGCCCAAACGACCAAAAAGGUCUAGGUACACCAAACCUCGAGGUAAAAAACAACGCCUUGCUUAGUAAAUGGUUUUUCAAUCUCCUUAUCGAGGAUGGCAUGUGGCAAACCCUCAUGUGUAAUAAGGGCAUGUUUGGUUGCUCGUGUAAGAGCCAUGCAGACCCUGUAAAAAGGCUCGCACGAUCUUCAAAGCCGCCCAGAGGCUGGCAUUUGAGGAACGAUCGAAUCAACUGUUUCGAGCGAGCCACGAAAGGGCCUUGUAAUUCGUACCAGUGGCUCUGACGGGCGGGCUGGUCGGUGAUGACCCACAAGUAAAUGGAAUCAAUCGUAGUCCUUUCGAUAAGUAAGAGUGUUGAAUUCAACGAGAAGCAAAAAGAAUUGACAAGCGGUUUUCAGCAAUGUAUUCUCUACAAGUGUUGUAAGAUAGUUUUGACAGAUAACGUGAUAGUAUAUAACUGGUAGCAGGCAAAAAGUAACAAAAGUAGCACCACAAGUGGCCCAAUCCUAUGCAAUAUGCAGAUCAGACUCUUGUAAUAAAAGCACCCAUCUAAUCAACCUAGGCUUAGCAUCUUUCUUAUCCAUGAAAUAAUCAAUAGCACCAUUAUCGAUGUGAAAAGUAACUUUGAAAUCAAGGUCUGAAUUUAUCACAAGCAAACACUACAGCUAAAAAUUCUUUCUAAGUACGUAGUAGCAUAAUUUUUUUGGGCAUUGUCCAAGGUCUUACUAGCAUAAUGGAUAACAUUUAACUUCUUAUCAACUCUUUGACCAAGAACAGCACCUACAGCAUAAUCAUUAGCAUUGCACAUAAUUUCAAAAGGUAAAUUCCAAUCAGGUGGUUGGACAAUAGUAGAAGUGAUCAAUGCUUUCUUAAGUAUUCCAAAGGCUUCAACACAGUCAUCAUAAAAAAAACAAAUUGAACAUCCUUUAACAAUAAAUUGGUAAGAAGUCUAUAAUUUUUUUUAAAGUCUUAAUGAACCUUUCAUAAAAACCAGCAUGAUCAAGAAAACUUCUUAUACCUUUAAUAUCUUUAGGACAUGGCAUCUGCUAUUCCGAAAUAGCUACAACCCACUAGUUAUUUUCCUAGACAUGCAACUAUGGCACAUGAGCAAAUCAUGCAUGCAAAUCAUAUACAUUGUUUUUGCAUUACUGUAUGCAUGCAAGCAUGACAUCAUCAAUUCAUGCAUGUUAUUCAUAAGUUAUUUUUGUAUUAGAUUUUCGAUUGACAAUAUAUGUGUUGGUCACUUGCACCUUACCUAUGUAGUUCACAUUCACUUUUUUGUUUGAAAUGACAUUCUUUUAACUGCAAUUCAUUUAUUUAUUUUCUCUUUCUAUAGCCUUCGUAUUUUAUUUUCAUUUUUAAGCUAACAUUCUCUUCCCAUUGUUUAUAGAUGUUUCUGUAGAAAUUUUUAUGCAUUUGUAUAGCAAGUUUCCCGCACCAAAGCAUCGGGGAAUCAUCUAGUUUCAAAAUAUUCGUGCUACCCCUCAUCCUCUUGAGCUCUUAGCCCAAAAAUAGAAAGUGAGUUGUCUACUGAGCCUGCGGCACCACGUGGUACUCCAGGGCAUGAAAUGGAAGCAGCACGAUGGCUCCUCAUCCACAAAGAACCAUGUGUGUAUGUGUUUCUUGGACUUGGUAUUAUUUUAAUUUUACUAACCAUGUAUUUCUCCCUUAAGAAAACACUAUUUCUCCCUUAAGGACUUCUAGGUUUGUUCAUGUACUGUGUUAUUGGUCUGAAUCUUGUCCACACUUCGAUGAAACUGAACUAUUACUAGAAUUCAGAUUUGAGUUUCACUCUCCUGAUUUUGAAACAAAAUGUGUAGUUGUAAAAGGCGAAUAUUUAUUUGUAGGUACUCCCAUACAAUUUUCUUUUGAAGCAAAUGGAUGCAUGGAUUUCCAUACCUUGGCGGGGCGGCGUCAACGGGGCGGCGUCGGGCAGGUCGAUGUCGGGCAGAGAUGGGACGCGUCAGGCGGCGGCGGCGGCAGGGAUCAAGAGGAGCACGGGGCGGUGGAGUUGGGGAUCGAGAGUAACGACAAAAGAUAACUUUUUUUACUAUGACGGGCUGUUAAAACCGACUAGUGCUGGAGUGGACCUAAUGAGUCUAAAUGCGCAACAUCGGGCCUAAUGUGCAACUACAUCACUAAGAUAAUAGUUGUGGCGUAUGAAUUCAGCCCACGCCAACAUUAUUUGAAAAUAUUAAUGCUAGCGUUGGUGAGAAACGGCGCGCCACCAAUGUAAGUUGUGGUUAGCCAUUUCUCCACUAGUAUGUGUUUGUAUGUUUCAUUUGUAUCGGUUGUGGCUUUAUUUAUAAAGCGGGUUAAAGACUUUUGGGGUAAAAGAUACGCAGAAAGCUGAGUCGGCGAGUCCCCUUGGAGCCAUCUAUCACUCCAAAAUGUAGCGCGUUCACCAUUCCCAAUGGUGAUUUUUGUCCACACAAAGAACAACUCAUUUGGGGGGGGCUUCAAGCCAAUAACUGAGGUGUGCAAAGGUUUUCUCGGGCCUCACUAAUAAGAAAUAGAGCAAUACCCACUAUGUUUCCUUUAUUUUACUAGAGAGAGAAGUCCAAGCCUCUAAAUAUCUUGAUGGCUUGGUGUUGGAUCUAAUGGUUGAGCCUUUGUUCUUUGCGAGCCUUGUCUUUCUCUUUUUUGCUCUAUUGUGGAGUUCUUUGAUGGUAUAUCUUCGCACCUGGCGCUUCUUGCUCUUUCUUCCUUCCACCUUCUUUUUGUAAUUGACUCUUCCUCGAUCACUCCCCGACAAAGGCUUGCUCGUCUUUAUCAUAGUCCAAACUCUUUCUCAUGCGACUGUGGCACGUUCUUUCAGUCGAUUCUUUGAAAUUUAAGACAAUUAUCCUCACUCAAACUUCAAAAGGUCCUUUUAUCUUUUUUUGAUGUAAAUUCAUUCCUAACGCUAUUCUAGUCUCCUUCUUUCCACUCGACCUUGCUUUUUUUUCUUCUUCCUAUUGGUCCCAACGUCAAAGAAAUAGGUUCAGUGGUUCGACCUCCCAAAGAUAAAGAAAGACAUCGGUAUUAAGACCACUAUCAUAUGUAAUCCUAUCAUAUGAAUCAAAGGGUCAAUAUGUAUGAAAAAAUCUGAAGAAAUACUUUUUUGCGGGGAUUUCCUAAGGAUUUAGAUCCUCUAAAAAAACCUGUACGAUUCCUUUGAAUCAGAAGGGACCCUAAAUUUGGUUGAUAUUUAAUUAACCCGAUAAAAAAGAAAUAAUAAAUGCCAUACCUUCUUUAAAAAAAUUGUAAGUUGGAGUUUUGACGGCUCGUCGCGCGACCGUUGCAGUCAGUCCUAAAAGGGUGCGAAGUGAAACUAGUCAAGGAAUACGGUACAAAAACUUGUCCUCGAGGGCCCUCACGCUACCAAAUCAUCUUGCCGCUCAAGAUCAAUGUCUUCGUACAUAUUUUAUUAGAGAGUACAUACGAAGCAAAAUGAAUGAAUAUAUAUUUUAAAAUAUGUCUAUAUAUAUCUGUAUGUAAUUUGUAAUGGAAUCGAUUUACAACGUACUUCCUUCGUUUUUAAAUAUAAAUCUUUUUAGAGAUUUCACUAGAGGGCCACAUAAGAAACAAAAUGAGUGAGUCUAUACUCUAAGUAUAUCUAUAUACAUCCGUUUAUAGUCCCCCUAAUUAAAUCUUUUAAAAGACUUAUAUUUAAAAACGGAGGAAGUAUAUUUAGAAAGAGAGGGAGUAGUACUCGUAUUAAUUAGUAAGCGUAAUGGCGCGCAAAGCAGUCCGCGUAUCGGCGGAAUGAAGAUCUUCAUGUCAACGCUUCUCCAUCAAACUCCUCCUCCUGUCCAUGUCUUGCUUGCUUACUUACAGCAGUAGUAGUAGUAGGUGCAAAUCCUACGGCUACAGGUCGCUCAUCACGCCUUUUGACGGUGCAUGGUGGUCAGCCCUCCAUGGAUUUUCCCUGGUAAGCUGGAGGAAAGUCUCUGGCUUUACACUAAUCAUCAUCAUAAACCGCGUGAUCCCAUGAUGAUGACGACGAUGAUUCAACGGCUGCAGUAAUUACUUAUGUCGACCGCACCACCCUACGCUGGAGCACCUGUCCAACCUAAACUAGCUAAGGUUGUUUCAGACAGACAGCUUUUUUACCCCCACAAAUUCAGCAAAGGGUCAUUUGCACCUGGAGGUGUACAGACAUAAAGGUGGUUUCAAAGGGUCAUUUGCAGUUACAUCUGGCACGGAGAAUCAGAGUGAAAGUUGAAAGCCAUCACCAUCACUGUGCCUCUCUUGCUUGCUGCAAAGGUGGAAUUCUUAGCAUACCAAUGAAAUCACAGCCGUUCGUCCCUCCCUCCAUCCAGGAUGAACGGCCACGAUUCAACAGGUCAAUCAACAACUUCCCACCUUAAGAAUGGUUAGCAGGCCAUAAUAAAAGGUAAAAAAAUGGUCUUGCGAAUCACAGCUGACACGGCAGCAAACAAGUAUCCAAGUCUUGUUUCACAGGAACAGGACAGGGCUAGCUAAAAAUCAUCAUCCUCAAGGUGGCGGCACGGCGCCCCCAAUUGCGGGGUCACGGGCAGCAGUAAGUAAGUACCACGCAAACAAUUCGACGCGCACACAACUCUGUUAACAAGUUUCGACAAAUUCGCCGAUGCGCAAAUAAUGGCAGGACCUCUCCACCCAAUCGACGGAUCACCCCGCAAACUCAACCUACAUUCUCAAUUUCCUAAUAACUCACAAAUAGCAGCAGAUCACUUCACUUCAGUGUCCGACGACCGACAACAUGACCAGCGACACCAAGACAGCCAGCAGGUAGCGGCUCUGUCUUACCGCGGGGAAAGCCGAGCUCGACGAUGACCCAUGAGGCUUCUGAGCCCUACAGGACAACAACAACAUAAGACCAAGCAUCAGUUAGUAACUGACUGUGACCAUACUGUAACAAGGACCAUAAGCCGCAGCACACAGGCAAGUCCGCUUACUUUUGUUUUUCCUUGAGGAGGCCACAGAAGAGGGCGUUGUCUGGUAGCACCGAUUCAGUCACGUUAUAGCCUCCGUCAGGAUCCACCACCCUGAUGUACGUCUCCUGGCCGAGGUACCAGGUGUCCAGAUUCUCCGUGCGCACGUUCCAGAACCCCGGGCUGUCGAGCGACAACAGGACGGCGGUCCAUGCUCCAGGAAACACCUGCGGUGUGAGUGAGGCAACGUUAACACUAUCCAACACUUUCAGCAGCAGGUGUAAUACGUCAACGUUGAGUACAACUUGGCGUUUGCAUCCACUGUCUCAUAAGUAAAUAGAAAGUUAUAUACAGCUAUGAACAUCAGCAGCAGUGAAAGCAUCCUCAAACAUGAAGAAACGUUCUAUCCAAACCAUACGCUACUGUAGAAAUACCUGAGUGGUGCAACGGGAAACGCCGUCCCACUUGUUGUACGUCCCACGGCUGCUGUCGGUCCACUCACCAUAGUCCAUUCUGUUGGCAACGCGCAAACGGUUCAAGACACACGACUCAUAAGAAACCGGCUACUGAAAGAGAUGAAUACUUUGAAGCUGCGCUCACCCUACGACCCAGAAUGCAUAUCCAUCGAUAUGGUAGGUCUGAACCUUCGUGUCGUUGUUCUGAAACACAAUCUCCAUGAAGUUCUUGUACGUCGAGUUGAUGACAGAAGAGCCGAUCACCGGCGGUCCAUCAGAUGGCAUCAUUGGGAAGUCGAGUGUGUAGACUUCUUUCUUUUCGUAGAGAUCUGCAAGCCUCAAUGGAGUAGCAGGCGGUGAAUAGGAGAUACCGUUCAGUGUCGUCCGCUUUUUGCCAUUGAUGGUAACAGGGGGCAUAUUCCUCAACUUGUACACUUGGGUCACGUUGAUUUGCCCAUAGUGAAAUGAUCCUUGAGGAUUCGGACGAGCAGCACCAGUGGUCACGUUCAUCCUGACAAACAGAAGGUCUUUUAGUAGGCUUAAGUAUCCAUGACCAAUGUGCGCACAUGAGAAAAUGUAGCUACUGUCUACACAUAUUAUUAUUACCAAGUGUCCUUACACUUUACUAAUGGCCACAAAGCUUCCUAAAAGUCAUUGUGUUGGUAUGACAAAAAAAUUCAGUUUCCAAUUUCUGUAAGAAAUAUUCCUGGAAUGAAUGCUCAAGUACAAGGGCAAAUAUUUGAGCAGACAAUUUCCCAUAUGAGUACACAGUCAUAAUGUAAGAAAGGAGGCACCUAUCACAUUUAUAUCCAAAACAUCUUUUUCUCUCAGAAUUCAUAAAGCCAAGCAUACUUAGUCAACAUCUCUUAAAGAUCAACAUCAAACGAAAAGGUUCAUAAAAUGUUUUUUUGCGAUAGCCAAAAGCCCAAAAGAUCAUGGGAAGUUAAGGGGAGAGCAGAGCUAGAUUAUUUAUUUCAUACAAGAGUACUGCUUAAGUUUAGUUAGGUAUAGCAAAACACUAUUUUUUCAUAAAGUAAACAUCAUAGCACAUGAUGGGAACUGAGGAAUACGGGUCAGCACAUGAUGGCUCAGCAAUUUCUAACAUCAGGCUUCUAAAAUUUAUUAUAGAUUAGCGUGAAGAGAAAAUUUUGUCGGUGGUCAUUUGGAUGGUCAGGGGUCUUAGGCAAAAACAUUAGUCGUAGAUUGCUCUCUUUUAUGCUUGGUUUGAAAUGCCUUAAUGUGAGUGUAUUGGCUCUUUUAUAAGUAGUCGCACAUUUUUCUCAUUCAUAAUUCGAAAGCCAGGAAUAUUUAGUCAACAUCUUGUGAAGAUCAGAUCGGAAUGAAGAUGCAUAAAAUAACUCUGCGGGGUGACCAAAAAUACCAUGGAAAGUGAAGGGGCCAAAAAAAUAAAAUUGAUACAUUAGUUAUUUCAUACAAGAGUACUGCCUAAGUGUAGUUAGGUGUAGCAAAACAAUGUUGUCCUAAUAAUCUAUAAAGUAAACAUCAUAGCACAUGAUGGAUUGAUGGGUACUGAAGAGAACUAUUGUUAUUAUUACAAAACAGUCAGACCAUGAUGGGUCAACCAUUUCAAACAUCAUACUUAUAUAAAAUAAUAUCAGAAUUGCGUGAAGAGAAAAUUAAGCCAGUGGUCAUUUGGACAGUCAGAGCUUACGAAAAAAAGAAGAGUUGUUUUAUACAAACCUGAUUGACCGUGCCUGGUUCAUGGAGAAACUUUUGUCGUACUCAUCAUUCGGUGGGUCAGGAAGCGGACCAGAUGCGUUGCCCUUUGAAUUCGAGUAGUGAAGAAUUGCAACACCGGUAACCCUGGUCCAGAGCGACUCGUUCACGAACCGAGGGCUGGCCACGAUGUAAUAGUCACUGCUUGCAUUCUGGUCCAUGGUGACCAGAAAGGAGUAUGACUGCCCCACAUGGAUGUCGAGGUUGGUGAAAUUCUGCUUCAUCGUGUACGAGCCCUCUGUCUCCACCAUGGCCAUGUUGUGGCCCUGGAUCCUCAGGUUCAAGCUCGUCGAGACUCCCACAUUGUGGACUCGGAAGCGGUACGUUUUUCCUGUAGUGGAGCUGAGGCUGUCAGUUGCCACGAUUAAAGUGAUGUGCUAUAGUAGCAAUCAUCGUUCAAAGAAAUAUAUAGUUGGCCUUAUCAUGAAAGUAGGUAGUGAUUAAAUCAUCAACCUCAUCCCCCCAUUGUAUUAGAGAGAAAAAAAUGCUGUACAAUUGAGCAGUAACAUAUAAGCAUAUUUUCAGCAACAACAUUUGUAACCAACCAUGAUUAUUUCCUCGUUACCAUGCCCAGCAGAGGCAUUAUGAUUUCAGAAAUGGUGAUGCACUCUACAAUGAGAAGUAAUCACCUGGCUCAACAUCGAUGGUCUCAUACUCGAUCCCAGCCGGGACGAGGGAGUCAUUGUACCGAUACGGCCCCUUGCCAUUCAUCAAGACGCCGUCAGGCAUCCCAAGCUCCUUCCCAUCAUCGAGCAUCUUCCUCAGGUCCUGGCACACAAGAGAAAACCACAAUCAAACACCCUGACCGCAAACCCAGUGGGUGAUAGCACAUUUCUUCCACGGCGGCUGGCGACCGGGCUAGAGCGUACCGUGUGGUUCUUCUUGUACCAGUCGCCGAUGAAGAGCCUGAUGUCGCCGUCGGGGGUGUCAAAGGGGACUGAGAUGACGGCGCGGUUGUUGACGGUGAUGCCCCCGAAGCCGCCGGCUGCCCGCUGCAUUGAGAGCGGCGGGAAGUAGAAGAAGCUGCCGAUCUGGUCCUUGACCUGGAAGUUGAAGGUCCAGUUCCAUCCGGGCGGGAUGGGACAGUUGGUGCCGAGGACCCCGUCCUGCCAGCAGUUCUUCCGCUGCUGGAUGCCGUCCCUGCGCGAGUGAGCCAAACAAAAAAUGAAGAUGUCAGACCAACACUUGCUUGUCAUCACACUGAACAAAAUCAUCAGACUGAAGGAAACGAGUCUGCAAUGGCCACUGAAGAUUCGUUUAAGACUGAGUGGCGAGUGAGUGAGUGUGCAGACCAGGUGAUUAGGAGCGGCUCGUCGAGGCUGUUGAGGACGUUGACGGCGACGUUGUAGUUUGUGGUGACGUUGACGACGGGGCCCGGGAACUCCUUGUUGACUGCGAUCACCUGAAGAGAAAACAAAACAAAAAUUCAGAAACAGGCGGCUCAGGUUCAGGCUUUCAGGCACAUUGGGAAAUUCGUACAGUGCAAUGUGCAUCCAUCCUGGCGGUUAACUGGAAACCCGGCGGCGCGUGUUGAGAUCUCUGUCGGGAGCGCGCACGGGAACAGUGUGCCGGGGAGCGUGGGUGAGAUCUGAAGGCUGAAGGAUCGAAAUAAAUCGAAACUUUUUGGUUGAGCGGCUAGGUCGUCCGGGAGGGAAAAAAAUUCAAAAAUUUGGGGCGCAAUCUCGGGUCAGGUCCGGAAAUCCUGGAAGGAACCCAGGUGCUUCCUCCUCCCCCCGAAGGAAGGAAGGCGUGGAAGAAGAGGGUGAAAAAAUGAAUCUUGAGGGCAGGGCGAGCGGACAGCCGGAGGUUGUCGGGGAAACCCGAAUCUUGCGGCGGAGGGGAGGCGGUUGGCUGCGGGCGACCGGUGGGAUUGGAAAUGGAGGAAGGCAAGAGGGGAGGGAGGGAUGGACGGACCUUCUGCGGGACUCCGAGCGGGGAUCUGGUGAUGUAGGAGACGUCCCAGUCGAAGAAGGCGUAGGGGUCGGUCGCCCGCGCCGGCGCCGGCGCCAGGAGCAGGAGCGGCAGGAGCAGCAGCGCCGCCGGCGGGCACGCCAUUUCCGCUUCUCGCUCUCUCCGGUCCGGCGGAGUGGAGUGGAGUCCACGCACACACAGAGAGAGAGAGAGAGGGGCUGGUGGGAGCUUUUCUUGGUGAUUGUUGGGAUUCCGUUUCUCUGGCUAUUUGUGUCGGAUGGCGUGUGGAGAGUGGAGAGAGAAGAAUGGGGGUUUGGGAGGGUUUUGAUGAGGCAAAGCCAUCGUCGUGGACGCAACGGGCAACCGUCCACAGCUGUGUGUGAGCUCACUAGACGCUGACCGUUGCGACGUGGGAUGGAUGGAUUGGAUUGGAUUGGAUGGGCCGAGACGCGUCUCGAUGCGUCGUCUGCGUGAGGGGCCCCACGCGACCGGUCUUCAAUGCUAUCCUGUCUAUCCCCACCCCAUGUUAACAUCUCUACCCUGUAUGAAACCAUACCCAAAAUUCCCCAAGUACAGCCAAGACGACCCCGGUUGAUUAAUUAGAGCAUCUCCACCUGCGUCCCUAACAGGUCCUUCCUGAACUAUUCUUUUUCACGGGUAAGAAGAAAACGGUCAAGUCGCGUCCUCAGGAACCGGUUUUUCGUCGGUUAAGACCGAAAUUUGAACCCGGCAAUCCCAACCCGAACUUAGCGCGCUGGGUGGCGUCCGGGACGCUGGCGAAAGGAAAAAAAGACGCGUCGGGCCCCUUGUUAGGCGAAAAAAAAACUUUUCCUUCUCCGGAACCACCCCUCGCGCAUCACACCUUUCGCCACCGUGUCGAUUCCAGCGUCACCCACCUGCCUACCACAGCUACAGAGGUCAUCUCCCAGUCGACGGACGUAGGGUUCGCAGCGACUUCGCCCCCCUCCCCCGCCCCCCGCUUCUUGGCGAGUUUUCCCGGCGCUCCGGGCACGUACGCGGCCACACGUCCGCCAGGUGUUCGAUGAUUUGCCUGACCGAUGGACUCCGACGACCAGGAGGCGUUCGCGACGCUACUGGAGGAGGAAGCCAAUACCGACGCUCGGGAUGAAGAGCACCUCAUGGUCCUCCCCUCUCCGGCCGGCCUGUUCGCGAGCAAUGCAAAGCCACGGCGAGGUGGCUCGACGUCGGGCCGGCUGAAGGAAAAGCAGAGGCGUCGACUCGAAGGCUAUUGCUUGCUCUACGCCGACUUCUUCACCGACGCUCCUCUACACGGCGAUACGGUAUUCCGACGCCGUUAUCGUAUGAGCCGGAAGCUCUUCCUCGGGAUUGUGAAUUCACUCAAGGAGUCCGACAGCCACUUCAAGUGCAAAAAGGAUUGCACCGGCACACUUGGAUUCACCUCGCUUCAGAAGUGCAUGACAGCUAUGAGGAUGCUUGCGUACUGAGCUCCUGAUGAUAUUAUGGAAGACUAUGGACGCAUGGCCGAGUCCACCACCAUUGAGUGUUUCUACAAGUUCUGCAGGGCAAUGGUGGCAGUUUUGCGAUCACCCAAUGCUGAAGACACUGCUCGGAUCCUAGCACAGAAUGCAGAAAAAGGAUUUCCUGGGAUACUUGGAAGUAUCGAGUGCAUUCAUUGGAAAUGGAAAAAACUGCCCAUUUGCUUGGCAAGGGAUGUACAAAGGCGCCAAAGGAGGUUGAAGUGUGGUACUUUAGGCAGUGGCCACACAUGACCUCUGGAUUUGGCACUCCUUCAUUGAUAUACGAGGAACUCACAAUGACAUCAACGUACUGCAGUGCUUGAAUGUAUCUGCGAAGCUUGUUGAAGGUCAUGCUCCUCCGGUUUAACUACGAGGUGAAUGGGCACCACUACAACAAGGGAUACUACCAAGCAGAUGGCAUCUAUCCAAGAUGGUCCAUAUUGUGAAGACUAUCUCAAAUCAUGCACCAGGAGGCAAUCACUCCUAUUUUGCCAAGCGUCAUAAAGCUUGUAGGAAGGAUGUCGAGCGGGCAUUUGGUGUGCUUCAAUCUCGUUUUGCUGUUGUCCGGUACCCCGCUCACACCUAGUCAAAGAUCAAAUGCGGAAAGUCAUGACUUAGUGUGUUGUCUUGCACAACAUGAUCAUUGGGAGCGAGCAGGAGGAGAAAGUGUUUGACACUGAACCAUAUUAUAGGCAAGGUCCUGAUGACCCACAAGUAUACGGGAUCAAUCGUAGUCCUUUCGAUAAGUAAGAGUGUCGAACCCAACGAGGAGCAGAAGGCUCUGAUAAGCGGAUUUCAGCAAGGUAAUAACUGCAAGCACUGAAAGUAGAGGUAACAAGUGAUUGUGUAGCGAGGUGAAACGUAGCAAUCAAAGAGUAACAAGUAGUAGCAACGGUGCAGCAAGUGGCCCAAUCCCUUUUGUAGCAAGGGACAAGCCUGAACAAAGUCUUAUAGGAGGAAAAACGCUUCCGAGGACACACGGGAAUUUCUGUCAUGCUAGUUUCAUCAUGUUCAUAUGAUUCGCGUUCGUUACUUUGAUAGUUUGAUAUGUGGGUGGACCGGCGCUUGGAUACUGCCCUUACUUGGACAAGCAUCCCACUUAUGAUUAACCUCUCUCGCAAGCAUUCGCAACUACAAAAGAAGAAUUAAGACAAAGUCUAACCAUAGCAUUAAACUAGUGGAUCCAAAUCAGCCCCUCACGAAGCAACGCAUGGACUCGGGUUUAAGCUUCUGUCACUCCAGCAACCCAUCAUCUACUUACUACUUCCCAAUGCCUUCCUCUAGGCCCAAAUAUGGUGAAGUGUUAUGUAGUCGACGUUCACAGAACACCACUAGAGGAAAAGACAACAUACAACAUGUCAAAAUACCGAACGAAUAUCAAAUUCACAUGACUAUUAUUAACAUGACUUAUCCCAUGUCCUUAGGAACAAAAGUAACUACUCACAAAACAUAAUCAUAAUCAUGAUCAGAGAUAUAAUGAAUAGCAUCAAGGAUCUGAACAUAAACUCUUCCACCAAGUAAUCCAACUAGCAUCAACUACAAAGAGUAAUCAACACUACUAGCAACCUUACAAGUACCAAUCGGAGUUGCGAGACGAAGAUUGGUUACAAGAGAUGAACUAGGGAUUGGAGAGGAGAUGGUGCUGAUGAAGAUGUUGAUGAAGAUGCCUCCCCUCCGACGAGAGGAGUGUUGAUGAUGACGAUGGCGACGAUUUCCCCCUCCGGGAGGGAAGUUUCCCCAGCAGGAUCGUCCUGCUGGAGCUCUAGAUUGGAUCUGCUCAAGUUCCGCCUCGUGGCGGCGGCGAAACCACGAAAAAGCUCCCUCUUGAUUUUUUCUGGACCAGGACGCUUCAUAUAGCAAAAGAGGGGGGCUAGUGGGCCGUCAGGGAGCCCACAAGCCCCCACUCCGCCACCAGGGGGUGGCGGUGUCAGGGCUUGUGGCGCCCUGGCAGCCCCCCUUCGGUAGUUCUUUCGCCCAGUAUUUUUUAUAUAAUCUAGAAAAAAUCCACGUAACUUUUCAGGGCAUUUGGAGAUGUGCAGAAUAGUGGACUAGGAUUUGCUCCUUUUCCAGUCCAGAAUUCCAGCUGCCUGAAUUCCCCCUCUUCAAAUAAACCUUGCAAAAUAAGAGAGAAAAGGCAUAAAUAUGGUACCACAAGUAAUAUAACAGCCCAAAAAGCAAUAAAUAUCAACAUGAAAGCAUGAUGCAAAAUGGACGUAUCAGGUCCUCUUGCCCAAGUUGAUCACCCGCUAUCGGCAACCUGGACUGCCUUCUUCAACAUGCGUCAGGAGAUCCGAGACCCACACGUGCAUCAACAACUGCAGCACGAUUUGGUGGAGCACCUAUGGAGGCUGAAGGGCAACGUCUAGCUCGAUUUUUGAUUUGUAUUAACUUGUUAAACUAUUUCUUGAUUUGUAUUGAUUUCUGUGAUGAACUAUGUGAUAAAAAAGUAACUAUUGUUGUUCAAUUUAUGCUAAAGAAUGUCGAAUAUGGUCCAAAAGUGGGGCAAUUUUGUGCCAAAACUGGUCCAAUUUGCGCUGAAAGUGGGCCGAAAGCGGCGACUGGGGGCGCCCUUGGGUGGGCGGCUCGGAACCCGACCCCCCUACCAUUUUUUGCACCGGCGAAUCCCCAAGCAACGCUAUUUCAGGUGCAUGUGGGUCGAACGGCUGGAGAUGCUCUUAGCCACAAGAUUAAUUAGCAGCAUGGGCAGGUAGGAACAACAAGAUUGUCCAUUACUCUUCUUCUCCCUGCCUCUUGCGUUGCUCUCCUCUCCUUCGAUGCGUUGCCGGUCGCCUCGCCGUCCGCUGACCACCAUCAGCGUCGGCCAGAACCGCAUCCACGAGUUCUAGGUUGCUGGCUUGGCAAACUCCGGGGUGGACUUGAUGCGGGCUUUGCGGGCGUCGUCUCCGAUGUACACCAGGCCGCCACAUCCGGUCAAUGUAGUGUCGGCCGCUCCGGCGCCCCUGCCGUAUCCGGACCUCGUGGUCAUGGGUUCGGUGGUGCCAUUAGAGGGGGCGGCGAUCGCGUCGUUGGUCGGAAACCAUGUUGCAUUGAUUCCAAUCGAAUCGAAUCGAUUGGAUUCCAUCCAUUCUUGCGCGGUACUAUUCAUAGGCAGGAUAGUAGUGUUAUUGCUUGUUAGGUGUUUGGUGUGAAUACUUAGUAGUGUUCAUAAGCAUGCAAUAUUGUCGUGUGUUUCAUGUUCAUGCCUAGUGCGUACUGCUUAGUGCUCAUGAUGUACACAGUGUUCAUGGGCAUGGUAGAUCGGUGUUGUGUUCCCUGCUUAGUGUUGUUGGGGAACGUUGCAUGGGAAACAAAAAAAUUCCUACGCACACGAAGAACUAUCAUGGUGAUGUCCAUCUACGAGAGGAGAUUUGGAUCUAUGUGUCCUUGUAGAUCGCAUAGCAGGAAGCGUUAAGAAACGCGGUUGAUGUAGUGGAACAUCCUCACGUCCCUCGAUCCGCCCCGCGAACCGUCCCGUGAUCUGUCCCACGAUCCGAUCUGAUCUAGUGCCGAACGGACGGCACCUCCGCGUUCAGCACACGUACAGCUCGACGAUGAUCUCGACCUUCUUGAACCAGCAAGCAAGACGAAGAAGAGGAUGACUUCUCCGGCAGCGUGACGGCGCUCCGGUGGUGGUGACGAUCUACUCCUGGAGGGUUCCGCCCGAGCUCCGCAUAAAUACAAUCUAGAGGAAGAACUAUGGUGUAUAUAUCUGAGUUGCACGUGGCAAAAGUUGUAUCAAAUCAACCCUAAAUCACCACUAUAUAUAGGAGGGAGGGGGAGCAGGCUUGCCUUGAGGACAAAGUCCCCAAGGGUGCGACGGCUAGGAAGGGAGUAGGAUUCCUACUCCAAUCCUACUCAAAAUAGGAUUGGAAAGUGGAGUUCUUCUCUUCCUUCCCACCUCCCUUUUUUUUCUUUUUUUGGUUUUCUUCUUAUGGCGCCAAGGCCCUCUUGGGCUGUCCCACCAGCCCACUAAGGGCUGGUGUUCCACCCCUAGGGCCAUUGGGCUUCCCCCGGGUGGGUUGCCCCCCUCCCGGUGAACUUCCAAAACCCAUUCACCACUCCCGGUACAUUCCCGGUAAUGCUCGAAAACCUUCCGGUAACCAAAUGAAGCCAUCAUAUAUAUCAAUCUUCGUUUCCGAACCAUUCCGAAAACUCUCCUGAUGUCCGUGAUCUCAUCCGGGACUCCGAACAACAUCCGGUAACCACACAUAUAACUCAACUAUGCUAAAACAUCGCCGAACCUUAAGUGUGCAGACCCUGCGGGUUCGAGAACUAUGUAGACAUGCCCCGAGGCACUCCUCGGUCAAUAUCCAAUAGCGGGACCUGGAUGCCCAUAUUGGAUCCUACAUAUUCUACGAAGAUCUUAUCGUUUGAACCUCAGUGCCAAGGAUUCGUAUAAUCCCGUAUGUCAUUCCCUUUGUCCUUCGGUAUGUUACUUGCCCGAGAUUCGAUCGUCAGUAUCCGCAUACCUAUUUCAAUCUCGUUUACCGGCAAGUCUCUUUACUCGUUCCGUAAUACAAGAUCCCGCAACUUACACUAAGUUACAUUGCUUGCAAGGCUUGUGUGUGAUGUUGUAUUACCGAGUGGGCCCCGAGAUACCUCUCCGUCACACGGAGUGACAAAUCCCAGUCUUGAUCCAUACUAACUCAACUAACACCUUCGGAGAUACCUGUAGAGCAUCUUUAUAGUCACCCAGUUACGUUGCGACGUUUGAUACACACAAAGCAUUCCUCCGGUGUCAGUGAGUUAUAUGAUCUCAUGGUCAUAGAAAUAAAUACUUGACACGCAGAAAACAGUAGCAACAAAAUGACACGAUCAACAUGCUACGUCUAUUAGUUUGGGUCUAGUCCAUCACGUGAUUCUCCCAAUGACGUGAUCCAGUUAUCAAGCAACAACACCUUGUUCAUAAUCAGAAGACACUGACUAUCAUUGAUCAACUGGCUAGCCAACUAGAGGCAUGCUAGGGACGGUGUUUUGUCUAUGUAUCCACACAUUUAAAUGAGUCUUCAUUCAAUACAAUUAUAGCAUGGAUAAUAAACUAUUAUCUUGAUACAGGAAUUAUAAUAAUAACUAUACAUUUAUUAUUGCCUCUAGGGCAUAAUUCCAACAAUCGGACGCCUACGGACAUGGGAAGAGAAUGCUCGUGGCUGUCGGAAAGGCAAAGGAGGAGGUAGUGACCAACUCAUGUACUCGCGCGCAGAUUGGGAGGCCCCAAGUAACAAAGGAAGGUGUGAUGGUGGCGAAGGCUCAAGCAAUGUGAAGCGCGACAGACAAACCGGAAAAGGCAAAGGAAAAGGCAAGCCACAAGGUCGUGGUAAGGCGGACCAAUCUAAAGUGCGGAAGCCACGGAAUUUGGAUUUAUCCGAGGUUAAGUGCUAUAACUUCAACGAGAUGGGUCACUUUGCAAAGGAUUGUCCGAAGCCUAACAAGCGGGAGAUCAAGGCAAAUUUGGCAAAGCAGGAAGACGAAGGUCCAGGUCUUCUGAUGGCCGAAGUUUGUGAUCUCGCUGAAACGGUGGUGGUGAAACCAAGCCGGAAGGUGCUGCUUCAUGCGAAGAAAGUGACACCGAAGUUAUCCGGUGAUCAGAACAUGUCGUGGUAUCUUGACACGGGUGCCAGUAACCACAUGACGUGGUGCAAGGAGAAAUUCCUCGAGAUGGAAUACGAUGUUGAAGGCUCGGUCAAGUUCGGUGAUGGUUCGGCUGUGGAGAUUUGCGGGCAAGGAUCUGUCCUCUUCGAGGGUCUCACAGGCGAACAUCGCAUACUCACCGGAGUGUACUACAUCCCGCGGGUUCGCAACAACAUCAUCUCUAUUGGGAAGCUUGACAAGAAUGGAUGCAAGGUGAAUAUCGAAAACGGAGUGAUGACGAUCUUCGACAACCUCCGAAACGUGCUAGCUCGUGUUAAUCGCACACGGAAUAGGCUCUAUAUCCUCAACCUUGAUCAAUCUCAACCGGAGUGUUGGCUUGCCAAGAGUGAUGACGAUUCAUGGUUAUGGCAUGCUAGAUUUGGACACGUGAACUUCUACGCCUUGAAGAAGAUGUCAAAGAUGGAGAUGGUAUCUGGGAUGCCAGUUAUCGACCAUGUUGAUCGAGUAUGUGACGGGUGCUUGGUUGGAAAACAGCACCGCAGGCCGUUCCCUGCUCAGUCUACCUAUCGUGCGAGUGAUGCACUCGAGCUGCUCCUUGGUGAUCUAUGUGGCCCUAUCACCCCGGCAACUUCAAGCAGGAAAGAAGUACUUCUUCCUUGUGGUAGAUGAUUACUCGAGAUAUAUGUGGGUCGUUCUCCUACGGUCUAAAGAUGAGGCGUUUGAAGCGUUCAAGAAGCUGAAGGCUGCAACGGAGAUGGAACACAAGCUGAAGGUUCGCGCUCUACGGACAGAUCGUCGCGGAGAGUUUACGUUGAAUGAGUUCAACGACUACUGCGAGAAGAUCGGCAUAAAGAGGUUCCUCACGGCACCUUACACGCCGCAGCAGAACGGGGUCGUUGAAAGGCGCAAUCGAACCGUCGUUGACAUGGCAAGGAGUUUACUCAAGAGCAAGAACCUGCCGGGGACUUUUUGGGGAAAAGCUGUCUCGACGGCGGUCUAUCUUCUCAACCGGGCUCCAACGAAGGCGGUGAUCGAUCGGCAAGACUCCGUAUGAAGCAAUUUACGGACGUAAGCCGAAUGUGUCUCAUCUAAGGACAUUCGGGUGCGUGGCACAUGUGAAGACGGCGGAGCCGCACCUCUCAAAGCUUGCCGAUCGUAGCACCAAGAUGGUGUUCAUCGGAUACGAGAGGAGUUCCGGCACCAAGGCAUACCGCUUCUAUGAUCCACAAACCAAGCGUCUACGGAUUUCACGCGACGUCGUGUUUGAAGGAAACAAAGUGUGGAAUUGGAGUGCAGCAGCCGACGGUGCUUCAAACGGUAACAUAUUCACGGUUGAAUUUCCAACUGAUGAUGAUGUAGGGGAGGAUGCCCAGAUGGUUAGCAAGACGCCCAACCAAGGUGACCACAAUGGUAGUGAUCAUCAUGGUGCUGACACCGACGACGAUGCGCAUAGGUCGCAAGGAGAUAGCGACAACGCCGCGCACGACACAGGCGGAGAUCUCGACGACAACAUCGACAACGAGGCGCAUAGUGACGACGACAAUCAAGAUGAUGGUCACGGUCACGACGACUACGUCGACGACGUGGAUGUCGAUGACACACCACGGUCUCAGCCGUCUUCCUCAAGUGCUUCAAUACCGACACAAUUUGUGUCUCCUCCUUCGCAAGCCACAACGGACUCCUCAGGGCCUCGUCGCUACAAGACCCUCAAGAAAGUCUACAAGUACACAAAGCUAGUUACGCUCGAGUACUCCGGACUAUGUCUGUUCGGAGUUGAGGAGCCGGCGAACUUCGUAGAGGCGAGCAAAAGCCGUAGUUGGACGCACGCCAUGGAUGAGGAGAUGAAGGCGAUGGAGAGCAAUGGCACGUGGACUUUGGUAACCCGUCCUCUAAACCAAAAGGCGAUAGGUUUGAAGUAGGUUUACAAGUUAAAGAAGGACACACAGGGUGCCAUUGUGAAGUACAAUGCAAGACUCGUUACAAAGGGCUACGUUCAACGUCAAGGAGUUGACUAUGAUGAGGUGUUUGCACCGGUUGCUCGAAUCGAGACGGUGAGAGUGCUCCUAGCUUUGGCAGCACAAGAGGAUUGGAAGGUUCAUCAUAUGGAUGUUAAAUCCGCUUUUCUCAACGACGAUCUCACAGAAGAAGUGUACGUGGAACAACCCCUCGGCUACGAGAAGAAAGGCAAAGAAGGGAAAGUUUACAAGCUCAAGAAGGCACUUUACGGGUUGAAGCAAGCGCCAAGAGCUUGGAACUCAAAGUUAGACCGAAGUAUGGUCUUGCUCGGGUUCAAGAGAUGUCCCCUCGAGCACGCAGUCUAUACAAAGAACUCCAAAGGCUCAAACCUGCUAGUUGGAGUUUAUGUCGAUGAUCUGAUUAUCACCGGAGAUAGCAUACAACAAAUUGAACGUUUCAAGGCGCAAAUGAAGAACAAGUUUAGCAUGAGUGAUGUGGGAUUACUCAACUAUUACUUGGGCGUCGAAGUGAAGCAAAGCUCCGGAGAGAUUUCCCUAUGUCAAUCGGCCUACGCGGUCAAGUUAUUGGACAAGUAUGGCAUGUCAGAUUGCUACGAGACACAAGUUCCAAUGGACCAACGUCACAAGUUGAGCAAGCGUAGCUCAAAUCCGCCGGCGGACACCACAAUGUAUCGAAGCGUUGUGGGCAGCCUAAGAUACUUGGUGCAUACCCGACCUGACUUGGCUUACUCAGUCGGGAUCAUCAGUCGUUUCAUGGAGAAUCCGACAACCGAGCACAUGGGCGCGGUCAAUCAAAUCUUGCGCUAUGUAAAAGUAACCAUUAAUCUUGAUUGCACGUACGGAAAGGGAAAGGAAGGAUUGAUCCUUCAUGGAUAUUCAGAUAGUGACAUGGCAGGUGAUGUUGAUGACCGAAAGAGCACAACGGACAUGAUUUUCUACCUUGGCCCGAAUCCGGUUAGCUGGAAUUCUCAGAAGCAAAAGGUGGUGGCACUGUCUUCAUGCGAGGCAGAAUACAUAGCGGCAAGCACGGCGGCUUGUCAAGCAGUGUGGCUGAGAAGACUCCUAGCUAUUCUUGCAAAGCGGGAGGUGCAGAAGGUGUCAUUGAAGAUUGACAACCAAGCUGCAAUCUCAUUGUGCAAAAAUCCGGUUCAUCACGAAAGGAGCAAGCACAUAGAUACCCGGUUCCACCACAUCCGGAAGUGCAUUGAGGAAGGGAUGAUCGAAAUUCUGCACGUGAAUACGAAAGACCAGCUUGCCGAUAUUUUCACCAAGUCCCUCGGUCGACAGAAGUUCAUCGAGAUGAGGAAGAAAGUCGGAGUGCAAGCAAUGAAGACACAUCAACAAGGUUAAGGAGGUGAAUGUAGUAAUUAACCUAGUUGUAGUCCAAACGUACACAUGUGUCCUAAUUUGAUUAGUAUUGCAAACCGAGUAGGAUUAGUAGUAGUAUUGCAAACCGAGUAGGAUUAGCAGUAGCCAAUGCUUAGCAUAUAUAUAUGCGUUUACCCUAGCUUUUGUAAUAUCAGAUAAAAAAGAUCAAAACGCAAUAAAGCAAUAGAUACGAGCCUGUAGCAGUCACCGACGCCUUCGUUGAUCGAUCCGAUUGAGAGCUAGCUAGCAAGCCAGGUUACGAAUCCAUUAACCUGCUUGCUUGCUUGUUUAUUUCGGGUCAACUUUACACACGUGUAUUAGCUUCGGUAGUGAUUUCAUCUACGAUUCAAAAGCCAACAAAGUUGACCCGACUGCUAUGUAAAAUUCUAAAUGGCUUUUGUGGCUCAUCGGCGAUCAAGUACUUUAGACAUAUCGAGGAGAUAGCUCUUGAUCGUGAAGUGGGUGGUGACACAAAGCAUACGUGGAAAGAAGCAGCAAGGAAACACCCAAGACGUCCCAAGAUUUUUUUUGUCUAGACAGCAUCAACUUCCUGCUGUAGCAAAUACUUUUACUUUGUUGUUGGAUAUGUAUUUGAUCCCAGUCAACUUAAUUGGAAUACUAUUUGUGACAAAUUUAGCACCGCGAUGUAAGAGAUAUAAGAGCGUUUAGAUCACUAAAAUAGUGAUCUAAACACUCUUAUAUUUCUUUACGGAGGGAGUACUAAUUGUUUGCGGAGAAGUCAAGAAUCUUGAUUUAAUUGAUAUGAGUAUCAUUAUAUACUACCAAGCAAGUCAGCAGGUGAGCUGCUCUUUGAAAUACAAGAAGAAAUACCUCAAAAAUAAGGUAUUUGGUAGGAAAUAGAACAAACCUGAAACAUGACUUUCUCAUGAAAAUUCACUUGAUAUAAUUUAGUGUGCUUUACCGAAAAAGGCUUUCGUCCUGCUUUAUAUAUAAAGCAACCACCAAACCACGAGUACAAGCAUAGGUUCAAAUUCAAGCACACACACACCAGGGUAUCAUGACAACAAGUACUAGGGGUUCUGCUAAGGGCACGGCUCAACAAGCCCUAAAAAACAAAACAACACACAUGUGGAAAAGACCGUGAAUGCAAAAGCUAAUCCGUCUCGGGGGUGGUGGGGUAGCUGCGGCAUCAAGCGGAUGGCCAUGGUCCGGAGGUCUGCGAUGAUGGAGUUGAUGUCGUCCUAGUCCCGUUGAUGGCUAAGCAGCCGCCAGAGCUGCAUCUCAGUUGCCCGUUGAAGAGGCACAUGUUGAAUAACAAGCUUAUUUUGGAUUGUCCAGAGCGUCCACACGAGGACACCAAUAACCAGCAAUCUAAUGUGCCCUCACGAAGAAGGGGAGGCCUGGAUCUCGGUACAUAGGUCGGUGAAGUUGGUGUAAUACCAAAGGCCCCCAAUGGUCUCGUGGAUGCAGGAACAGAGGAAUUGCGCGGAAACGUGCGAGAAGAAGAUGUGGCUGGAAUCCACUGCAAUCCCAUAAAGGGGGCACUGUCCGUCUCCCGGGCCGUGUCGCUUGAGCACCUCCACUCUUGAUGGGACCCGUCCGCGUAUCUACUGCCACAUGAAGAUCCUAAUCUUCCGGCAGAGCCUGGUUUUCCAAAUCAUCUCAAAGGGCUCCGGAGCGGGAUUGGCAGCGAUGGUCUGGUAUAAAGACUUGGCGGAGAACUUGCCCGAAGACUCUAGAUGCCACAAAGUGCGAUUGGCAGACUGGUCGAUGUCCGGUUCGUGCAGGGCGACGGUCGCAAGGAGUUCGUGACAUGCGACGGUGUUCGCGGGUCCAAAUGGCCUAGGGAAAGCCAGGCGCCCUAAGUCAAUAAGGGUCACCUUGACGAAAAUCUGUGGGUCUACUGCGAUAGCAAACAGGUCGGGGAAGAGGGCAACAAAGGGGGUCUUGCCCGCCCAUCGGUCGAACCAGAACAUACUGGAGGUCUAGGAGCCCACCUCAAUGGAGGUCCUGAUGCAGAGAACUAGGAGUAGCUAGAUGACUGACUGCGAGGACUGCGAGCCGCCCGAUCUCUGACAGAAUGCGAGCGACAGACCGCACAUGUAUUUAUUUUGAAUGAGCUGGAGCCAAAGGACACCUCAAGCUCAAGUGCAACAUAUUAAUAUCAAGUUGAUACACUCCUCCCUGGGUGGAUCUGCCUCCUCUCUGCGCUGGAAGUUGCUUGAAUGGUCUACGUCGUGACUCCUUAGGGCAUCUCAAAUGGCAACCCGCAUUGUUUUUACAUCAGUCCGCGGACAGGGGUACUAAUCCGUGGAAACGGAUGCGGGAGACAACCAUCUAACCGUAGCCACAUACAUCCGGCCUUCCUCGUUUUCUUUUAAUUCUAUGCGAUUAAAUAGUCGCAUAAAAAUUGUACAUAAUGUUCAAAUAGUUGCAUGCAACACUUGUUCAAAUUAAAAAAAACAAAUAUUACAUCCAAACAUUGUUUUCACCAGCCAAAGAUGGUCAAUUAGAUCUUACUUCACCUGCUCGUGAGUUGGUCGCUGCUGAAUUAGUUGAUGCAUUUGGAUAAACUCUUUAAAUGGGGGGUCCGGAGAUUGGAUAUGAUCACCCAUGUUCUUAAAUUCUAGAGUUGCGGCAGCAUUGUCACCCUGAUGCUCGACAAUCAUGUUGUGCAUGAUCACACAACAUUCCAUCACCUCCCACAAGGUCUCCGGAUCCUAUUGUUUAGAAAAUCCACAAACAACCACAAAACGGGCCUACAUAACUCUAAAUUACCCUCUCGACAUCCUUUCUAGUUGCUUCUUGUCUUUGGACAGCGUGGGCCAUUUUUUGGCCAAUUGGGUUUGAGAUGGUGCUGAUAAAGGUAGCCUAUGGAGGAUAGCUACUGACCACCAGAUAGUAACCCUUGUUGUACUCAUGUCCAUUAACAGUAUAGCGGCAAGGAGGAGCUUUUCCUUCAGUCAGCCUCGCAAACAACAGUGAUCGUUGCAGCACAAUGAUGUCAUUGCGAAACCUGGGCAUGCCAAAUAAAGUGUUUCAAAUCCAAAAAUCUUGUGAUGCAACUGCUUUAAGAAUGAUCGUGGGAUUCUUAAUAUGGCCCCCAUAUUGCCCUUGUAAAGUGUUCGAACAAUUCUUCCAUUUUCAAUGAAUGCACUCAAGAGAUCCAAGCAAACCUAGCCACCCUCUUGCUUCUGAGACUGCCAAGAGCCUCUCGGCGCCUCCCACAGUUGGUUCUCCCAGGUACUGAGGCCCGAACACCUCGACCACGGCAGUAGAAAACCUAAACAUGGCAUCUCGGCAUAUGCUCUCAGACAUCCAUAGCUACUCCGUAAUCGUCUCAUGAAUCAGCGGUCGUGCACUUCUGGUAACCAGAGAACCCAAUUGUUCCCACAUCAUCCUUCUUUGGGAUUAAGUAGUCAUUGGAGGACAGGACGUCAUGGUACAAACGAUCGUAGACACCUUUGCUCAUCUGAAAACGCCGACGAUAAUGGGAGUGCAUUGGGGGUAGAUUAGUCGGCCAUCAGUGUCAGAUGUUCGCGCGCACGGUUGCGGUUGAGCACUCAGUGACCCUUGAUCGAGCCAUUGAAAUUGAGAACAUCCUCCUUUGCACAAUCCACAUACUCAUGGAGCGCCUGCAUCAUCACCCUCUUAUGAGAGUACUCCUCGUCCGACGAGCCGUCGGACGACUCAACAUAUUGCUCUUGUAUGUACUCCAAAUCGGAAUUCGUUGCUAGAAAGAAGAAGGGACAAGUGUUUUUCGCUCCGGCAAUUUAUCGAACUGUUGUUGAGCAAGGCAUGAAUAGCAGUAGUGGAUGGUACAUGGCAGGGCGGUUAGAGGACAGGGGUUGAACGGAGAUGGAGGAGAAGCAGGGAUGGAGCCCUGCUAGAGCAUCAAAGGUGACGAAAACAUAGAUGUUCGGGCGGGGGUUUGGCAUGGUGGUUGUGGGGGCGGGAGGGGGGUGGAGCGGCUACGAAGGCAAGAAAGAAAGAAGGAACAAGAGAAAAUGGGGAGGAUGAAGUUGCAGGUCCGGAAAUGGUUUCGGGUGGGCCAGGAGUGUCAAAUUCAUACGUUUGCUAUGUCCGGACUCCCGCAAAGUCCCCCGCUUUUGUCUUCGGUUUGUGAAGAAAUCGUGUCUGAAUUGCUUCGCGGACCGAUAUAGACCCCCGUUGAAUGGCUUUCAUGGUCCGGACGGAUGCGAGCGGUUUGCGGGUCCGCCUUGAUGACGCCUUUACCUAGAUUAUUUAUAGUGAUGUUUCCCUAAAAAGAAAAUAUUACUAUCUCUAUCACAGUUUAGAAGCCACAGUUAAAUUUACGUGCAUUUUCAUAAUAAACAAGGUUUAGGGCGCAUUGCAUUUACUCUUAGCAGCUAAUUAAUACUCCGUUGUACUACUUCUAUAUGCAGGUAUAGUGUGAAUGCUAUUUUUUAACUCAUCUCACAACCAAUCAAUAAUCACCUAGGUUACAGAGAAUUUCGAAACACGCCUUCUAAACCGUGACGAAGGAAGUAAUUUUUUCGUUGUCGGAUCUUUGAAUUUUGAAUAGUUUUAGGGUCUAAAAUGCACAUGGCUUCUAUAAUAACGGUGUGAAAAUCUAGACAGGACACCGAGCAUGUACAAAUUCAGGUUAUCAACAAAAACAAAAUAAAAGAUAUGACACCUAACUAGCGAUCAGCAGCAUGUCACGACAAUCAAAACAUUAAUUCUGGGCAACCUUUCCGGCAUGGUUUGUCAAGUGCUACUCCCAUGCAUGAGUCUUUGUCAGACUACCCAUAAUAAAAGUAGUAUCAUAAAUUCCGCCUAAAUAAAAAAUAUGAUGUGGCAACUAAUUAAUAAAAAGAAAAAGAAAUUGAGUAAUUUAGAUAGUUACUCAUACAAGGAGUAACAUAGCCCAUACCAAGAUAAGAUGAGUCUAUAAAAUAAUAAAUGCAUGUCUCAAUGUUACUAUCAAUAUGUUACUAUCCAUUAUGGAGGUAUUAACUUAGACUAGUAACACAUGCAUGUUACUACUCUAUGUUACUCCCAUUGUGAGUAGUCUCAUGUGCAUGCCACAUGUGUGGUGAAGGUGAGGCUGAUCGUGCCAUAUUGUCUCAUCCCAUGCACGCGUGGGCCGGCUGACACAGAGUCUCCUUGAAAACAAUAAUCAGUGGGGACUGAUAGGUGCCGGUGCGUCGGCCCAAAGAUUUGACCGGUCGAGCGCGGGCCGUCAGAUCCAGGUCGCGUAGACCGUCAGAUUUAGAUAAAAGCGAUUUGUUCAGAGCUCUCUUCUUCCUCGCGCAACGCCCUCAUCUCCUCCCCUGCAUCUCGCACACGUGCCCCCUUCCUCCCCGCAUCUCGGACAACUCGUCGGGGCACGCGUUACGCCCUACUGCACACCUUCCUCUGGUCGCAGCACCGCCCCUCCCCUCCCCUCCUGCUCCAUGCUAGUUCUCAUCGCCAGGAUUCGCGACAACCCCACACCAGCAUCUUGUUUUCGUGAUCACCGUUGCGCUUGAAGCAUCAUGGCCUCGUGAAUGGAUGCAGCAAAACACGUCGUUUUGUAGUAGCAAAAAAGCGAGGCAGUUGCAACAAAAAAUGUCGUCCUCAUCGUCGCCGGUCGCAUCUCGGUCAUAAAAAAGCACCAUGACCUCAUGAGUGGACGUAGCAAAUACAAAAGACAGUAGUAGCAAAAAAUGAGCCUGUUGCAGCAAAAAUGUCCGUCCUUGCAGCAAAAAUGAGUGGAUGUAGCAAACAGAAAGACGGUAGUGGCAAAAAAUAACGACGGUUGCAGCAAAAUACUCUGCCAUUUCCAGCAAAAGUUUUUGUCGUCGAUUGUGUAGCCUUUUUAUUUCGUAGUGGUUGAGUGGAACAUCUCUAUUUGGCAUAGAGUACUCCCUCCGUCCGGUAAUAAAUGCACAUAUAGAUAUUUCAAGACAAAUUAUGAAGUAGAGUACAAAAAUACAUUGAAAAGGUGCAAGCCAUCAUCUCUCUUCUGUGUAAUUACUCAACCCCAAUGAGCUAAUUGUACAUUCUUUAACGGACGGAGGGAAUACUUGUCUUUCAAAUCCGGAGCAGAGAAGAAUCCAAUAAAACUGUUCAAUCAGAUUCUAGUAUUUUGAAGUAAUCAGCGUGAGCCGGAGAGGCAAAGGAUUCCCUAAAAAAAGGUAACGCACCACUGGCAAUCGACAAAAAGGCAUUGCGUCCGAGGAAUUUGAUACUAAUAUAUAUAAACGCAAGGAAGCAGGCACGGCAGUAAAAGGCAUUACGUCCUAAUAAAUUCCUUUGCUUGUACUACUACAAGAGUAGGCAUCACUUGUUCCCUUCUCAGUCAUCUGCUUCCGCUCUCCUCUCGCCACUACGCUCUACUUCGGAUCGAUGAGGCCGCCGGACGGCAGCUCUUCGUCGUCCGGGCCGCACGGCAAGCAUGAGCUGCUGCAGCCGGAGGUGGUUCUCUACACGGCGUCUGCGUCGGCGUCUCGCCGCAGAGGGCGCGCCUCGGCCGACCUCUACGCCUUGCGCGCCCUGCUGCAGGGGUACGGCCUGACCAUGGACGAACGCGACGUGUCCACGAGCAAGGCGCACCGCAGCGAGCUCAAGUCGUUGCUUGCGGCUCGGGGGUGCGCCUUCUCCCUCCCGCAGCUCCUCGUCGGUGGACGGCCCGUGGGCGGCCCUGACGAUGUCAGGAAGCUGCACCAGUCCGGCGGGCUGCGGCCCCUCCUCGACGGUUCCCCAAGGCCGUGCCGCGCCUUCGUGUGCCAAGCCUGUAAGAGAGUCGGCUCCGAGCCCUGCUCAGAGUGCAGCGAGGCCCGCAACAAGAUGCUGGAUCAUGGCGUUAUGGAGCAGGAGGAGGAGAGGGUCGUCCUUUUUUAUCCAACCCAAGGUAAACACUUUUCUUUGUUUCUCUCCUUUCUUUUAUAUUUUCCGUAACCAGUACGUAAAAAGUUCAGUUGCACUUUAUUACUCUUUCUCAUCUACAUAUAACAUAUAUAGUCGGAUGCUGCAUUAUUUUCUUGACAAUUUUAUCAAGGACAUAACUCGUGCUGAACCUGAAACUACUGGCAGUAAUACAUCUACACUACUGUCCAUUUUUGGCAAGCAAUAGUUCAUGUGCUACGUAAGAAAACUCGCUGGAUGGAAACUAGUACCUUUCUUAUCUUAUACUUGCUCUGUUCAUGAAUAUAAGUUUUUUUUAAAGAUUCCACUAUAGUUUACAUACGGAUGCAUAUAGACAUACAGUAGAGCGUAGAUUCACUCAUUUUGCUCCGUAUAUAGUCCAUAAGGCCCUGCUCACAUCCAUGCAAUAGAGAUCCGCCUCCUCCUUCCCUAACCUAGUCGCUCAAGCGGGUCUUGCGAGGGUUGCCGGUCCUUCGCGGAGGAAGGAAGGAACGGGGAUCUAGCGCCGCCGCCGGGGCUGCUGCGGGCUCCGUUCGUGUCCGUUGCCAGCCGCCAGGAUAUGAGGCAAGUGAGAUAAGAGUGGAAGGGACAUCGCCGGCUCCCGAUCUGCCCGGCCCACGCUCCUCUAGUCCGGCGGCUCGCGAGCACGUCGCCGGCGCGCAUCCUCUUCGCGUAGAGACACGCACCGCGCAGCCAUCGGACCCCUCUCUGCCUCUCUCCCGCUUCGCCGUUGCCGGAGGGGGCGUCGGCGAAGCCGCGAGCGCUCCGGGGAUGGCGGCGGCGGGGCCCCUCGCGUCGGCCUUCGGGCUCUGACGACGGCGCCCCGCGUCGGCGGUUGCGGGAUCCGGUGUGAUCUCGCCAAUCGGCGGCGGUGGAGGGCGGAUCCGGGCCUCCAUGGCCGGAUCUAGCUGGGCGCUCGGCCCUGGUGGUAGGGAGCGGCAGCCAGGCGUGGCUGCGCUGGUCGGCUGGGCAUGAGCAGUGUCCAGGGCGCGCGGUGCAGUGGCCUUGGCUGGGGGUCGUGAUGGUGCGUGGCUGCCAUGCUCAGCGGUCGGUGGCGGUGGAUAUCCAGCGCAGCUCCAGGAAAAAUCCUUGCUCGGGUCUUUAUCGGAGCCGCGACGGCGACACCCGCGGGUGCCGCUAUCUUUCUUGGAAGCGUCGUUGUGAAGGUGUGUUGUUCCCCUUCGUCGGUCGCUGCUCGCACCGUCACCUGCGCCCCCCAGGUCCUGAUCGGUGGGCCUCUCUCCUGUGGAUUCUUGGCGGUGCCGACAUGGUUGCCGGGGCCCUUCCUGUGGGUGAAGUUGGUGGAGGAGAUUCGGAUUGGGGGAAACCCCUUGGUUGGCCCAGGUCGGCCGCGCCAACGACGACGCUUAAGGGCGCCGUUAUUCUUUUUGGAGACGACGGUAUACAUCUGCUCCUCUGCUCCCCUUCCUUGCCUCUCGGGUGAAAACCCUAACUCCGUUGGGCGGCGGCGGCGUCCUUGACGUCGUGACCUUCCUAAAGGCGUCGCCUUGAGGGCUGAGUGGUGGUGGGCACUGUGUGGGUCCUGAACGGUUGCUGGUGGUGGGCACUACUUCGCGGGAAACUCUAGGAUCUGGUCUUCCAGUUCGGACGAUGGCGGUACUGCGGUGCCGUUUCUCCCUUGGGAGCAUCGUUUGUGGAGCAGCGCUGGCAGACUGAGGCAGAAGGUGGAGCGGCUUCGUCUUGCACGGUAUUUCGGUGGAGCUGUCAAGUCAUGCUUGGCCGACAGGUGCUACGCUGAGUCAUGCCUGGUUGGCAGGUGCUACGCACGACAGGUCUCCCGGAGUCUUCGCAUCUGGACGGAUGAGCGCAGGGCGGUGGCGUCGUUGGGCGCCAUGGUAGUGUCGACGGAUGAUUGGACUGGCAAGGAUGAUGGGUCAGUGGUUCGAGGAUGAUGGCGGCUGGUAAAACGUGUGCGUGAGGUGUGCGUUUUAGGUGUGCUGCACCGACUGUUGUUCCCGAUACGUUAUGUGGAUGGAUUGGAAACAACACCGGUUGGAGUGAGAGCACUCCAUAUUAUCGAGUUUGUAGGUGUGAAUGGUGGCUUUGGAUGGAUUGAUGUAUACUCUUGUUAGACUUUUGUGGAAUAAUUAAUAAGGUGGCUGCAUGCAUCGAUUGAUGCAGAGGCCGGAGGUUUAACCUCCUUCUCUAAAAAAAAUAGCCUGUAAUAAAAAAAUAAAAAAAUUAUAUUUAAAAACGAAGGGAGUAUAUAAGAAUGAAGGCCUCUUCCGAGAAAUUGUGCGGUGGGGUCCGUAACUUCAUCUCUUGACGUGAGGUCGCUACAAAAAUCUAUGACGAAGGUGGACUCCAUAAGUGUGACCCACUAGCCCCUAUACUUUUAACAUUGUGGUGGAUGUGGAUACUCUGCUCGAACUCACAAAGGUUUUGGGCGAGAUUGUUGAAGUGAUGUCAUAUAUUGUGGAUGGUGGCCUUUCAAUACUAACAACGAUAUGGUAUCGUACAAGAUUUUUCCGUGCACGAUCUCCCUUGCAAGUUAAUUUCUCUAUCCCCUCUUGACGACACGAGGGUGAAACCUAGCGCUGCCACUACCCUCUCCCCUCCUAUUACCUCACCUUGCCACUGCUUGAGGUUGUCGUCUGCGAGAGUGUCUUCAUCUUUGCAGCGGGUGACUACAGUGGGUGCUGUUGGCAGACCCCCUUGGCCGCCAUGUGAUGUAAAACCUCAAAUUCCCCAAAUAUGGUGUAUCUAUGCUAUCUACUCGCUAUUCGUUAGUACUUCUAUUUUACGAAUUCUACUAAGGAAUUAAAACAAGAAGUUCCGAAUGCAUCUGGCACUAAAGAAAAGAGGAAACUGGGAUUUAAUUGCUAUUUUCAUGCAUUCAUUGUUUUCUGUUAGGUUGGUUGUAAUCGAUAGUAUCAUAUACUUCCUUCAUCUUAAUUUAUAAGUCCGGCACAUGUACCUAAGUCGUUAAUUUGACCAACUUAAUGAUAAACAUAUAUUACAAUAUACCAUUAAAAACUUUAGAUGUUUUAUUUUCUAAUGAUAUAAUUUUUAUAUUAAACAAUAGAUUUUAUAUAAAUUAAAUUGGCGACCUAGAUACACGUGCGUGCCUUUUAAACUGUGACGGAGGUAGUACUAGUAUCUAUGAUAUCAUAUCCGUAAUGUAUAGUAUCAUAGGGUAGUUUAUUUUUUUGCCAUGCAAGACACAUAAUAGCACAUCAUAUUUAAUAUGAUACGCUAUCAUGAUAUGAUACAUAAUCCUCUUUUUCUUCAUGUAAUUCUAUGCCAUCUCAUCAAAAUUGCCUAGUUGGCAUGCAUAAUACUACCUAUCAUACUCCCAUUACAGGCAGCCUUAGCGGCCGAGGGAGUCUGGGAUUAAGGGGUAACUCGGGCAGCCGGUUCAUUUCUUGUGGGCCGACUCGGUGGGCCGUGUUAUUAAAGGCUGGACUAUAUGACGACCUCGUACUCAGGAAGGAACAUUCGAAGACAGGCGUGACGUCGAAGUACAGUAGACUAGGUCGGUUGUAUGUAACCCUAGAUCCCCCGAUGAGUAUAUAAACCGGGGGGUCCUCGUCCAUGUAGACAGGUUGACUCAUCUAGGGUUUAGCUUAUAUGAUAUCGAGGUACAUCAACUCUGUAAUCAUCAUCCACAUCAAUAUAAUCAAGUAGGACGUAGGGUUUUACCUCAUUAAGAGGGCCCGAACCUGGGUAAAUACUGUCUCCCCCUCCUCCUGCAACCCAUCGAUCCAAGGUCCACAGUUCGGGACCCCCUACCCUAGAUCUGGUGGUUUUGACACCGACAUUGGUCCUUCCAAUGAGAGUUUCGUUGUUUGAUUGACCGAGAGAUCGAUGGCUCGCCUAAUCGUCAGCGAUCGAAUCAGCAAUGGGGACAUCUUCGUCCCCGGGCAGGUUUUCUCGUUCGGCAGUGUCACGCUGCGCUCAGACUUGACCAGCGGUCUGGCCAGAUCGGAGGUUUUGUCCCCGAUCAGCAGAUAAGGUUUAGGAAUCUUGGAUUCUCAACCGGGCCGAUCUGAUCCCCGCCAAGAUCCCGGCUUCGGUCAAUGAGAUCCAAAACCCCGAAGUCUUAACUUCGGGUCCCACAUCCGUCCAUGGCCUCGAACCCCUCUUCGCCGAAGAGUCAGCUUUUAGCUCGGACAAGGCCUCAGUGCCGAGACUACAGCAAACGGCGUUUGACAAACGCGCCUCCCUCACGAAGGCCGUGGAAGUCAACUUCAGAAAACACCCAACGCUGGAUCAGGACGAGCCCUCAGUGUUAAACGAGAUGAUCAGUCAGAUCCAAUCGCUACGCAUCUCAACCAGCCAGUGCCCGACCUGUUCACAAUUUGGCUCAGAGGCAGAAUAUGGGGACUUUUACGGCCCACCCACCACCCAGUUGGUAGCCACCGUCAAAGAUUUAACCGACGCGUUGUAUUAUGCCUCCGAGGAGUUGGAAGAUAUGGACGACGAGGAUGAUGACCCCAUUCCUAUAAAUACAGGGCGAUGGACAGCAACAUCCACUUAUGAUGUCUACAUGGUAGACACGCCCGAUAACAACGGCGACCUUACCCCCAAACCAAACGGUGACAAUUUCAGGGAGUAGCCACCAAAGCGCCGAAGGCAGCGUAAGCGUGCCAAGGCAAGCAAGGGAAAGAUUUCUGCACAGGGCACUCGAGAAAAUACAACCCCAGAGGACCGUGAUAACCUCAAGGUUCCAGAACAGCCACAAGAAGACCCGGACAAGCCCGAAGCACAGAACGACCCCGAUGACCUCAACAAAUCGGACGACGACCCAAAAAAGGAAGACUUUGCAAUUCCCGAGGACCUUGGAGGUCAGGAAGAGUUUAGGCAGCUUCUCAUAGCUACCGCCUGAAGCUUAAAAGGGAAGCAACGACAACCCCCGACCGAACAUGAUACCAUAAACAACAGGUGGACCAAGGUAUUGGCCGUCGAAGAAGAAUACGGUCAUGGAUAGCCGGAUCAGAAGAAGAGCUACCCACGUCGGCGCCUGCUGCCACAAUUCGACGAUGAGGCCCCAGAGCCCACGUCUCCAAAACGCACGGACUACGACGAGCCUGAUCGCCUACCUCGAUGGCGCGACAGAGCGGCUGGAGAAACCGAGUAUAAACCCGAGCCUCCUUGCAGAAAAGGAAAGGAACAAGUGCGCCCUAGGGGUGGUCAGGACCUGCGACGACCUGGAUAAUAGAACGGAUCCAAGAGGUACUCCCCGAGUUGAUGGAAUGGAGAACCGCUCGGAUUACCUACAACAACAGAUACCGGGAACCGUACCCGGCACAACCCAUGGCCGAUCUCCUCGGAUUACCUACAACAACAGAUACCGGGAACCGUACCCGGCACAACCCAUGGCCGAUCUCCGAAACAACAUAGCACGGGUCAAGGACGUCGCACACCCACUAUGGUUCACAAACGAGGUAAUGCAGCACCAAUUCCCGAAAGGGUUUAAACCCGUAAAUAUAGAACAAUAUGACGAGACUACAGACCCCGCCGUGUGGAUACAAGAUUUUCUUCUCCACAUUCAUAUGGCAAGAGGGGAUGAUUUCCACGCCAUCAAGUACCUACCUCUCAAGCUAAAAGGACCGGCGCGGCACUAGUUAAACAGCUUGCCCGAGGAUUCUAUCGGGAGCUGGGCUCAUAAUUCUUUAAGAGAGUUUGGAGAUUGACUUGCUUGACACGGGUGUGUCCUUCACGUGAGAAUCAAGGUAUCCCAUGCCUCUUUUGUUGUUUCUUUGACAAUUAAGUGUUGGUGGAGGAAAUCCAUCGGCAUCAUCGAGUAAAUCACCGACGCCAUCUGUCGAUCCUUCCGAUGCUCGGCUCCCUCCUUUUUGAAAGCUUCGCCUCCUAGAUCGACUGUGUUCCAAAACUCGUUUGCACGGAUACCACACUUCAUGAGGGCCUUCUAGACCCUGAAGUUCUUACAAUCAAAUCGUGGGUACUACGAACUUACCCGAGCAACAAAUAUUUUAGCCGCACCCAAAUACGCCGCGAGCUGCUUGUUCUCCUCGUCGUUCGACAUGACCCUGCUGUGAAACCAAUUGUUAGCAUAGAUCCCGAAUCUUGACAACACAGAUGUCGGGUUCUUCCAACAGAUUGCGCACGCACAAGCUGCAGCCGAUUAUGUCCGACUGCUUCAGCGGAGACGUGUAUGUACCAUAGUAAACAAGCAAGAGCAAGCACCUUGGUGGAUGGAUUAUCGUGUCUAGCUAUCUAGCACAUAUCAAGUCGCCAGAACACAAUACGCGAAGUCGUCGACUUAUGGCCACAGGACCGUAUCGGUCCUGAUUUUUCUUUGUACUGAUUUGAUCUGAUGGUAGUACAAAAUACAAGGGUAUACAGAUGUAUAUAUAGCAGCAACGAGAACCGAUCCGAUCUAAUCAAACUCGGCUAGAAAAUCUCAUCCUACUACAACUACAACUAGGAGAUUGAGCGUGUACAAACCGGACACGAAACGUGUCGUGGUUAUUUCCAACAGUAUUGCGUGUCCCAUCCAUUAGGUGUUUUCCUAGCAAAGGGGAGCAACUAGUUAGCGAGCACUUUUUCGGAAGUCUUCCAGUGAAAACUCCCGCGCGCCGUCAUUUGGCGUGUUCUCAAUCGACGCUACGUGUCGUGUUCUGAGCAGGGCCGAGCCAACUGUGGUGCCAAAUGUGCCACCUGCACAGGGCCCACAAUUUCGAAGGGCCCCAAAUUUUGUAUAUAAAACAAGCAAUAUUUCACACACAAAAAAAAGCAUACUCGUUGGAAUUGGGACUUAGUCGAUCAAAAGCUAGAGUUGGGCCCGAGUCAAGCCAUCAAGCACAGGUGCUUCAUCGAUAUUUCUUUAAAAAAAAGGAAACCGCUCGAUCGAUAAUAUGGAAGCGCUAAUGUCAGUCUAAAAAAGGUACGGUCGCUAUAGGGAACAUGAUCGUUUGGUCGCUUUCGUCUCAUCAGAUCAAUUGAAUUUAGACUGUUGUCGUUGUUGCCUUCGUACUUUUCUCUCCCGAAUUUUAAAUUCGUUGCCUCGUCAGGUCUAUCUGUGACCGACUCUAUCCUUCAAGUGCUUAGCGAGUCUCGCUUUUCGAUUAACUUAUGUUCCUAUUCCUAGUUUCGAAUUUUCUAGUUAACUUUUGACAAGGAUCGUUACUUCGUAGAAAUUGGUAUUUACCUCCUCAGUUAAAGAUUAUAGUGUAGCAGUUCAACAGGACAUGACCCAAAAUUAGGUAAGUUAAACGGAUUGUCUAAUAUCCAAACAUUGACGCAUGAUAUUCAAUUAAUAUAUGCUACUUUAUAAUUUAAUUUUAUCAAAUUUAGCUUUUUAUAUUGUGUUUCGGUAAUACAGAUUUGCAUUAUAAUGAAAAACAUUAGUCUGAUUUCUAUAGUUGCUCGUUAACUCAUUUUCUAAGUGAGAUAGGGCCUUAUUUUUUUAGUUUCGCACAGGGCCUCAGAUUUUGCCGGCCCGGCCCUGGUUCUGAGCGUUAUUUUGUAUUUUGCUUUUUUUAUUUUUUCGCACGUGUUUUCUACUUUUUGGAGUGGUUUUUUCGUGUUUUUUUCCUACGGCCGUGCCUCUCGAAAAGGGAAAAACGUGUUUUCUGCUCUAUUUUUUUCGUGUGAGGCAUGGUUUUGCUUCCGCGAGAGAAACGGUUUUGCAAUCGCGAGAGGCAUGGCCGUGGCUCUCAGAAAGGGAGAACAACGUGUUUUCUGCUCUCUCUUUUUUUCUGCGAGAUGCACGGUUUUGCUUCCCUGAGAGGCACGGUUUUUGCUAUCGCGAGAGGCACGGCCGUGCCUCUCGGAAAGGGGAAAAACACGUUUUUUGUUCUCUCUUUUUUCGCGAGAGGGACAGUUUUGCUUCUGCGAGAGGCACGGUUUUUCUAUCACGAGAGGUGCCUCUCGGAAAGGGGAAAACGUGUUUUCUGCUCUCUCUUUUUUCCGCGUUUUCUACUCUCUUUUUUCCGCAAGAGGCACGGUUUCAUUAUCGCGAGAGGCACGGCUGUGCCUCUCGGAAAGGGGAAAAAACGUCGAUUUGUGCGUCCGGUUUUUUUCAUGAAAAAAAAGUUUGUUAAAACCUAUCAACAUGGGAUCUAAUUUUGAAGAUCUCGAAAACCCAACGGUGAAAACAGUUCAAGAUUUGAACGCAUGGUUUAGGAGAUAAAACGUUUUGAAAAUACAGAUCUACGAAAAAAGGAGAAACUCCCCGGUUGCGACAAGUGACACGCAUGCAGUGCGUCACUUGCCAAUCUAGGGAGGUGGGAAUAAUCGUUGAAAGGUCUACUCUUCAACUAGUGAUUUCGGCAGUGAAGACUCCUCAUGGAGUUCCCAUUGUGAUCCAGGCUUGACCUGGGGCCUGUGGUUGGGGUCCAAUCCUGGCCUUGCAGGGCCUAUGGCGCGGCAGGCUUCCUGUGGAGGAGGGCAUGUGGGCCCAUUCCUGGCCUUGCAGGACAAGCAUGCGGUAGCAGAGCAUAACAUAGUUGGUGAGCGAACAGCCUGAUAUGGAGCCUGGCAAGGCUGCAUCAUCAGUGUUUCUUGGUUGCAGCUCCAAUUGGGUUGUACGGGCCAUGGCCAUUGUGUGGGACGACAUACAUUUUCUGCAGUUGGCACGACGACUCCUCCUGAUUGUUGUGUGGAGUGUUGGUGCACGGUUGUAGAGCCACGAGUUGUGUUGUAGCUUAACAAAGCUGUCAUAGUAGUGGUGGUGUUUGUGGUGGCCAUUACAUCUUUCUAUUCCUCCUGGUCUGGUUUGUUGUUGUCGCAUUUUUGCAGAAGUAAGGUUCACAGCGGCCUGGCGUCAACCAACGCCAGAAGUGGUGUGGAGGUUGUUGGAUAGGGUGAGCCAUUUCCGUGGUUCAGUGGGGUAGUUAUGCAAGGGUGUAGGAGAAAGAUUUGUCGUCUAGGUUGGGUGAUGCCGGUGACAGCGACAUACUCAGACGUUGUUUUUCUUUUUGAAGGUGUUGAUGACGAUCUUGCAUUCGACCUCUCUCAAAAGCUUGCAUACUAGGUGGUCGUGGUCUGCUUGGGUUGUCGUUCGUGGUUGUUCUUUUCUCUUUUCUUUCAUAGUUGUUGUCUUUGCCGGCCUAGUUCCCUUAUAAACCCGGUCACUCUGAAUAUUUUUUCCUCUCUUUUUGAAAUCGGCAGAGCUCCUGCCUUGCACGUCAAAGGAAAAAAACACGCUAUGAGAUCCUUGGCCCCUUCAGCUGCAGAGCUAGGCGUGUGCUCUGUUGUUAUUUACACGGUUAUUUCCUCCAAGUAGGAGGAAGUUUUAGUUCUUCAAUUUGGUAGUUAAUUGACAAACACCAACUCCAAAGCAACAUUUAAUCUUUUACUUUAUGACCAAUCAAAGUGUUACUCUAUGUCUUUUUGCAAUUUGUUCUCUCUCGUGUUUCUCCUGUUUCAAUGUGCUGGCGACAUAAUUUUUUUCUUUUUCGUCUAUCUUUCAUCCAGAUGUGUCAAUGGAAGGCAAACACGGAGACGUGGAGGCCCCCUUCAGUGUUUCAAUGGGCGCCAUGGGAUCCCUCCUUAACAAGCUCGACAUUAUGCUAGGUCCAAAAGGAUGCAAGCUAGCCAAGGGGCUCCAUGACAGAUUUCACCUCCUAAAAGAUAAUGUUGAAGAAAUAAGUGCAUACCUUGAAGAUCUGUUAGAGGUGGAGGACCCUCCCAUGGCGGUGAGGUGUUGGAUGAAAGAGGCACACGAGUUAUCCUAUGAUAUCCUUGAUUAUAUUGACAACCGUGUAUCCCUUGAGCUUAUGGAAUGCAGAUCUGUUCGCAAGAUGGGUCUUAUUAAGAUUGCCAAGAAGCUCAAGUGGCAGAAGAAAAUUGAGUAUGUCAUUCCUCAUGUGCUAGAACACGUUAUCCCCAAAAUCAUUUGUGUUGAUGUCAUUUGUGCUCCCAGAAGGCUCAAGUGGUACCAGCAGAUGAUUGGAAAGUUAUCAGAAUUCAGGAUCUAUGCCCUGGAUGCUAUCCGACGGUACGAGAGGUACCAAGUCCUCUAUUGUAGUACCUCGACGGCAUGUAGAUUUUCUGCCAUUGGGCCUAUAAUGCCAAUGCCUCCACCGCCUUGUGAGAAAACUUGUUCUGGCCUAGUAAUUGAUGGUCGGAUGAACAAGUUUAUCAACUCACAGCUGGCUAAUGAUGAGAAUGAGCAGCUCAAGGUGGUGUCUAUUCAUGGAUCUGGAUGUCUUGGUAAAACAAUGCUUGCGAAAGUCCUGUACAAUAAAAUUAGGAGAAAAUUUGAUUGCCGAGCUUUCAUCCAGGUGUCCAAAAAGCCUGAUAUAAAGAAGCUUUUGAAUGACAUGCUAUCACAAAUCCAUAGGAAGCAGCCCCAAGCAAGCCAAAAGGCUUCUGAUGAACUUCGCAUUACUGCUGACAAUAUCAGGAAUUAUCUACAUGGGAAGAGGUACUUAUUUUCCACAUGCAAAUAGUAUGUACUAGUUGUAUCCAUGAAUGUCCAGAAUCACAAGUACUCCCUCCGUAAACUAAUAUAAGAGCAUUUAGAUCACUAUUCUAGUUUACAAAGGGAGUAUUACAUAAAUUCCCUACAGGUUCCUCCUUUGUUUUUCACAAAAAAAAUAAGGCAUGAUGAUAUAUAGUCAAUCUUUUAAAGGCAAGCUUUAUAGUGAGCUAGAAAAGAAUGUACUUAUUUUUCACAUGGUCUAGAAUCGCAUGUACUACAUUAAAUCCCUACAGGUUGAUCUUUUUUUUCAAAAAAAGGCAUGUCAACUAGCGACAUUAGUUUUACUCUUCAAGUCAGCACGGACUAAAUAGUAAAUAUCUCAGUGUUGUUGCCAUUUGCCUGGCACAUAGAUGUGACAUGUGUGGACUUUCUUGGCAUGCAGGUAUCUAAUUAUUGUUGAUGAUUUAUGGGAUACAUCGGCAUGGGACGUUAUUAAUCAGGUUUUCCCCAAGGGUAGUCAAGGCAGCAGAAUAAUAACUACUACACAGAUUGAAGAUGUUGCAUUAGCAUGUUGCUGCGGUCACCCAGAACAAGUUUUUGAGAUGAAACCUUUGGAUGAUGGUCACUCAAGGAAACUAUUCUUUGGCAGGAUUUUUGGCUCUGAAAGUGACUGUCCUGAAGAAUUCAAACUAAUUUCAAGCCAAAUUGUAGAAAUAUGUGCUGGAUUGCCACUAGCGACCAUCAGCAUAGCAAGUGUUUUAGCAAACCAUCCUUCUGUAUCAGUGGAUUUAUUCACACACAUACAUGAUUCAUUAGUGUCUUGUUUGUCAUCAAAUUCAACUUCAGAAAGAACGAGACAUGUACUGAACCUCAGCUACAACAACCUUCCUCAUUACCUCAAGACAUGCUUGCUCUAUUUUAGUAUGUAUCCAGUGGGCUCCAUAAUCUUCAAACUUGACCUGGCCAGGCAAUGGGUGGCCGAAGGGUUUAUUGCUGCAAGUGAAGGGCAAGACACAGAGGAAGUUGCAGGAACGUAUUUCGAUGAACUUGUUGAUAGAAGAUUCAUCCAACCUGUGUCUAUCAACUUCAACAAUGAGGUGGUGUCCUGCACAGUUCAUGCCGUGGUGCAUGAUCUUAUUGUACACAAGUCUGCUGAAGAGAAUUUUCUUGUGGUAGUAGAUUGCAAUCGAAAGAAUUUGACGCUUUCUCAUAAGGUCCGUCGACUAUCUCUCCAGCUUGGUGAUGCAAAAUAUGCCAAGAUACCAGCAAACAUCAGAAAGUCACAAGUACGUUCACUUGGAGUUUUAUGAUUAUCGGAGAGCAUGCCUUGCAUUGAAGAGUUCAAGCUUGUUCGUGUUCUGAACCUUCAUCUAUCUGGCCAUCAUAAUGGCGACCAAGACCUCACUGGGAUAUGCGAACUGUUCCAUCUUAGAUAUCUGAAGAUUGUUUGUGAUAUAUGCAUAAAACUUCCGAACCGGAUGAGAGGGCUGCAGUGUUUGGAAACACUUGAUGUUAUGGAUACACCAAGGGGGACUUAUGUUCCAUGGGACAUUAUAUAUCUCCCACGCUUGUUGCACCUCAGUCUUCCUCCUGACACAAAUUUGCUGGAUUGGUCUGUCGGUGAUGAUAUGUGCCUUUGCAAGCCGAGCCACCUGCAGGAUCUUUGCAUUUCUACAUCGCCUUCUUCAGAUUCCGACCAUUUGAAGAGAAACAUGUAUGUUCUGGAUUAUUUAAUGUAUGAACAUGACAGCCUGAAAACUGUAAAACUGGUGGCUCAUGGAUCCUCGGUUAGCUAUGGUGACGCUUCAGAAGCAAGAGUUUUGUGGGUCUUGGAUAGACCUAUCCACCAUCUCCAGAGAUUCGAGGUCUCACCACACAGCCCCGUCGUAUUUUGCGAAAUGCAUAGGUGGAAGAUCCAACUUGGCAACCUAUGCAUUCUGAAGAUUGCAGUGGAUGGACUGUCAGUAAAUGACGUUGAUAUUCUUAGUGGGUUUCCUGCCCUCACUGCCCUGUCAUUGUAUGUGGACAAGUCACCUAAUGUUAAGAUAAUCUUUGGCACGGCUGCUGGAUUCACAGCUCUCAAGUACUUGAAGCUGAGGUUCAUGAGUGGAAUAGCUUGGCUAAGAUUUGAGGCGGACGCAAUGCCUAAUCUCUGGAAGCUCAGGCUUGUUUUCGACGCCAUCCCUCAAAUGGACCAACGACUUGAACUUUAUUCUAAGCGUGACCAGUGGAGACAAUAUCGACAUGGUAAUGCACUAAUCAGCAUCGAGCAUAUGACGGGCCUUAGAGAGGUCUCCGCUAAAUUUGGGGGUGCGGCUGUUGAUCUGCAGUAUGUCGCGAGGAUCGGUGUUGUUAGCAAUCAUCUGAGCAAUCCUAUAAUCGAGGUGAAAUUAGUGGAUUCCGGUUCCCAUGGCGAUAAAAGGUACUACUUUUGUUGCUGUUGUAAACUACUUUUGUUGAUGUUGAGUUAUUCGAUUAAACCUGAUUUGACUAUUCAUGCUCAUGCUCUAAAUGGUAGUUGUAACCUGCAGGGUAUCAUCGAGGUCACCAGAGUCCUGUUCACGCCUGAAUCCUCCAGGUAUGCUAUUCAGUCAACAGGAGUUCCAAUAGCUAUUAAUUACUCGUAGAAAUUAGUAAGACGAUGGAUGAGCUGUUGGCUUUUGUCAGGUGGAGCGCAGCAGACCGUGGUGUCGUGGAGCAAUACCAUUGAUGUGAUAGGUCGGGAGCUCUUCAUCCGUUGCCUCCACCUUGUGUCCAGGCGGGACUACGGCGCCUCCAUCGCCUCCCUCAACCGUGAAUUCAAUUCGGUGGUUCGCGACGGGGACAUCUACCGCCUUCGUCGCAAGAAUGGGGUGGCAGAGCACUGGAUCUACCUCUCCUGCGGUAAUAAUAAUCCUCCGGAGUGGGAUGCUUAUGACCCGUCCACCGGGCGCUGGAUCAAAGUGCCCAAGAUGCCACCGGCUCAAAGCAGAUUCUGGGA
rnacentral:lncRNA from 1 species